rnacentral:lncRNA from 1 species
AGUGAUCAGCUAAUGAUAAUCUCAUAAAAAAUAGUCAAAACAUAUUAGAGAUAGAAACCAAUAUAAUCAACGCUCAUCAAUCCGACAAUGAAUGAAUAUGUUCAUGCACAGGCAACUAGGUAGGUGACCAACCUGUCCAUUGGAAUUGGUGGCUCACACCAUUAAGUGGCAUCAACUAAUAAUAGCUAAGAUGAUUGAUAGGAUAGUCGUCUGAAUAUUUCCAUUUUUGGUCCAUAUGCCACUAUACAUUAGUGGAAUAAAUCAGUAUCUCUUUUUUUUAAAUAAAAAGAAAUACCGAAUUAACAUAUUUUCUUAUAUGAUGUAGAUAGAUUGGUGCCGUGCGGUUUUGAUAGUUCAUCCCUGGAGUCAAUAAGCAUUGCUUUUAUACAGAUGCAAAAAAAAGAGAGAAAAAGAUCGGAGUCAGCUUUCAACCUUUACAAGAUUGCAGCUAGUCUGUAUGUGUGUGUACGUAGUACAAUAUCAGUAGGAGAGAGCAGACUUGACCAAGGCGUGAACCUGUAGAGAAACACGUGCCAAUACGAUUUCUGAGAUGAUGUUGAAUUGGUUGAUCAACGUAGCGUCCUGUGGGAAUUGACCUUGGGAGCUCGGAUUUUAUGGAUGGGAAAACACGUGCCUGCACGACUGAAUUAUUCCGCCUCCUGCCUAUAGUCAAGUUUAUUUGAUGUGCAGCUGUUAGGAACUUAGGGUUGUAAUAAAACGUUGGUUCUAAUUGUUUCUAAGAAUAGCCUGGCCUGUAAAUUCCAGUCUCAUCUAUUUUUGGCUCUAUCGUAUGAACCAGUUUUUGAAGGGCACGUAGAAAUUUGAUGAGGUUUAGUUUGGUCUUGAAGCAAUUUCACUAGCUUUCCUUGUCUCAUGAUGAACAGCGCAAUUUCAAUUUUUUUUGUAAAAAAGAUGGCAGUUUCUCUUUCUUCUACCCCCUCUCCUUCGUUUUUUCGCUAGUCAUCUGUCAACAGGGUUUAGGAUGAGGAGUAAGUGGCAUUAAUAACGUAUCGGGUGCAAACCAUCUACCCGUGCAACCUUGGAAACUCUAAAUUAAGGCCACAAGAUGCUAAUCCAAUGGAUAGGGUUAGAGAUGGGGUUAUUUUGCAAUUUAGCGCCCGCCGGCCAACAGGUUUUUUGCAAAUCCCUCCUGCCCCUUAAAUCCGUUCCCCCCUGCCCCUUCCAUCGCGAUAAGCUGCCGCCGCCCCUUCCAUCGCAGUUCGCGGCCGCUCGUGGCCCUCCGUAACAUCCAAAAUCUCCAACUUUCCAUUUAACUAAAAUUUGCUAGAAACAAUUUUGCUUGUUUAAGGCAUAUAAGGUCAUUUUGCAUUUUUAGUCAUAAAAAAACAUUUUUUCAAAUAAAUUAAUGAAAUAAAGGAUUUUAAUUGAGCAUUCAUGCCGCUGCAUAGUUUUCAUCUUGUUUGCUCGAUUUCAUGUUUGUGUUUUGCUUUUGGGUGGCCGAUCUUCUUUUCUGUCUUUUCAGCUAGUUGUGUUUCAGUUUCAGAGUUCUGUCAGUAGUUAUCUAUUCUUUGGUUCUUCAGUUUCAGUUCUAUAGCUUUCCUAGUUUUCUGUCGCCAGGUGUUCCUAUCGAGCUUCUUCAGCCUUAGUUGCUGUUGGCAGUAGCAACAGGCGCCAGUUUUCUUUUCAGUCCAGCGCUGGUGCCUUUCAGUGUUCAGUUCGCCAGUUCAGUUUCUGUUUUCGGUUCAGAAAAAGCAGCAGCUUGUGGCCAUGCUCGCUAGCGCUGGGCAAUAGCAGCAGUUGUGGCCUGGUUUCUUUUCUUUCAGCCAGCGAGCAGCCCAGUGUUUCCUUGCUGCGCCGGCCCAAAACUCCUUUCUUUUUCAGCCCAGCGCAGCACCUGCUACUCCCUCUGGCCCAGUUCCGUUUAUCCCUGUGCCGGCCCAACAAGCAGCGGCCCAGCUGCCCUUUCCACGCGCGGCAGCUCUCCCCCUGACCGCUGGGGCCCGCGUGUCAUCUUCCUCACCGCGCCUUCCUUUCCUCUCCCGCACGCAGCGCCGCUCGCCCCUUCUCCGCACCGGACUCGAGUCCGAGCCGCACCCGUGCCGCGCCUCCUCGCCCCGCGUCCGACUUGGCCUCGGGCCCGCACGCCUAGGCCGCCUAAAAACCGCCGCCACCGUUUUCCGCUCCCCCACCAAACCCUCGCCUUUUUUUUUUCGCAUCUACAGAGCGCCCGCCUCCCGAGCUCGAGCUAGCGCCGCCGCCGUCGAUCUCCCUCGCUGUCGCCUUCCCGUCGCCCAGAAGCUCGCCGGAGCAUCGCGCGUCGGUGAGUACCCCGGCCGAGCUAUCUCCGCGCGUCUUCUCACCGUCUUCCGCCCGCACGGCCGCGCCGAGAGGAGCUCGUCGCCGUCACGCUCUGCGCCGCCACCUCCGCCGCGUUUCGCCCGGCGCCGACCGCCUAAGCGUGUUCCCCGCGCUUCCCUCUUCCUCCCAGUGCAACCCGCUUGCGGAACCGGGCCCUGGAGCGCCGUCUCGGCCAACUCCGGCCUGGCCGCCGCCGCUCGCCGGCGAGGCCGCUGCCGCGCGCCGCCGUCCCGCGGCCGCAGUCGCCGCCAGCCGUCCGUUGCCGCCCGGAUCCGGCCGCAUCCGGUCGAUACCGGUCAACCGCGCCGCUCUGCGUUACUCUUGCAUUUAAGCCCCUGCGUUUUCCGCAAAGUGCGCUGCCAUCCGCAGCAAUUCAAAAGUGUUUCAAAAAGAGGUCCCGUUUUCGUCUGAUUUAAACCCCGAGCUUUCACAGUAUAGCACCCGCAGUCCUGUGUUACAUUUUUGCGCAUUAAACCUUCAGUUUAUAUGCGUAAUUAUGUUUAGGUUCUUGGUUACUUGCUGUUUAGCCUCUGGAAGUUUGAUUUUCUCGCAGUUAGACUUCUGCAUUUUGUUUUAAGCAUAGUUUUUGCAUCUUAGUUUCGUUUUUAGCGUUCUUUAUAUCCGCGUGUUCGUUUUAAUGCGUAGAAUAGUUUUUCAAGCUUGUUUUCUCUGUUUAUUAUGAUUGGUGUACUGUUUUCUUAUGUUAUAAUUUGUUUGCUUGCAUGUGCUCGUGUGACGCGUGUAGACGGUCAGCAGUUCGAGGGAUUUGAAAAUCAAGCUUUCGAGGAGUACGAACAGCAUGAGCAAGGUCAAGAAGGCAAGUCGUGUCCUUGAUCACCUCUUUAAGUCCUAUUCACCUUUACUUUCAUGUUCUGUACAGCAUUGCCAUGCGCAAUAUAGUUUAAAUUUGAUGGGUCCCAAUUAAGGAUGUCCUAGAUUUCUUUACCUUUGCCUUGAUCAACUGGGUUAAAUUUAUAUUGGGUAGCUCAUACUUAGUGCUCAAACAUAGUUAUGGUGGUUUAAUCUGAAACAUUAUUAAUUUGGUAUUAUUUAUGUUAUACCUUCCAUUAAUACAAGUCCAUAAUGUUUAAUCGGAACAUGGAGCGACCACCAGAAAAACAGUACUACCACAAGACUAAAUGGCUCUAAUCUUGGCUGAAUAAUUAGAAAUCUUAGUUUGGGGUAGUCUUACUCGUGAUGAGGCAAUAGGGGGGACUGAGUCGUUGCAUUAGCGGCCUGUGAUAGGUUGUGCAUGCCGAACACCGAAAAUCUUAGCGGGUUACCACUGACUAAUGAAUCUUUGUAAAGGCCUCAUAGCGUCCCUAUGCAAUCACACCUCGAAAGUGUGAUAUGGUGCUUUGCAAACACCGUAUGGUUGGGUCCAAAGUUCUUUUGAACUUUUAUGCGACUUGUGGGUAAAGAUGUACAACCUUUGCAGAGUGUAAAACUGAUCGAUCAGCCGUGCUCACGGUUAAGAGCAGCCUGGACCCUCACAUGAUAAUAUUAUCGAAAGAUGGAUUUAAAUUGUUGUUGUUUCAUUCAUGAUUAUGUUAUUACUUUAUUUAUAUUCCUGUUUAAUUUCAGGUGGUAUAAACUUACACUUAGUUAAUUGCUAAUAAAAUUUGACCAACUAAAUUAAAAGUUGAUGUUGAUUAAGCCUUAGCCAUAUCUUGAUUGGCCUUACACUAAACUGUUCCCCACGACUUGUUGAGUAUGGUUGUACUCACCUUUGCAAAACCGCUGUUCAGACCAAGUGAAUCCCGAGGAGUUCCUACAAGAUUUUGAGGAGUAUUAGGCAUGCGUUUCUUCAGUUAGCUGCCUGUGGAGUUAUCAAUACUUUUGGAGUUCCGCUACGUAAUAAUUAGACUUUGUAGUUUAUUUGAGACUUUCGGUCAUGUAAUAAUGGUUAAUACUUUCUUUAUUUCGUUAUGGCAUUGUCUUUGUUAUUCACUUAUGUCGUACAUGUGUGUAACUUGAUCCUAGCACACAUGUAUUCAAUGCACUUGGUUUUGUCCUUAAAACCAGGUGUGACAUCCUCCGCCGGCCUGGUGAUGGCGCCGCCACCCCUUCACCUCUCGCCGCCCCUUCACCCCUUCCCGGAUGAAGUCGAUCGCUGAUCGUGCCUGCUUCGCCGUCGUCUACCGCCGCUCGUCUUUCUGAGACGGCUCCGUCGCCCGUGGGUCGUGUUCCCAUCCCCGGCCAUCGGCAGCGCCGUCACCACGGCCUUCUGCCUCAUCUCAGGCACAACUUCAUCCGGGAAGAGGCGAAGGGGCAGCGAGAGGCGAAGGGGUGAGAGGCGAGAGACGAAGGGGUGGCGGCGCCCUCACCAGGCCGGCGGAGGGCCACGGGCGGCGGAAGGGGCGGCGGCGGCUUAUCGCGAUGGAAGGGGUAGACGGGAAACGGAUUCAAGGGGCAUGAGGGAUUCGCAAAAAACCUGCUGGCCGGCGGGCGCUGAAUUGCAAAAUGACCCCUCUUUAAGCCUAUCCAUUGGAUUAGCAUAUUGUGGUCAUGAUUUAGAGUUUUUAAGGUUGCACGGAGUAAAUAUUUUGCACCAGAUACGUUAUUCUUGUGCUGCACCCAGUGGGUUGAGGAUGUUCGACUAUCUGAAGCAUAACUAAAAAAGAAGCACAACCCAAAAUGGGAGAGCGUUUUUUUUUUUCCUUGCUGAAGAACCCAAAUAAUAAGGGUAUGCGUGGACUGCACCUGCACCCAAGUGGCCACAGACCGAGUCCCCUACAGACCGAGUCCCCUAAAAAAAAGAUGAUGCUUUGGCUCCAGCGUCGCUGUUGCGCCAAAUUACAGUGCUUUUGACGCCACUAACUGAGUCAUAUGCCAAGGUUUGCUUGAAAUGCACUCCACCGAAGCAUCUCCAAAAAGAUGAUGAAUUUACAAGGUUGUCAUACACACUUGGGUAGCCCAACAUGGCCCACUGGCCCAUGAAUGCAUCGUUGCAGGGACCAGGCCCAUGAAUGCAUCGUCAAUCAUCCAUUCGCCUUCCCAUCGUUCCGACUUCCGCGCGUGCAGUCUAUCGCCACCUGCCCGGUGUCUCUGCGACUCCGCCUCUGUUCUGUGCCGACGCCAUGCGUCCCAGACCACAAGGCAGGCGUCCGCUGCGGCGCUCCUGCUGCUGCAACCUGCAAAACGCCAAUAGGUAAGCCUCUGAUCCCAUUGCACGUCUCGCGAUGAUUAGAUUAGAUUGAUAAGGGGGCUUUAGCCCUGUCACCUCGGAUGCUAAUUAGGAGGAUUAAAUAUGAGCUAAUUAUAAAACUAAUAGCAGAACCCGUAGGCUAAAUCGCGAGACGAAUCUAUUAAACCUAAUUAAUCCAUCAUUAGUUAAUGGUUACUGUAGCACCACAUUAUCAAAUCAUGGACUAAUUAGGCUUAAUAGAUUCAUCUCGCGAUUUAACCUAGAUGCAAUUAGUUUUGCAAUUAGUUUAUAUUUAAUACUUCUAAUUAGUGUCAAACAUCCGAUUAGCCCUUGACUCCCAAACCCCCCUAAAUCAAUCAAUUGACAGUUGUGACAACUAUAUGCAGCUACGAGCUAAGCGCACCCCCUCUAAUUCGCUUUAGCUUCGCCACUGGCAAUAAGCCACAACAGAGAUUAAAGGUAGAGUCCACAGUUCCAUAAACCGUUCAAACAAUGUCAUGUGUCAUUUCAUAAAAUACUGCAGCUGUUCAACUAUUACUUUUUUUACUGUAGAUAAUAGUCUAAAAUCGUGAAGCACCUGCUUAUACGCUACUGGAUGGGAACACUGUCCGGGCCAAUGUUAUAUCGAUGCUCAAUUAUAUGCCGCUCAACACUAUCCGACAGAUCCAGAGUUUGGUGGACCAAUGUAGGCCUGGUUUGGUUUACGCCGCUUUUUUUUAGCAUUCGUCAUAUCAAUGUUUAGAUACUAAUUAGAAGUAUUAAAUGUAGACUAUUUACAAAACCCACUACAUAAGCGGAGGCUAAACGGCGAGACGAAUCUAUUAAACCUAAUUAGUCCAUAAUUUGACAAUGUGUUGGUACAGUAAAUAUUUGCUAAUGAUGGAUUAAUUAGGCUUAAUUAGGCUUAAGAUUCGUCUCGCCGUUUAGCCUCCACUUAUGUAAUGGGUUUUGUAAAUAGUCUAUGUUUAAUACUUCUAAUUAGUAUCUAAACAUUCGAUGUGACACAUGCUAAAAAUAAGCAAACGGAACCAAACAGCCCCUAUAUCAAUGCUCAAUUAUUGCGCGGUAGGUACAUGUCGUGGUUCCCAUUACUCGAUACCUUGCCUGCAUAGAGCUUGCUUUCGCGUACACCGCCUGCUCAUCGCCUCCAUUUGUGUCUUGCUUGACAGAGGGAGGAGUCUUCUGUCUUGCAAUAACACGGGACACUUCAAGUUCUGCGAUCAAAUUCUAGUCUCGUUCAAGUUUAGCGUCUCCCUUGGGUGAGCACAAUUUUACUAGUAUGAUGCCCAUUAAUGUUCUCCUCUGGCAAUCUUAGAAUCUUUACUGCGAUUGUGUGACAUCUCUGAAUUCAUGGUUUCCUCAUCCUGCGCGCAGCAACCUCGUACUUGAAGCACACAUCGGUCUGAGGUUCGUUGAGGUUGUGACGAUGGAGGCCGCCGUCAGUGCCGCGCGGUGGGUGCUGGGCAAGGCCCUGGCGCCCGUCACUGACGGCUUGCUGGAGGCGUGGGCGGCCAGCGCCGGGCUUGGCGACAACAUCGACGCCCUCAAGAUGGAGCUCCUCUUCGCGCAGGCCAUGCUGGACAAUGCCCGCGGCAGGGAGCUUCACAGCCCCGCGCUAGCGCAGAUGCUGCACAAGCUGCGGCAGCUGGCCCAGGGUGCCGAUGACGUGCUCGACGAGCUCGACUACUUCCGCAUCCAGGACGCGCUCGACGGCACCUACCACGCCGCUGACACGCCUGCAGACGGGUGCGCAAAGAGUCUUGCUCUCAACACUCUCUACACUGCCAGAGCUCUUGCCGGUAAACUCAAGCUCACCUCCGGCUCGAAGUUGCCAAAACUGAAGUUUGAUAGGGUGGAAAUCUCUAUAAAGAUGAGGGCUAUCAUAGAGCAGCUCAAGCCCAUAUGCGCGAAGGUAUCCACCAUUCUGAAUCUAGAGCCAUUAGGCUCCAUCGCAAUGAACAGACCCAUAACCAGUUCAGAAAUCAUAGAGCCUAAAUUGUAUGGGAGGGACAGCCAGAAAAAGAGAAUUGUGGAUGCCAUUGCCUAUGGUGAAUAUGCUGCCUACAAAUUUACUGUACUUCCAAUUGUUGGGCCGGGAGGUAUAGGGAAGACAACUUUCACACAGCAUGUAUAUCAAGAAGUGAACAGCCAUUUCCAGGUCUCAGUUUGGACAUGCGUCUCUCUUAAUUUCAAUGCAAAUAAGUUGUUGCAAGAUAUUGUGGACAAGAUUCCAGAAGUUAAUGGUGAAAGCAAAACUGAUAGCGUCGAAGAGCGAAUAGGGCAAAGAAUAAAAUCUAAGCGGUUCUUGCUUGUCUUGGAUGAUAUGUGGACAUAUCAUGAGGAUGAGUGGAAAAAACUGUUAGCUCCAUUUAGAAAAGGGGAGGAGAAAGGUAAUAUGGUUAUGGUCACAACUAGAAUCCCAGAGGUAGCAAAAAUGGUUAAGACAGUCGACAGUUGGUUAGAACUGGAGCGUUUGGAAGGUGAAGAUUUCCUGCGUUUCUUUGAAGCAUGUGUUUUUGGUGAAGAACAGUCAUUUAAAGAUCAUGAUGCAUUGCUUGGCGUUGGAAAACAAAUACUGGACAAGUUGAAGGGUUUCCCGUUGGCAGCAAAAACUGUUGGGAGGUUACUAAGAAACCAACUUAAUUUGGACCAUUGGAGAAGAGUACUGGAUAGUAAAGAAUGGGAACUUCAAACCAGUGAUAAUGACAUUAUGCCAGCACUAAAGCUGAGUUAUGACUAUCUCCCUUUCCACCUUCAACAGUGUUUUUCUUAUUGUGCAUUGUUUCCCGAAGAUUAUGAAUUUCAUAGCAAAGAGUUGAUUCGCUUGUGGAUAGGACUAGAUAUUCUGCACUCACAUGAGAAAAACAAAAAAGCUGGAGAAGUUGGAGAGAGCUACCUAGAUGCAUUGGUUAGUUAUGGAUUUUUUAAGGAAAGCAAAAGAGGAUAUGGCUCACCAUGUUAUGUUAUCCAUGAUCUACUACACGACUUAGCAGUGAAGGUUUCAUCAGAUGAAUGUCUUAGCAUAUAUGGUUCAAACAUGGGGUCCAUCCAAAUCCCCCCUUCCGUACGUCACAUAUCUAUUGUUAUUGAGGACACAAUUUUGGAGGAUAGAAUCCGUUUUGAAGAAUGUAAAACAGGUCUGAGUGCACUGGAUAAAAGAUUGAAUGCUGAGAACCUACAUACAUUGAUGUUAUUUGGAAAGUACCAUGUAAGCUUUGCCAAGGAAUUUCGUGAUUUGUUUAGGGAAGCAAGAGGCCUUCGUGUUGUAUUUUUGUCGAAAGCAUCACCAUCCUAUGAUGUCGAUAAUUUGCUAUGCAACUUCUCUAAGCUUGUCCAUCUUCGCUAUAUACGGAUUGCAAACUCUGUGUUCUCAGUAAGACUACCUAGUAGUACUGCAAGAUUAUAUCACUUGAGGAUCCUUGAUGUAUCAGGAUGCAAUAUUGACUCGAGAUUCCUGAGGGAGAUGAGAAACCUUACAAAAUUACAACACUUUCUUACUCUUGAUGGCAGCGUUCUCUCUAGAAUUUUUGAGGUAGGGAAACUAAAACUUCUACAGGAGUUAAGAAUAUUUGAAGUCAACAAGGAAAAUUCUGGUUUCGAACUAAAGGAGUUAGGGCAACUGCAAGAGCUCCAUGGAUCACUUAGCAUUUAUAACCUUGAAAAGGUUCAAGCAAAGGAAGAAGCAGAGCAAGCAAAACUAAUACAAAAAUCCGAUUUAAAACAGUUGACAUUAAGUUGGGAUAGUGAGCGGUCCGAUGACAGUAAGAAUCCUAAGAGGGAAGAGCUUGUCCUUGAAAGUCUGAAACCACAUAGCAAUCUUCAGGAGCUAUGCAUUAGAGGACAUGGAGGAGCUAAAUGUCCUACAUGGCUAGGCACCAACCUUAAUGUUCAGAAUUUAGAAUCUCUUUGUCUUGAUGAUAUAGGUUGGAAAAACCUUCCACCUAUAGGAGGGCUGUGGAUGGUCAGUGGCCAUGCUGAAAACUGCCACGGCCAAAGUUUCAAGAAUUUAAAGAGGCUAGAAUUAGUCAAGAUACCAACGCUGGAAAAAUGGGUUGGAAAUGACCCUUGUAAAGUCUUCUCUCACUUGGAAGAGCUGGUCAUAAGAGAUUGCUCUGUACUCAUGGAGUUGCCAUUUUCACGUUCUACUUGUGAACACCGAGAUAAAGAGGUGAACCGGAAUUGGUUUCCCAAGCUAAGGAAGCUAGAAAUUGUUAACUGCCCAAACUUAUUGUCCUUGCCUCCUUUACCUUGGACUCGUGCUCCAUGCUCCCUCAAAAUAGGAGGACUGGGUCUAUGUUUUAAGUAUCUAUUUUACAAAAAAGAUGAAUCUGGAUGUGACUUGGUAGUCGAUGGCUUGGGUGGUGCAUGGCUGAAGGUGUUGGACUUUGACAACCUAACGGAACUAAAAUCUUUGGAGGCCCAGAGAUGCCCUCCUCUGCCUCCGGAUCACCUCCAAAUGCUUUCAUCCCUGAAGACCCUCAAUAUCAUGAAUCCGAAUAGUGGCCUUUGGCCAGUUGCCGGCCAUCAGUUUCCAGUGGAAAAUCUGGUGAUCACAGAGUGUGGUGCUAGUGGAAAGGAAUUUACACAGCUGCUCUCUCAUUUUCCAAAGCUUUCUACUUUGCGUAUAAGCGGUUGCCAGAAGAUAACAAGGGCGGGUGUCAUGGGGAAGCAAGCAACGAUAAAAUCCGGGCCAUCGCCAUCAGCUUCAGCUAAAAUGGAGGGCGUGCAAAUUGGUCAGAACCAGCUAAUACAUGCAAGAGGAGACAGGGAAAUAGCAGUGGAAACAGAGGAUGAAGAAGUACUGCUCUUGCCUCCCAACCUACAGAGACUGGUAAUGAUCGGGUGCCCAAAUCUGAUUCUCAUCAAUCUUCCCUCCGAUUUGCACUCCCUCCAAUCUUUGGAUAUUGAGGCGUGCCCCAAGUUCCUCUCCUCCUAUUCAUCGUCGUCCACUUCGUGUUUCGCCUUCCCAUCCUCCUUGCAAUUUCUCCAUCUUCAUGGUUUGGAGGGCAUGGAGGCAGCAGCAGUGCCUCUCUCAAACCUUGUCUCUCUCACAAGGCUACGGAUAGGGAAGUGUGCGGACUUAAGAAGCGAGGGCUUGGGAACUCUCCUCACCCAAGGUCAACUCACAGAACUAAAGGUCUACAGGAGCCCCAGAUUCCUCGUUGACUGUUCCAAGCCAUCAUGGACGCGUGAAGAAGAGCCUCUUCCCUGUUCCUCCAAGCUGCAGGAGUUGACUAGUGACGACAUUGCAGGCGUCCUCACUGACUCCUUCUGCAGCCUCGUCUCUUCCUCUCUUGCCACCUUAAAUCUUGAAUCUAACCACGAUGUGGAACGCUUCACAAUGGAGCAAGUGGAGGCGCUUCUUCUCCUCACCUCCCUCCACGACCUUGAGUUCAGUUGGUGCGGCAAGAUGCAGUACCUUCCUGAUGGGCUACAUAAACUUGACAAACUCAAGGCAUUAUCCAUCGAAGGCUGUAAAGCUCUCCGGUCGCUGCCCAAGGACGGCCUCCCCAGUUCGCUGCAGCAUCUAUGUAUCGGCAACUGUCCUGCCAUCAGGUCACUGCCAAAGGUAGACACACUCGCCAGUUCUCUGCUCUCAUUAAGGGUCAAUGCCAGCAACAGCAAGGAGCUAAUAAGACAGUGCCGCAAGUUAAAAGGAACAAUUCCAAGAGUCUACACCUGACUCAUCCAGGGUAAGAGAUGCUUUUGCUUGUUUGUUUGUACUACUUGUGCCCAGUUCCUGUCCACAACCUUUCCUUACGUUUGCAUAAUCUCGUCUGCACCAAAGCACGGAGUAUAUUGCAACUCUGUUACGUUCGCUGCGGUUCCUGUUCCCAUCUGAAUAACCCGGAUCACUUGUUUGAACACGUUUUGUGCAGGUCUCAUGUUAUACGAAUCGAGCAUCUUUCUUGUCUUGUCAGAUUUCAUCUGCAAAUAUAACUUUUCGAGUCACACUAGAAGUCUAUCCACCGAAGAUCAAGUUCAACACCAGCUUCUCGAGUUUGUAUGUAUCUGCAUAAGGUUAUUACUUAUUAUUUUAUUAGUAACAUUCCUCUGUGUUUCUUUUAACUUUUCGCAGUGUUUCCACUAACCAAUUUAAUUAUGACAUUACCAUCUCAACAGGAUGCCCUCUGGAAUGUUAAUGUGAAGACCUCCACAGUUGACCUGCCUGGUGCAUAUACGCAGACUUACUCAACUGUUGUGGUUACCUUCUGUAGCUAUGUCGUAAGCUGCCAUGAUGCAAUCGACCUUGUAGAUUCACUGAACACCCAAGCUGAAUUUGUCUGCACGCCUCCAUCUCUUGAGCUCACUGCUCACCCAACCUAUAAAUGAUAGCUCUGCUGAUUGAACGGCAUUCAUCAAAACACAAAGGUACUAUGCAUUUUGUAUUUAACAGUUCAAAUGAAGCCGCACCAAUUUCUAACUGCCAAGCUUGUUGCUUCCUUGCAGAUACCUCAUAGAAUCCUGCUGAAAAAUACAGUGGUUUGUUUCAGAUACUCGUGCAGCAUAAAGUUGACGUGAUACGGCUAUUAUGUGUACCCAUUACCAUCAUAGAUGUGGUACGGGAAAACAAGUAAUCUAGAGUCACAGCUUCGUUUGCGUGUUUUAAUUAGGGGUGGUAAAGAGCUCUCUAAUUUAACCUAGCAAAUUUAAGGAUCGGACUCAAUACGUACCAUGCAAAAUACUAUAUGAUUUUGUGCUAAAUACUAUUCUCUCCAUCCCAAAUUAUCGAUAAUCUAGUUUGCUUUCUUUGUGGUGGCAUUGAUCAUUGUACAGGUUCUUGAAGAGGGCUAGGCGAGUAAAAUGAGGGAAAAGCAGCUCAAUCGAAAAAAAAAAGUAGACUCGCCCCCUAACUAAAAAAGUCACUAUCAUUGAAUUCCUAAGCAAUUGCAAACCAACAUAUGCGAUUCAUUCCUGUAUUGAUUAUAGCGAACAACAAACUCUUCGCCUUUAAGUAUACAAUGACCACACUGAUUAUCUCAAGGGGAAAUUCCUUUUGAUCGCCAUUUUGAGGUAUUCAUCGUUGGCAGCGAAUUACGGGCCACCUCGCUUGAUGGGCUUUACUCUUGUGCAUUUUUGGACCUCUUAUUUUUUUUGGACAUCUUGUUUAAUAGUCAGCCAUUAUAUUAUACUUUUUUUUUGAAUAAAGGCAUGCGUUUUAUUAUUUAUUUUAUUCAAACUCGCGGGACUACAUAGCAUCUCGCAGUUUGUCUUAUAUGCUGCGUUUCUUUGAAGCAUUACGGUCCACUUCACAUUAUUAUAGGUUUGUUCCUGCCUGGUAAUGAGUAGCUACUCUCACGUAUUUUGAUAAAAAAUGGCAAACAAUUAUGUGUGCAGUAUUCCGCAAUAUUUUUAUGUUAACAGUUUCUCUGGUUGGUAAAAAAAAGACUGCGAGCUUAAAGUUUCGUCAUUUGUCAUUCACAGCUGGUCAAAUGCCGCGUGGUAUAAGACUACAAGAUAUGCUAAACGGAAAAAAAAAAUCACGCACCGAUCAGUCGAUUACGGCAAGCAGUGUGGGCGGCAGGGCUUGCUUUGCAGUGCAGCUGCCCUUGCUUGCUCCUUAAUCUUCGCUCUCAGUUUCAUUUUGACAGGACGCCACCGGCUUCGGAAACACCACACCGUAAUCUCCUUGCUCUGGUCAAGGACAUCAUCUCGUUUUCAGCCAUCCAACAUGUACUUUGUUCGAUUAUCUCGGAUAAACAAUCUGAGAGAUUCGCUUGUGUCUUGGAUGCCAAGAAUGAGCAUGGCGUGAACCAGCUAGAGCACACAGUCAUGCAUGCUAGCCGCCAUGCGAGCGUUCAAAGACAUCGAUGACCGCCUACUCGCACCUCAAAUUCAGGGAACCGGACUUGAAAUCCGCCUAUAUAUACACAAUGAUAAUCACGUCGAACUCGCAAUCCAUCCCAUCAAAAGAAUUGCUUUCAACAACCAAAUCAUGGCUAGAACAAGGAUGUCUUCCCUCUGGUCCAUCUUGUUGCUCCUAGCCCUGUCUGCUGCACUGUGCACACGCAGCGCCGCAGCCACCAACGACGACGACGGGAGCUACGGCACGGACCUAGACGCCGGCCGCCGCGCGCGCUCCGCGGCCACGGUCGCCGAGAUCCUGUCGGUGCACAACGAGGCGCGGCGGGAGGUCGGCGUGCCGCCGCUGGUCUGGAGCCCGCAGAUCGCCGGGUACGCCAAGGGCUUCGCGCAGUCGCGGCGCGGCGACUGCGCGCCCCGGCGGUCGCCGCUGUUCUACUUCGGCGAGAACGUCGUCGUUGGGAAGGGCCGGCACUGGAACGCGACGGCGCUGGCGGCGCCGUGGGUGGCGGAGGGGCAGUGGUACGACUACGGGAGCAACUCGUGCGCCGCACCACCGGGCGCCGGGUGCCUGCGGUACACGCAGGUGGUGUGGCGCAACACCACGCAGGUCGGGUGCGCCAGGAUCGUGUGCGGCUCCAACGACACCCUCCUCGUCUGCGACUACUUCCCGCCGGGCAACUACGGCACCGGCAGGCCCUACUGAUCGUCGCCGGCCAGCUGAUCAUGUUGCUCGGUCCGUGCAAAAUAUAGUUGGUUUCCAUGCAUAUGGUCGAGUCAUCGAGUUAUGUUUUACUGUGGAUUAUUGUGUGUCUAUUCGUUGUGUGUUGUGAUUCUUAAGCAUCACCGAGACACCAACGUCCCAUGGACGUACGGUAUGCUGAAAUAAAACUGAGAUUCCAUUGAUUUGCUGCAGGGUCGUAGCUCCAAAUUGGAGGUACCGGAACAAAAUUCAGAAGAACCCUGCUGGUGGUAUUUGCACAAUAACUAAUCGCAGAUGGAAUGCAAAUCAUGGAAAUUCUGAAACGAGAAAUUAAGAACAAAGUGUGAAAGACUACUUAAAUUACAGAACCUCCAACAAAUCUGGCUGAGAACAUUAACUCAUUGCCAGACGAAAUUUCAUGACAAAGCCAUAUGAGAAGCAUGCUCCAUAUCGUUUCAGAAGAUGAUCAAAUGGAUGAUAGAAACACCAAUCUGAUUAUCUGAACUGUCUCACAUAUUUGCUUUCUACAAGAUGAAUACAUGGAUCUGAAUAUUUGUUAGAUCAAAUAGCUGUAGAAUCGGCGAGGAAGCUAGGUCCGAGAAGCUAGUUGGACAAACGGCGAGCUCGAUCUGGUGGGCGGCGGGGUCGACCUGGUGGGCAGGAAUCGGGAGGAGAACGAGGCGGCGGGGAGCUGCAAAGCCGGCUAAUUGGAUUCGGUACAAUAGCAACUUCAAAAGAUCUUUAAAAUUACGGUAAUGCUAUGGUUCGGUCGUCCGUAGGCAUCGUACGCUUACCACAAGAAAUAUCUGACGCUUCCUAUCUAGUCAGUCUACCUUAUCUAUUUCCACUGUUCCUUUUCUUCCCCAUCCUAAUCCCGUGACUUUUCUUCUUCAACCUCCUAGUCCCUGGCUUCCUCCUCCCUUUCACGCUCGCGCCCCGUGCCGCACGGCCAUGGCUGCCUCCCUGGCCGGCGGCGGCGCGCUCCCCCACCCCGACAGCCUCGUCCCCCACCCGCUCCCCCACCCUGGCGUCCUCCUCACCCACCCCGGCGGCACCCCUUCCCCGCACUGCAGCGGAAGCCAUCCAUCUCGUUUUGCCUCUCUGUUUGUGCAGGCCUGAACUCAAGAACCUAGACCCCCUUCCUCAUGCUCGACAAGGUCUCAGUCUCCAAGCCCGCCGGGUUCCCCAACCAUUCCCACAGAGGAUUCGAGACCAUCACAUACAUGCUCGAGGUGCGUGUCCUCUACUCAAGCAAACCUUGUGUUACCUGCCUCUGUUCUUCUACCCCCCACGAGCUGUUCGCUCAAAUGUCUCCUUCUGUGUUGGAUUGAAAUUGUAGGGAGCCUGCACCCACCAGGACUUUGCAGGCCACAAGGGCACCAUCAGGGUAGGGGAUGUCCAGGUCAGCCCAUCUGCUCUCUAAUUGUACUCAUGAUCACCAUGCUCAUGCAGCAGUUUUAUUUCCUAUCCUGAUAUUAUUCCCUGAACUGAAUUCUUCCUUCAGUGGAUGACUGCCGGCCGGGGCAUCAUGCACUCGGAGAUACCAGCGGGGGACGGGGGUGCAUAAGGGCCUGCAGCUCUGGAUCGAGCUCCAGAGCAAGGACAUCAGCCGCGCCUUGAAGGACGGCGUAGAGGUCCGGAUCAUCGCCGGCGAGGCCUUCGGCGUGCGCUCCCUGGUCUACACGCGCACCCUGACCAUGUACAUGGACUUCACCAUGCGCCCGGGCUCCCAGAUCCACCAGCCUAUCCCGGAGGGCUGGAAUGCCUUCAUCUACAUCGCCGACGGCGAGGGCGUCUUCGGCCGGGAGAAGUCGGCACCCGUGUCGGUGCACCUACUGACGGCUCCAUGUUGCGAUAGGUACCUCUUGGUGUUGCAGUAGAGAUUUUUGGAUGUUGCAACAGUUGGCUUUUGAUGUUUCAUCUGUUUGCAACAGUCCAACUUGCUAGCAAUUGGGUGUUGCACCAACUUGUUCACGAUGUUGCAUAUGGUUGUUUUCUUUGUUUCGGCCUCCUUUUCUUUUGUUGUUGCAAUGUUGUAAGAGAUGCUUUUUUGUUGUUGCAAUGUUGUAAGAGAUGCUUUUUUUUUGUUGUUGCAGUACUUGAUUUGGCCGAGAUCACAAAAUUAUUUCUAUUCGAGAUGUUGCAACUUGUGUUUUUUAUUGUUGUAAUGUGUUUAUUUUGAAUGUUGCACGAAACAAUUUGAGAUGUUUCAUGCACGUAAAGGUGUUGCAAAUUUAUCUUCUGAUGAAUGUUGCAUGAAACAUGAUGAAAUGUUGCACAUGGGGAUUUUUUAUCCUUGAGAUGGAUGGCGUGCAUGAGUUCCAAAACUAUUUUUAGUGCAUGUUUUCAUGUUGCAAAUGUUGAUUUUUGAUGUUUCGAUAGUUAUUUUUCAAUGUUGCGACGGAGCGUCCGAUAAAAAAAACUAUCGGACGUCUGGGUGCUAGCACAUCCGAAUCAUCCCAAAACUUUAUUUAGGAAAAAAUAAAAAAAAACUUAUCUCUAAUAGCUCCCCAAUUCUUCCCGUAAAAAUACGUGGAUGCUAAAAAUACCGGAUCCGGUCUUUCCCCAAUCUCCCGAACUGCUCCACGUGUUCCGCAUCGACAGCUACUCAUGGUCCACGACGAUCCCUGACGGUGAGAGCAUCAGCUCACCGUUCACCUCCACGUACUACUACCCGAACGGCACGGACGCCGCCAGGCCAGACUCUGGCUCCAUCUUCUUCUACCUCCGACUCGAUGACCACGAGGCGCGCGUGCGGGCGCAGUACAGGCCCAGCCUGCUAGGUCCCUCCAGCGACGCCGCGUACGAGUUCCCCGCCGAGACGGCCAUCUUCACGGGCCCUGACGACGACGACAACGACUACGGCCGCAUGCACUACUAUGAAGACUACUUCUAUGAGGAUGGGAACGAGAUUGACAAGGAGGUGGGGCCGCCGGAGGAGCUCGGGCGUGGCUACGCCGACUUCAUCAGCAAGGAGACAUCAGCAGUCUGGUGUGGCUUCGCGGCGCUGGGUGUCAGCAUCACGCCGUCGCACCGGCACCGGUGCAAUACAAGUGGGCCGUGCGCUCGAUCCGACGCCGCUCGGGGCCCGCCGAGCCCACGCCUCCGGACUGCAUCGCGGGGAACGGCACCUCCGCCUCCGCCGUAGCGUCAUCACUCUACGCCAUGAAGGGAAAGAAGGGUGUCAACCAGGACGCCAUGGUCGGAGGUGACACCCGCAACCACCGUUUCCCCUUGCGCAGCAAAGAUGCCGAUCGUGCGUGUGCGGGUGAGCCCAAGGAGGAAGAACGAGCCGGGGGUGAUUUUAUGAGAGGAAAGAAGUACAGGUUAUGGCUAGUUUUGAAGCAUCGGGAGUUUAUUAUUGGGGAUCUGCUAUGGGAUGACAUGAUCUUGGGAGAAAAAAUUUUUAGUAGAGCCAUAAUUUUGGGGGAGAUUUUUUUAGACUCUUGGAGUUACUCAUUGGGUUGCUUUUGAAAGUUGUUUAGAUUUAAUAAGCUCAUUCAUCAAAUAAUUUGGUUUGGUUUGGAUUGCUCUUAAGAGGAAAUAGUUUGGGAGUGGUUUAGAGUGGGUUGCAUUAGUUUGAUUCACAAAACAAUUUAAGGAUCGGAUUCUUGAUGUAGGCUUACGUAUAAGUUCAACUAUACUUUUUUGCAUGAAGUAGCUAAUUAUUAAACUAAAUCAUCUCCAACAAAUUUCAAUCAAUUUCUCUCCAACAAAUUUCAAUCAAUUUCGUUAAAAUUUUAAAGUGUGAAAAAGGGAGGUUUUAGUUCGAGGGUCCGACUCUUGACAUGGGACCCAUAUAUAUGUCUAGCUACACUAUUUUGCACAAAGUAGCGGACACUUAAACUGAGUCAUCUCCAACGAAUUUGAUCAAUUUCACUAAAAUUUUAAAGUGUGAACGUGAAGUUUUAAUUUUAGGGUCCGGCUCUUGACGUGGGAUCCACAUGUAUGUUUAGCCAUACUAUUUUACACAAAGUAGUGGGCCGUGAAAUUGAGUCAUCUCCAACAAAUUUUGAUGAAUUUCGCUAAAUUUUUAAGGUGUGAACGUGAGGUUUUAAUUCUAGGGUCUAAUUCUUAAUGCGGGCCUAAAUGUAUGUUUAGCCAUACUAUUUAGUACAAAGUAGUGGGUACUCAAACUCUGUCAUUUUCAACAAAUUUCGAUCAAUUUCGCUAAAAUUUUAAGGUGUGAACACUACGUUUUAGUUUUAGAGUCCAGCUCUUGACGUAGGACCCACAUCUGACUCACAUUUAUUUCAAAUAUAUACAAGUUUUUUUAUAUGAGCUCAUAGGUUUAUAUAGUAAACCCGUGGGUUCUAUCAACCAGUAGAGUGGAUUGACUUGGGUUUAGAUAAUAUAAAUAUGGGGUGAGUUAGGUUGAAAAAAUAAAUUAACUUGAUAUGCCUACCCCAGGGGCGAUUGGGGUCGAUGGGAGUAACGAACCUGUCGCUCCUGUUCGAUUGGGUUCGGUCCGGUUCGAUCCGUCUGUUAAUUUCACAAGCGGAUCGACCCGCUCCUUUGCAGGCCUAUCGUCUUCGCUAUCAUUCCCGUGCAGCAGCGACUUCCCGGGUUUCAGUUCUCUCCAACGGAUGUGUAAAUCUUCUUCUUAGUACUCAAGUAGCUCAUUACAUGCAACAAGGCUAGUUAGUUAUCGAAGAAGCUAUUAGCAUAUCCGCUUGCAGAUGCUUUGUGUCUAAGCCUCGAGCACGUGGGCUCCGUGGAUACAGAAAUAUCAGACGAGAAGUAGUUCGUCCUGCUGCCUUCUAUUCCCAACGGGUUGCAUGCUGCAACUCCGAUCACAAGUUCCCAACUGGUAUCCUCAAUUUCCUCCCAAGCGGUCGUUUACUUUUGGUAUCUCUACCCAGGCUCCUUAAGUACCAAGAUGUGUGUUCACGUCAGGCUACUAACUAUCCUAAGACUACAAAUAUGAAAAUGUAGCCGCUUCCUAUGUUUGUUUGAAGAUCCCCUCCCUUAGAGCCCCCACGUCACCUCCCUUGGAGCCCCCACGUCGCCCACCACCGCGGCCGACACGGGCGGCGCCAUAGCAGCCGCCAACCCCCCUACCCCUCGAGCCCACCUCACCACUGCCGGAGGGGGUCGCUGGAAGCCCGUGCGGCCCCGAAGGACGGUGGCGGCGGGGUAGACUGCCCGGUGCGGGCCUAGGGCGCCGAGGCGGGACGACGCAAGGUCAUGGCCGGGUGGCGUACUGGAGCGGCGGCAGCCCUGAUCCGGCCCUGCCGUGGGUGGAUCCGGCUUCCCCGACCCCAGAUCCGCUGCUCCUGUCCCAUUCGGCAGGCGACGUGCGGAGCGGAGGGCGGCAGCGCGACGGCGGCGGCGCACCGGGUGGUGGACAACGGGCGUGACGACGACAACUGGUGCGGGAAGUGAGGCCGUGUGCGGCGGCACCGGCCCUGGUCACGGGUGAGGACCACGCGCGGCGGCAACCUCGGCAUGAGUGAGGAAACCACGCGCGGUGACGACCGGCAGUGGUGGAGCCCCGCACGGGCAUGGGGCCCGCUGGCACCCCUGUGCCACGGCGGCAGCGAGCGUGGCGCAAGGCCAUGGGGUCGCGUGGCCGCGAGGAGAUGACGAGGAAUGCGUAUGUGUGGGAGGCUGAGAGUGCGCGUGGGCUGUGCACGUCGUCAGGAUGGCCGCGUGGUCCUCGGCGUGGUGUUGGACGACUGCCAGGCGCGAGGCUGAGGAGUUCGUGGCGGCGGAUCUGGUGGCAGCGGCGGACAUGAGGAACAAAAUGGAGGCAUGGCCAUGAGUACCACGCGACGCUGUGCGGGUGCCUUGCCGCCGGCCAUGACGCGGGUGCGUAACGAUACCAUGACGCAGGCGCGUCGACCCGGCGGCGGAGGAGGCGCCACCUAGGAGAACGGCGGGCGGAGGGGGCACUAGCGUGGAGGAUGGUGGUGCGGAGGUGGCGUCGGCACGGAUGAGGCGAUGCACGCAGGGCGCGCACAGAGGAUAGCGGCGCGGAGGGCGGCGCAGGGUGCGGCACGAGGAGGAUGACUGCCGGCGAGGAGGUACGAUGGUGUGAGGAGGUGCGGCGACGCCGCCGCUCCGGAUAAGCUAUCGUGAUUGUGGUAGGGAAUGCCGAGCUGUGAGUGUGCAGGAGUUGGGAGGCUCCGGAUAAAAGCCCUCACUGGCAUUAUUAGCCUGGCGAAGUCGACCUCACGAGGCGAAGUCGACCUGUGGCGGCGGCUUGACUGAUCGACGGAGAUCUUGUGGAGCGGGGCAACAUUGCUCACCACUCUGACAGCGAUAAAAGAAACGGAUCCGUGAUGAGAAGUAUGGUGGCAGGCGUGGCGAGACCCCCACGCAUGGUGUUUCUCUGAGGCGACGAGAACGAGGUGGAGUCCAGCGAUGGAUAAGGUGAGGUCCCCGCGCGUUGUGUUAUCAUGGUGGCGACUGCGAGACAGCCUACGAGAGGUCCGGAUUCGGUGGUAUCACUCUGUCAGAUGGAGUGUGGAGUUGCAGCGGUAUUACAGCGGAGGGUCCCGCAUGGCGGUGACCUUAUCGAUGUGGUGUAGUCUGUUUCUAUCAGUUCCCUAUCGACGUAGGGCCACGCCCGGAGGUUUCGGCGAAUACACGAGCGUAGAUGUUGGUGGGUCCCGCCGUGGCGAGUGGAGUGGUGAGGCCGCAUUGAUGUCCCAAUCCAACAGGUCGGGCGUGGCAGUUCUGAGUUGAGUGGCUACCCGCGUUGAUGUCCCAAUCCAACCGGGCGAGUCUUUUUUGUUUUUCUCUUCUUUUCCUUUUGUAUUUUUCCAGCAUGGAACUCCUUCAUUUUUAAUAUAAUAAUCGGCAGCUCUCCUGCUCAGUUAGUUUAAAAAAAAACAAAUAUGAAAAUGGCACUGGGGAAGACUAACCAGGCAGAGAAUCUGAGUGCUAUACAUACAUACAUACAUAUAUAUAUAUACAUAUAUAUAUAUAUAUACAUAUACAUAUAUAUAUAUAAGGAUAUAUGAGAAGAGGCAAUGCUAUUUGUUUGUAUAUAAGGAAAAGCCAUACUUCACCUAACAGAGGUUCAUGGGUGCACUGCUCAAAUUACCACUUCACUAACAAUCCACAUGAUUGUACCCAGUAGAACAAGAUCCACAGCAUUCAAGCACUUUAUUUGAACGGCAGUCAUAUACACCCACCCAUGUUUUGAAAAAUGUCAGAAAUACCAUUAAUUGAGACGGGGUGAGAUGGUUAUGAGUCACUAAACUUAUGCGCUAAGUAAUUUUUUGGAUGCACAUACAGCAACUUAUUCGAGGCCUGUUAUGAUUGUACUCCAUCACAGAACGCUGACAUGCCACUUGGCAACGUAUAUUUAUAUGUAUACCAUAAAAUGAUGUGAACUUGGUAAUUAUAUUACCGCGCAUGUGGUAGUUUCAAUCUAUAACAGACAGCAAUAGUUAUCUGACAUGAGGAAUACGUAACUUGAAAAUUUAUGAGAUAAACACUAGUAGAUUAAUCCAUGCUCUUAAACAGAUAAGUAGUUUUGGGAACAGAGAGUAGCUCAGUUGGUAAGGUUCCUUAUGACGGAACCUGCUCAUCUGAAUUCGAGUACUCGACUUAGCAAAGGUGCACUGUGUCCGCCGAUAGCGAGGCGUCAGUAGUGAUUUAGUCAAUCUCGAAGAUUUGCCGACUCAGUCUUUCGAAUGUGCUUAUAGAGGUAAGGUUGCGUGCGUGCAUUCGUUGGGGCAAAUAUGUGUGUGUAUGUGAGCGCCUGCGUAUGUAAUGUGUGAUUGAAAAAAAAGACAAGUAGUUUUAAUAGACGAAAGUCUAGGAAUUUCGUAAUAAAUUUGGGACCUACGCCAUAUAAAAAUAUUUGUUACCUAUGCUUUCCUCUUUGUUUUUCAUAUUCUUCGCAUCCUAGCCGUUGUGAAAUUGGACUAAUUCGGUGGAGUGAAUUUGGUUCGAUUCGUAUCAGUGUGAAUGGGGUUCAGAGAAUUGAAAUUGAAGCACUCUAUCUUCCCAUCCAAGUUACUUUAGUUCCUUCCCAUUGAAGUUGGCGCACAGUCGAAACUUGUGUAUACACAUAUGAUGUUCUCUACCCUGCCUCAUUCUUGAGCCAGUCAACAUUUGUUCUGGAGUCCAUCGAGAUCGAACGACUUCUAGCAUAUCGAGGGAGUACAUUAUGCAUCGAUAAGAAGCAGAGUAGUGCCGGAAGUGGUGGAGCUCCACUUCAUUGAGCUAUGUGUACCGGAGAGAAAGAAAGCUCCACACGUGCUUCCUCGCAUCGCUUGGCUGGGAAGGCGGAGGGCGCGGGCUCGUGACACCUGUGUAAAUAGUCUACCAAAAUCCGAUGUAAUAUUCCUAAAAAUUAGAAAUAUCAAAUUGAGUGAAUUUUCAAAAAUUUAAAACUUUUUGUAUGCAUUGUAUGCUCAUUUAAAAAUGGAGGUCAACUUCUAAUCCCUCCUAAAAAUUCCCUAAAUAUAUCUCAAAAUCAUUUUGAAACUUAUGUGCUAGUUUGAUUUGGAUUUUAUUGGGUUUUAUUUGGCUUUCCAAUUUGAGUGUGUUUGAAUUUUGAAUCUGAUUCAAAAUUCAAACUAAAUCUAAAACUAAAAAUAUAAAAACAAAACCUAAACUAACCCAACUAGCACACUAGGCCGACCCGCAACCAAACCGGCCUAGCUUGCUCUAACUCUCCCUCUCUUCCGCACCGGCCCACCUGGCCACCCCAGUCGACCCGCUAGGCUGCCGCAGCCUCGCUCCCUCUCUUCUUCCACCACCAGGUGGGGCCCGCACGUCAGCUGCCCUAUUCCCCUUUCUUCUUCCUCCAGUGAUACGCCUCACGCGCACGGCGCGCGCCCCCGAUGGGACGGGCUCGCCGGCUGCGUCCGCGUCGGCGCGCACUACCAUACUCGUGACCCCUCCCCCGCUCCUCCGCUUUUGCACUGGAGGCCGUGGAUGGCCGCCACAUCGAGCUGCCGCGCCAUCGUGGUCACCCACUCGCCGGUGCUACGCCCCCGAAACCUUAACCCUAGCCGCCUUGCCGUGCCUAUAAAAGGAGGCCAAGCCCCGGCCCUCUCCAUCCACCCGGGGUUCUCCCCAGCCGCCGUUGCCAAUUUGAGAAAAGAGAAGGGGAGGAGGAGGAGAGAAGAGAGGGGGAUGAGAUGGGAGGAGAAGAAGGAAGGAGGAGAAAGAGGCCGCGCCUGAGGAGAAGCCAGAGCGCUGCGCCUGGAGGAGCUGCCGUCGCCGUCAUCCGCACCAAGGAGAUCCGCAAGUCACCACCUCUUCGUCAAGCCGACGUCCAUCUUCUUCGUUGACCAACAGUGAGCUCCACCACCUCCCUCUCCCUCACUCUUUCCUGGCCUUCGCUGCCGGCUCCCUUGAGCACGAGCACGACUGGCCGCCGACGUCACAUGCUUGGCCCCUCCAUGGCCUUGUCAUGCCGUGGGAUCGCGCGUGCCUUGGACGUCGGGUGUUUCUACGACCCGGCCACACUGCUGGCAUGUCCCCGGGGCUAGACCCUGCCAUGCCGCCCACGCUGGCGCUCGACAUCGUUGCGCUGCGCCGCCACCUCGCAAUACCAACCCGUGUGCGCCCGCAGCCUCGCCGUACCCAAAGCCUUUGGCCGGGCCACAACCCCGCGCCGUGCCACGCCGCGUCGCCAUCCCGCGUGGCCUAGGCUGCGCCUUGACCAAGGCCGGACCUUUGGCCCGACCGGCGCGCCGUGCCGCUGCUCCACACUGCACCGUGCCGCGCGUAGUUGUCGCGCUGCACUUUGCCAUGCUGCGACGUCACGGCAUGCCGUGACGUCGUGGGUGCGCGAUAUUCCUUGCACUUUAAAAAAAAUCAAUGCAAUGCUAAAUAGAACUCCUAGCUUAUGUUUCAUCUAGCAUGUCUUGCCCUUCUUCUAUUCCAUUUCGCAAAUAAACUAAAAAUUGGACAUAUUGGUUUACACUAAUACAACUGAACAUUUUAUUUGUGUCUGAAUUUGUUUUGGCUUAGAACAUUUCUUCAAUCACCAAAUUUGUCAAUCUUGUGUAUUAUUGAUCAUAACCGGAGAGAAUUGGGCUUUAGUCCCGGUUGGUAGGGUGCAAAUAUCCCGAAAAUCCAUCCGGGAUAAACCAACCGGGAUAAAAGGGGGGUCUUUUAUCCCGGGUCACUCAACCGGGACAAAAGACCCCCUUUUAUCCCGGUUGGUAAUACCAACUGGGAUAAAACGGGUCACCACGGCCGGCGCUGCAAAAAGAAAAUCCCGAGCUCCCAUGAGGCCCCCCACACGCGCACGUCACAAGUCACAAGUCAUGCGAUUUUUCACGCGAAAUAUGUAGCUUCCUUGCGCGUAGCUUCCUUGACAUCCCACCUACACACCACAUCUGAGUAUGUAGGGGAUGCUAUCCUUUUGUAUUAACUCGUGGAGGACCUUUUUAUCCCGGUUGGAAACACCAACCGGGAUAAAAGGGGGGUCUUUUAUCCCGGUUCGUGUUUCAAACCGGGAUAAAAGGCAUCUCAGAGUCUUUUUUUCCCACUAGCCUUUGCAACCGGGAUAAAAGGUCCCGGUUGGUGAGCCCCCCACCAGUGACCGAGUUUUAGUCCCGGUUGGUGAACCUUUUAUCCCGAGCCAACUUUAAAUCGGGACAAAAGGGGGCGCAUGGAAAGCCAAUUCUCUACUAGUGCGGAGAGAAAGGUAAGUCCUCUAAUUUUAUCACACAGAAAAGCAUUAAGCUUCACCAUAACUUUAAUUUGUUCCUUUGUUCUUGCGUUCUGCAAGAAUCAUAUUAUAGUGAACUAGUUUUUUUUUAACUGCAAUAUAUCUACUAGCCUAUUCAUAGAAACUGCAAAACGCAUAUUUAUGAUAAAUUAAGUAUCCAUAUAAUGACAUAAUUCUCUCUAUCACUCUUAUGUUCAUGUGAAACUAAUUGCCAGGUACGUUAUAAAUGCAGGAGAUAGUACUGAAGAGUUACCUACCGUACGUAGAAAGACCAAUUACAGUUCUCUCUAUAUAAGUCGACAAGAAUAUAGUAUGAUCUGCAGACUUGACAACCAUGUCUUCCUUAACCUACCUCACCGUCCUCUCACUGCUAGCUCUGGCGGCCUCGCCGCCCUCGGGCGCCUCCGCCGACGUCGCGGCCCCAUCCCCACGCCGCGCUCCUCGCGGCCCGGCCAUCGCCGCGCAGUUCCUGUCCUUGAUCAACGCCGUGCGCGCCGACGCCGGGGUGCCGCCGCUGUCGUGGAACGCGACGGCGGCGCAGCGGGCCAAGCUGCACGCGAGCUGGCUCCGCGACUCGGCGGGGUGCGACCUGGACCAGAAGGAACGGGCCCCCGUACGCGUGGAGAUGGGGACGGCCAUGACCUGGUACCGUGGCUACGACGGCCGCCCGACGCCCGCCGACGCGGUGGCGUUGUGGCUGACCGAGCGGCCGUGGUACGACCGCGCCGCCGACACGUGCGCGGCCGGACAAGAGUGCGGGAACUACAGGCUGGUGGUGAAGCCCGAGUGGCGCCAGCUCGGGUGCGCCCUGGUGGCGUGCCCGUCCGGCGGCGCCGUGGCGGCGUGCGCGUACCGCAGGGGGCUGGGGACAAAGUGAUGUGACAUGACGAACUUCUUCCAGCUUCUUGUACGCAUUUCCAAACUUUGAAAGAUACUGUUACCACCCAUUUCCGAAUAUUCUAAAAAUAUAAAUAAAUCGGCACCAUUGGUGUGCAAGGGUAACUAAUAGAUCGUCAUAAGAUGACUAUAUCAUGACCAUAUGUUCCCAGAAAAAGGAAAAGCAGACGACCGAAUCAUUUUUAUAUGUUUCAUUCAAUAUUCAUGCAAAUCGUCGUAAAGCAAGAAAAUACCCGCCCGCAACAGUUUAACAUGUUUUCGGCAACGUUUUGCAAAUAAUCAUACUCUUCAUUCUCCAAGCAAGAGCCCAUCGCAACAUUCAUGGAAGUCACCAGCAACAACAGGAAGCAUUGUCUGCAAGAUGUACAUUUCAAACUACAAAAAUAUAUCAUGAAAAUUCCAUAUCAUGUUGUCACAUUUGAAGCUAUAAAUCCAACACUCAUAUUCUAUUUUUCUUACUUUUUCACAAAAACCAAUCAUUAAAAAAAAUCUCAUUCAUAUUUUUUUGAGAGUAAAAAAACUUAGAAAGGCCACAUGACACAUAGCCCAUUUGGCCCAAUCGCCGCCCCCACACCUCCGCCGUCUUCGAGCUUGAAAAUUCUAAAGCCACCGUCGCCGGGCGGCCUCCCCUCCCCCCACCCUUCCCUUCCCUCCUCCGAGAUGUCCUCGCCGCAAUCCCUCCUCCUCCUCCUCCCCUCCUGUCUACCACCCCCACCUCCCCUCGCCCGCUUCGCCCCGCGCCCGCUCUCCUCCCCUUCCCUCACCGCCCUCCAAUUCCCCCGCCUAGCCGCCAAGCUUUCCCCGCCGGCCCUCGCCGCAUCGUCCCCUCCACCCGGCGGCUUCCGCGGCAGUGGUGACGCCGGCGGCAGCGAUGGGGGAGGCGGAGGUGACGGCAGGGGAGGAAUGGACCCUCCCGACCCCGGCGACGGGUGGUGGCGGCGGUGGCUCCAGGCCCUCCACCCGGAGUUCCUCCUCCUGUUCCUGCUCCUCCAGUCCGGCGCCGCGUCCGCACUCGCUGAGGCCCUCGGCGCCACCGGGGAUGGCGCGGGGGGCGUGUGGGAGGUGAGAGGCGGCGCGCGCACGCGGCUCGUGCCGGACCCGACCUGGACCUCCUAUCUCAUCGCGGGGGACGACGGGUCGAAGCGGGAGGAAGGGGAUGGCAAGGGCGGAGGCUCCCGUGUGGACGUGGCCGCGCUGCGGAGGCAGCUGGAGCGGUCGUGGCGGCGCUGCGCCGAUGUUGCUGUCCAGCUGCUGCUCCCCGACGGCUACCCGCACAGCGUCAGCAGCGACUACCUGAACUACUCGCUGUGGCGCGCCGUGCAGGGCGUGGCCAGCCAGAUCAGCGGGGUGCUUUCCACUCAGGUACCGGUUCUCGUCCGAGCAUCUGUGGCAAUUAUCUGAAGCUGAUAGGUGAAGUGUAGCGUUUUUAUUCCCUGAAUUGUAUUGUUCAGGCUCUUCUCUAUGCGGUUGGGUUAGGGAAAGGAGCGAUACCCACUGCAGCUGCGGUGAAUUGGGUGCUGAAAGAUGGGCUCGGAUACUUGAGCAAAAUCAUGUUGUCCAAAUUCGGCCGGCAUUUCGAUGUUAACCCCAAAGGCUGGAGGCUGUUUGCUGAUCUUCUGGAGAACACGGCUUAUGGGCUCGAAAUUCUGACUCCAGUGUUCCCUCACCUGUUUGUUCCGAUUGGGGCGGCUGCUGGAGCUGGUCGCUCGGCAGCUGCUUUGAUACAGGUUAGACUUAGUUUGGUAGAGUAAACUACUGCUCGCCUUUUUUGUUAGGAGUAAACUGCUGCUUUAAUUUAUCAUCUUUCAACAUUGACAGAUUAUGUAUCAUGCUGCUGUUAUUUAUCUUAUGUGAAUAGGAUGAUGCAAUGCAAUGGUUUUAAUACAGGAAGUUUUCUUGUCUGCAGGCUGCCACCAGAAGUUGUUUCUAUGCUGGAUUUGCAGUCCAAAGGAACUUUGCUGAGGUGUGCUUAUCCUCGUAUGUUUCGUUUAUUAUUAAUUAAGCAGACCCUGAUAACUUGUUUUCUAUUCAUUGUGCAUCAGUCUAUUAAAUCAAAUUAUAGUUUGUAUGUUCAUUUAUCUACUUAGUCAAUGUGAAAUUGUACCUCAACAUCAAAUGUUCACCUUAUAGGCAAAAUUUAUCUCCCAUAGAUCUUCCUGCGCCCAUCCAGUACAUUGAUACAUGUCAUAGCACCAUCCCCUCCCCUCCCUCUAGAACCAUGUUGAGCAGCAUAUGAUGGUUGAGAAUAACUAGCUAGAUAGCUAGAAUUAGCAUGGCCAAUUUUCUCAUUUACCGGCAUGUUUGCUGAAUUCUCACUGAUUUGGCAAUAACUAUUACUAUAAUAAGGAGCCUAAUUGCGAGCAUUGACCUUAUAAUCUAUGGGAUUGCACAGAACACUUAUGUCACAAUCAUUAUCAUUAGCCUUUCUAAGUCAACACCACAAUAAUCGGCUCUAACUGAGACCAUGUGCGAAUAAGAUUUNNNNNNNNNNNNNNNNNNNNNNNNNNNNNNNNNNNNNNNNNNNNNNNNNNNNNNNNNNNNNNNNNNNNNNNNNNNNNNNNNNNNNNNNNNNNNNNNNNNNNNNNNNNNNNNNNNNNNNNNNNNNNNNNNNNNNNNNNNNNNNNNNNNNNNNNNNNNNNNNNNNNNNNNNNNNNNNNNNNNNNNNNNNNNNNNNNNNNNNNNNNNNNNNNNNNNNNNNNNNNNNNNNNNNNNNNNNNNNNNNNNNNNNNNNNNNNNNNNNNNNNNNNNNNNNNNNNNNNNNNNNNNNNNNNNNNNNNNNNNNNNNNNNNNNNNNNNNNNNNNNNNNNNNNNNNNNNNNNNNNNNNNNNNNNNNNNNNNNNNNNNNNNNNNNNNNNNNNNNNNNNNNNNNNNNNNNNNNNNNNNNNNNNNNNNNNNNNNNNNNNNNNNNNNNNNNNNNNNNNNNNNNNNNNNNNNNNNNNNNNNNNNNNNNNNNNNNNNNNNNNNNNNNNNNNNNNNNNNNNNNNNNNNNNNNNNNNNNNNNNNNNNNNNNNNNNNNNNNNNNNNNNNNNNNNNNNNNNNNNNNNNNNNNNNNNNNNNNNNNNNNNNNNNNNNNNNNNNNNNNNNNNNNNNNNNNNNNNNNNNNNNNNNNNNNNNNNNNNNNNNNNNNNNNNNNNNNNNNNNNNNNNNNNNNNNNNNNNNNNNNNNNNNNNNNNNNNNNNNNNNNNNNNNNNNNNNNNNNNNNNNNNNNNNNNNNNNNNNNNNNNNNNNNNNNNNNGCAUACCGCCCCCCCAUAGUCCCCCCCCCCCCCCCCGAAAAAAAAAAAAAAAAAACAUUUCCUACAACCCACUAGUCUGAAUCCCUUCCACUUUUGUUCGUACUAGGAAAAUAAAGAAUCACACUAUCAUAUGAACACUUCCGAUAUUAAAUUCAGUAAGUACAUUGUAUGCCUAUUCAUUACAUUUUCAUCUCAGUGACUAAAAUGACAUGAAUAUUCAGGUUAUUGCAAAGGGUGAAGCACAAGGAAUGGUUAGCAAGUUCGUUGGCAUAGGGCUUGGCAUUGUGUUGGCUAAUCACAUUCAUUCAUCUGUACCAUUAGCUCUUAUUUCAUUUGCUGGAGUUACUGCUGUCCACAUGUAUUGCAACCUUAAGUCUUAUCAAUCAAUUCAGCUGAGAACACUGAAUCCGUACCGUGCAAGUAAUUUGAUUUCUUCACUGUUAUUUAUCUCAAUUCUUCCCUUAUUUUUAUUGACCCUAUAUGGCCACAACUUGUGUAGGGAUGAUAUUAUGUAAUCAAAUUGGCUACUUUUUCAUCUUAAUUUCUUUACUAAGCUAGAUAUGGAAUAUAAAAAGUUCAACAGAUGUAAAAACUGACGGUUUAUUUCUGAUAAAUGGUUGAGUGAAAUGGUAAACAUGGAAGGUACAUUCGGUAUAUUUCUUCAGUCAAAAAUGUGUCUAUUUUAUUCAAUGGAUAACAUUAAACGCUGGAAGCAUAUAUUUAGUACUGUAGUGAUAUUUUGCUAAAAUAAUACUCUCUUUCUCAUACUCCUGAAUUUCUUUUUUUUUUCUAUAUGGGACAAACUUACAACAAUAGUUAUUUCCUAUCCUUGUAUCAGUUCUGUUCCCUGACAUUUAGCAUUUGUUCUCUAGAAUGAUAAUGUUACAGGAUGUGAUUAAACUUUUUUGUCCUUUUUGUGAAGGCUUGGUGUUUAGUGAAUAUCUAUUAAGUGGACAAAUUCCAUCAGUCAAAGAGGUUAAUGAUGAGGAACCUCUCUUCUUCAAUCUGUCACUUGGUGCUUCACGUAAAGUAAGUCAAGGUUACUUUCAGUAUUGUAUAACUGACCAAUUUUUUCUCCCGACAUUAUAUUCUCAACUGUUAAGCCUUAAAGCUCCUCUUUUCAAUAUUGCCUGAUCAUGUGGCACAUAUAGUUGUGUUUCGUAAUGUCCAAAUUAUAAUUGUGUCCUGUUAGAUCCAACUAGCUUCUGGUUAGGAAUGCUCGAGUAAUAUCAUCAUACAUAUUCAUUUUUUCUCCUUUGUUUUAUUUCAUUUUCUUAUUUUCUGCGGUUUCUUGGAUUUUGCAACAGGAAUGCAAGAUUUUGUCAGCAGAAGCAAAAGAUGCUGCAGAUCAAAUUUGUCAGCGGUUACAAUUGGGUUCUAAACUAAGUGAAAUUAUUGAGAGUAAAGAAGAUGCAUGUGCAUUGUUUGAUCUCUACAAAAAUGAGCAGUACCUGCUUACGAAUUACAAGGGCAAAUUUUGUGUAAGUUCAUCUUGAAGCAAGUAUUCCUAAAUGUCAGUUUUGUUGUGCAUUCAGCUAAUAAUAUUUUACCUGCUUACAGAUUGUACUUAAAGAGGGAUCUUCUCCUGAAGACAUGCUCAAAUCUUUGUUCCAUGUUAGCUAUCUGUAUUGGUUGGAAAGAUUUAUGGGCUUUAGACCAAGCAAUAUUGUCUCAGAGUGUAGGCCAGGUGGAAGGCUUGAAGUAUCCCUGGAUUAUGCUCAGAGAGAAUUCAGCCAUGUCAAACAUGAUGGUUCUGUCGGCGGCUGGGUGAUGGAUGGUCUAAUUGCGAGGCCCUUACCCGUAAGAAUACAAGUAGGAGAUGUUACUCCUUAGGACUUGGCUCAAUUAGCUGUCCUCGUAGAUCAGUCCCUUGGAGAUGUACAGUGCUCUCAUUAUCUGAUCAGUUUUCGGAGAGUUAUAUUUUGUCUAACUGGCAGUGUGGUUUGACACCUUAUCCUUCAGGCUUCUAAACUAACAGUCUUCAAACAUCCUGGUGCUCAAAUAACCUCAGAGUUACCCUCGUCAUAGGAUGGAGCUGGCAACAUCUCUAGUAUAGUUUUUGUUGAGAAUUGAAUUCUUUUUAGUUGGUUUUGACUGUUGAAGCCUGUACUAGUGCUCACAAGAUUAAGAGCACUCGGGCAACUAUAAAGAUUAAAGACAUGAUGAGAGAUUAUCAGUAGGCCACCUUGUGUGCUUGAGAUCAACUUUACUGAUAAUACUUGUCUGGUUAGUUUAUUGGAAUAAAAUCCGCAUUCCAUAAUGUUAGUGCAAUAUGUCUGAGAAUGUAAACUAGUUAAUUUGCCAAGUAUCAAUUUACUCGGGCAACUACCUGCUUGAAUCAUAGUCUGGCAGCUAUUCAUAGCUUGUGCAGGAACAAGUAUUGUACCCUCUGCAACAUGUAGAAAGCCAGUGUGAGCUUUCUUAAUGUGAUGGUGUACAGGUGAAGUUUGCUUCUCCCAGUUUGCUUAGUGAGUUCUUUCUGUUGUAUUCACUGUGUCAAUGCUUUAUAAAUUGGAGUUAGAUGUCUUCUGGUUUGCAGAACCUAGUGGCAAAGCAGAUAUGAAUCGUAUUGAGAGUAUGUUCUGAUUCUUAUCAGUUUUAUUUCUAAGGAAACAAAUGCUGCAUAAUUUACAGUAUUACUAUUAUCCAGCAAAGAGCAAACUUUACAACCCUCUUACAUACUGAACCCAGAUAGCAAUACAGCAAUACUUCUUGAUAAGUAUGAUACAGACCCAGACCAGUUUCGUACGUAGUACAUGUACAUGCACUCUGUACAUACUGAACCCAGAUAGCGAUACAGCUAUACUUCUUGAUAAGUAUGAUACAGACCCAGACCAGUUUCGUAGGUAGUACAUGUACCUGCAUUGACCACUUUGCUGAAGGACCCCUGCAAGGAGAAUUGCCAUAGACUAAGCCAAAGCAUCCGAAGAACUCAGCCUCCAACUGAACCCAGUGACAUGCCUGAACAUUAAGAACCUAUGGAGGUGUGCGGUUGAGUUCUCCCAUCAUCACCACAACCAUGGAAAUCCAAGCUGAGAUAACACUCAGCUUCGCCGCUGCUGCCUUAGUCUCCGCAUCGGUCGAGAACAACGAGGCCAUGGCCAGCAGAUAUCCGACGGCCAGAUUAACCCAUAGAAGGAUGUGUCCGCCUUGCUCCAUGGCGAGAGGCAGGGUGGUUAUGUUCAGAAGGCAAGUCGUGAUCAGGCAGAGUGAAAGGAUAACGUGGUUACUGGUGCCAGAAGAUCUCUGGCUCUGAACUGAACUUGCCAUUUCCUCGUUGCUCUGUGCCUCUUCCUUGGUUGUUGUUUCAACUUUGAACCAGCUACCAAGAGGAACUUUGUGACAGAUAUAUGUGUUUGGGAUUGGAAUGGGGAUGGUGCAAGGAUUGUUCUUAGAAGACUGAAAACAGAGGUAAAAAAAUACUGUUAAAAACAGUUUAAUACAGUUGUGUAUGAAUUUUAUUUUGAAGACAGUGGAUAUUACAUUACUACCUUUGGGUUGGAAUACUUGAGUGCUAGCUAUCCGGUGCAGACCCUCUUCAGGACCCACUUUCCUUGGCCUAUUGAGAAGCACAUGAACAUGUUGGAUUAUAUUAGUUAUGAUUAUGAAAGCAUGAAACAAAACUUAAAGCGACAAACCCUCUUUUUUUUUUCUUUGUAACAGGGGAAUUUCACCGCGACUCUGCACACGACACUACAAAUUCCUCUGAAAUCUUUCUGCUGAUAAUAAGGUGAGAAGAAGCUGACCGAAAACACGCAGAAGCGACAGGUUAUGGCGAUCGGAAGAACUGGCAGCACUCUGUCUCAUUGCCACAAGAUGCAACAAAGAGCGCAGGAGUUAUCAGUGAAAUCCAGCUCCGGUUCUUGGAAUGAUCGGAGGAACACGCAGAAGAAGCACGGGCUGAGCGAUUCAAUCGGCCGGUGCAGCAAGGAACUGGCAAGGAAGGCUGUAGUACUCUGCUUUUGCUCUGGGUUACAGUUUCAUCGUGGAUUCAGUUGGGGGAGGCAUGUGCACCUUAUAUGAAUUUUACCGAGGAUGAGUCAGCAUAAUCAUCUGAAGAUAGGUGUCGUAAGCGCUGGCAUCAUCUAACCCCUCAACACUAUGACGACACUCUGAAUCGUAGGCCGGCCAUCCACAUAGCUCACGCUUGACCUGGAGGAAGUCAUAACUGAACGAGGAAGUUCAUUGCGACGUGUGCCAAGGUCCUGUUCGGCUGGACUUAUAAGCCGGCUGAAAAGCUGAAAAAUGGCUAAUUUGUUGUAAGAGAAAAAUAUUGAUAAGCCGGCUGAUAAGCUGAAGCGAACAGGAACAAACUUACAGUAGCUUAUGAACUGACACGACAAUUUGACUUUGUUUCGAGGUCCAGCUAAAGCUGACGUGGAUCCAAGACCUCUUAACCAAACCUUUGCUUGUACUGUGGAUAGUAUGGCAUCAGACUGUCUCCUAUGCUCCGGCCACAUCGUACCUUAAUUAUUUGUCCAAUCCAAAUAUCCAAUUCAGAUCCAGCGCAGCAUGAGGUGAACUAAAGCUAUGGAAUAGGUACGUACGCCAGUAGACAAAUUGUUGUACUGGAGCAACAAUCCUUGGCCUCGAAGGCAGCUAUAGUUAAAACGACAUAAUACUAGAUGGGAUCAUGGGACGCCACACAUCGUCGCUGGUUCAUUUUGUGAUUAUACUAGGAAAACAUAAAGGAAAAAAAUCCUAUUUUCACCCUACCAUCGCAAAAGUUUAAUUUUUCAACCCAUAAUUACAAAACCGGAUAGUGAGAGUCAUCCAACUAUCAAAAUUGGAUAAAUUUGAUCCUUUGGGUGGUUUCAAUGGUGGUUUUGCAUUUUUUGGAAACUUAAAAAGUUUAGAUUUGAUAAAAAAUUUCGAAAAAACAUCAAAUUGAUGCCAAAAGUUUUUUUUUUUGAAAAUGUAACCUAUCUUUUGGUGCUCUAUUUGGUGUUAUUUGAAUCUUAUUUGUUCAUGUUACUUGUAUUUUAUUACGAGCAAUAAGACAAUAGGAAAAGCAACAAAUGAGAUGUAAACAACUUUAAAUAAAAUACCAAAAAUAGCCUACAUUUUUUUAAAAAGGUACCAAAUUCAUAAUUUUUCUAAUUUGAAAUGAAUUAUUUAUAAUUUUUUUUAUUAAAUCAAACUUUUUAAAUUUCUAGAAAAUGUAAAACCAUUCUUGAAACAACCCAAAGGUCAAAUUUGUCCGAUUUUAAGAGUUGGAUGCUCUUGCUACCCGAUUUUGUAGUUGCGAGUUGGAAAUCAGAUUUUUGUGACAGUUAUAUUAUAAAAAUAUGACUUUUUUCAAACGCAAUCCUGCGAAUUAGUAGGACAUGUGCUUAUGAAGAACGAGGUGGGACGUGAGGGGGGACCCAUUGCAUUCAACCAAAUAAUCUGGUUAGCUUUUUGAAGUUUGCAUCGAGUGAUGCAAUAUCUUGUUUCCUCAAAGCCAACAUCGGAAUCACAAUUUCCUUUAUUUAUGCAAAUAAAAUGAUCCCCACAACAAUGUUGUUUCUUCCCGCUAUAUGUCCUUUAAUCUUUUGCUGAUUUCCUUGUUUAUUUAUCAUAGUUAUAUGGUGCACGAACAAUGGUUAUGUCACUAUAUACUUGCAUGGUCCUAGUUUUUUAAAAGACUGAGGGCCCUUUUGCAACAUAGCAAAAUUUUUCUUAUAUGGCCCGCCCCCAAUUUUCCUUGAAAUUCAUGUCGAACGGUCCAAUCAACGAGUACUUUGAACGAGUUCAAACAUGCACUACGGUGUUGGAAAAAUGGCUCAUCGAUAGGCCCAUUUAAUGGAAUCCUAAAGUUAGUAAAAGUGCCGUGGCAUUCAAUAGUCCCAUACUGUUAGUGUAAGUUGGUGAAAGCCAACUUAAAUAGGAGAGCUUUCUCACUUCUUUGAAUACGUAACUAAAAGAGAGAAUGGGGCUUGGGUUACACAACCGUGCACGCGUAUUCAUGUUCCUUUUCACGUAACCAACCGCAUGACUUGUGACUUGCAACGCAACGAGCAGCCAAGCCAAGUUGGUGUAACCUUUUUGCCGCUUGCAUGUGAUAUUUUGACAACGGUCAUUAGAGGUGAUAAUCACGCAGUCAAUGCCUUAAUCCCGAAUUAACUGAGCGGUUACUACUAACGGUCAUUAGAGGUGAUAAUCACGCAGUCAAUGCCUUAAUCCCGAAUUAACUGAGCGGUUACUACUGCCAAGUAGUGGGGCGAUUUUGUAGCGGAAACAGUCAGCGGAGGGCUGCCGUCUUCUCUAUAAGAAGUCUUGGAGACAUCCAGGAACACACGCACGAGAGAGACCCACGAAUUCCUUCUCUUCUCCCUUUUUACUCUGGUGAAGUGUGCUGUGGUGCUGAGCUGCUGGAUCUCGCUGGCUCUUCUCCUUGGCGUGCACCGAGGAGGAGGGUGAGCGGUAUCUCCGAGCUGUGUUGCCGUCAGGAAGCCUUCACGAGAGGCGGCAAUAAGGUUUCUGGGCAGCACAACUACGUAACCGCUCGAAUCGAUCAACUACGUUCUGCGCUACCUCAUCGACGAUCUGCACUGCAUCGAGUAACCCUGCAUCCGAGUCUACACAAGGAUGGAGCGCUUAAUCUGUAAGUUCAAAGAUCGGAUCUGUUAUAGUUUGGGUUACAUCAUGUGCGGGAAAGUUACGUGCUUAGAAGUUUUGAUUACAUUUGAUUUGCUUAUGUUGUUUUUAUACACCGUUUAUAUUAGUAUGUUGCGUGUUACACAUGUCGGUUUAAUCCUAAAUUUGGUUACCUAGUAGUAGCAAUGAAUUACAUAAUAUGCCUCAUGUACGGUAGAUUUAAACGCAUAUCUUCAACAUACAGUUAUUUUUUUUUUGAAAAAUCAGAUGUGAUCUUUUCUUUAAUUCACGGGCAUUUUCUUUAUUCCAUCUAAAUCGUCUAUCUUACCGUUCGUACCUGUUUGGCACAAACAUAAUUUCGCUCCUUGGUCUAACGGAUAGUCUAUGCCUCUUUUUACUAGUUGUGGGUUUUGUGUUCGGCUGUUUGCAUAUCAGAAAGGUACUGCUCCCAUGACAAAUAAAUAACAUUUACUAAAGUCAACUAUUUUAAAUUUAUACAUAUUAUUCUUUUGUUUGUUGUGUGUGUUCGAACCUAAUUAAUAUAUCCGUAUGAAUGUAGUUCUACAACAGUAUAUAUUUACAUGUAUUAUAAAUAUAUUAACAAAAAAAACUAAUGUUAAACUUAUGGUUUGGAGACUAUCAUUGAGUCUGGACUUUGGAGGAAGAACACCAUUGGUUUGAGAGAUCAGGUCCAAACUCCAAAGAUGAGCAUAAAAAAAAAACUCCGAAGUCCAAACUUCCCCUGCCCUGCUCUCCCACCUACUGGGACUACGAUGUGGGGCCUACUUCGGCGGAGAAUGAGCCCAUCGGGGUUCUCGCCGUCGUCUACGGCGGAGGAGGUCACCGCCGGCAUCGACGGUUCCGGCCUCGUCGCCAUCGUCACCGGUAACCUUCUGCUCCCUCCCUCUCCUCGCAUGCCUUCGCAACCAAGUGCACUCAGUCUCUCUCAAUAGCCGUACCUGCUCUCCGAUUCCGUGGCACUUGAUUUGUCCCUCCCCUGAUUAUUGACUAAUUAAUCAAUUACCACUCCUAGUCGCUUCUUGCCUUUAGCUCACUGUAUUAGUACUAGCACUCUGAGGAAAAUAUAUCAGGAGUUCAGGACAGGUCCGGAGUUCAUUUUCUGUAUGCAAUUUUUUCAGGAUUUAGUUGUUCUCCAGUUCUUACUCUGCUAUUGAAUUUGUGCUACUUACAGGUGCGUCCAGUGGGAUUGGAGCUGAAACAUGCCGAGUUCUUGCGCUGCGUGGCGUGCAUGUCGUGAUGGGGGUGAGGAAUCUGUCCACCGGCUCGCAGGUGAGGGAGAAGAUUGUGGAACAAGUCCCCAAGGCCAAGAUUGAGAUGCUUGAGCUUGACCUUAGCUCAAUGUCAUCAGUGAGAAGAUUAGUCGAGAAGUUUAAUGUGCUGGACCUCCCACUGAACAUUCUUAUGUGAGUAUAGGUGCAUAACUAAAACAUCAGAAGUAACCGCUAUUAAUUACGCUGUAUUCUGAUGGUCAAUCCAUUGCAGGAAAUCUUAAUGUCGCUGUGGAAUGUCACAACAUUAAUGAUAUGUUGUGAUCUAAGGGCCAGUUUGUAGGGAAGAUUGCUCUGUGAAAUUUAGGAUCAUGUUCAAUCUUUAACUAAAUCCUAGAGAUUUGGAUCCCAAUUCUACAUGCACAACUAGCACUAAGAAACUGUUUAUUUAACUAACUCUUUUACACAUAUGUUACAAAACAUAUUGUAUUCAACACUUUUUGGUACUAUACAAAAUGGAUGAUUCAAUUCCUCUCUGUUUCAAGUAAUAAUGCAGGGAUUGCAUUUGUUCCUUUCAAGCUUUCAGAGGAUGGCAUUGAGCUGCAUUUUGCAACGAAUCACCUUGUUAUGGCACCAUUGUGGUGCUACUCUCUUAUAUAGCUUUUGUAUGAAAUCAAAGAGUAAAAUAUUGUACCCAGAUUUUUUUUCUCAAGGAGAAAAGCAAAUUACUACAGUUUCAGUUAUUUGAAGGAACAAAUUAAAAUAUAUGCAACAUUAAAAAAUGACAUUUGUAUGUACUGGUUAGAUUUAUUGGACGUAGUAACCCAUGAUUCUUAGUUAAUGCAAAAUUUCAGACAUCAUAAAGUAACUGUCCUGUUCUGCAGGACAUUUUCUACUGACUGAUCUUUUGCUUGGGAAGAACAAUGUUACGGCUAAAGAGAGUGGCAUAGAAGGAAGGGUUGUGAUAGUUGCUUCUGACAGCUACAAGCAUCCAUAUCGAGAAGGAAUUCGUUUUGAUAAGAUCAAUGAUAAGUCUGGGAGCUGUUUCCACUUAUACUACAAUCAUUCUUUCAUUUUCCAUGUUCAUCACUUUUAACAUGUUAUAUGAUUCAUUCGAACUUGAAUUUAUUCCAAAACUUCAUCACGGGAAAUAAAUAAGUCUUUUGCUUUGAUACAUCACAGGGAAUUUCAAUUUUGUCUUUGUUGACAGCUAUAACAGCAUAUUAGCUUAUGGCCAGUCCAAGCUUGCCAACAUAUUGCAUUCUCUUUUUUUGUUUUUUCCUUCAAACGAUUAAGCUGGACAUGCUUCCGGUGUUUCUGUUAUGGGCUUGUUUUUAUUGGUGUGUGUGUGUGUGUGGGGGGGGGGGGGGGGGGGUGGAGUGGAGGAGGUGACUGGCAGAGGCAGUUGAGAGGUGGCAGACAGCAAGACAGGAAGAGAGAAGGAUUUAGGGUUUCCCUUUUUUUUCUUGAACACGUAGGAGAGCUGCGUAUAUUUGUAUUAAGAGAGAAUAGAUGGUCCAAUUACAAAAAUCAUCCCCACACCUUGGACUAGAGUGAGGGAUGAGGGUUUUUUAGACAAGACUCUUACAUAGAUGAAAAACAGCUAAGACCUGACCAAGAUAAAACACUUCCAACACUACAACAGCACCCUUCCUAGGUCCAGGGCAGCAAGCCCCUUGGCCCCAGCUAUUUGCCAUAGGUGGGACUCAUCUUUGAAGGCCUGAAGGGCUCCUGGAGACUAGGAGCAGACCCGUUGAAGACACAAGCAUUUCGGUGUUUCCAGAGGGUCCAUGCUCCAAGAAUGACUAGAGAAUUAAAUCCAUUUCUGUGUUGCUCCCUGGAGACUAGGGUUUCCACUUUUUACUGCUUAUAAAUGCUAACAUGAGACCACAAUCAUAUUUAUAGUCAACCUUUUCAAUAUGAAGAUUCUAGACUCUUCCCUAAUUAUAGGGAUAUGAUAGGCUUCCAUAUUUAGAGAUAAGCUUCCUAUAUUACUGACCCGUCUAACUUGGCGUUGAAGUAAGGUAACUACCAGCAAGACCGGGUUACUGACUCUUUGUCCUGUUUGAUAAUAGUUGUCAUAAACUCUUUUGUGUGGAAACACCAAAAUGGGACAGAUUUGAGAUAGCACCAUCUUUUAAUAGCUUUACAUACUUGAUUGACAUUAACUAUUUCUAUGGUACAGGAACAAGAUGCAAAGGUAGUUAUCAACUCCCUUCAUCCUGGAGCUGUUGUCACCAACAUUGCACGCUACUGGGGUUUCUUAAAUGGUGGGGAUAUAUCAGACUAAAUGGUCCCCUUAACUGAUUUGCAUGGUUAACUCACUCAAUAAUUAUGAAUAUUCACUUGAUGUAUUAUAUCUGGUCAGUAUUUGUACUCUGGAUAAGCUAUUAGAGGUAUUUGCUCUUAUAGUUUGGUGCAAAUGUAAAAGCUCUACUUGUAACCUAGUGAAAAGGCGUACCCUUAUUAUAUUGAGAAUGCCCUGUUUCUUUCAAUUACAUUAAGUAUUUCAAGAACUUUCUUUUAUUAUGUGCACAUAUACCGACAUGAUGAUAUUUUGCUUUGGAAUAAUUAAAAUUAAUGUCGAAAAAAGUUUUGUCAAGGCAAAUUGUCAUAUUUUCUCUGUGGGAUCAACUUAUUUUACUGUGCACAUCCAUUGUUUCAGAGUUAAUUUGUACUCUUACCUGGAAGCUAAACUGCUACCUUUCUCCCUUGUUAUCUUUAUUUCAGGUCUUCUUUCCUCACUCGGUAAAUUUGUACUUAAAGGUGUUGAACAAGUAAGUCUGUGAUCAUGUUCUAUUCCUUUAUAAACAAAUGCAGAUGCGUUGAAUUGGGUGCAAUUUGCUAGGCACAAACAUUGGCAUUCGUAACAUUUAUAUAACCAACCUAAAGUUGAGAAUGUACGUUCUCCUGUCUACAUAUUAUAGUUUGGAUUAUAUGGUCCUGGCUCCAGCCUUAAGUGUACAUUGUCUGCCAGUUUCAACUUUUAGUUUAAGUGGCGCACAGACCUGGAUGUGUGAUGACUUUAUCAUAAGAAGUAUUAGAAAUUGUUUGAUACAAAAGUUGCAUAUGCUUUUCAUGUUUACAGAACUAAUGGUGCUGCAAACCAUGAGUUAUUUAACAGUCAUAAUCUGAGCUAGCAGUAAUGAAUCUCUCAUGGAUCUCUGCUUGCAUUUAGCAGUAUCACUAACUUCAGUAUUUAGAUGAAUUAACUUACACUACCGCUAUAAUGCUUGAUGUUGAUACACCAUAUCUAUGUCAACAAAAAAGAAGAAGAAGAAGAAAAAACUUGUGCUCCUGUUUCGGUGCCUGAUUGCAAUCUCUUGAACAAUCUUAUAAAUCCAUGGAAGCACUAUUUAAUCCUUUUGCAAGGUGCCGCCACAGUGUGUUAUCUGGCAUUGCAUCCUCAGGUUGCGGGAGUCACGGGCAAUUACUUUGUGGAUUGCAGUAUGGUUCAAUUAAAAUCUCAUGCCAUCGACAAGGAGCUGGCCAAAAGACUCUGGGAUUUUAGUAUGAGCCUACUCCGCUGAUACAAAUUCGUAUAAGACAUGUGUAGUAUUAUUUCCAAAAAGAAAACCAUGUAGAGGAACUGUAAUGUCUUCACAUGUUUGUACAAAAAGUGUAUAGCACAAAACCUAGAUUCCAAAUGAAUGAGUACAUGGUUACAUGGGAUACAAUGUUACCCAGGUAUACAAUAGGUGGUAUAAAAAUUAUUGGAAGAGAGUUGGAACUAAAUGGUGUUUAUGCCACCUAUAUAGAAUUUGAAUAAAGCGAUUGGAUUUAUUUCAUUGCUAAUUUCGAAUUCUUGCAACUCUUAACCUAUUUACGACGUUAUGAAUAAAAUGUUUUUUUAUAUAUUACUUUUCUGUCUUUCAAAGUUAUGGUUAGUUAGGAAUGCCUUAUUCAUGGUUGUUGCAUCAACUACUGAAUUUAUAUGUAAGCAUUGUGCUGCCUCAGGAUGUAUUUGCUUUCAAAGUUCUUGAGUGAGUAAAAUCUUAUUCUUACUGUCAGUGGCCACUAGUAUAUGCUAUAGAACAAUUGACAAAAUUAUUCUAGUCAAUAAGCUUGGCUAAAAUAUCAAGAUGUUUCAAUGGAAACAGGAAAGGAACACACAUGAUUACUACGAUGUAUGUAUAAGGGUUUUGUAGAGAGGCGAUGGAAAUAAUAAGUAGUAGUACUACACUACACUUUUUUCUCCGGGUGAGCUGGGGCAAUUUAAUCGUCAGCUACUCAUUAAUAUAAGUCUGUUUGACAUUUCAGCCUCAAAGGAAAAUUAUUUUGGUACCUAAAAGGACACGAUUCUAAUUCAAAAUAUCCAUGGGUUAUUUUGAAAGACCGGCCAAACUAAAAGAUUUAUUGUCUACAUUUACUAGAACAGUAACAGAUUGCCGAUGAAACAGAGCAAGGUUAUACAGGAAUACAGGAUACACGAUGAUCCAUGUGCGCAAUAGGUGGUACAACAAAUAGUUGGUAUAGAGGCAAAAUAACAUAGGUCAUGCCAAUUACAUUUGGGAAUUUAGAAUGUACCAGCCCCUUUUAAGCUUCGUGGUAAAGCAUGUCAUCAUGAGCAUCAUUAAGCAUUAAUCUUGAUUAAGUUAUGCUUAAAAACUUGUAAAUUAUAGGGUUAAGCUCGGUUCUCUUUGCACGGGCAGACGGUCCGCCACUCGACUCCAGAUGGUCCACCGUACACAUAAGCACAUCUGACUUUAGUCAACCAGAAUAGUUCAAAACCCUGUUUCGUCUUCCAGCGCGGACAGUCCGUGACUCCACAGAACUCACCUCCUCAAAACUAGGAGCCUGUUCGCUUCAGCUUAUAAGCCAGCUGAAAAGCUGAAACGGCUGAUUUGUUGUGAGAGAAAAAUACUGUUUGGUGGCUGAUAAGCCGGCUGAAUAAGCUGAAGCGAACAGGCCGUAGAAUAGUUCAACUGAGCUGGUGCGUGUCGAGGUCGCAGAACUCGCGCGCCACGUACACCCCAUGGCCCCACAUGACAGCCCGAGCUGAGCCUCUCUCAGCUGGCCCACUCUCAUUUCUCCCAAAACAUCCUCUCUCUCCCACCCCAAGCCAAGGAGGAGCCCCUGUAGCUCCCUCCGUUGGAUACCUUCAACCUCGCCAGAGGACUACCGAAGCUCGAUGCCGGCGAGUAGCACCACCCCAACUUCAUCUUCUUCCUUGGACUAGCAAGAAGCUUCCCCAAGCCUUCUUCCUCCAUCUCCUUCAUCUCCUCCAAGUUCAAGGUCAAGGACGAGCUCAAGCUUCCCCAACGCCGCCCUACGCCAACCUGCGGCCCCUCACUGGAGUAUUGCUCGUCACCCGUGAGCUAUCUCCAUCCCCGAUCCAUCCCCACUGCUUAGGGAUUCAAGUUCUUGAACCUCUUUAAAGCCAAAUCAUAGAGCUUCCAAACCUUGAUGCAUGUCGAAUCCACCUUUUGGGAUGGACUCUAGGCACUCCCAAGAAACAUAAAAACAAACCCCAUCCAAAAUCGUGGCCGGAGUCGCCGCUGUCGAGCUCGCCGGUGUGGCACACCGUCUCCCACCCGUGAAACCACCAGAGCCUAUGCAAAAACAUGUCCCUAGGUACUUUUGUACGGUGGACGGUCCGCCCCUCAACCACGGACAGUCUGCUAUUCAAAAACUAACUCACCAAAGCCUCUGCACAAAACUUGAGUCGGCUAAAUUUUGUACUGCGGACAGUCCGCCAAUCUGAGGGAGACGGUCCGCCCCUCACGAUUCCAGCACCUAUACUUUUGCACUAGUAACACCUACUUAUACAUGCUAUAACCAAACCUUUAUAUGAUUAUCUAACAAUGCUAAAACAAGCUUAAUCAUGUCAUACUCGUACCAUUGCAAUUAUUCAUGGCAUAUUUACUUAUCAAGCAUCAUUGCACUCAUGUAGAGGUCGAAUCGUUGGAGCAAGAGGAGGGUGAGCUCGAGCCGGAGCCUGUCGUCAACGAAGCUUCCUUUGUGAAUCAAGGCAAGCACCUAAGUAUCUCUUAACCUAUUUUGGAUCAAUGAUGUAUAUGUGUUUUGCAUGCACGUGAGUUAAUAACUAUGUAUGCUUAGCUCCUACUUGAUGCAUUAUCCAUCUUUGAUCUAGACAACUCCUUCUAGGCGAGUAUGCUUGUGUAGGUGUCACGAAUUUGAAUUGCUUAUCCAUGCUUAGCUUCGGUAGAAGUCGAGAAGUGGCAAGGUCACCACCACUCGCGAGUUAUAGGAUACUUGUUAAAUAAUACUUGGUUAGCUAUGAAUGGAUUAAAAUUGAGCAACUAUGAAUGAUGAAUUGAACUUGAGCAAGAAUGGUAGGGUCAUGUUGAGAUUGGAGCUCACUUGACUUAGUCUUGUUUAAGUGGUUAAGGCCCGGUCGUCAUCACUGUGAUACUUGAGCACUAAUGCAUAUAAACCACAUGCUUAAUAUGGGAAUGGCAAGUCAAGUUGCAUAAGUCGCACCUUGCCUUGACCGGAUUCGGUGCAGGAUGAGAUGAGGUGUGAUCGUCCGUGUCCGGUGCAUCUAUCCAUUCCAACUGUUCGUUUAUAGCUGAGUGUGGGUAUGUGAAUGGUCGGGGGCAUGAAUCAACACUUAUCCUCGGCCGGGGUUAUGGUCGUUGGUCUUGUGUCUCGUGUGAGAAAAUUUGUACACCCCUGCAGGGUUACGAUCUAUUGCAAUAGUCGCGCUCCCAGUCAAAGAGCACGCUCAUGUACUUGGACUUUAACAUAGAGUUACCGAAUGUAGUUCAUGGAAGAUUGAGCUCAUGUCAUGAUCACAUUUACGUAUCGCAAUUACUUGAUGCUUGACUUAGAGAUCAUAGAAUCACAUGUCUUUACGUAUUAUAACUUGAUGAAAUGUAGAUGUUUUUUUAUACAAAUUUAUUUACCAAUACCAUUCCUUGCUACUUAACCAAAUGCAUUCUCCUUGAGAGUUGGGAAACUAUAUACCCAUAUUUGGAUAAGAACUGUUGAGUACCUUUUGUAUUCAUGAUGCGCCAUUAAGUUGUUGCAGGUGAUCCACAGCCGAAGGUCGUCUUUGGGUACUUCUUCCCCGCGGGCGGAGGUGCGGGUAAGAAGUGAUGGCCAUGGCUAUAGGAAGGGUAUUAUCAUCAUAUAUAGUGUUAACCUUCUUAUUGUGUUGUAUCGUAUGAGCGUGAGGAUAGAACUUUCCGUUGCAAACUCUAUGAACUUGUUACUGUAAUGUGAUGGACUAUGUAUGGAUUGCUAUAUCGUAAUGAUGUUUAUAUUGUUUGUGCUUGUGAGGUGGGUAUAAAUCCUGGGCAAUGCUCAUGACACCAUCUUAAGGAGGACUAGAAUUGUUCUUAUUUAGUUGAGUUGAUCAAAGGUUGAUGACUUGAUUAAAUGGCGUAACUCGGAGGUUCCUCACAGAGAAAUCCAUUGGAUGUAUCCGAUUGGCAGUUCGAAGUUUUGAUGCAAAUGCAGAGGUACUUGCGGCCCCCACCCCCACCCCCAAAUUGAGAUCAGGAGAGCUGCAUUGGCACCAUUCAUUACGGUAGGACGGAGAUGAUGGUAAACUUAACCCCUGGAAAAAGAAAAAACCACAUAGAUCGAUAUAUACUAUAGCAUACACUAUAUCUCACUAUCGAGGUAUCCGACGGGUAAAUGAACAAUGUGCAAGAGUAUAACGAUACUAAGGUGGUACCAUAUGAAUAAAUUAACAUGCAUCAAACGUUGACACAAUCAAACUUUAAAAUUAAUGAAUAUUGUGAGAAGAUAAGCCAUCACUAAAACUGUGCUGGCGGGCACUAGCCCGGCGGUCCCGAUCAUCUUUGUGCCGGCGGGUGCUAAUUUUGCCCGACAACACACUAAUUUUGAUGUGCCAGUACAAAUCAUUUUUGGCGUAGUGAAUUAUUCAUUUUUAAAAUUCCAUUCUUCAGACAUCGUCUUAAUUUUAUAAUUGAGAUAAUCUCUUUCUUGUUUUAGUGGUAGCAAAAUAUCAGUUGUUGACCAAUCAUUAUACUAAUUCAUAGGCAAGAAGGUUCUUUCAAAUACUAAUGAGAUAGUUAAAAAGAGCUAAUGAGAUGAGUAUUUUUAUAUUCAUAGGCAAUUAGUGCAUCAUAGGUAAAGCUCGGGCUUUUCUUCCGUUCUCUAAUUCAUUCUACAUAGGGCUUUGCAGGCCCAUAAUCAGUCUGAACUAACAUGGAAACUAGUUCUUACGAUUCUGCACCAUCAGGACGUCAGGCAGAUGAGUUCAUGGAAAAAGAGAGAUAUGGUAACAGCAACCCUGGCUAUCCCUACUAGAAGGUUCACAAUAACAGGUGUACAUGGUGCAACUAGCCUUCCGAGACCUCUCAUUCCCAUAAAAUUCUCUGUAUGUCAAUGGAAGAAAAUUAUUCUAGCAACCAUGAAACAGCAAAAUGCUACAAUACAAUGAGCAAAUAGGCAUUCAGGCACGACUCCUUGGAUAUGUAUAUAUAAUAUAUAGUAAAGUAUUGUCGACUGACAGAGGAGCAUUGGCUACGGUAGUAUGAAUUAUUAUGGCACCAACUCCAAAGGAAGAACAUUUACUAUAUCAUUGAAUAUUAAUAUAUUUCAUUUUCUGGUCCAAAGAAAAAACAUUUACUGUUUAUCUGGUUAAAUAGUUGUUUCGUUUUGGACUUGAUGAAGAGCACUGUAUAUCUAUUUGGAUGUAUGGCACCAGGAAGUCUGAUGUAUGUCCCAGAGGGUUGAUCUUGCGGAUGUUGGACAUUUCUACAAAGUUAACCGGCAAAAUUAGUCUUAAAUUUAAUAACCAAAGUUGUACAUCAAUACUGGAGGAUGGAGCAUAUCCUCCUUGACAUUCUUGUGCUGACAGUUACGAUCAGUGUAAAGACGUUGUUGUCUGGUUUUGUGCAGGAAAUGUUUGUGAGGGUAUUUCCUGGGUUGAUUUGACUUAAUUAUAUAUAGUCUCUAAAAUAUGGUCAUAAUGAGUUUGACUUAAUGCUGUACCCUGUACAUGGAGUUCAUUUCUAUUCUUUUUAUGUUCAUUUCAGAUAUCCUUUCUCCGCUUACUAAACUUGUAUUUAGAAGGGUUGAAAAAGUAAGACUGCAGUGAUGUUUUAUUCUCUCCAUAGAAAAUAAGUUGCAGUGUUCAUUUUUCUUAUAUUAAAAUUUUAAUUUUGUUAUUUUAUAAAUUUUAGAGUGCUUGAAAAAAAUGAGAGCCGUCCAUCCGGCGAAAUCGAACGGUGGAAACAAAGGAAGUACCAUGAAAUACCUAAGAGAAGUACCAAGAAGUAGUAAUUUGGUGGGACCAAGUAAAAAAUAGUGAGAAGUUCCUAUGAUGCCCUUUUAAUAUUGUGUAAAUCUAUUUAAUUCUUUUUUAAAAGGAUAAGAAAGAAAAGUACCUGCAAGUACCACUAGUACCUUAAAAGCAUUGUUAUUUUACUUUGAAGAAUCAUAGAAAUUUAUAUCACCGACCCAAUGCCGAGAAUUAUAUUACGAUAUCGUAGUUCCAAUAUCCUGCCCUGCGACCAGUAGUCUUUUAAGUGUGCAAACUUUUAAAACUGAUCUAUGCGCAUACAAUGCAAUUCUUUCAAUUUAUCAAAAACAUAACCAUCUAAAUAAUUGAUUAGCGAACAAUGCAUGAUCAGAUAUGUGAAUACUCUUUAGGUACCGUAUGUAUCUGGCUAUAAAAAUUGGAUACAGGCCCACAGAGGAUACAAUUGGGUCUAACGUAACUGAUAUUAUUAGCAUGAUAUAAUGAUUUUACAUGUUUACUGCUAGGUCGCGUGUAUAUAUGGAAUCCUUACUGGCAGGAAUUAAUAAUGUACUAGGGAUAAAUAGAAGACGAGCACGGGAUGGUCACUCUUUUCAUAUUUUCACUAAUUUUCUUGGGUUUUUCCUCAGGCAAAAUAGAGGUUGUACUGUAUGUCUAGAAAAGUGGGGGAGGGGUAUUUUUAUGAUAUAUUUGGUGACCUUAGGCAUAGCAAACUAGGAGUGCUUUGAAUUUUUCAUUCACAAGCCAAGCUAGAAUGGAAAAAAAAACAAGAAUUAACUUAUUCUACCAUCCUAGCAAUUGAAUGAAGUUUCCUUGCCAAACUUAGAAAUUUAUGUAGUUGUGUGAUAUUUCCAAUUGCUCUAACUCUACCCGUGACUUAGCAUUGAUCUUUAUGCACGAUGCAGGGUGCAGCCACAAUAUGUUAUCUGGCAUUGCAUCCUCAAGUUGUUGGAGUCACCAGCAAAUUCUUCAUGGACUUCAAUGAUGUUGAACUAAAGCCUCCUGCAACUGAGGCCUUGUUUAGAUGAGGUCCGAAUCGGACUUUGUACAGUGUUUGGGCCUCCUUUUGGGAGUUUUGAAGUAAACGGCCUGGCAAACUUCGAUGCAAACUCGGCCUUUAGGAUGGCCCGAUUUCGGCCCAAAAUUCGCAACCUUAUCCAGCGGCAGAUGACCGGCCGCACUCCCAACCCUAGCACCGCCCGCAGUCACGCUCCCUCUCCCCCGCGCCGCUCGCCUCUCCCCCGCCGCUCGCCCCCUCCCCGCCGCUCUCGCCCCUCCCCCGCUCCUCUCGCCCUCUCCCCAGUCGGUGUGGUCUCCCCCGCCGCUCUCCCCCUUGACCGCGCUGCUCGCCCUCUCCCCCCGCCGGUGUCCGCUCCACCGCCGAUAUCCCCGUCGCCCGCGCCGCUCUCGUCUCCCCCGCAGAUCUCCCCCUCGCCCGCGCCGCUCGCCCCCUCCCCGCCGCUCUCCCCCCUCCCCCGCGCCGCUCCCCUCUCCCCCGCCGCGGUCGCCUCUCCCCCACCUAGAUCUGUCCCCCUCAGCCGCUGUCCCACUCCCCCACCAGGAGCUCGCCGCAUCCGCUCCAAUCCACCUUUCCACCACCAGAUCCAGGACGUACUCGGUCCGCUGCACCGCGUCCGGUACCGGGUGCACCGUUGUUGACCCAGGCUGCGGCGAUGGACCACUUCAACGAGGAAGGGGACGGCGCGGAGUUCAACGACGGUGGAUCCAGACUCCCCGCGGGCUUCACCGCCAGCGGAUCCCGACUCCCCGCGGGCUUCACCGCCAGAUCAUCCUGACUCGCCGCGGGCUUCACCGCCACCGGAUCCCGACUCCCCGCGGGCUUCAACGCCAGCGGAUCCGGCAACCCCGCUCCCUUCAACGCCGGCGGAUACAGAGAUGCCUCUUCGGGUUUGGACUUCGGCAACGUCCCCGACUACGACGGCGGCCACCCCACUAGGAACUUGUUCUCCCUGGCGCCGCCAGGCUCCGGAAGCGGUGCGUACAACCACUUCUCCUCCGGGCCGCAGCAGACCCUGUCGUCCAGCUUGCCCACCCCAAGCCAGCUGGGCAUGGCCGGCCUCAACCUCAAUGCCUCCUCCGAGUGGCCGAACAUGAACGACUACGAAGGCAUCCUUCGCUCCGGCGACCGAGUUGGAGGAGGCGGCAGCAGCCGGGUCGGGCCUCCCGCCGGAGAUGGUUCCGGCAGCGGUGAGCAGGCCCCGGCUCCCUUGCCUCGUCAGCGUCGUGCUACGGCCAGGACACGCGGUUCCCGGCGUCGUGGCGCGGCUCCAGCAGGGGCAGCCGAGCUCAAUCCGGUACUUGUUCCCACUCCCCCUCUGUACUUCCAUGAUCUGUAUAUGUGGUGCCGCGUACAUGAAACCGUUGUGUGCAUCAACUGUAUUGCUUACUCACGGUUACUGUCAUUUGGAGUUCUCUCAUUGCUUGUUCUAUCAUGAUUUAUGCCUGGUGUGCAUGAAAUGUAUUGGUUAGUGAUGGUUUCUGUCAAUAUGAUUUAAUGCAUUGGUUGUUCAAUUACAUUUAUCCCUGGUGUUGUUAAUCUGUAUUGCUUAGUCAUGCAUACUGUCAAUAGGAGUUCAUGCAUUGCUUGUUCAAUUGCAUUGUGCACAGAAUGAGCCUAGCAGGGCGAAGUGGACUAAAGAGGAUACACAGCUGUUUUGUGAGCUGUACUGUCAGCAAAUCGAGUUGGGCAACUGCAAGAGCGGGAACAUGAGCAAGUGGGGCUGGAAAGAUGUCCAGGAGAAGUUCCAAGCGGCCACUGGCAAGUUCAGGAACAGCGAGCAAUUUGGGUACAAGUACAGGCAGCUGAAGUUGCUUUGGCAGUUCAUCCAACAUCUUCGGACACAGUGCAUAGGCUUGGGGCGCCGAGAAGAUGGCUCUAUGGUUGCUAGUGAUAACUGGUGGCGCAACAAUAGCAGGGUUAGUGAUAUGUGAACACCGCAUGUUUACUCCUUUCGUUCCUGUCUUGCCUACUGAAUGGUUGUGUCUUUUUAUUUGCAAUGCAGGGGCACGCGGACUGGUAUGACCUCAAGGAUGGAUGGCCAGAAUACAUUGACGAGCUGGACCGCAUGUUCUGUGGAGUAGCAGUGACUGGAGAGACGUCAUUUGUUCCAGGGGUCAGCCGACAGAUCAACUUCAUCAGCAGCGGCGAGGAAGAUGCUGCUGAUGAUGACUGUGGCACCCCUCGCAGCUGUGGCACCCCAAUCAGCAGUGGGAGCAAGAGGAGCUCAAGCAGCUUCCGCAGCAUUGCUACAAGCCCCAGCAAGAAGAACAAGGGGCCUGUUGUUCGGAACAUGAACAACAACAUGACAAAGUUCAACUCCAGUUACGAUCACAGGACAUCAAUUAUCCAAAGGGCCCUGGAAGGUAAGAUGAAGGAGGUUGAGGUUGUGAUCGACAAGAAGCAGCACCGAGAGGAGGCUAGGAAGCAAGACCAGAAACUUGUCACAGAUUCAGCGACAGAGCUUGGAGUGCACCUGAUGGAAGGACAACUCUGGGAUGGUGUCAUCAUGAUCUGCAUGGAUGAUGACCUACGCAACAUCUACCUGUGCACACCUGUUGAAGCAAGGCUCCCAAUGAUCAAGAAAUAUGCUGCUAUGGUGUAAACCAGACCCUAUGUCUUUUGUGUGUGCUUGGCAUGUCUUUUGUGUUAUGUCUUGUUGUUGAAUUAAUAUGUGUUGGUAUUGUUUAUGUUGUGAGGAUGAACAUUUGAUGACCUGUGUUGGCUAAUCCUAUAUGAACAGCAUGGUUAUUAACAGCAUGGUAGUGCAUUAGAGCUGUUUGGUUGAUGGUUGUUAAAGUUAUUGCCUCUGUCUUCAGAUGGGUGUCAUUUGACUCAAGGUAGCAGCAAUUACUAUUGUGGCUACCAAUUUCUUUGUGCUAACUUUUGCUGUGUUGUUUUGGACUGCCCAGGAUGUUCCUGCUCAUUUUGGUGCCCAAGCGGAGGAGGUGGAGGACCAGGAGGAGGAGGAGAAGUUGCUGGCCGAGUGGUGGGACCUAUUCUGGGAAUUGGUGGUAUUAGACGAUGAUGAAGCACCAUUUAUCUAUGGUACGUAUGAAUAUGCUAUUCAUAUCGACAAGUAUUGCAAUAGAGCACCCUAUAGGAAUCCACCAUUGACUGGGGAGCAAUGGGUAGUUAACAAGCUUGCCAAUGAAACAUCCUGCUACACCAUGUUUAGGAUGAGCCCCCACAUGUUUUAUAGGCUGCAUGACUUGUUGACAUCUGAGUAUGGGCUGACUGCAUCAAAUAAAUCUAGCACUAUUGAGGCUCUAGGAUUGUUCCUUUGGAUAUGUGGGGCACCACAAUCUGUUAGGCAAGCAGAGGACAGAUUUGAGAGGUCACUAGGUACUGUUCAUAGGCUAUUCUACAAAGUCCUCACUUCUCUAGUAGACCUCUCAACCGACAUCAUUAAACCUAGGGACACAGAGUUUAGAACAAUGCAUCCUAGGCUGCAAAACAAUAGGUUCUACCCUGAAUUCCAGGGAUGCAUAGAGGCAAUAGAUGGCACUCACAUCCCUGUAGUAGUGCCAAGUGCAAAGUUUAUGCAGCACAUGUGUAGGAAGGGCAAGACAACCCAGAAUGUCAUGGCCGCUUGUGACUUGGAUAUGGUUUUCACAUUUGUGCUUGCUGGGUGGCCGUGUUCAGUGCAUGACAUGAGGGUGUUUGACGAUGCAAUGACAACUUACAGCGACAAGUUCCCAAAGCCACCUAGAGGUACACACAACUGUUUCUAGGUCACUAGUGUUUUCUAAUACAACCAUUGUAAACUUACAGGUAUGUACUGUUCCUAUAGAGAAAUACUACUUGGUGGACUCGGGGUACGCAAACCGCACCGGCUUCCUAGCUCCUUACCGCCAGACCAAGUAUCACAUCCAAGACUUUCAAAACGUGCCAGAACCACAAGGUAUGAAGGAGGUAUUCAACUAUGCCCAUUCAUCUCUUAGAAAUGUCAUCGAAAGGGCGUAUGGAGUGUUGAAAAUGAAGUGGCGCAUAUUGUUGGACAUCCCGGCCUAUCCACCUGAAACACAGACACGGAUUAUAUGUGCAUGCAUGGCAUUGCACAACUUCAUUAGGAUUAAUGGUGACUUUGAUAGUCACUUUGGUAUAGUGGAUAGCAACAUGAACUAUGUGCCUGUUGAAGGCACUCAGGAUCAGCCGGAAACAGUGCCUGCGCCGGAGAGUGCGGACAUGGCAAGCAUGAAUGCAUUCCGAGACAUGCUUGCUGAACAUUUGUUUGCUAGGUCUUGAAUAAUUUGUGUUUGAGGACAUGAAAUUGUUUAUGUACUUUGUGAUUCGGUGUAAUAAUUUUCGGUGUUGUUAAUCUGUAAUAAUUUGUGGUGCACUUGAGAAUAUUUUCGUUGAAUUUUUGUUGUUCAAACAGUAAUGAAUUGUGUUGUCAUAUUUGUUGGUUCAGUGCAUUUUUUUGAGGACAACAUGCAUGGGCCAAUGCUGAAUUGUGUUGUAAUGGUGAAACAGUGGCUGCUAUAAUGAUUCAACAGUGCAUUGCAAAGUUUGGGGGGCACCAGUUUGGAGCUCCAGAAUUUGGCAAGCCAAAUUUCGGCUGCACAGUAACUCCCAAGUUGGGAGGUCCCAACUUGGGCAACUAAACAUGGCCUGACAAGGAAUUGGUCCAAAGACUUUGAGCUUUUAGUGUGAACCUACUCCAUUGAUUCAUAUCGAUCAGUGCAGCAACUGGGAAAUUCAAUUUUUCGGGAAAGAAACAAAAAAAAAUACUAAGGACAUGAUUUGAAGUAUCUGUGCAAACAAAUGAAUAUGCUGUGUCAAUUUAGUAAAAGAUUGUAAAUGAGAGAACAUGCUGCAAUAGAAUGCCUGGUGAUUCAACUGCACAAUAUAUAAUUGUCACUGCUGACUAGUUAUGGACGCCAUAUAUGUAAUUUGAAUAAAUUGAUUGGUUAUAUUUCCUCGCUAGUUUGAAUCCGUGGAAGUGCAUGCCAAACGCCUCUAGCAUUGAUCUUUUUGUAGUGUGGGGGCAGGGCCGGCCCUGGCCGGGGGGGGGGGGGGGCUUGCCCUGGGCCCCCAAAUCCCAGGGGCCCACCCUAGGUUCAAGUGUCAAACGAGUUAGGAAUUAGGAUUAGGAUGGGAAUAGCAACGAACGCUGAACGUAGUCACGCAACUCGUACACGUCGUGUAGAGGGCUGCCGCCAGGCAAAACUCGUACGUGUCGUCUUUGGAGGCUGCCGCGGGGGCCAGCGCCAAAACUCGUACGCAUCGUCCAGGGAGCCUCCAGGGGAUCGCUGCCAGCAAGGGCCGCCGCCAGGGAUCAUAAGGAUUAUCCAAAUCGCAAUUAAAACUCUGAUCGCCGCCAGGGCCACCGCCACGUCGUGUGCAUCAACGACUGGUUGUUGGACUGCGUCUGCGCCAUCAUCCAGGUACGGUAUUCAUCGCUGUAUACACACGCGCGCACAACCCGGUGGCCCGGCGAUUGCUGUUCCUAACCACUCCGCGGCGACCAAUCAGCUUGUUACUUGCGGACCUUACGGUUGGUGCCAAUUCGCUUCUGUGACCAGGUGAUUCGAUUGCUAAUUCCUCAAUUCUCCGUACCAUUAAUUAUUAAUUUACUAUCACAAGUUAUUUAAUCUCAACUGAUUUAUAACUAUUGGGUAUUUAUAAUAAUUUUAGUACUGUAAAUUUGAUAGGUAUAAAUAUCGAGAAAUAUUAGAAGAAACUUUUAAGGUAAUAUGUAUAAAUAAUUUGAUAUGAAUAUUGUUUUUAGAUACAUUUAAAUAUUUAUUGAUAAUAUUAUAUAUAUAUAUAUAUAUAUUUGUUAUAAACAUUAUAUUAAAGGCUUCAAGUUUUACCUUCACCCCGGGCCUUCCAAAUCUCAGGACCGCCCCUGGUGGGGGGUCCUAGUAUGUUAUCCGGCAUAGCAUCAUGAAAUUUAUUUCCUGAAGUCAGUGGCAUUUACUUUGCAGACAGCAAUGCUGUUGAACUAAAUCUCCUGUAACAGACAAACCACUGGACAAAUGACUCCAGAAUUUUCCGUGAGCUAGCAUACUCUGGCAAUACAAAUUGGUACAGUGAAUGUUCAGUAGUUUCUACUUUCUUUGUAGAAGGAAACAACCACUGCACGUAAAGAAAUAAUAAGACACUAGUUCUUCAUUCUAAAUAUUUGCAUAUAUGAACAAAAAGAUAUGUCAUGUGCACAUUUAGUUGAAUGAACUAAAUUUAAUCAACUGACAAUAUGAUUAAAUUGGAUGUGAGUAUAGGGCAGUAAAACCAUUUGAAUAGUUAAACUAACCAUAUAGUUUUACGUGAGAUUUGAAUUAACUGAUCUGUUCAAUUCCCUCACCAGUUUGAGUAGGUAGCAACUCCAGACAAAGUUUUUUUUCCUUACUUUGCCUACAUAAGUUAUGUUCAAGGUGAUGAAGCCAGUUGUAAUGAUGCUUUUGUCAUGAUUCAUGCCAAAUCAGACGUGAUUCUUGCUUUCAACUUUCAGCAAACCCCUGCAAGUUUAAUAAAACGACAUACUCAUGAAUGCUCGUUACAAGCAAAAUGAGCGGAGUUCCAAUUGGUUAGAUCCUUACGAAUGAAUUUAGCAAUCUAGGUUUGAGUCUUGAUCUUUCUACAGAUGUUUGUACUCUUUUGGUUAAUUAUAUAUUCUUUCAGUGUUAGGCAACUUGCCCGAUGGCUAAUACUCAUUGACCUAGAAAUUAGAAAGGGCACUUCCUUCGCACCAUCAUGUACAAUCUCCAAUAAAAAGUUGAGUUUUUCAGUAAUAUGAUGCUAUGGCUCGGUUCCUGAGGCCUCUCGUUCUCAAAGUAUUAUCACUACAAGGGAGAAAUUAUUCGAAUCCCUAUGCUAAAGAGGAAUAUAUAUGUUGCGUUGGGGAGAUGGAAUAGGCACACACAAAGGAUGGCUACGAUGCAUUUAUUUAUAGAGAAGUAUACGGUAGUAGUAAUUGUUGUGAGCUACCAGCUCGGCUCAAGAAACAAUAGUUGUGGAUCUUUAUGGUAUUACGUAUCGAAGUGGAAGAAAACCCGUUUCAUAAAAGAGAUCGACUCAACAGCAACUGUCCUGAUCUUUAUAUAGAAAAGUAAAGGAAAGGUAUGCAAGAAGAACUCCAUGGCGAAGUUCCACUCUCCCCAAUGCAUUCAUACGAGCCUUGUUACUUGAAUAAUACUACUUAUACUUCCUAUUACUUGAUCUUUAUAUACAGUGUAUGUCUAGAAUCUAGAAAAAUUAAAACGACCUACAAUUUGAAACGAAUGGAGUACCAACUAGUGGAGCCCUGAUUCUGAACCCUGAAUAUUUACCUUCCAACUUACCGAUGUUCCCACGUUAUUAUAAUUUUUCUUUAUCUUACUUCAGAACGAAACUAUCCAAAUAAAACGAAUUUGAUACAUAUAUACUACCAUGUUUUUUCUCAGUGUAACGAGAAGAGAAAAAAAACUACGCUAAUAGUUUGCUACCUUGCUCUGUUAUUUGGGAACCGACUGAUGAUAUGGACCUAUGGUCUGCUGACCGAUGACAUCGCCGAGCUAGGAUGCCGGGGCAUACCUCAUGCUGGCUCUGCGAUUCGGAUCUAAAGCGGCCGAUCACUCAAAUAAUAGACUGGUGGAUGCAACUGAGGCUAGCCGUCGUGAGAAGCAGCAUGCAGCAACGCUAAGGGAUUGACAGGCGUGUAAGCUAUAGGAUUUCCCUCCAACCAUGUCUCUCAUUCGCCUUCGUGUGCGCUCCACCCCCCGCCACCCCCCCCCACNNNNNNNNNNNNNNNNNNNNNNNNNNNNNNNNNNNNNNNNNNNNNNNNNNNNNNNNNNNNNNNNNNNNNNNNNNNNNNNNNNNNNNNNNNNNNNNNNNNNGAUCGAAUUUUAUGUUUCACUUAAUGAGUAUGUAGUAGAAAAAGUGCAUGUAUAUUUGAGAGGUCGUAAACCAUAUAGGAUGAUUAUCAAAUAGAUUAUGAUCCUAUUAGGCUCUGUUUCAAAAUCGAGGAUAUCCUGUCUCACCUUACCAAAUUUUCGACAGAGCGUCUGAUUCUCAUUGACGGAUUGCAACAGCAAGUCCAGCCAAUUCACGUGACUUACAACGAAACAUAUGUCCUCGUUUAGUCAAGAAACGGAACUGUAUAAAAUACUCUGGCAAGAAUGUUAUUGAGAAAUUCCGAUUUUAUAGGAAACAUAUUGAGAGAAAGGCUAGUUUCUUAAAGAAUUAUUAUUUGUACCCGAAUAUGAAAGUGGGGUCUGUCCUCUUUCGAUCUAGGGUUUUUGUGUGAGACGUGCCGGGCCACGGAUUGGUGAUUUUGGAUAAAUGUAACGGUCCUCCAAUCCUUAAAGGCAGGCCUAAAUCACAGGAGGGAUGCGCGCAUUUGUUCCUAAUGGAUUUUCCCCCCAACCUUUUUUCCCUUUCCCCUUGGUGUGGGUUCCACCCCCCCCCCCCCCCCCCCCCCCCCGGCCCACCCCCCUCUUUGUUCCUUUUUAUAUUUAUUCCUUCCUUUUGUUUUAUUAUAUUUUUCAAUUCUAUUUCUUUUUUCUUUAUAACUUUUCUUUUUUAUAUAUAUACUUACAUGUUCACCAUGAUAAAUUAUUUAUCCGCCACAGAUUCAUUUUGUUCGGAAUGUUAACUUGUUCUUUUUUGGACUAAGUUGUUCUCUCUUACGAUAAUUUUGUUCGUAUUUGUUUUCAUGUAAAAUGAUUUUGUCUGGAGGUAUUUGUUCACUUGUAGAUUAAUUUGUUCAUGAUGUGAAAUUAUUUGUUCACAGAUAAUAUUUAUUUGUUUUUCUUAUUGUUCGCAAGAUAUGUUCUAGCUUCGUAAAAUAUAGAAAAAUAAUAAUCAUAUAAAAUAGUCAAGUAUGAUCUUGUUUUCAAUAUCAUAAAAUAAUAUCAUCUCGUACAAAAAUGUUAUAAUGCAAUCGGAAUUUGGUUUUUAUACUCGGUCUAAGAUUUAUAGAAAGAUGUUUUACGUGGUGGGCUGUAUUUGUUCGACGUGGUGGACUGGCCUGCUGCGCUCUGAAGCCAACAGCGGCAGCUGGUUUGUCGUCUUCGGUCAUGCACUCGCUAGUCUGCCCGUCACUACAACGUUCCCGCCUCAACCGCCGCCAGAUAGCUGACUCCAGGAUAUCCAUAUGCGUUCUUACUACAAUUCCACAAAGCAUCCCAUAAAGCCCAGCAGGUAGCAGGACUCCAGGAGCUGUUAUCUGUUAAGCAUCCGUCUCCAUAUAUUCUUACUACAAUUCUUUUGCUCAGAUGGGUUUGCCUUUUCUCGCAGCCCCGCGGCGCGCGCCACCUGCUCGACGGAAUGCCCCGACCCCAGGGCCGACGCGUCCCGCGCAAAAGUUUCCUCCGGAAAUAUCGGUUAUGAUUCUACCUUAUUUCUCGUGUUGUUGCCUGUGGAAUGAUCCUCCAACUUUGUGCAGAGUUUUUUUUUCCUAUGCACACAUUUUGCAUGGAACUUAUAGCUAGGUAUUAUCUCGUUGCUUCUGCAGACGAUUUCAUUUUGUAAUCAGGUGCCAGUUGCGUGCAGCAUGCACCUCAUGGUAGAUUAGAGUAUUAGACAUUGCUUCACAUUUGUGGGUCAGAUGAAUCUAAGAGCUAUCCUGCACACCCGCCCAGGCAGACCGUGGAUCUCAUAUUCUCAUAUGCAUUGUUGAGUAGCCUUCCUAGUUUUGGGUGUUUUCAUUCUGUAGUGUGUGGUGAUCUUGUUUGGUACAGUCCUAUAUUGUCGCCAUUAUUCAGUUUCAUACUUUGCUAUUGAAGCUCUUAGAUCGCCAUGAGUACUCCUUGAUGAGUCUGGAGAAUUCGGAGUUCUUGUUCUCCAGCAGCCUCGAUGGUGUGUCAUAUUCUAUCAUUCUUCCUACGUGUCAGGAAAAAAAUUAUGCAGUUUAGUAAUCAUGAAAGCAAGGUCUAUCUAGUAACCUGUAUUCAAUAGAACGUUUCUGCAUCCAUCAAGGAUGUGUGGCUUACCAGCGCUGAAAACAAGAAUGAGAUCAUUGUCAAUGACAGUGUGAAUCCUGUGUGCAACUGUCAGCACCGUGCAAUCCCUGAACUCCUUGCGGAUUGUUUCCUGUAUAAUUGCAUCAGUGGCGGAGUCAACUGAAGCAGUUGCCUCGUCGAGGAUAAGAACACUGCUCCUCUUUAGGAGAACCCUUCCAAGGCAAAACAACUGCCUCUGUCCAACACUCCAGUUUUCCCCAUUCUCUACAACUGCAGGAGAAAAUUAUCAUGAUCAUUUCAAGAAGAUAGCAGCAUUAGCACACAACAAUAACCAACCCAUUUCUAAGCACUGAACACUUCUGUUACAUUUUGCUGCUGAACCAAAAGAGGGUGCAUUACCUGCGGAGUCCAGCUUCUUUGGGCUCUGCCGAACUAUAUCACCAAGCUGGCAUUUGUCCAAUAUCUGUUCCAGAGGAAAAUAAACCAGAUUGUUGAUCAUAUGUUAGGAGUAAGAGCGUUUAACUUUUGAUCACCAAGGUUCUCUAAAUUUUCAGUUUCGGUUUUCACUGUAAAGAUCAGUCCAGGUUGUACGUUCAGAUCUAGUUGCAGUCUGUACGAAACAACACAAAAGGUCAUGUAUACUUUGGUCUAGUUGAAAGUAUUAGCACAAUCACUAUACAUAAACUAAAAGAGGUAUUGUUAGACCUGCAAUUUGUUCUGUCACCUGCAGUAUGAGCAAAAUAAUGACUGUUUGCCAGUUUACCUAUUGAUAUUAAUAGUUAGUCUCCCUCUUUUUAUAAUGUUAUAAUUACUGCAUUAUAUCAUCAUGAUGUUUUCUACAGGUGAUUAAUUUACCUCCCAUACACGUUGAUCAGAGUAUUCAUUCAGUGGAUCCAGAUUUCCUCUCACUGUGCCCUCAAACAUGGUCGGAUCUUGUGGGAUGAUGCUAAGUCUGCCUCUUAAGUCAUGAAGCCCAAUUUUGGAGAUAUCAAUACUGUCAAUUUCUAUUGUUCCUUCCCUUGCUUCAACUACCCGGAAAAGUGCUUGAAUCAAAGUAGACUUUCCGCUACCAGUACGUCCUACAAUCCCCACCUUCUUCCUUCCUGGAAUUAUACAAGAUACGUUUCUCAAAACAGAUGGCAGAUGCUCUGCAUAUCGAACCUGUUGAAGUGAAGGGUCAUGUUAGAUGGCUCCAUUUGAGAAAGUGCCAGUAUUCCAAGAAACAUAAGGAAAUCGUAUGUUUUUAGAUAAAUACUCCCUCUGGAUUUUUUUUACAUGUCACAUUAGGUUUGUCCUAAGUCAAGCAUGUUCAACUUUGACCAAGUUUAUAAAAAAAUACAACAUCUACAAUACCUAAUUUGUUUCGUUGAAUGCACCAAGGAAUAUAUUUUGAUAGUGUAUAUGUUUGGUAGUAUAGUUGUUGUUAUAGUUUUCUAUAAAUUUGGUCAAAGUUGGACAGGUUUGACUUAUGACAAACCUAACGUGAUAUGUAAAAAAACCGGAGGAAGUACUUAAUUAGAGAAAACAAAGUGACAGUUGCAUGACUGUGUUUCUAUUGCCUGUGCAUUUGUCACUCUCAUAUGUUCAAUUUCUUCCUAUUUUGCAUGGAAAGCUAUCAUGAUCAUGCUCCUUUUCUCUAUUGAAAUUUUUGUAGGUACACUGAUUCUAUCUUUGGUACUGCCAAUUAUGAUUUAUGAAGUAUUGUCAUGGAACAUUUUCCACAACUUUUGGAUUUUGAUUUAUCUAUUUGUGUGUGGAUGAUUCAGAUUUUAAGUCAACUUAAGACUGGAGUUCAUUUUAACUUUUUGCUGAUUAAUGUUAUCUUUCUUUUCUCGAACAAUAAUGCAGGAGAACUGCAUAAUGGUAUCUUUUAGAUAUCCUACUGAAAUCAUGUUGGGUCGUAAUUCAUAACAGGGUUACACAUACUUCCAAGCAUCGUAUCCUGAUAGCUCCAAUUUCUGGCCAGCUGUUUGUGGGUCGACAGCAGUCUACUACAAGUGGAGCCUCACUAGGGAUCCUUGAGUACUGCAAUAUUCUUUCAACUGAUAUCAUUUUGUUCUCUGUGUUGCAGAUGUUCCAAAUUAUGGAUGCCAACUGUGAGUUGAGGUUCAAUGCAUAAGUCACCGCAAGUCCAGCAAGACCUGCAUGUAUAGUAUAAUAGUUUGACUACUACUGUACGAUGGUAAGUUAAGAUUCCUAUAACCAUAAAGAGCAUAUAUAUAAUCUAGAACAUACUUGGAUUUAUGAAACCUUCAGGAAGGCUGACUAGCAGAGUCAAAGAGAAGGCAAAUACAAAGUUAGAUAGCAUGUUUAGCCUGAAAGAGAGCCACUCCAUUGAAGAAAUGUUGUGGAACCAUGGUCGGGAAUGGUUGUCGAUAAGAAUGAGGUUUGCUUUCCUGAAACGGUCUUUUUGUCCAUACGCUCGAACACUAGAUGCUCCUGAAAGGGAUUCUGCAAAGUGGUGUAGGAUUGGAGCCCCCUGGAUUUGUGACAGACGAGCCAGCUCUCUUGCUGUUGGUAUGUAGUAUCGCUGCACAUCAUAUAGAAUAUAUCUUGAUUCAGCUUACUGGAAGUGAAUAAAAAUAACACUUUAGGAGCCUACCAGGCUACCAAAGUACCAAUGAACUAAAUAUCUUUAUCAAAAGUGCAUACCUGAUACAGAACACAGGCCACCGUCACUGGAAUAAAUAUGGCAAAAACUGGCCAUGCAACCUGGGACAUAACACCAAUGGUACCCAGAAGUUUUAUGCUUGAAAAUACGCACCAACCAAGUUUGAUAGCUAUUUCAAGAUCUAGGACACUUUGAUCAGUGGAAACCUAUAACCAGUAAAUAUACCAGUAUUAGUUUAAAGGAGUGACCAUGCCAUGCAGUAUGAACUAUGAAAGUAUCGUCGAAAUUACAUCAGCACUAACCCUGUUCAGAAUUCUGCCAGUUGGUGUGGAGUCGAAGAAGGACGUAGGGGCACGCAUGAUGCAAUGGAGCAUGUUCUUGAAGAGCUUUUCUGAUGUUAGUAGACCAACUAGCGAUACGAGCCAGGACCGAAUCAAGACACACAGUGCACAUCCCAUGGAUAGUGCUAUGUAUACCAAGAAGAGGAGGCCUAAUCCAACUCUUGAGGUUGUUGUAGAAGUUGGGGGAGAUCCCCAUGCUAUCCAAUAGUUGCUUGCAACUUGAAAUAUUUGGAAGAAUGAUUGUGCACCAAUUGUUACUGGCACCAAGGCACCGCCAUGAACUGCCCUCAGGUAUGCCCAAUAAACCGUCAUGCCAAUGCCACCCUUUUCUCUUUCCUCAUCUUGUGUUAACCUUCCCUUCUGAUUGAUAUCUUCUGAGACAUCAUGUGAAGAUUCUUGCUUUGUCAUAAUCUGAAAUUUGUUAUCCAUUUCAUUUUCUGUCUCAAACUCAUUGUCACUUUCCACUGAAUUUUUGUUACCAGCCAAUAAUAAUCUGCUGGAACUUUCAGCUUUUACGACAGACUCAAGGGCCUUGCUAUGAGCUCCUACUAUGGUCUCAAAUCCUAUGUUCUGUUGAAGGAGCUCAUCAAAUUUUCCUUUCUGCACAAUUUUCCCAUCCUGCAUCACCUAUGAUUUUGUAUUCAUGUGGUUAUUUACUUAGCAUACUUAACCUUUUGGAUGCGAUUAGCUAGCCGAAGUGUAUUUUAAAUACAUACCAAUAUAAGAUCUGCAGCUGGAAGAAAUUCGACUUGGUGGGUCACAUAAAUUAUAGUUUUGUCUUUAAGAAGACCCAUUAGGCAAUCCUGCAAAAUGCUAUUAUUUCAGUCGCUUACGAUACUGCCUGAGUGGUCCUCCAAAAGAUAAUACAAGAUAUCAAAUAGGAAAGUAGUUAAUAUAUCUAUUCUGAAAUAGCUAAAUUAUCGAAUUAACAUCUCAGUGACUACAUAAUUAAGUAUUCAUUGGUUCUGUAUUUGUCAAAAGUAAGAACCUUGAAAAGGUGGCUUCCAGUGUGAGCAUCUACAGAGCUGAAAGGAUCAUCAAAGAGGUACAUAUCUGCUUCCCCAUACACUGACCUCGCAAUCUGAAUUCGCUGUUUCUGUCCACCACUCAUGUUAAUUCCUCUUUCUCCAAUCUCUGUCAAAUCACCAUUUGCAAACAGCUCAAGGUCUUUUGUCAGUGCACAAGCUUGUAUUAUCUUUUCAUACUUGUCCUUGUCAUAUGGAUUCCCAAACAAAAUAUUGUCCCUAAUAGUACCAGACAGGAUCCAGGCAGUUUGGGGAACAUAUGCUUUUCUCCCGCUGACCGUUACUGUCCCUGCCAACUUUCGCAUCUCUCCCAGUAUGCAUGACAAAAGGCUGGAUUUCCCAGAGCCAACCAUUCCACAUACUGCUAUUUUCAUCCCCCUCUUAACUUUUAGCUCUAUACCACUUAGAGUUGGGGAUGUGUUCUCAAGUUCCCAGCUAAAUGUUCCAUGAUCAAUUUCCACAUCACAGUCUGUAUCACACCUUUGUAGUUCAGUAACUUCAUUUGGUUUCAAUUCUUCCUCACGUAGGUACUUUGCUACUCUAUCAGCUGAAACCUUUCCUUGUGCAAAUGCUGAAAGCAAGUCAGGAAGUUGGAAGAUAGGAUCCUGUAGCAUCUGGAAUGUUGCAAGAGCGGACAAAACAGUUCCUGCCGUCAGAGGAAUCCCCAUCAAUAUACAUAAGCCAAACAUUAUAGAAGAUACAAAACCAGGGGAAGCCCAAAAUAUGAAUUGAGUUACAGCUGACAAUCGUGCAGAUUUCGACAACCAAUUGUACUCGACACUUCGUAAAGUUUCUAGCUUUGUGAGGUACUUCAUGUCCCAGGCUUGAAGCUUAAGUAUUUUUAUGCUUCUAAGAACUUCUGUUGUUGCCUUCAUUCUGUUGUCUUUAGCAUCCAUGAUCUUGCCUUGCAACCUUUUCUGCAUUCUUGUGAGUGGAAUGUUGCAAGACAUUAUUGCCAGUGUUGCUGCUAAGCCAGCCCAGGCUGCAACCCCUAGGUUUUGAUGAAGAACAUAGAUUGCUAGAGAAAGCUGUAUGGGUAACAUCCAAAUGUAGUUUGCAUACCAUAUGACAUCGGAUAUCCUUUGUAUAUCUACGCUCAUAUAGUUUAUGAUCUCUCCACUUGUAUAUUUUUGCCUCGAACUGCAGGACAAGGAGAGCCCCUUUUGAUAGACGUGGGAUAUCAAAGCAGCUCGUAGCUGCAUCCCCAGCUGUCGAGCCCCAAAAAUCCACUGCCUCUGAGCUAUGGUUUCGACAACUUUGGCACUGAGAAAAGCAGCAGCAAGAAGGUAACCUCUUUUGAGUCCAUACUGCCUUUCUCCUCCAAGGAACUUCACCAAGUCAUUGAUCAGUGAUGGUCCAACAAAGGUUGCAGUUGCAUUUAUUGCUGCGAAUCCUGCAUUGAUGAUUGCCUUUCUUCUGAUUAGAAGAAACAUUGCCCUAUAGACUGAUGAAGUAGUUAAACCAUGACUACGCUCAACAUUUGAAAUGAUUUUUUUGAAUGUGUCAGAUAGGAAUUCUGCAGAGUCCUUCACAUCAACAUCUGGCAUAUCCCUCUCCUCUAGAGGUCUCUUGUAUCCAAUAGCAAAGACAGGGCUCAUCCAUGAGAAUGUGACAAGUUCUGAAAGGCUUCCUCUUGCAUACAGACACUGCCUUUUUGUUUCUGUGUGCUGUCCAGUUGUAGGACUUAAACGUGGUUCUGUUAAGCUUGCACCAAGGAAGGUAAUGCCUGUGUUUCCUCUAACUGACAUGGCAAAUAGAUAAGAGCUUGUAACUAGUGUAAGUAGGUCAGUACAUUUCUUCAAUCCUAUAUUUCCAUGACCUGAUAAAAUGGACCUCAGAUCAAAUACAAUGGUAGUAACAUACUGCAUGAAACUAAAUAUCCACCAUGCUCGGAUUAUCCAUGGAAGUUUUGCAGAUUUGGUAUUCUUGAAACUGAAUACUGCAAGUGACAGUAUCGUCCAGGAUAGUACCUGUAAACCUUCACCUAGUAGAAAAUAUGGAUAUUUGCAAUCACUUGGUCCCCUUUUUAAGUGAAACAACACUAACUUCAGGACAUGAGUGGCUAAUAUAAACAAGCAGCAAGCUAUGCUUGCUUGAUAUGAUACAUUCAACUUUACGUCAGCAUACUUGUGUUCCUGAGACAAAUGAUUAUCUCUUUCAGAACUCGUAAGGUUCAAUUUCUGCCUGCACCAUCUGAUUUUCCUGAACAGUAACCCGGCCAAUACGCCAAUGACAAAUACCAUAUGUGUCAUGGUAAAAGUGCCCGUCCAGAAGCAAGGUGAAUCUAUCUGUGGCCACCCUCGUAAGUGUUGCAAUACUGUGGAGACUGUAAUUCCAUCGAAGCUUAUGUUAAAAACCAAUGGCAUAGUAAUAUUUUCAGUUAUCAUUCUGUUUCGAAAACAAUGCAGGAUUUACGAUUAUGCAUCAGACGAGAAAAGGCAAACCAACAUUUUUUUUUGGUAAAAUUGGAGUUUCAGCCCGUGGUUCUAUAAGUGAAAAAAUAAUAUGGAUUUAUUGUUUUUUUUUACUCUGAACAAGUUUGUUUAGCAGAAUAACUAGUUCAGAAAUAAACUUAAGAACAAUUGGCUCCCAAUAACAGGAUAAAAUAUAUGCUGGACAUCAGUAACCAUUGAGAAUCAAACUUGUCAGCUAAAUUGUGAGAAACAUUUUGAGUAUAGAAAGCUUAUGUUUCUUCGCAUAUUUGAACAAGUGAGACAACUACUAUCUGUCUCUUGGAUUGUUAAAAUAAACUCUCUUGGAGGGUGUUUGUAUGCUCGUGCUGUCUAUCUCUUCGAAGGUUACUUGUGAGGAUGAUUAACACUAUCCAAGUACUCUAUAUGUAAUAGCUUUGAGCUAGAGUGAUAAAGUAAUCCUGAAUGCUACAAUUGAGAAUAGGAGGUUAGGAAUUACCUCGAUGAAUUUUCUGAAGUAUUAGUUUAAUGCAGCAAAAACUAAUGCCAUGAUAUACCCUUGUCAUUCAUUGUUUAGUCGGCCCUUUCACUUAGAAAAUGCAUCUCUGGCUUUUGUUUAUCUCAUUUUAAUGGGGUCUAGUUGUCCUGCUCUACAUCAGAAUGUGUCAAUUGGAUCCUAGUGUUUUAGACCAAGAAUUUUAUAAAGAAAAAGGCAAUGGCAGUUGGCGAAGGAAAGCCACGCAGUGAAAUUAACUCAUGAACAUGCUUCAAAGGCGGAGAAUCAAAAUAUGCAUGAAACCUAUCAUCUCCAUGCAAGAUUUAAGGGAUUAAUUAGGUGUUACCUGAAGAGUCAUGGAGCAGGCCCCUGUGAAGAAACAGAUCUUCAACCAUCCUCGAAAUCCUUGCAAGAAGAGGAAGCUACAGGCUUCCCCUUCCCAUGGUACAAUCCCAAUGCUCCUUGGAGAGGGAGGAAGAUGCUGUGGAGGUGGGUGAGGGGUGAUAUAGCACUGUGAGAGUCAGAGAUGGGUUAAAAACAUGAGCCACCUCGAAUUUGUAUAUCCUAUUCUGGUCAUAUUCAAAAAUAUAAGAAGGUCAACUCUUGCAAGAGCUGGCGUCACAAUGAGCUUACAGAUUAUCAUUUGUUUGGUUUCGCUAAGUCUUGUGAUUGGCCAAAAUUGUUAGGAAGGCUGGUUACCUGAUCUUCUUUGGCAUUAUUUCGCAGAAUUACUAUUUCUGUCCAGCUGAACAGAUAGGUUCCAGUCAAUUUCUGUUAUUAUAAAUAAAACACCUUGAGAUGUUUGUUGGACAAUUUUGUGGAUCCAAUGAAGCAGACAACAGGGAUUUUUCCUUUGCUGAUGAAAAAAAUUAAAUCAGAAAUGUUUCCUAUCUUUCGGACAACUUAAUUUUCUACUACUGACAAAUGCAUGUGUUUCCUGAAUGGCCUAGAUCUGUACUCCAUUUUUUGCAGGACUGGAGGCUGUAGAUUAAACCAGUCGAAUAAGAUUAACGGAUUCGAUCAGCUUGCAGAUGGAAUCCAAUCAAAUCAAGUCUCGCUCGGCUGGAUGCUGGAAGAGACAAAAUGAGUAGUGGCUCACGCACAGUAUCUGUGUGUGGGACACAGACAACCAGUUGAAUUAGAUGAAGUGAUCAGGGCUAAACAAUUGUUAUCUCUGCAGGCGUGCAGAAAAAAGAAAGUGUGAAUUCCUUAUUUGCAUAUAGAAUAAGAGUUGCUUUCUUGCUAUUAAAAUAUUCGGAGUUCCUUAUUUGUCAUCCAUUCUAUUUUAGUUUAGAACAUCUUUAGUAGUUACCUAAUAAUUUUUUCUCAACAACUACAUAAAUUCCGAUAUCGGUUUCCCAAUGGGGAUCUGUAAGAAAAUGCUCUUAUAUUCGCCACUUAUUCGAGAUCGAAGCCAAGCUGUGGGCUUAAUCGAAAUUCGAGGUGCGGUGGCGGAAAUCAACGCCUGAUGAACCAUCGAUAGUGGGUUCGUGCUCACAGCCUUAGCCAAUCGGUUCGUCUGGGAGCUCGAUUUGAUCUAAUCCCUAUCGCACGGCCGGAUUAGCUGCUGAAAUCAACUUCGAUUCGCUUUGCUCGUCACAAGAUGAGGACCUGAGGAGAAACAAACAAGACGGAAGGGCGCUGGUGACCUGCUUCUUGGCCCCUCGCGCUCCGAUUGCUGAACGGCCACCGUCUUCUUGACCUGCGCCCUGGCCUUCCGCUCCUCGGCCUUCUCGAUCUGCAGGCCUCCGACGCGACGUCGCGGCGCGGAGCUGCCUCUGCCCAGGCGGGCUGGGCAGAGGAGAGCUGGGCAGAGGAGAGAGAGGAAGAAAGGAGGACAGUGGACAGUUUGAUUAUUAUUUUGUUAUGCAUCUAGACAUGAUAUACAUCUAGAUUCGUAGCAAAAGUUAUGUAUCCAAAAUAUCGUAGAUAUCUGACAGGAUUCAAUCAAUAGGUUCAAUCAAUAAUCUAGUAUAAGCAACAAGUGGAUUUUCCAAUUUUAUCCUCUUCUUCUCCGCCUCUAUAGAAGUCGACCGCCUAAUCCUCCACCUCUGGGUCCUCUUCCCUAUAAGUAGGUACAUAGCAAAAGAUAUGAAUUUAGAAAAGUCAAAACGAAUAGUAAUUUGGGAUGUAAAGAAUACAUACUUUUCUAUAACUACUGCAUAGUUAGAUUAAAGAAAUACCUUCCAACAAAUGCAUAUCGUGGGACGGUGGGAACCAAUAACAGCCGUGGUGCUGAUUAUACGAAUAAACUGAAUCGCUAUACAUAUCGAAUAAAACUAUUGGGACCAGAAAGGAAAAAGGGUUAAGCUGAGCUAUCAAGUGCGCUAUUCAAAUGUCCUGAGUCAUAAUUCAAAAUGGUUCAAAGUUCUAUUUCUGGAAGCAAGAUGUCUACUACGGUGACAAUGCAAUCGUUCUUUUUUUUUUUUGAGUUCCAGGUAAAAGAUCUCCAGUCCAUCUGCAUUGCAAUCAGGGCAAGAUGCAAUCAUUCUUUGUGUUAGUUAUUCUAGAUGCUGAAAUAAAAGGUUGCAUUCGUGUGGCCUGGCUGCACAGCACAUUGCUGAGUUUUAAACACAAAUUCACUGCUUUAUUUACACACAUUGAUCAUUGCGACAUAUAUGGUUCGAGCGGCUAGCAAUUUAUUUGUUCUGGAAUGCAACGGCUCUGAAGUACCACCAUCAUGCACGGACAGACACGAAAGCCAUGGUGGCAGGAGCUUAUGGCAAGACAGCGGUAGUUUGUUUCCCAAGGUCUCUCGUUCCCAUCAAUCUCGCCAUGAUGACAAAAAAAGAGUGCGAGAUAUAAGAUAUUACCAAGGAGGUGUACCGGAGGCGGAGGGCAAAGAAGAUUUUGGCCAUAUUUAUAGCAAAGUGCUACUGUGCUAAAAAGAUAUAUGGUAGACAUUAAUGAGUAUAGUAUUCUCUCCCAUCACAAUAUUUAAAACAUAACUUUUUUUUACUUCUCUUUUGUUUAUAUUAUAUUUUUUUAUAAAACUAGUCCAUCAACCCGUGCUCCGCAUGGCUAGCACUUUUAGGUGACAUAAAUAUUAGUAGUUUUUAUGUAAUUUCAUCUAGGUGAAUAAUCAAUCGAAUUUGCUAUUUUUGGUUAAUUUCCUAACACUUGUGGCAUCAUUAGAAGGAUCACAAAAAAAUUUCAGCACAAACUCUAAAUAAUUUAAAUAAUACAUAAUAUAUCAAUUAGUGCUUGUCAUGAUUGGGGAGCAAGAUAUAUACAUGUUGAAGAUUGUAGUGCAUACUAUGUUUGAAAUAAAAUUGCUAAGUACAAUUAACUUUGUUUUUAUUUCAAAGAUCCAGGACAAUAGGAAGCAAAUCAAUAUGUUUCCUAUCUUCUCUUUGGUGUAGUUUGUGUUCCACUAUGACAGCUAUCAAGAAAAUUGAGUACAUGGGCGUAUGGGAGCCCCCUCUUUUGGAAUUCAACCGUUUAUAGUAGCUAACUACAUUCAAAAUAGCAACGGUUAAUUCACAUAUUGAGUAAUUAGUAACAUGUUGAAUAUGAUACGUUUGGAGUGUAGUACUAUGUUUUGUAUGUCUCAUCAGUUACUUUGAAUUAUCUUAAAUUUCACAAUCAUGAAUAAUUUAUAAACUGAAAAUAACCCUAAAAGUGCUAUGAUAGUGAACAACAAUUAUACCUACUGAUCAAUAAGCAUCAUGUCAACUUUAAUGCGUGUUCGUGAAAAAAAAAGAUCAUGUCAAGACUUAAUUGUUCUCCACUACCAAGCAAGAUUGCAUUCCACUAUCUGGUUACCGUUGUCUUGAUUUUUCACAACUCAUUUCCUGGUUUAAUUUUGCUUAAGGUUUUGCACCCCAUCGCAACUUGUUCAAUUGCAUCAGCAAGAUGGUGAUGGAUCUAAUUGUACUAUGUUUCUAUACAAAAGUUAUAGUAUACAAACAUGGCACAAUACAAACAAUUUGAGAAGAAGAAUGAUCUUGUGAGAUAGAUUUGGAAGGAAUAUAAAUUGAGCUGCUUUUUAUACAAAAGUUACGAUAUACAAACAAUGAUCGCAUAGAGUAUAGAGAUUCAGUAGGAAUAAUAUAGUUCAAGAAGAAUUUUGUACUUUAAAUUCGGAAGGGAGAUGCAAAAUCGACCUUUUUAUCUGUAUGGAAGUUAUGGUAUAAAAAAAAUGUUCACGUAAAAUAGAUUUGGCAGGAAUAACAGUUCGAGAAGAACUCUUUACCUCUCAAUUGAUGAAAAUAAAUUCGGAAGGGAGAUGCAAAAUCGACCUUUUUAUUUGUAUAGAAGUUAUGGUAAAAAAAAUGUUCACGUAAAAUAGAUUCGGCAGGAAUAACUGUUCGAGAAGAAUUCUUUACCUCUCAAUUGAUGAAAAUGGCAGCAGGCAAGAGGCGAAAAAGAACAAACAGAAUGACUUGAGUUGUCGUUUGUCUUUCUAGUUGAUGGGAGCAGUACAAAAGUAUCGGUUUCUUUUUAUAUAUACACAUACGUACACGUGGAGUAUGUUGGAUUAGCUAGUUACCGGCCCUUUGGGGGUAUAGAUUAUGAAGAGAUUGAAAAAAAAUGAGAGAUUAGCUAGGGUAGAUGUGAUUGGUAGGAUAUUUUAGGCUUAUUUUUUUCGUAAAGAUUUAAAUUAGGCUGGAUGUGAUCAGUAGGAUACUAUUAGUUUAAUUUUUUCUUAAUGGUAGACAUGGGUAAUUGAGAUAUAGAUAUUAUAAGUGUGGGUAAUUGUUUUUUAAUGCCAGGAUACUAUAAAGAUUUUAAUUGUUUUUAGGUUAUUUCUCCAUAAUAUUAUAAGUGGGUGAUUUUUACAAAUAGAGCAUAGACCAACGGCUAUUAUUAACAAUGAUGAUUACGAUUUAGUGAGUUGACUUUUUUUUUAAGAAUUUCUAAGGUUUCUUUAAUUUUUUAGUGCCUACAUAGGCUCCUGUAUGGCUUCGUGUGGAGGUUUGAAAAAAGAACCUCCAAUUAUUUUGAUGGAGAGGAGACGCAAUCGACAUUAUUUUAGGUGAGGAGAGAUCGGUAGUAGAUGAUCAAGUGGAUUAAGUGUAGGCCUGGAGAAGUUAACCAAGAUUUGCUUCACGUCAGCUGUAUAGGCUAGAUGUUUUGUUCAAUUUUUUUUAAAUAGAAUAUAUUUAUUUUCCCAUGAGGAGGAUUCACGGCAUCCUUUGAUGAGCUCCCAUUGAUAGAGAUUAAGGAUUAAUAUUUUUUACUUUAUGUUAUUAUUAGUUAUUUUGGAAAUUGGGAUAUUCACGACAUCUUUUUUGAGAUUCCAUUGAUAGAGAUUAAGGAUUAAGAUUUUUAGUGGCACAUUUUGAUUAUUUAGAUACAAUUAGAUGAUUACAUUAGAUUAUUUUCAUAGUUGCAAAGGUCCUUAUUAUAUAAUGGCAUAUGUGUGUAAUUUUUUAGAAAAUAUAAUAGAUCUAAUGGCUACUAUUAACCAUCAUGAUUAGAGUCUAUCAGAUUGAUAGCUAGAUGUUUCUAAUUUUUGUAAGAAUUUUUAGAAUUUCUCUCUUUUUGUAGAGUGUCCACUUAGGAUACUAGGUGACUUCACAUAGAUGCCUUAAAAGAAGCCUCCAUUAGUAAUAGUAAUAUGUAACAAAAGUCCGACUUUACUUGUAACAUUUCCUCGUAUCCAAAUUUAACAAAUAAAAAUAAUUUCUAUUUGAGAUCUUCAACUGGGACUAAGGUCACUCUCUACCAGUGCUACCCAUCAGGGUUCAAGUCAUGAUUUAACCGGCGCUAUUCUUUCAGUGGUAGGCGACGUGCUCGUUAACAGCGAGGCGUCAGUGGCGACUUUGUCAAUCUCGAGGAUUUGCCAGUUCAGUUCUUCGGAGGGCUCAGGGGUAGGAUUGCAUGCGUGUGUUUGAAGGAGCGAGUGUGCAUUGAGUUAUUUGAAAAAAUAAUCAAAUUUUAAAAUAAUUGAAUUAAGACUAUCUAAAAACAUAAUUUAUUCGUCGCUGUGUACAGUGAGUUUGUUUCUGAUGAACGUACGAGUCACUGUGUAUUACCUGUCCAAUACAGUAACACUACACCAAGUCCGAGUUUGCAGUAUCAUACGGCAUGUUGGGACUGCUGAGGCGGAGGGGCCCCUCGGGUUUCUCGCCGUCGUCCACCGCCGAGGAGGUCACCGCCGGCAUCGAUGGUUGCGGCCUCGUCGCCAUCGUCACAGGUCACUCCGCUUGCAUACCCGCUCUUACCUCCCUCUCAACCUAAGUCAACUCUUGCUCCCGUAGUCGUACCUUGUCCUUGACUGAAUUCAGCGAUUCUUGAUUCGUUCCUCCUUUUAUUCUUGACUUUCAGUCUUCUACGAUUGUUUAUCCCCCCCAAGUAUUGCUCAAUCUUGUGAAAUUAGGGGCGAAAUCUUUUUUUUUUACUGUUCUGUGAUUUUGUUUGCUCCUCCGCUUCUUGCUUUUCAGUUCAGCAGGUAGUGACAGUGUAUCGCAUACCACUAGAUGUAAGCAAUUAUUGCAGUCGUUCUUGAUUUGCAUCUCAAAUUGUGCAGUUGGUCUGAAAAUUAAGGUGGCUUACAAUUGAUAGCAAUUGCCAUUGACGGUAAUGCUUCUCACCUACAGGUGCAUCUCAUGGGAUUGGUACUGAAACAUGCCGGGUUCUUGCGCUGCGAGGGGUCCAGGUGGUGAUGGGUGUGAGGAAUACAUUGUCCGGUGCGCGCGUGAGGGAAGAGAUUGUGAGACAGAUUCCUACGGCCAAGAUUGAGGUCCUGGAGCUUGACCUUAGCUCCAUGUCGUCAGUGAGAAGAUUUGUCAAAAAUUUCAAUGCGCUAAACCUUCCCCUGAACAUUCUGAUGUAAGUAUAAAUGCAUAACUAAUCUUCAGGACCAACCUAAUACUGGACUGAGCUCAUUGAAGUAGAGAAUUAUGUGAUGCUCAUUAGUUACUAAAAGUUGUAGUAUAGCCAAUGCCUUAAGAAUUUUGCCAUUGCUGUUUGUGCAUUACCUUUUUGUUUUACACGUUCUCAUUUGGUGUUACUUAUGGUUACACAAAAAUGAUUUGGCUGUGUUUUGUCUAAAGUAAUAAUGCAGGGAUUGCGUUUGUUCCUUUUGAGCUUUCAGAAGAUGGCAUUGAGCUGCAUUUUGCAACAAAUCACCUUGGUAUGCCGCACUUGUCGUCCUACACUCUUAUGUUGCCAUUUAUCUAAAGAAAGUACAAUUUUAAAGAGUCCCUGUUUUGUCAAAGAAAAAUUUUCUAGUUAAAAAAGUCAACGAGUAAAACUUUUUGCAACACUAAAGCUAUACAAUGGCUCUUUCACUUUACUUCACUACAGUUGGUUGAAUAUCGUUACACAUGAUUCAUAGUAGUUAUUGGAAAAUUUUCUGGCCCUUACUACAUCUUGCAAUUGGGUCCUGUGACGUAGGCCAUUUUCUGCUGACUGAUCUUUUGCUCGAGAAGAUCAAAGUUACAGCUGAACAGAGUGACAUAGAAGGAAGGAUUGUGAUUGUUUCAUCUGAAGGUUACAAGCACGCAUACCGGGAGGGAAUCCGUUUCCAUAAGAUCAAUGAUGAAUCUGGGUAUUUUCUCCUCAACCAACCACAUCAUUUCAAAGUAAUUUUUUUCACUUUCAUCUUGUCAUAAAUUGGCUACUGAAUUAUUAACUCACUUCAUUUCUGGAAAAUAACUUUUGUAAAGAAGCAUGACAGCAAAAUCUAACUUCUUUUUGACAAAUGACAGUUAUAGCAGAUUCUCAGCAUACGGCCAAUCUAAGCUCGCCAACAUAUUGCACUCAAAUGAACUUUCUAAAAACUUGAAGGUACCUGCACUUUAAUUUUUGAUUCAGAUGGUGAAGGUGUGCAUACGAUUGCAUUGUUUAGUCUGGUGAUGCAUGCUGACUAAAUAUUUACAGAUGAUAUGAUUUAUGCUUUUAUGUGAACAGUAAGAUUUAAUUUGGAUGUCACAUGUUUGUAACAGAACUUAUUGCUCUUCUACUAAGUUGACUUCUUAAGGUUAUGCCGGGGGGUCGUCUUCCCCCUGAGGUCUAGUUCAGAGUUAAAAUGAAAAUCUUAGAAACACGAAAACUGGACUGAAAUCAUUAUUAUUGUUUUAUUUUGGAUCUGCUCUGUGAAUAAAUAAUAUUUCUCACAGUUAUCUGUUACUCUGCUGACAGGAACAAAAUGCAAAAGUAGUAGUCAACUCGCUUCACCCAGGAGAAGUUUGCACCAACAUAAUGCAUCACUGGGCUUUCUUACAUGGUUUGGAUAUAUUUGACUAGUCCAUUCAGUGAUUUAAAAGUAGACCAUAUUUAAGCCUCCUAAAUUUGCCACUGUUAUUUUAUUGAAUCAUCAUUGCUAUGAGCUUUACUUAUAAUCUUUCUUUUUCUAAAAUGCACAGUCCAUAAUUUAGUAGUUACAUUAAAUUUAUGAAGGUGUCUGUUAAAAUUUUUUGUCUUACCUUUUAUUAUUUCUAUUUCAGGUCUUAUGUGUACGCUUGGCAAAUUUAUAUUGAAAGAUGUUGGUCAAGUAAGUUUUCAAUCCUGUAAAGAUAAAUUGAAUUUUCCUUCUUAUAGUAAGUUUUCAAUCCUGUAAAGAUAAAUUGAAUUUUCCUUCUUUAAAAAAAGUGGCUUUUUUUUAUUUCAUUAUAUGGGCAGUUUAAGUUUGUCUAUCUAUGUUUAACGAGAAUAUAUAUGCUUAUUUCACAAAUCCAAAGCUGAUAGUAUUGAUGUUUUAGUUAUGGUGUAUGUCUGGCUCUGCUAGCCCCAGCCUUAUGAAUGCAUUGCUCUGCCAAUGUGAACUUUUAAACUAAGCAUUGCACAAACCUAGAUAAUUGAUGCACUAUUAUCAUCAUAAGCUUUAUAUUUUGACUAAAAUUGCAUAUGCUUUACCAUAAUUGAAUAUUGAACAUGUCAUAGUCUUCUCUGCGUAAAUGAUAUUGGCAAUGUAGAAUUGUCUGGAAUCUACCCAACUGGUUUCAGGGGGCAAAAAGUGGGUCACAUGGAACUGUUGGACCAUACAACAGUAUGCUAGGCGACAAGUUAAUUAAGCAAACAUGAGGAAGUCAUUUGCAGUCAAACUUACAAACCCUUGUAAAUGGAUCUGUUGAUUGUUGCAACUAUUGAAACUCGCCCACUGCUUGUCAUUGGCCUUUCUGCAGGGUGCGGCCACAGUUUGUUAUCUGGCAUUGCAUCCUCAGGUUGCUGGAGUCACUGGCAAAUACUUUAUAGACUGCAAUGCUACUGAUCCAAAAUCUCCUGCAACUGAUAAGGAAUUGGUGAAAAGGCUCUGGGAUUUUAGUGCGAGCCUAGUCCAUUGAUUCAAAUUGGUGCAACAACUGUGAUUCUGUGAAAUACUAUUUGAGGAAAUAACCAGCCAAGUAAAACAUUGAAGGAACAAAAAUUCUGAGGUUAUGUCUCUUCAGAAAGAAAUGCUGAGGUUAUGAGCUAAAAGAUUUGUUCAGACAAAUGGAUAGCGAAUGUAAACAUGUUCAAAUUGAGUGAGGUGUCGUUAUUAUGUAGCAUGUAGCUGUGCAAUAGGUACUAUUGUAACUUGUUUGGACUCUUAUGUAACCCAUAUUUCUGAAUAUUCCGUAUGUAGUUUAUUUCCCAAUAUCUCUGAUUCCAGUGAAACUUUUGAGACAAAAAUUGCAAGAACGUUUUCAGGCUUAUGUUCUACUGUACUAAGGUAUUAUAUUUGGGGUUAUGCUGCAUUCAUGUAUGCUAUCUUGGCUUUCAAGUUCGUGAUCCGAUCAAGUACUACUUGGGUCUUUAUCAUUCAUUGUAGUUACGGCAACUUGUUCCUGGAGGGUUGCUCGUUUACGAGCUAGCAGAAGGCAUGACAAUACACUUGCUAUGGGAUCAUUGCUUGUUUGGUUUUGCUGAGUCUUGUGGUUGACCAAAAUGUUAGGAAUAAGGCUGUCUUUGAAAUUAUUACGCAAAAUUACUUUUGUCCAGUUGAAUCGAAUAUAUAGGUGCCAGUUAAUUAUUUUCUUAUUUAUUGUUUCUCAUAUAAGUAGAGGUGCAUGUGGUCAACAGGGUUUUGUUGAAUUGUUCCAAACGUCGAUGGAGCAUUAAGGAUUGUUGAGAUGAACUAUUCGGAGCACUAAAUUGCACUGUUCUCUGAGCUUCAGUUCAUUUAUUCAAUGUGUUAGUUUCAAAAGUACGAUAAUGUCAGCCAGUGGAGAGAAUAAAGUUGUUUUUCCUGUUAAUUGUUCUAGAAAUUAAAAAUAAAUUGUUGACUAUAGUCGCGUUAACCGAUUGCAUGAUAAAUCCUGUAGUCAAUUAAUCACAUUUUGCAACUUACACUACAGAUUUUUUUUCUUUUAAAAAAUUGUACCAAGCCUACAACACAAGAGUCAUCAGGCUUUCCAUCUUCAUAUAAAUAGCAACGCUGAUCGUUCAGACGAUAGUAGAAGAUUUUAUCCUGGAAUUGAACGAACGAUCUUUUACCCUCCAACCGCCAAACCCAGGCUGUGAAAUGACUUGCGUUGCUAGCCAACGCAAUGUGCAAUCAAAUGAUGGCUUAUCCACGAACUUGUCAGGAUACUCUAGUAGCGUUCGUAAAACGUCUAGUGCCAACUCAAAGAAGCAGUGGCAGUUUAUUUUCUAUAAAAUCUUGUGGAGAAUAAAAUGCACGAAUGUGUCUUUCAGCUUAUGUUCUACUCCUAGCAAGGAUUGCGUUCAUAUCUGUAGCAGAAUGCUUGGUGCACUGAAAGAUCGAGUAUGGUAGAAGAUUGUUGAGCACAACGUGUGCAUUAGGUCGAUAAAUUGAAUAGCAGCUAGGAAGCUGGCUUUAUGCCAUCGGAGAAGUUAAAUUUCUGUAAUCCACCAUCCUAAUAUUUCAAGUUUUACUAUUUCCCACAGGGGAUGCAGUUAAACGUUUUUCCAAAUUGUAGCAAGUGCACAGUGUAGGUAAUACAAAUCUGCAACUCGCACAUUUAUCUGACUUUUCAUCCUCUCAUAAAGCUAUAAUUUUGGUGAGUACUUUGCUUCUGAAUAAACAACCCUGACAUAAGGUUCCACAUCCAACUAUCUUGCACAUGAGUGUUUCAUUGCACACACCUUCAGCAUUGUUGCAACAAUUCACAGGGUGGUGGCUUGUGCAUGAUCCAGUCCAUGCCGCGUCAAUAAUAGUGUGCAUUUUAUCGACGAACCAUUGUGCCACGAGUACAAGUGAGAAGCUUAUAGGGCGAGUGGUGGUUUAUCUCCCAACGUCUCUCACUCCCAUCAGAAUUUUUUCUUUAACAAAAAAAUGCAAGAACUUUUGCUACCUUUUGUUCUACUAUAGCAUAGUUGCACUGCUUGUGCCGUUGUGGGAAGAUGACGUGCGAUCGUAUUUGUAUUGGCGUUCUAGACGAAAAGUAGAUAUUGUUGAGUACACGAUGCACGUUAGGUCAAGUUUAAGCACUGCAGCUAUUGACUGCCAAGAGAGAAUAUGUUCUACUGCGCCUUGGUUCUUCUGUUUCCCUCUAGGUGUCCUUGUUUGGUCUCUUGUUCCUCCUGGUUUAUUGGCUUGUCAUGGAGCUACCCCUACCCUUGUUUACAUAUAUAUACUCGGGUGGAGGGGGAUCUCAUGUCCUACGUACAUAGGAUCCCUGUCUGUAUUUAGUACGAAUCCCAUGUCUGAUGUGUAUGUGUUGUGCUGCAACAGGAGGAUACAACAUAACGUUCUUGAGAUUAGUCAAUUGGCAUCAUACACAGUUUGAUUCAGUAAAGUUUGUAUUCUUACCAUUUUUUUUUGAAAACUGUAUAUAGCGGGGAGGUCCCCACUGUGAUAUAUAUUAAAAAGAAAAAGAAACUGUACAUGAUAACAGCAAAAAGGCACCAAAGUACCUAAAAAGGAAAAAGCUUCACGAAAGAACAAAACAUGCUAAGCUAAAUUAAAUCAACCCAGUUAAGAUUAUCUAUUGCUUUCUUUGAUUCUUUGAGCUUGAAGUCUGGCCUCAUCUACAAAGUGUGAGACCUAGGAAUUUAUGGAUGGACGUUUCCUUCAAAAAUCAGUUCAUUCCUUUGCUUCUAGAUGUGCCAAGUAGCUAUAAUAAAAAUUUCCAUGAAGAAAGGGUUCUGGGACAUGUCUUUUGCCGUCUUUAGCAUCCCGUAGAAUGGAAGGUUGAGGUGCCAUUGUAGACCAAUUUUGUUCCAGCAAGCUGAACUGAAGCUACAGGUGAAGAAUAGGUGGUAGGCAAUUUCCUCCACAUUGUUGUUGCACAUUGCACAAUUAUAGUUGCCACAAUGGACCAUGAAGUUUUUCGGUUUCUUGACCAUGAAGUUUUUCGGUUUCUUGUGUUCAGUCUAUCCAUCAAGAGGGGCCAUGAAAAAACUCGAAGUUUGUUGAUACACGUGGACUUCCAUAUCCAUUAGAAUGGAGAGGGUGGCCUUAUGUUCUUAAAAAGGAAUUUAUAGAACUGCUUGGAGGAGUAGGUACUAGAUCCCUAUAUAUAGUGCUAGAAGUCCCGGGUUUCUUCCUGCACUUGAAUCUCCUGAAUGAUACCUUGCAACUCUUGGUAUUCGUGAAAGGCUUCUUCAGAUACCGGUAUAUGAAACUGUUCUUCUAUGGAGUUGUUUUGUAAAAGAAUGUGAUACUGUUAUGUGGGUGUUCUUUGUGAAGCUGAACAACCUUGGGAAGGAGUUUUUCAGCAGUCUGUCAUUCCAAACAUCCAACCAGAAGAGAAUAGAUUUACCAUCUCCAACUGUAAAUGUUGCUACCCCUCUGAACUGAUCACAAAGUUUUAUAAUGUAUUUCCACCGGAAAAAUCCAAACUUUUACAAUGUAUUUUCACCGGAAGGAUCCAAAUUUGCCCGCUGUGUGUGGGACUUCUCCAUUUGUGUAGUAAGUUUUCCAUAUCAACUUUACCCAUGGCACAUCUUUUUUAUUAUAGAAUUUACCAAGGUGUUUCAUUAGCAGUGCAUUGUUUUAUUUUCUAAAGUCAAUCACUCCCAAUCCUCCCUUGGAUUUUGGCUUACAACAUUUUGGCCAUGCUACCAAGGACUUCUUCUUAUCAUUCAUGUUUGAUCCUCUCCAAGGCAAUCCCUUCAAGCUCUGUCCAUGUUAUCAACUGCCCAUAGGAAUUUUUAAGGUGCACAUAGUGUAGGUGGGUAGAGUAGAGAAUACCGACUUGGUCAAUUCAACUUUACCAGCUAAUCCAAGAAACAUAGAAGUGGCAGACAGUCUCCUUUCCAUUUGAUUCAUUAGAGGAGCAAGAUCUAUAACUUUUGGUCUGGUGGUGCCUAGAGGCAGCCCAAGAUAUGUAAAGGGAAGACUGCCAAGAUUACAUCCAAAUAUUUUAGCUAAGCUGGUAGCCUUCUCCAUGUUGAGAUUUAAGGGAACUAGGAAUAAUUUGUGGUAGUUCACUCUUAAACCAGUGGAUUGAGAAAAGCCUUCCAGAAUUCCUUUGAGACGGAACAAUUCCAUUUCACAGGACCUUUAUGAUUAGGAUGGUGUUAUCUGCAUAUUGUAGAACUGGAAAAUCAUUUAUGGCUAUGUAGGGGAUUGGGAGGUUGAGAAUGUUCUGAGCGUGAGCCUUGUUAAUAAUGUAUUGCAGCAAGUUUGCAAUGACAAAAGGGAGUGGUGAGAGGGGGUCACCUAAUCUAACCCCUCUCUUGCAGUGAAAUUCUUUUCAUGGGAUGCCAUUAAGAAGAAUUCAGAAUGUCCUAGAAUCUAAGAUCCUUCUGACCCAAUCACACCACAUGUCACUGAAACCAAGAUGCUUCAUCAUGCUGAGGAUGGUGUUAUGCUCAAUAGUGUCAAAUGCUUUCUCAAGAUCUAACAUCAGGAUAAUGAUCUCUCUUUUUGAUUGUUGGCAUUGGUGGAUGUAUUCAAAUGCCCUUGCAAGGCAAUGUUGGAUUGUUCUGUUCUUUAUAAAUCCAUAUAGAUUCCGGUGGACAAUAGGAAUGAUCCUCUUCUGCAGUCUGUCUACCAUGAUCUUGGUUAGGAGCUUCAGAACUAAAUUCAUAAGAGAGAUUGGUCUAAAGUCAUUGGCUGUCAUUAAGUUAUUACACUUGGGUAUCAAGGUGAUGAAGGAACUAUUGAUAGCUUUUAAGUCUAGCUGUCCAGCAAAGAACUCCUCAUAGAGACUGUAAAUGUCUUCUUUGAUUAUAUUCUAGCAUAUCUUGAAGAAUAGUCCAUUGAAGCCAUCCAGCCCUAGGGAUUUGUCCGUGGGCAUUUGUGCCACUAUCUUGUCAAUUUCCUCUUUUGAAACAUGAUCAGAUAGUUGUUGUAGGUUACCAUGUCUAGGGAUAAGAUGUUCGAGGUCCAGAUGCAUAGUAGGGUUAGAGGUAGUUCCCAUUCUGCUCUUGUAUACAUCCUAGAGAAGAGAUGCCUUUUCAAAGUGAUAUGUGACUUGUCUUCCACCUGCUGUAUCAAGACUAGUUAUUGUGUUUUAUCUAACCUUUCUUUUGCUGCAGCAUGAAAGAGCUUUGUACUUUCAUCACUGAAUUUGGUCCAUCUAACAGUGUAUCUUUUUCUCCAGUAUUCCUUCUGACAUUUGAGUAACUUGAUGAUAUGUUCCUUUAGUAUGAUUCUAAAGUUUUUUCCCUAUAGAAAGAGGGGUCUUUGCUCUUCAAGUUUGUCCAGGACAACAAGUAUGGUGUUGCACUCCUUGAUAAGAUUUGAUAGAUGUCAAAGAGUCUUUGCUCCAUUUCUUGAGUGCUCUUCUAAGUAGUUUCAGUUUGGCAGUUAUUCUUGUUGCACUAUUAGUAGCUCUAACAUUUGUGUUCCAAACAUUUUGGACAAGGUCCAUAAAGCUAGGGACAUCCAACCAGAAAUUCUUGAGUAUGAAUAUAGUGGCCCUUGGUAUAUGUGUUUAGAUUUGAACCACACCGGGAGUGUGAUUAGAGGUAGGUUUGGCUAGGGGCAGCAUCAGAGUGUUAGGAUAUGAAUUAGUCCAAUUUAUCGAGGUGAAACACCAGUCUAAUUGCUCUAGCAAAGGAUCUUCUUGCAUAUUAUUCCAUGUAACUUCCUACCCUUUAAAGGAAUUUCUUGAAUGCACAGGUUGUUGAUUAUGGAGUUAAACAGAAAGAUAUCAUUCAUGUCUCCCCCUGCUUGUUUGUGUCACUGAGAUCUCUGUAGAAGUUAAAAUCUCCUAUGAUCAUCCAGUUUUCAUUGUCAAGUAUUGAUAAAUCAUUUAGCCAUGCAAAAAAUUCAUCCCUUUCUGUACCUUUGCAGUGUCCAUAAACUGUGAUUAAAUUCCAAUCAAGUUUGGAGGUAAAUUUAACAGAUAAUGCAAAGCGUAAACAGUCCAACACUUCCCCUUCGAAGAGAGCACUAUUCCAUCGUACCAGAAUUCCCCCUGAAACACCUAUUGAGGAAGUGAAAGCAAACUUAUUGAAUCUGUUAGGUGCCAAUUUCUUGAUAAAAGAAUGAUCAAAGCUUUCCUUCUUUGUUUCUUAGAGACAAUAGAUUGAACAUGCACUUUCCUCAAUUUUUGCCUUCACUGCAUCACAUUUGUCUUCCCUAUUUAGUCCUCUGAUUUUCCAGUUCAGAACAUUCCAACUUCUCUUUGAGUUUGUACUAUCAAUCACAAUAUUUUGAAAGUCUUCUAGGGGUUGUUAUCUCCAAGAGAGUGGCCCUCUCCCACAGCUUUUCAAAGUUUGUUUGAGAUUCAUUCAAUCCAAAGUAAAGUGCAGUCAAAAUGGAUAUAAAUUUAGGAGCAGAAACGGAUAGGACACAGGACCACCACAGAUAAUUGAUAGCAUACCAUUAGUAGCUAGUUUUGUGUUUGAAUUUGUACCACUAAAUCUCGAAAGAUAGCCUAGGAAAUGUUGUUGCACAUAAUAUCUCUUAGGUGCUGUCGUGUUCGGCAAUGGGAAGGCUUCUUCAGUCAAUAUAUGACUUGUGAAGAAUGUCUAGGAUUCCCGCCGCCAGCUCCCCCCCACCCCCAAACACAUGCACUUGUUAGACAUGAUAUUACCAAUAUCCAGAGUUGUUUGUUACACAGGUGUUAAAAGACUCAACAUGCCAGCACGUACACCGUGCUAGCCUAAGAAAAUUAGAAGCAUACACCCUUUAUUUCCCUCCCUAUAGCUACUGAACUGUUGAAGUAAAAAUCAAGUUCCUGAGGCUGCUCGUUUCCAUAAAUAUUUUAUUUACAUCAUUGAUGGAUACCAUCCUAGUCACUAAGCUCUAUUGAGUAGCAAUGCAUUCUAACGGGAGAGGGAGCGGGCACACACAUCAUCACCAGGAUGCAUGCUUGCAUAUAUAGAGAAGUGUUGGACAGAUAAGAAAACAAAUAACUGCAGCACGUAGUACGUAUUGUUAAUUGUUGGACUGAGCCAUCUAUCAAACAAUCAGUACAGUGGGAUAUAUCAUCCUUGGACUACCAUGGAUCAUAGAGUUGUUACUAUGCUAUUGAGGAUAUGCCUUCUUUGCCUUUUUCACAUUGUGCGCAGGAAACUCAAUUAAUCUAGACUUUAUUAUGCUCAUAACACACUUACCUUAAUGUGUUUUUGUGAUAUUUUUCAUGUAAGUUCACCUUUAACCAAAGUAUGAAACUCUAUAUCCAUUUUAUUAUGCUCCUUUGAAGCACCACACUUCUUGAUUUGCAGUAUAUCUUAUGACCCAUUUAAAUAUGAGAUGACAUCUCAUUUCUUAGACUGCAACAACAUAUACAUAGAAGUAUCAAUGAUCGCAAUUAUGAAUCUAUCAGUGAAAGAAAAUGAGCCAAUUAUCGAGUCAUGAUGAUCAAGAUUAUACUCAGCAGUGAAAUAAUUGAACUUAAGGAUUGCCAUAGUCAUUACUGCAUUGGUAACUAUUGGUCGGCAGAAGAAGUCUCCAUAAAGUUUCCAACUCCGGAAUAACUGGGAAUCUAUAUAUCAAGGCUGAGGCUGCACACUCUACAUAGCACACUGAAGAAUUCUUUUAAAAAGUCAUCAUAUAAAAAGGUUUUGGUGGAUUUAGACAACAAAGCUGAAUUUUCAUGGGCCAAAACUAUAUUGAGUUGUGCCUGAACUAUUUGACAUAGUGGGUAAAUUUGUGCCAUUAUUGCGUAAGUUUCAUUAUUGAGUAAAUUUCGUGGUCAGUCCUUAAACUAUGUGACGAUUCUUAUUAAGGACCUCACUGUGAGAUUGCACUUUGGGGUCCCAAAACUAUUCAAACGGGCAAUCUUAUUAAGGUCCCUUUAUUUCUAAAGUCCGGACCAAGUUGGAGAACAAGAAAGCACUAGAGUAAGAAAGGCAAAGGGCUGUAUCCAUUUCAUCCAAAAGCUUAGUGUACAAGGACACUCUGCCCUUCUAUUUAUGGUGGGGCAAACCGCCAUUUCACCUAUUUACUGUCAGUUGUUUUUAUCAAUAAGGGAAGAUUUUAUUAAUCAAGAUUGUUACAUUGAGCUGAUACAAAUAUCUUGAAGCACUCAUGGACUUUGCAUAACCAGGAUACACACAGCCUAAAAAUAAAAUAAAAAAACUGACACACUAAUGACAUUCAAUCCAAUGACUAGACAAUCAACCAUGUGCCGGGAUAAAAAAACUCCUUAGCCACAUGCUCCAAUCAUUGAGACACCACUGUAACUAAGUUCUGAAUAGAUGGCUUCUGAAGGAUAGCCCAAGUACGAAGCUAGUGUAUAACUAAGAAGAUAACCUGCAAAGGAGAUGAAGAACUUUUUUCAAUGACCAAGUCAUUACGACAUAGCCAAGUAAUCCAGUUUUUUUAGUGCACCUCUUGGGAUAGCGAAGUAAUACAUCAUAUACAUGGGCAGGCUACUAAGUACUAAGUUAAUCAGUGCUAACUGCCCCCUAUUGACAUGUGCUUGCCUUUCCAAGUAUCGAGUCAUUUCGAGAAACACUCAUAUAUUCUUUUCCAAUCAGAGUUUGAUAGUUUCCUAUAGUGUACAUGGAUCCCUAAGUAUCUCUAUCACACUUGGUUUUAAAAUAAAACCAAGUGCUACCUAUAUGUAUGCCAGGAUCUAGUUUCAUACAUAUAGUGACAUCAUUAGUGAAUAACAGUAAUAGUAUCACGUAAAAGAAAUAUAAAUAAAUACUUACGAGUCUAUCAGAGAUAUACAACUUAAUCCUGGAAAUGGGGGCUCCAAAUUUCAUAGGCAAUCGACUGGGGGUUGCGUAUGCCUAGAACUUAGCAUCAUCUUCAGAAAACUUCACACACCCUCCUCUUAUAAGCAGAAGUAAGCAAGGGUGAGUACACUUAUGGUUGGCACUCAACAAGGCCACAAGAAAUAACCAGAAUAAAUGAUUUAAGUCCAUCUUCAAGUUUUACACUCUAUGGAGGUUGCACAUCUUUACCCAUAAGUCGUGUGAAAGUUCAAAAGAACUUUAGACCCAACCAUGUUGUGCGGGCCAGGCACAAUACCACACUUCCGAGGUGUGAUUGUAUAGGGACGCUAUAAGGCCUUUACAAAGAUUCCCUAGUAAGUGGUAACCCGCUAAGGUUUCGGUAUCUAGCGCGCAUAAACCUCCAUAGUGGGCAUAGGUUCUUAGCAAGCUCCUUUCCCAAGAGGACCGGGUUAUACAAUGACUCAGUCCCCCCUCUUGCCCUUUCGGUAGGAUUACCUAAGACUAAAGUCUCUAAUUAAUUAGCCAAGACCAGAGCCAUUUAGUUCUUGUUGUUGUACUGUUUUCCCGGGUGAUUCUCCAUGUUCCAAUUAACAUUAUCAUGGUAUUAUAAAUAAGCAUAGGUAGAAGGGUGGUUAGGGAUACUUACCUUUCACCAAUGAAAAGUUACUCUUAUUGCUCUUCAGCUCUUGCUCUCUUGAAACCCUUAAUCUUCAAAUCUUUCGAACAAUGAUCCUUCUACUCGAAGCAAUCACCGGCACAAACAUACAAGCAAACAAACAAGUACAACUAAAAACAGUGCACUAGAGCAAAAGAAAAGCUUUAAAAAGACGUACUAAAGAAGGCGCGUGAAACACUAAAAACAGAACUAUGGUUGAAAAGGCACAGUUAUCGAGAGAUUUGAAUUAUAAAAGAAAUAAAAGGCUAUAUGCUUUAACCAAUUUUUCUUAAUAAAAUCAUGCACAUAGGUUAUUUCAGAAAUAGCCUAUUUGGAAUUAAGCAAGUUAUAUUUAAUCAUUGAAAACAUGAUAAAGUUAAUCAUAUUUUAUUUGUAAAUAUUCAAGUAUAAGUUAUGCCAAUUUAACACUUAACUUUAGAAACACAGAGCAUGUGUAUAAGACAUCUAAUCGAACAACUUAGUAUUUCAUGUUCAACUAAACAUGUUAAUGUGGAAAAGUCAUUUAUAAUAUUAUUAAUCAUAUUAACUUUAUUUAUGAAAACUAAUGUAUGCCACUAGAUAUCUUUUAUUUAGAAAAGCUGGUUAUAACUAAGAAUUAACCAAUUAAACCUUAGUUUACGAAAACCGGGAUAGAACCUAAUCAAGUUUUAAUUUAUAAAACUAAAUGAAUAAAAAUUAGUCAAGUUAAUAUUGGUUUGAUAAACCGAUGUAAACCUUACGUAAAUUCUCAUUAAGAAAAGACAUUCAAAUAGGCAUUAAUCAAAUUAAUAUUAAAUUUAUUUUAAAAGAUAUGCAUGAUGGAAAACAUCACCACUAUCAUAUAAUUUAUGUUAUGAUGAAUCUAACGCAACUUGAACGGAUUAAAACAGAGCUAAAACAUAUAUUCUAUGAGCUAAACAAUACUGGGAGGGCUUAGAUGUGAUUAACUAUAGAUGUCAGGGGCUAGAUUGAAAGAUUGAUAGGACAUAUGGAAUAGUGCUCCCCAUUAGGUCAAAGCCUAGGGUUAGAUCUGUAAAAACUCUCAGGUUGGACUUGGUCGCAUGGAUCUAAAAGUCUUAGGGGGCUUUCUGUGAAACGCACCAGACACAAGGAAAAGGAUAACUAAUUAUAGAUUUUUUCAAGGAUCCUUUUGCAAACCGGGGGUCUUCUUCUUCAACCUCCAUCUAGGACUCGGGCCGGGAUGGGCUCCCCGCGGCGGACGCGGCCGGGGCGCGACACGUAGGCACGGGGCGCGGGAGGUGCGGGCGGCGACAGAGGCGGGCGGUGGCGGCACGCAAGAGGCGACGUGGCGUGCCAGAUGGCGGCAGCUCAGGGAGGCGCGUGCGGCGGUGGUAGGACGACGAUGGGCGGCACAGGCGGUGGCGCUAGAGCAAGCGAGGACGGCGGGAGCGGUGGCAGUGCAACAGUUCUCAGUCGCCGGGGGCGACGGCUUUAUAGGGCGCGGGGCUCUAGUGUGGCUGGCGCGCACGCUGAGGUUGAUCGUGCGGCGGUGCCUGGCACAGGCGGCGGCCGGAAGUUAGGCCUCGGUCGGGCUGAAGCAAGCUGGCUGGACGGGUCGGAGAGGGUCGGGCCUAGGGGUUCGGCCCAUUGGGUUAGGAUAGUUUUUUUUUCAGAAUUAAUUUCUUGUGCAAAGAAAAAUUAAGGAAAUCUAGAUAAUUCAUUUAAGUCUCGAAAAAUACUCUGAAAAUCCCAAAAAUUCUAGGAAAAAUCCUAGAGAUAGUUUGGGGCACAAGGAGUCCAAAUAAAAUGCCUGGGACCGAUGAAAAAGAAGCUAGAGCCUUCUAAUAAAUAGAUUUGACUCUCAGAAAAAUGAGAAUAAAUUCUAGAAAAAGAUGGAAAAUUCUCAAAAGGACUUGAUCAUGGUCUAGGCACAUUUUAAAAUCUUUUGUACUCAAUAAAAACCAAGAUGCAUCGGCAUGAAUGCACAGACACAGAACACAUUAUUUAAUUCUGAAAAAUAAACAAUUAUUUUCCUAUAGUAAAUUUCCUAUAAAGAAAAAAAUUAAAUAUUGGAAAAAAAUUAAAAUUAUAAGAAAAUCAUUGUUUAUUUAUUCUUUUUAAUCACAUCUUGAAAUUCAAAAAUUUUAGGGUGUGACAAUCUUAUUGGAGAAACACCAGUUGUUGGCGCUCCUGAUCCAUUAUUUAUUAAGAUUCACAUUUAUCAAACGAUGAAAUGGAUAUGUAGAGUAGGAAUUGAAAACCAAUAAUAACCUAGGAUUGUGAACUGUGUUUUACUGCAGAUUGGUGUGACAAAGAUUUACUUUACUCAAUUACUCUUGGAACAAGCCAUCUCAUCCAAUAGAUUUAUAUGAACACUGAUGUGUUGCCCCCUUUCUUGUAGCAUUAGAUAUAAUAUAUAGGGAAAAGUACAAAAAGCCCUGAAAGCUAUAGCAUUAUUAGAACCCCCUAUACUUCAAUUUGUUACAGUCCACAACCUCUGACUUUAGUGAUUUUUAAAUUCCAUACUCACAAUAUUGAAUGUCCAACAUGACUUCGGGUGCUUCAUCACUGCUGGACAACCAACCUCUAGUAGCGGUCAGUAAUCCCCCUUUAGUAUCAGGUGCCCACCCGCUACCAGCAGUACUAAAUACCGAUCAUCAACUCAACAGUGACUGGUAUCGUGACCGUGACCACGUCGCGCUGUUGGGGAUGUCAGUUUACUAAAUAUCCCUUUUCUUUUUUUUCCCUUUCAUUUACCUUUUGUUUUAUAAUUCGUAUUCGUAUCCGAUCGAUCUUUUACUAAUAAUAUUAUCCUUAUAAUCUAGAUCUCUACAAUUUCAAUUUAGAGGUGGAAGCAUUUGAACCUUUGCUGUAAUGAGCCAAUGAUGAUGCAUUGCGCUGAGACGGAGAAGGAGAGGACAAUACACUAUUCUCAUGUGAUCCAUGUGAUUUCCAUAACACCUGAGAUGUACUGUCCCUGGUGCCAGACUUGAAGCCUAAUCCAAAAAAAUAUUAGAUGGUUAACAUUACGGGAGGGAUAUGGAAACUUUUAAAAACCAUAGCUAGCUAGGAGGGUUUAUUUUUGAAAUUACCCUAGUAUAUAUUACUACAUCAUGAUUUUCAUUCCACUUCCAGUUAGACAGCUAUAAUGAGGGAUCGAAGCUUUGGACUAAAUCAUCUUUUUUCAUUCUAAUAAGAGAUAAUUAUGUACAAUUUGUAAACUCCCAAAAUGUGGUGAAGUGGAACUCAACAAUGAAAUACACAUGAAUAUCAACUGUAAAACAUAAGUAAACUCAUCCCGUCAUCCGUGCCAACUUUGAUUUAGUUUACUCGCAAGAAAAGGUGUUUUUGCAUAAGGAAUGCCACAUCCUGGUUAGGUCGUACUAAUACCGCACAACACAGACUCAUUUCCAAUGGGUAGUAAGUCACUAAGGCCCAUAUGCUACUGUUUCACGACAUUAAUUAGAAUAACUGCAUAACAGAUCGAUGAGAUGAUGCCAUUUUCUUUUGGCAGAAAUGGAACGGCUUGUCGAAUUUGAUGGCAGUACUGCAGGAUGAUUUGUUGGAAAUGACAGGUCUCCUAGGGUGGUUUAUGCAUCCUUACAGCAACUCUAGUCUAUGCGGCGGCAAGAGCAACGGUUGUGGCAGUGCCAGUGGCAGCGGCAGUAGCAACUCUAGUUUAUGCAUCCUUACAUCUCUAGCUCGUCCUCCUCUACUUGUCCUCCUGGUUCUAGAAAAUAACCGCGAAAAAUACUCAGAUUUUUGCCUCGGUGACAUUCCAAACUUUCAAAGAUAAGUAUGGCAAAUAGAUUGUAAUGGAUAAACUAUCUCACAUGGUUGGCGUUACCAACCAUGAAACAAUAUUUAUCUUUCAUUCUAAGAGUUUCAUAGCAAGCAAGUCGUCUAAUUUCAGUAUUUCUGUAUAGUAGACUAGUAGUGUAUAACAUGUCGCAAGAUUUCUAUGAGAGGUGUACUUAACUACUUAUGAUGGAUCAAGUGACUUUAGACUAACUAUAAUGAUGGCCACUAGUACAUUGAUCUCAAUCCAUGUGGCCUAAGUGUUCUAGCGUCGCACCUUGUUGCUUGGUAAUAUAGAUUGGUUGGUUUCUAAGAUAUAUCACUCCAAGUAAGCAUAUACACAUGCUAAAUUUUUUACAUGAAGCUACAGUAGAAGUGUAAGGUUUGCCACAUAUGUGCAGGUCCAUCCCACAUGGAGCUGGGCUAUAAGAAAAUUUGUGCAUAUAGUUUUACAAGUCAGCGUUAAUCAUGGCUGCAAAAUUAAUGCUCAGAGAUGUACCACUAGGUAAUCUUGUUACACGAAGGAAAAAUGACAAAAUGUUAAGGUACCUACUAUACAGGCAUGCAGACAUGGGGGAGACAUAAGGGCAACCACGAUGUAUAUUGCCAAAGUAGUCCCUAACAGUGGAUGGACCUAUGACAGAGGGCUAUAGUCACUGCAAACUUCAUAAUAUUUAGCCCAAAAUAAAGCAACCAACAGUGGUGGAGCCUGCAAUUGUUAAAAACAAUUCCGAACUCAAUAAUAACCAUCGCUUCCUCUUUCUCCAUCCAUUCUUCGCUUGCCCACCUACAUUGCUCCCUCUCCAUCUCAGCCCAUCCUUCUUUCCUCUACCAAAUUGUAGCGCUUGGGAGUGGGAGGGGUCACGGCAACAGUAGGCGGAUGAUGAAGGCAAGGCCCGCGCUGGUGGAUUACCGAGCCUCCAAUUUGUCAUCUCCGUUACCAUAUCCGGCGACUGGUGAUGACCUCCCUGACAGCCACAACGGGUUGCGGUGAACGGUGACCUCCCUGUGUUUCAUCUUCACCGAGCUUGACAGCAAGGGGAGGCGCAGAGGUGUGGGUGGGGCGGCAACGCCAUCGGCGGAAACCAUGGUGGCCCUCCCCAAUCCCGUGGUGCCAGGAUCUAUAGUGGCUGGCCUUCCCUUGGCCGAUGCUCUGUUGGUGGGGGUAUGUACCAGCAAUGGCUCAGGAAGGAGCACAAGACAGUGGAGAUUGACAUCACUUUUAUGGCUAGCUGUAACUAUGGAAUGCUCAAUGCUGCAUAGAUGUGCCGCGUAUUGGUUCAGCUACCUUAAAGUGGUAUUUUAAUCCUUAUAGACUACUUUUCAACAGCAUUAUGGGCAUCCUAAUGGAAUCUGAGGUCGGGGGGUUACACCGUUACAGUAACAAAUCAUUCCAUUUUUAUCAAUCAGACAAUCAGAGUACUUAAGUGUUACUACUCGAGUAUGGUAGUUGGAGAUGGCAUAUGCCUAGCUGCCUGUAUUCUUUGCUGAGUCAUGUUACCGGAAUAAACAUGUGAUGCCACCAGAUUAAUACAACUCAUAUAGUCGUUGCCUCUAAGAUAAAUCUGCACCCCUUGAUUAUAAUAUAAUACCAUACCCACUUCAGCUGAAGUUCUCGACCGUUUUUCUUCCAGCUAGAGCUGAUGAGGCAUCGAAGCACCGUUGACUAGAUCUUCUUGAUUCUGUAGAUAAGCAUGUUUCGUAAUUCUUUUUAGAUGAGAUAAGCAUGCAAAAUUUGUUAUGUCCCAAAAUAUGACACACACCGUCGAUAACUAGAUUUAUCGAACUAAAUAUCUUGGCCAGACACAGGCCAAUCAUGUUUUUUUUUUAGACUCAAAUGCAAUCGAAAUACCAAACAUUAAAAUGAGUCCACUUUUCAAGUUUUGAACCUUCGGCGGACAUGGAUAAUGUUUGGUUCUCUUGGUUGGUUUAAAUUGUUCACUGAGGAGGUUUGCCUUGCAUAACGAUGCUUGCUACUAUAUAGCAAUAGCAUCCACCUUUUUAGUGCGGUCAGGAAAAAAUAAGUGAAUACAUGUGCAAUGCCCAAAGGUCCACCUCACUGUAUAUUAGCAUAAGCGUGCUCCAUGCAUAACCUGUUUAUUAGCAUAAGCGUGGAACACAUUACAGUCUGAUCAGUUGACCUUAUCUUCAUUAAUUACAGCUAAUCCGUAGACUUUGAGCUCAAUUAUGGCAAGAGAAUUUUCUGAUAGUCAAGCGGUCCGCCUCACCACGGCUAUGUUUUGUAUAUUAAGCUACCAUCGAUCCCAUCAUGACCGUAUACGAGCGAGUUCGUCGGCUCGGAGAGCAAUGUUUAGCCCACUGAAGCGGAGGAGGAGCCCUUCAGGGUUCUCGUCGUCGUCCAGCGCCGAGGAGGUCACCUCCGGCAUCGAUGGCUCCGGUCUGGUUGCCAUCGUCACAGGUUACUCGAUCAACCAUCAUGUUAACUCGAUCGUGCUUUCAGUUUGACUUUGUGAUCCAUUGGUUUGUUAAUUAGCUGUCCCAGUGUAAGUUUUGAUUUGUUGCUAAAUUUUAGUGGUUGUUAGUAUAAGGAUUUGAAUCUUGAUGUUGAAAUCGUAUCCAGUGACUUCACCACGCCAUCAGGAGGAAUGUACCCGGGCUGGUCUAGAAAGAUGGUGGCAAUGAUCUUAUGUUGAUAAGAGUGUUUUUUUUUGUUGUAGGUGGGUCUCAUGGGAUCGGAGCAGAAACCUGCCGGGUUCUAGCACUUCGAGGUGUGCACGUAGUGAUGGCGGUGAGGAACCCGUCAAGUGGUGCGCGCGUGAAGGAAGAGAUUGAGAGACAGGCUCCAACAGCCAAGAUUGACAUCAUGGAGCUUGACCUCAGCUCAAUGUCGUCUGUGAGAAGAUUCGCGAACAACUUCAAAGCGCUUAAUCUCCCGCUCAACAUUCUGGUGUAAGCAUACGCCUGUUUAAUCUUCACAAAUUUUAUGAUUGCAUUUAUGAGCAUCUAUUAAGGUAUUGGUGUCUGCCUAGUUAACUUCCCAACAACCAAAUUGCUUCAUUUUUUUUACCAAAGACCGUUUGGCCCUGCUUUUAUUCAAAGCACGUGUACUGGGGUUACCAGUUUCUACACAAAUCUCCAAACGCAGUUCGGAGACAGAUCAACUCAAUGCAACAAACAAGAAAAAACUCCACUGCUAGACAGUCCUCCACUACCUUCGGGCUAGAACAAAAGCUACACACAGUUUUGAAGCUCCUUCACCCGUGAUGGCAGUGGCGGAUGCGGCUCAUGAGCCUAGGAGGGGCUCCCUCUUCUUUCUCCUCCUUUCCUCCCAUCUCUUCUUGUCGUUCUUCCUAAAAAUCAUGGAGGGACUUAGGGGAGCUUCAUUGUCCAAGCGGCGGUAGGGGGGCUUGAGCCCCGCCUGCCCCACCGCUAGAUCCGCCCCUGCUUGAUGGUGCACAUGUCAUGACUUGUAUUGUUAGGAUUCAUCUUGCAUAAUAUGAUGAAAACACAAGCAGCAACCUAACUGGUCUUCGGGAGAGAGACCGAGAGGGGAAGAUUUCAUCCUACAACACCAGACAAUAGAAUGUGUACUUGGUGGUUGGAAUGGUCAAAAUGGAUUGUUCUUGUCACGGGAUCUUUUUGUGCAUAAUGGAUAAGAAAAGGUUCAUGCAAACAAAAGUCCAACUCAAUAACAAAUUCGCAAUCUAAAAGGCUAUUCAUGAGAGGCAAAGACAAUCAGCUCUUGGUUUUUCACUUAGCUGUAAGUGAGCCUACAACCGGAGCCAGUAUGUUUCUUUCUAUAGAACUUGUCGACGCCUUGGGUCGGUAGAUAUUUUAUUCAUCAAGAACCCCAUAUUUGGCAAAGAGCAAUCACAGUUGAACACAUGGAUACAAUGGUUUAUACUAGUUCGAACCUCAAGGUCAGGUAAAAGCCCAUCAUCUAAUUGGGAGCUGUAUAUGUAUUAUCUUGGCGAGCUGCAUGAUGGAUGUAGGUUACAAAGUGGUUUUAGGCUAAGGAUUUGAAGAUGACAACAUAGGGAUACCUAAACUAUAUAUGAUAGGAGUGCUUGGAAAAUAGUUAUUCAUGUGUCCGAAUCCUGAUUUGUGGCUCUUGUUGGGUUUCAACUCUAGCCUACCCAAAUGAAAGGCUAUGUUGUUGUUGUUGCUGCUGCUUAUCUUGCAAAGCCAAAUAUGCUAUUUUAGUUGGACUCUAACUCUUGUCUUCAAGAUAUCCUCAUAUCAUUCCUCGAGUAGUCUUCGUGCCCUGCAAGGUCCGUUCUGCUUGAAAUUGGUGUUUGGGAGUCCUCAUAAUCAGGGUACACCGGUAGCAUGGCAUCCUCUGGACCUAAAAAAGUUUUUGGUUGGCUUUUGUCGAAAACAACAUCGUUUCUCGUGAACCAUGUUACCCAACAAUUCUUCUGUGUGGAACAUGGAAUGUUCCACUUGCAUAGAUUGAUUUACAGGUUGCGAAUGGAUCUUUCUACUUGGGUGAAUUGAUUCACAACAUUUUGAAUGAAUUUCUCAAGCAUGUUCUUCAUAUCCAUUGUUCCCAUGCCCCGCCCAUGUCCGUACCCUGUUGCUCUAGCUAACGUGCUACAGUUCCACUAGUCCAAUAUUAGUUCUUUACAACGUACUCUUCUUAAAUGUAGGAAAAGCUUUACACUCUCAUUAAUGCAAUCUCCAUAACUUUUUAAUGAAUACAACUUGCUAGGGAAGAUUCAAAAUAUGAGAUCAACUACCUCCUCAGUUUAAAUAGCUUGGUUGAGCUUAUCAGGACAAAAUUUCUUGGAGGGUUUACAUGCAUAUACCGAUAAGUCAUGAUAAUUGGAUUUUCCCCAAAAGCCGGGUUCCUCCUAUCUUUUUCUAUCAUACAUUAAUUAAUUUUGUAUCAUGUAAGGGGCAUUGAUUUCUCUAUAUUCUUUUUGAAGUAAUAAUGCAGGGAUUUCCUAUGUGCCUUUCUCGCUUUCAGAAGAUGGCAUUGAGCUGCAAUUUGCAACAAAUCAUCUCGGUAUGCGACUCUCAUAAAUUGCCCUUUGUCUUGAAAAGACACAAAUUAAAGAAACCAAAAUAAAUUUUAUGCAAAUUUUGUAAGGAAAUUAUUAGAUGCAAUGCGUGUUGAAUUUAAUAGGGUGGCCCGAUUAGAAGGUGGGGAUCUUGUUAUCUCCUCCAUCGUGUGUUCACUUAAGUCCAAACACGUACAUGUAGUUAAGUGGAAGGGUUGACAAGAGGAUAGACUUUAGUGGACUUACUCCAAUGCACGAUAUAGUCUUGUAGACCUAAUAUUUUCUCAAUUUCUACAAUUUCAAAUUUUCAACUACUUGAAGGCUCAAAGUAAAAUGAGAAAAUUAAUUCUGUGCGUGACACUGAAAGAUAUCCAAAUCCUCAAUUCGGCACUGAAAAAAUAAGUAGUUCCACUACAAUUUAAUCAUUCCACUGCCAUCACCUAAAAACAAAAUAACUGUUAUGUGGCACUAGAAAAUAUACUAUUUUCCUAGCUUCCGCAUAUCAUAAACCCUAAAAUCUUCUUUCUCCAUUUUCUAUAUUAGUGGGACCUACUUGUCAACUUUUUCCAUUCUUGAUUCCAUCUCCUUUUCUUGCUCCCUCCCUCCCUUGCCCCCCUCCCCCUUUCUCUCUUCGCAAAUGAAUGGCUGGACAUGUGAAAUAAAACAAAUUAAUCUAAAUUUAAGAGUAAAUGGAAAUAAGGUAUAGGACGCAGAUCUCCUCCACGAAGAACCACAAUGCCAGAAGAGCACUGCCAGACCGAGUAUUGUAGAACCUGCCCGGGAGCUCAUCUCAUAAUCUCUUAUGACCCUCUUUGUGUGAUGUAAUGGAGAAGGAAGGAAGAAGAGAGAUACUUUAUUUCAUUUUGUUGAUAAAGGGUUUAUUUCAUUGAUUUGACCUCCUAUCUGGUAACCUUUAGUUGCUCAGCUGUAACUCGUGUACAAAGUCUGUUUACGUCCCAGCUCCUAAUGCAAAACGAGUCUGCAUACACAUAGCAUCUCUCUUCGUGUAAAAUAGUUGACCCACAUAUGUAAUGUUUGGAGAGACAAUGAAUAUAAGCGUGCUCUCACCACCUCUAAACUUACAAGGUGACAUUAAAACCACCAUACUACAACAAUAAUUGGGUCACAUGGAGCAAUAACAACCACUAUUUGGUAGGGCGUGGCCUAUUGCGUAGGAAGUAGCGAUGGGUGACAGGAGGUUUGGGCUUGAAGCAGGGGUGACGGGGAGGCACUGUGCUGUUUUCAUGGCGUCAGCUAGGAGGCGAGAGAGACGAGGGAAGCUAGGCAACAAUACCCUUUUAAUAUUAUUGCUUGAUUAAUCCCCUAGUAAAAUUGGGUUUAUAUAUCACCCCUAAAAGAGAAUCCUAACUGAUUACUCCUUGGCCAAACAAAGGCCUAAACCAACUCUAGCUUAUCUGUAUAAGACUCUAACUAACUGGGCUACUCCCCCUGUGGCGCCUGGGCCUGCUGCCUGCGCCUCCUGUAUGGGAUGCCAACCAUAACACUAUUACUAUGAGAUAUUGGGCUGAGAUAUUACAUCAUCACUAUUUCUACUAAACUGAAACCAAAUCGAACCAAAUGGAAGCACAACUAGAAGACAAUCACAACAAGCAAAGCCCUCGCCAGACGAAAAGAAGUAUAGAUUGAAGUCCUGCCUACCCAUAUCCUAGUGCGAGCUUUAGCCAGAAUGUCCCAAUCCACACACUAACGGUGGACAUCCCAACUGAGGAGGGCCAGAUCCAAAGUAGGUACGGAUUGAUCUUGUCUACAACAUAAUUCUAGCGCAUGCUCUUCAACUAUGUAAAUGUCGCUGGAGGAGAUAAGGGGUGGUGAAAGAGGGUGAGAAGAAGAACAAGAGCACAGGGGAGCCAUACAAGUGGACCCCACUUGUAAGUAGGGUUAUUAUAGUUUGGCAAUUUCCAAGAAGAGAGUAAUAGCUUGUGAAUCAAGAAUCAAUAAUAUUGUGUCGACAUCCUCUUUUGUUAGUCCUUGCAGCAGCAGAUUCUUAUAACACUUCCUUCUAGAAGGUUGGUAUGGCUUAGUUCUGAACACGUAGUACUGGGGUACUAGCUUUAGCGAGUCUAGCACAACAAGUUGCAGUACUAGCAAUUGUGGAGCUGCACCUAUGCCAUGUGCUGGCACCAGCCAAUCUAGUAUAUCCAACCACAUCUUCACAUGAUCUCAGCAAUCAACAGGUAGUUAAGAAUUUGCUUGCUUUGCCAGUUUGUUACGAUUACUGGAGGUGUUGAGGUUACAUAUGUAUCCCAUUCUUUAGACAUAGCUGUGACUAGCUACCAUUUGUUAGGGCCUUAUGACGACUUAAGGAGUGGAGGCAUAUUGAUUGCGAUUAAGGAAGAAUAUUGUACGGAGAUGUUCUUGUCCGUCUGGAUCCUAGGGCGUACCUUAGCUUGUCCUUCCUCAGACAGCUCUAGGGUGAAACCUUAGCAGCCUGUCCAUGUUCCACGUUCCGAGGACUUCGUCCUGGAACGAGGAAUGGGGACGGCCAGAAACAUCAUGCCAAAAGCUGGUGGAACGUGAUCCGCUACAGCUGGAACAUGAACAGCAGUAGGAGACUGGAAGAAUACUACAGCAACACCUUGCAGUCCAACGAAUCAAAGCUUCAUGUCCAAGCCUCCAAAGAUUUCUUAUUCUAGUAAUUUAGUAGCCAUCUAGACUACCAUCUAACUAGAAUUUGAUUAUGAACGUUUGUUAAUUCUUUUCGCUCGACUCAAAUAAUCUGGAACACGUUCCUUGUUCCAGGAACAUCGUUCCAAUCAUACUUGGUACGUGUUCCAUCUCCCAUAGGAACAUACUGAAGAGGUAUAUAUAUCCCCAUCGUACCAUAGUUUCUCAAAGUAGCAUACAACGUCCCACAUUCCCGUUCCUCGUUUCCCAACGUUCCGGGAACAUGCCUGCGAAGCUUGUGAGGUCCAACAGUGAAUUUCGGAAUAGGAGCUAAUGGAGAUGGCACAUAAGGGAUUGGAAAUCUCAAUUAGUCAUGUAGAAGGGAUCAACACCCUUUUCAGAAAAUUGAGGCUUUAGACAUCUCGGCACAUAGGGAAUUGUCUUUAAGUAGAAUGUGUGUGACAAUAAAGGAAUACAAACAUCUCCGUGCUUCAACUAUAUAAGUUACAUUGUGAAAAAUUGUUGAUCUUAUUACCCAUGCAUAAUUGUUAUUGUUGUAAAAUUUAAGCAGAUUAAGUAAUUCCUACAAUUUGGAACUGUUGUGCAGGUCAUUUUCUACUAACCGAUCUUUUACAUGAAAAUAUGAAAGUUACUGCUAUAGAGACUGGCCUGGAAGGAAGGAUUGUCAUAGUUGCUUCUGCAAGCCAUAGAUUCUCAUACAGAGAGGGAAUUCGUUUUGAUAAGAUAAAUCAUAUGUCCGGGUACUGUUUCAUAACUCUUUCAUUCUUGUUUCAUUGAUGCCAAAUUAUUUAAAUGUGUAUCAGCUAUUUGAUCACAGAUGAAGAAUACUAUAUAUUUCUGUGUGACACAUGACAGUAAAUUGAAUUUGUUUGGUCUUUGGUAACAGUUAUAAUGGCUUCUUUGCUUAUUGCCAGUCCAAGCUAGCCAACAUAUUGCACUCCAACGAACUAUCUAACCAAUUGAAGGUACACGCAGUUUCCUGUUUAUCUUUGAAAUGAUGAAGGUGCACAUACUUUUUAAUUUGGUAUAAGUCUGGUGAUUAACAUAGGCAUAGAGAGGUUUUACAAAUAGUCAAAUACUCUUCCUAAAAAAUAUUACUUUGAGGACUCUCCUGCGCUUUAACUGGUUGAGAGGACGGUGUGGAUGUCCUAAGAGAGGGAUGACAUGAAUUAGUGUUGACGACCAAAAUUGGCAGACCUGGUCAGACCUGUCCAAACCGGUCUACCAACCGGUCAGACUGGUUUGGUCAAAGUCCUCAAAAUGUAAAUUAUACUUUACCAUUGUGUAGUUCUCGUCGAGUAGAUCAAAAUGUAUAUGUAGAAUGUCCGAUUUGGAGUUUGGAUGAGAGAGUUAUGACCUCUGGAAGAUUUGCACCGAGAAAAACUGGACAUGACCGGUCUGGUCUGUGUUGUCCGAGUUAGGAGUUGUAUUUUGACAUGGAAUUUGUAAGGGUUUUGACUCCUAAUAGGGUAACACCUCCCUUCCCUAUAAAUAUAAAGGGCCACAGCCGAUUGAGGGUAUUCAAUCGAUAAAAAAUACAUCUUUUAUCUUUUUUACCUUUUCCCUUUGCCCUACCUUUUCCAAUCUACUAUUUGUUGUUCCUCCUUCGUCUCUACGUUGAUUGAGGGUGCUCUAGGUGGCCUGACAACCCUAGAGAAACCCUGCAUGCGCCUGCCCUGACGGGGUCCCUCCUGGGUAAGCAUUUGUUGGUCCAUCAUCGGCUGCCCCAACGAACUGGUCUGACCGGCCCGUGCAGAGAUGUUGCAAGGAGCUCCUCCACGCGCUGCAUGUUCAAUGCUCAAGUAUUUGGCACGGCGCAUUUUCGUGCCAACAAUCAGGAUGUUUUAUUAACUCUAACAAAAACUUUGCACAAGAUAAAGCCAAAAAUUUCUAUCUAGAUGUGCUCUAUGCUUUAUCUUGUGUCGCUACUCUUGCAAAAAGAGUUUUGUGAUCUAUUGCCAAACCUAUCGUACUAGCCUAGCAACUAUUCUACAAAAGUAUAAGGCACCAAACUAGAUUGCAAGGAGGUAAAAACAAAAAUGUAGAUUUGAUAAGCAAAGAAAUGAGCAAGAGGGCACAAACUCAUCGCAAGGGUUUAUCCUUCGGUAUUUAUGAUCAGAAUGACCACCACCCGUCCAUAUUAGGGCAUCCACUAAGGAUUAUGCUUUGGUCAGCGAAACCACCUAGGAUGGUGCUAUGAUCUCCCAUUAGGGUGGAGCUGUAGUCACCAUGGUAAGAGCCUUCAUGCAUGAAUCCAUAUACAACACUCACUGCUCGUCCACACAUCAAAGAGUUUGGAAAAUCUCCAAUGAUCCACAAAGGCACCAAUGUGUCUACCAUAUCAAUCUUAGAAGGUUGAUCACUCCUUAAUAUCUAUGUCUAGGUAGCUAGCAACACCUAGCUACAAUGAGCCUCUCCAGGUUUAAAUUAGCAUUAAUCAGCUAACUAUUGUGCUAAUUGCCUUGAAUGAUCACUUUUGGCCCUUGGAUGGGUGGUCUUGUCAAUUGAAUAUGAGCAUCUCACUAGACUCAAGCACUUUUAAAUGGAUGCAAGGGAGUGUAUUUAUAGGCUAGCUCAAGCCCUGAAACUAACAGUCAUUGCAAUAGCUCAAAUUUCUUGUAAAUGCCAAAUGACCCAGUGGUAUACAUCAGUUGCGAACAUUAUAUUGGAUGAUUUGGCAUGUUGCCGUCUCUAGUUACUGGGAUAUCCAUCAUUCUCACAUGAUUCACAGAAACUAAAAUCUACACUAUAUGUAACUCCCCAGUGAAACUCCGAUAGAUAGAAAUUUAUGAUUCCUGGAACAUCCGGUGUAUAGGCUAGAUCCACAACUAGCUGUUAGAUGUGGCAUUGUUAAUUCUGGUGUUUACCUUUAACAUUAUAUUCUUCUCUGGAUAAUCAUUCAGAAAUGCUCCAGCCACCCAGCGUGUGUACAUUGUUCUUUGUCCUGCAUGUAUAUUUUUUCUUGAAUCUUUACAUAGUGGAGUGAUCUUCAAUGCUUUGAGUUUUACAAUUUGCAUCGCAUCGGAUCAUUCGACAGGUACAUUUUCUUGGGAAUAAUCUAGCUAAUUUGAUUCAGACUUUGUCCCAGCUUUGGUGGCGUUUCUUGUAUUGCAAUCAUGUGACCUACUAAAGAAUUUACUAAAUUCUUGAUAAACUUAUUAGUCCCAUUGACUUUGGUAUCACUCAAUCACCAAAACCACAAUACGCCCCUAGCAAAGUUGUAAUUGCUACACUAAUGAACAAAAAGUUUCACCUAUGUUUGACUCCUUAACUACUUUAUCACUGCCGAUGCAGGAACAAAAUGCACAAGUGGUAGUUAACUCCCUUGAUCCAGGAGUUGUAGUCAGCAACAUUUUGCAUCACCGGUGGUUUCUACAGGGUAAAGAUAUAUUGGAAUAGUACAUUCAGUGACAUGCAAAAUAAAUCAACUUUGUUCUUUAACAUUUUGAUUGAUCAUGGUACAUUCAAAAUCUCCAUUCACCAUAUUAUUGAUCAUAGAAUUUUUUUAUGGGAACUUUAAUUAUGAUGGGCAUAAAGUAAUUAAUCCAUUGUUCUAUUUGCAUACCCUACCUUUCUUUUAUUGAUGAAAUGCAAGCAUUGCUACAUUGCGAAUGCCAAGUUUUUUAAGGUCACAACAAGAUUAUCAAUAACUUUUGUACAGUAUCUAAUUUGCAACUUUACAAGUCUCUAAUUUAGAUGAUGAAAGAAAGUAGUUUUUGAGAAAAUUAGCAAAGUAUUUUUUAUUUGGUGCAUAUUGUUUGAUGAUAGAUUUUUGGAAACUAAUCAAUACCAAUUUAAGUGUUUCAUAAAGAAAACUUACCAUAUUUUUUAGUAGGACCCACUCUCUCUUCUAGUAAUGCAUUGCUUUUUUAUGUACUUUUUAAGAAAACUAGAAAUGUUGAAAUUGAGUAGCACUUUAUCCGAUCUAGAAAACAAGUUAUUCUGGAAUUCAAAAUUUAUCCCAGAAAAAAGUCAUUUAUCCUAUUUGGUGUGUGCAUGUACAUACGUCAGUCAGUUAGCUUCAAAUAUAGCUAAUAAAUAGGGGCAAGGAUUUAUAUCCUUGUUGANNNNNNNNNNNNNNNNNNNNNNNNNNNNNNNNNNNNNNNNNNNNNNNNNNNNNNNNNNNNNNNNNNNNNNNNNNNNNNNNNNNNNNNNNNNNNNNNNNNNGGGGAGGGAGUACAUCAUUUCAUUAGUUACACCUAUCUAGUUUGUCCAGGUGCCUUCAAACUUAUAUUGUUCGGUCUGUAUCCUCUUUUCAGGUAUUGUUUUUGGGCUUGGUAAAUUUGUAUUCAAAAAUGUCCAACAAGUAAGUAUGGAUCCUCAUUCCAUUUCUAUGAGAAAAGAAAAGGUACUCUGUUAUUUUCAGAUAGGACUCACGUAUAGCACGUAUCUGCAACAGAAAGGCUGUGCCGGCAAUAGAUGUCAUAAUCUGCCCCAAAGCUUUCCAUACUUACUGCCGCUAGACUCUAGUUACUAUACGUUUGUUCAUUAGAUCGGACUGGUUUGUUUGGCCUAAUAAAUCUUACCAUCUUAAAUUAUCUUCUAAGAUCUCCAUUUAUGGAUACAACAUCGCCACUAGUAAAAGGGCACCAAGAUAAGGUCUCCAACAACUGCUCCAGCAGCAGCCAACAAGGUGCCCUUCUCUAAUACCAACUGUGCUCUGUAGUUGUGCGUCAACCUGUUCCACCAGCUUCCAGCUACCACAACGACCUUCACCUUCGCAUAGUUUACUGCCAAUAUAUGUGCAGAUGAUCUCCUAAUAACACAAUGCUGGGCAGGGUGGACACUAUCAUGCGGUUCUUAGCGUAAGAAAGCUGCUAGUGAACAUUGUUCACUAAAUAUACUUUGCGCCGCUCAUUUCUAAUUCUACACAAGAAAAGUAUAACCAAAUAAUCACUUAUAAUAGGAUAUGAUAGAUAUAUGAAAACCACACGGUCACAUCUCCACAGUUCAACAACCAACCUCUACAGACCAAACAUAAAUAUUUAAAUCUAUCUAUGCAUAUAAUUUAGAGUUUCGUAAUCAUUUUUGCUUGUUUGAAAUAAUCUUCAUACUUUUUUGCUCUUUCGUUGCAUUUAAUUUCCUUCUUAAAGUAUUGAGAAAUGCAAAUAUUUUAGCAUUCAUAAAUUUUGUGAAGAAUUUUGAACUGUUGAGUGCAUAUGCAAAUAUUUUAACAAAAUUCAAAAUGUUGAUAGUAUAUAUUUAUUUGUUACAAUGAUUGUUAAGUACCGGUGGGUAUUUCCAGUUACUUUUUUCUUUAAUUUUUUAUGACCGUUGAAAUGAGGAAUUUAAUUAACUAAAUUAAAUUAUUAGUACUUGGUCCCACCUAUUUGGUACUUUUUGAUACUUUUCUUUUGGUACUUCCUAUCUUUCCACCGCAUGAUUUCCAAUCAUUGUAAAAAUCCUUGUUUUAUAAAGUGUUGAAUCAGGUUAUGGAAAUUGUGAAUUUUUUUUAUUUGUUGAGCUGUGUUUCACAAUUAGUGUUCAAGCACAUUAAAACUUAAAAAGUUGUAUUCUCUUGCAUGGUUAAGAUCUCUAUGUGUUGUUUUAUCAUGGAGAAGUACAGAAAUGAACUUAUGUAACUAAUCGUAAAAUAUUGUCCACCACUAAGAAGUUUAAAAUAAGCACAGCAUGAAGUGCAUGUUGUUUCUGCAUGCCACCACAAACAAUAUAACCAUUUAGAAAAAUAAUAUAACCCGCUAGCUUCCCCUUUGUCUCUGCGUCCGAAUCCCGAGUGAUAAUAUCGUCAGAGACCAUGCUGGAGUUGGAGAAGAAGCUCCUCCACGUGGAUUAUGGUGUUGCUCUGGUUAGUUGUCCGAAAAUCAAGUGACAGCUGGACGGCUCCAAAACAAUUGAAUAACCUUUAGCUUUACCGUAUUUCUAGUAUUGAACAUGUUAUUUUGCACUAAGUAAAAUGGUGCUGGUAAUAAGGUGAACCUGCAACUACCUUUUGUUUUGAAUAAAGCUGGUUGAACGUGAGCUGGCUAGCUGUAUUGUAUAACUUUUUGCUGAUCAUCAACAUUAUCCAACUAUAUUAGUUUCAACGUUGUUCAUAUGGCAAACAUCCCAUAUCAUUUAUGUGCCAAUUAGUUCAUAUACAUUCUGCUACUGUUCAAACGUAUGCAGCUUGUGCUUAGCACUGAUCAUUUUGCAGGGAGCAGCUACAGUAUGCUAUUUGGCAUUGCAUCCUCAGGUUGCUGGAAUUACUGGCAAGUACUUCGCUGAUUGCAAUGCUGUUGAACUAAAGUCUCAUGCAGCCAACAGGGAAAUGGCCAAAAGGCUCUGGGAUUUCAGUGUGAGCCUACUCCGUUGAUACAAGUUAUGAAGGUAGUUGUUUUGGCGUUCUUGAGAUUACUCAAAUAGCAUCACGCAGUUUCAGUCUGUAAAGUCUGCAAUCGUCUGGCGUUCGAAUCGGUGCCUAGCAACUGUGUGUCAAGGAACUACAUUUAGGUGCUGUGAAACAGCAAGGCUUCUUCAGCAAGUGUACCUGAAGCCCCAUAUGUGAGUGGUCAGGGAACUGUCCUCGCCCAUCGAACUACUGUAAAGACUAAUAAUACCAGAUACAGUAAAAAAAAUAACAGUUGUAGUACAUAUUGUUGUUGAACUACCUCAUGAAAGCAAUCAGUAUGGUGUAGGAUGUAUCAUGAUUGGACUUAAAUGCGGAGAUAGAAAUGUUAGGAAAUAUUGCGAUGAGCAUACGCCAUCUUUUCCUUGCGAUAAUCUGCAAGGCAAACUGAAUUUAGACUAGAAUUACUGAGGGUUGUAACCAAUAAAUUAUUAUCACUACAAGAUAUGCAAUAAUUACUGAGGGUUUUAAGCAAGUGCUGAAGGGGCCUAGUAUUUUCAGAUACUUAACAGGAAUUUUUGGUCAGCAAUUGUUGAUUGGCAAUUCAUCUUCACCGUUGGAAAAUGAUCCUGUGAUACCCAAACAGCCUCAGCCAUUGGUGGAGAAAAUAAUAAAGAAUGGAAUCCCAUAAGCCACUUUGAAGAAAACUCUAGGGAUUAGCUUUGAAUCUGGUAGUGUAUGAUCUUUAUUGUUAUUUACAUAAAUGAUGUCAUUAGCGUAUUUUAUGACAUUUUUGCAUAUGAACUCAUACAUAAGCAAUUAUUCAUAUAUUAGAUGUUUCCUCGUUCAUACAACCAUAACAAAGUCCUCGUGGACAAACAGGAUUCGAGGAUUAUUAGUCCUCCUAAAAAUUUCCCUAAUUACCCACAAUGUUCUUCUAGAAUUCUAGGGACAGACCUCAGUUCAUAUUUUGCAUUGCAAAAACAGGACCAAAGUUUAGGUUCGUCUUACAACUCAGUUCACCAGCUUAACAGAAACACGCAGACCACAGGAACGACAUAAAUCAUGCUCCAAUUUCACUUACCAACUGGUUCAACCUACCAACAUAAGGGAAAGGAAACUAAGCAUAACGGGAUGAUAGAACAUCCUGUUAAUCCGCCGCCAAGAGAGCAGACAGCUUACUGUCUUCCCAGUGAUAGAACAUGCAGCUGGGAGCUCGCCAACAAAGCUUCCUGUCAAGUCUUAACCUUCGUUAUUCAUUAGAAGUUGUUUCCCUUUCAGCCAGCAACACCCGUCGGCAGUAUCCUCGGCAGUGUCCUCACCAGCUACGAGCUGCCCCAUUGUCCUCCAGGCUCCACGUCGCUAGAUGACGACCAGGGCAGAGCAGACACAAGCUCUUCACACACAACAGCCAUCAUUUGUGUAAAAUAACAGUGUAAAUAGCAUACAUCUUUGGUUUCUUCAACUACCAUCACUACUAAAAAGAUAAGGUUUUCUACAAUUCAACACAAUAACUCGAUUCCUGAGGCCUCUCAUUUCCAUUUGUACUUUGGGCGCGGAUAGAGGAUAGAAAUUAUAUUAGUCGAGUUAGCAGUAUGCUUUGCCAGCUAGAUUGCAACAGAGCGCGUGAUGGAAAAGUUGUAGGCACAAACGGAUAUACAGGAGGAUGCAUGUGCAUAUAUGAUAUAUACGAAGUGCUGCAGAUUAGAAGAACGGCAACAGACCAAUAAGCAUACAGUAGUAUGUACUCCUUCAGUUUCAAAUUGUUGGUCGUUUUGGUUUUCUAAUACAUAGAUUUCAUUAUGUAUCUAAACAUAAUCUAUAUCUAGGUGCAUAACAAAAAUCAUAUAUAUAGAAAAGUCAAAACGACCUACAAUUUGAAACAGAGGGAGUACGUAUUUUUUAGGCCAACUACUCAUGGCUCAUAAUUAUAGUAGUACGUUAGGUUGCCUAUAUAUCCGUUUGUGCCUACAGGACUUUUCCAUCGCGCGCUCAGCUAGCUGAGAAGUUGAACCAUUUGUUAUAUAGUAGUACGUCAAGUUUCUAUCCAUAUUUUUCAAGCACACAGAGUCGUGACAUGUCAGCUCGCACAUCCUUGAGAAGUUGAAGCAUUUGUUAUGGAAUCCAUGCUAGCAGCACGAAAACCACCACCUUGGCUACUAUUCACUUAUUCUUACUACUACCAAUCUUUGCUAUUUUUGGUGUUUGAGUAUAAACUUUUAGAAAGUUGAGCUAAUUUUCUCGAACACAAAUAGAAAUCUAGCCUAUGAUUGUGCUCAACAUCACGUACACGCAUCCGACUUCAAUGCUUUUUUAGUCAAAUGUUCAUUUUCAAUAGUAAAUUAAUCAUCUAGUAACUGCCUCCUUCAAGAAUCUGAUUUAUAAACAGUUAAGCACCCAGAAGUUUGAUAAUAGUGAAUAAAGAUAUAAUGAAAGAAUGCUAGCAACAAGUCUUUCACAAAAUUGAUGCGUGUACUCUUGGUAACUUGCGAAAUAAAGAACACAUCUUCUGAUUGGGUGGUACCAUCUGUGAUAAAAUCCUGAAGUUUUCUAUAACUUUGACAAAAGGAAUCGCCCCCGCGUCGCUCCUGGACGACACAGGCGCUGGAAGCCUGUGCGGACGCCAGGAUGGCGGCGGCAGGAUCUUUGCAGCUAGCUCCUGGUGGGGAGCACUCGUCCUCCCCCUGGAGUCCAAGCUAGCUCCUGCAGCAGGGGUCGCGGCUAUACCAUGGAGGCCCAGAUCCAUGCCGGGGAGGGACGGAUCCGGUGAUUCCACAUUCGGAUCCGGCCGUUUUGGGCCCCUGCGCCAGCGGUAUCCUUGGCAUGGCGAGGUGGCCGUGGUGGCAACCAAGCUCGGUGGGUGAUGGCUGCACGAGUAGGUGGCUGUAACAUCCGCAAAUUUGCGAAAUGUUAAUUUUUAGCAAAAAGUGAAAAAUUCAAAAAUUUUGUUUGAACUGUGUGAACCAUGAGUAUAAAUUGCAAAAUUAAGAUUUAAAUUCCUCCUCUCUCCCAAAAAUCCCUAGAAAAUGAAAAUGGUGCACUAAAUAACUAGGAAUGACCUUUCAUGGAUGAGUUGAAUUUUUAUUUGAAUUUAUUUGGAUUUUAUUUGGCUGAAUUCAAAUUUAAAAUCUAAACUCAAAUUUGAAUUGGAAAAACAAAAAAACAAACUUACCUGGGCCGAAACCACGCCUGGCCCACAAAACCUCCCCGGCCUCAUCCCUUCGCCGGCCUACCAACGCCACCACCUGGGUCGAAACCCCUCACACGACCGCGGCCCAACUAAUGGCCCAACCGGCCCCGUCUGCCUACACCAGCACCGCACCCUUUCCCUUUUCCUCUCGCCGACAGGUGAGACCCACCUGUCAGCUUUCUCUCCUACCUCCGCCUCCUCCGCUGACCACUCUGCUCUGCCGUCGCCCUGUACUACUGCACGCCUCACCCCGCGACAAAGGAAGCCGUGGAGCCUUCCAGAGCCUGCGUUGCGCACCCCCAUGACCCCACACUCACCCCACCCGCACCCCGGAGCCGUUAGAUUCUCAUCACGCCAGCCCCGCAUGCAUAUCCCAAGGAUCACCGGCCGUCCGCUCAACCCUGGCGCCCAAGCCCUAGGUGCGCCGCUAUUUAACCCCCGCCCACACUGUUCUGACGCACCGCAAGCUCUAGGGCCACUCCCACCUACCAUUGCCACCAAGGAGAAGAAGAAAUGGAGAAGGGGAAAGGGGAGAGCUGAAGCGGAGGAGGAAGAACACCACCGCCGGAGCCGUCUGAGGCGCAAUAGCUGACAAGCCGGCCUUCGUGCAACCAUGCCAUUGUCCCUGUGCACACCUCCUCGGCCUCAAAGUAAUUGCGGAGAUUCGUGCCGAAACGAAAUAGGAAUCAACAAGAGAAAAACUUUGUUAGUAAGGAAUCAAAUGCUGGAGAAUUCUUUUCUAAUAGACUUCUCCCAGCCUCACCUCACCGCUGCACCGCGCCCACGCCACCGAGCUGCCACGGUGAGCCCUUGCCUUCUCUGUUUUUCGCUCACCGUCGUGAAUAAGGCCGCAGCCAUGGUCAACCAUAGGCCCGCGCGCUUCACUAGCAUCGCUGUCGUGCUUUGUCUCUGUCCAGCCAUCGAGCUGCGUCUCAUGCAGGGGCUUACGCUCGGCCUCAGCUCGCCACCGCCACGCACCUCGCCACGCUCUCGAUGCGGACGCCGCUCUAGCGCGUCGCCUUGGUAGCCAUCGCAGCCCCUAGGAACCCCAAAGACACCACCUUUGAGCACCGGUGAGAUUCGCCUCGCCAAGACCAGCCUAACCGCGCUCUAGCCGUCCUCACUGCCGACUCUAGUCGUUCCGCAGCGUGCAGCCACCGCCCGCCGGUGGCGCCGAGGACACUCGCCAUCGUGGAAGCCCGAGAAGGCUAGAAAGCCGGUGUGGCAGCAACAUAGCAUGUGUUGUGACCUCGCCAGAGUUACAAGAGCACCGUCACCAGAGAAACAGGAGCUCCGCCACCUACCGCCGCCCGUUGACACCCUAGGCCGCUUCGCCGACGGAAGUUAGGGCUAGGCGGUGACUCUUAGGCCCUAACUUCCUGUGGGGCCACCGGAGGGGGAACUCCAGCGAGCCCCGGCCAUGACCAUGGCAGAGGAGAGGGAGCAGACACGCUCGCCGUCGAAUUACCCCGUCGUGGAUGUGGCCCACGUGAACCACAGUCUAUGUUCACGGUGGACCAAGCCCUGAGCCGCACUGUGGACCGCGACACAUGCGGGAUAACAUGGUGGCUUAGCCACAUGAGCCGCAGACAGUCCGCGCCUAGGCCAAGCCCUGGUAGCGUCCACCUCUUCGCCACAUUGACGCCACGCGUACCUAAGCGCCUGCCUACAGCCAUCCUAUCGCCCUUGCGUGGCAGCACAGGUGGCAGCCGCAUGGAUGACACGUAAGCGCCACCUCAGCGCUAGUGGCAACCUAGAGCCCCCUAAAGCUUCCUAUAGACCCCCACGUGGCUGUUGACUCCGCAGCCACAUGGCUAACGCGUGUGCACCACCUAAGCGCUAUAGAUAGACAAUAGCUAGCCUAGAGACAACCUAUAGCUACCCUAUAGCUAACAGGGUGCCACAUCAGCAUGUGGGGCCCCCUGACCCUGGACCCGUUGUCGAUGUUUUAUACCGGCAGCCUACCAAGGGGUACCCGAGGUAGUCUAUUUAUCGAUGGGGGAUCGCCGGACCUGGAACCUGAAGGUAAAAGCGAGGGCACAAGACAUGGAUUUAGACAAGUUCGAGCCGUCGGAGUAGCGUAAUACCCUACGUCCUGUGUGAAGGUGUUUGUAUAUUGCGCCCUGCGCUUGUGUGUUGAGGUGUGACCUGCUGAGCUAGGUACCCCUACCCUCCUUUAUAUACUCCAGGGGGCAGAGUACUAGUCGGAUUACAAGGAGGAGUCCUAGUAGGAGUACACGGUAUGAGUCCUAGUCGGAUUACAGGGGAAUCCUAGUAGGAGUCCAACUUCUUCCUUCCUUGCGGGUACUAGGGAUCUAUCCUCAACACCCGUUGACUUUGACCGUUGAUCAAGUCAACACUGACGUCAUCACCCUAAUGACGUCAGCAAGACGCGUGGCAUGCUCUGGUACCACCACGUGUCACCUCGGUGAAUUUUAUCAGUUUCGCAAAUUAUUUAAAAAUCCAAAAAUCAAUUUAAACCUCAAAAAUUCAUAACUAAUUCAUCCUAACUCCAAAAAUUAUGAAAUCAGUUUCAUAAUUUUUCUAAAAUCAUGAAAAAUACAAUAGACUAGUCCUUGAUCUUGUUUGGGUCUUCUAUGGAUCUCUUUUAGAUUUACUUUGCAAUUAGACCCCUGGUAAUAUUGAAAAUCGUGUAAUUAGGAUUUGUCAAAGAUUCGGAGCUAAAGACGGAGCCGGAGCCAUUCGAGGACCACUACAAGCAAGGAAGCAACUCCAAGUUCACACCCAUUUGAUUUGAAUACCCAUUAGGCAUUGCUAUUAGAAUGCUAGUGCUUUAUUUCCUCGCAUUAUGAUGAUGAACCAUGCAUAGCCUAUUUUUAUGCCUUAAUUCCUUGAGUGACCUACUACCAUACUACUUAUAUAUGCUAUGUGCCAUGCUUGCAUGUGUAUUGGAUAUUGUGAUUAGGAUUCUUGGCGUGAGUGGGGUUAAAUCCUGCAGGAGUAGGUGUUUUUGGGAUAUUUGACGGGGGUGAGCUUUACACAACCCAGUCUUUGGAUUGGGGGCUUGGGGUUCAUUCUCGGACGUUCCCUAUUUGGUACUUGUUGCGAGUACAUGGUUGAGGAGCAUAGGAGUUGGUGGUGAUACCUGUUAUGGGUACUGUUGCAAUCCUAGUGGUGGAGUCGCUUUGUGGGAGAUCAGGAGCUUGCCCCAGUCUGAAAUUGAGUGGGUCGCCAUGCUUCACGGGAAUAUGUUAAACGUGCAUGUCACUUGCCGAAUUAUGGGUUUAGGCCCGGUUGAGAUUGGCAAGUGCGGUAUCAUACCUACCGUAGGAUAGAGUAUAAGUGUAGGGGGAGUGGUGUUGACCUUUAGCCCCUUGAUUUGCUUUUACCCCCGAUUGGCCCUGGUGGGAGUGCUUCACAGUUCCAGGGUGGUCCACUACAGGGGAUCGCGUCCGAGCCCGGUUGCAGGAUGGUAACGUAACUCCUAGGUUCUUCGCUUGGUAGAGUGAUGUUCAGUCGGCUGAUCACCAGUUGUGUUUACUCUGAGAUGGGUCCAGGUGUAUACACUUUGUAGAGUUCAAACUAUACGUAUAGCCGCGUCCUCGAUCAUGGACAACCCUAUGUCGCAAUGACUCUCCAUUGUUUUGGGAUAUCUCUACCUCCCCCUUAUAGCUACUUGAGUGUUGUGAGCCGCAAAUGCAGUCGGGGAGAGGAGGAGUUGCUCCCUCCUGCCUUUAGGAUCCGGCUGUAGUUCUUGAGAGGCGAAGAGAGGGAGUCUUCGCCUCGACCCUAGAAUGGAGAUAGGAUGUUGGUGAUAGAGACCCUGUUGAGGCAUGUGUGCCCGAUGUGAUGAGAGAUUUGGGGUGAUGGAUAUGGGAGUUCAUAUUUAAUUGAGAUAGGAUGUUGGUGAUAGGUACCCUAUUAAGACUUGGCUAAUACUAUUUAAUUGAGUUUUCUAUAUCAAAUUAAUAUAGAGUCGUACCUCAGCUUUUCAUAAUCAAACUUAAUUUGAUUAAUGUUCGAAUCAACUUUCCUAAAUAAAAGUUGAUUAGGUUUUUACACUAGCUUUUAUAAAUAAUAAAAUAAAUCUUAACAUGAUUAAUACCAAUGUGAAUAUGUUUUCAAUAACAAUUUGAUCCACUGGAAUCAUAAAGCAUACGUUUAGAUGUUUCAUAUAGUUUAUCUUUUCUAAAGUCAAAUGUUAAAUGGUAUAAUCUAUACUUUAAUAUUUGUAAUUAAAUAUGGUUAAGUUAUAAAACGGUUUUUCUUAAGUAUUCAUAAAUUGACUAAAGUCAAUAUGAAAUGUGUUUUCUAAAUAAAGUUUGUUUAGCCAACACGACAUAUGUGUUUAUUCGAUUAGUUGUUCUCGCCUUUCUAAAGUUAAGUGUGUAAUGGGUACAAUUUAUACAUAGGCAUUUAUGAAUAAAACUUGACUACGCUUUACCUCGAUCUUUGCAAAUGAAGUAUAAAUUGCAUUAAUUCCAACUUAGGGUAUUUUCUUUCUAAAAUAUCCUUUAUAUAUGUUUUGCAAAUUAAAAUAAACCUAGCAUCUACUCUUUUGUGCUCUCAUAAACAUAAAUCGUUCGAUAGUCGUCAUUGUCAGCUUUAGCUCAAUAUCUCUUCUGAAGAUCUAGUCUUCUGUAAAGCUUUAGAUCUUUCCAGUUCCAGCUCAGACCCUAUUUCUUUUAUAUAUCUAACCAAGCUUUUCCUUUUCAAGCAUAGUUUGAGUGCUUUAGUGAUCCGAAUAGUUUAUCUUAGAGUUUCUGUUCUGCCUAUUAGUCUGAUCAUGCUUGUCCUUAUUUUUCUUAUAAUCCUAUAUCCAGUUCAUAGCUAUCUUAUAUCCUAGUUAUCUCUUUUUGAGUCAGCUAUGUUCUUUAUGGCUAAACCUUUCGCAACCAUCUCUUUAGAGCUGAUCUUGUUAGUUAGUUUCUCCGCCAACUAGUUUAGUUUAGCUUUGACUAAUUUGUUGUCCCAGCAGUCUAGUUGUUCUCUCCAUAGACUAGUCUUUCCUAAACCAUAGUUUACACUUUUCUUCUACGCUCUAGAGUAGUCUAUUUGUGUUGUUCUUGUCCGUUUCACCUUAACUUAUACGCUAGCAUGUUGCUUGAUUUUAACAUCAAAGUUAAAUGUGAACUUGACUAAUUCUUAUUCAAUUAGUUUUCUAAAUAAAAGUUGAUUAGGUUCUAUCCCAGUUUUCAUAAACUAAGAUUUAAUUGGUUAAUUCUUAUUUAUAACCAGCUUUUCUAAAUCAAAGAUAUCUAGUGUUAUACAUCGGUUUUCAUAAAUAAAUUUAAUAUGCUUAAUAAUAUUAUAAAUACCUUUUCCAUAUUAACAUGUUUAGUUGAACCCGAAAUACAAAGUUAUUCGAUUAGAUGUCUUAUACAUGCUCUGAGUUUCUAAAGUUAAUUGUUAAAUUGGCAUAACUUGUACUUGAAUAUUUACAAAUAAAAUAUAAUUAAGUUUAUCAUGUUUUUAAUUAUUAAAUAUAUAAAUUACUUAAUUCCAAAUAGGAUAUUUCUCUGAAAUACCCUAUGUGCAUGUUUUAUUUAAUUAAAAUGGAUCAAGCAUAUAAUCUUUUUAUUCUUUUAUAAAAUAGACGUAUGGAUAGUUUUGCCAUGUCGACCAUAGUCCCGUUCUUAGCGUUUCCUACGUUUGGGUGAUCCUAGAAUCGAGCCCUAUCCUUUAGUACGCUCUUUUAAAGAUUUUCUUUUGUUUUUGUGUAUUGUUCUUAGUUGUACUUGUUUGUUUGCUUGUAUGUUUGUGCCGAUAAUUGCUUCGAGUAGAAGGAUCGUUGUUCGAAAGAUUCGAAAAUUAAGAGUUUCAAGAGAACUAGAGCUGAAGAGCAGUAAGAGUAACUUUUCGUUGGAGAAAGGCAUGUAUCCCUAACUAUCCUUCUACCUGUGCUUUGUUUACAAUAUCAUGAUAAUGUUGAUUGGAACAUGGAGCGACCACCUAGGAAAACAGUACAACCAAAGGAACUAAAUGGCUCUGAUUUGGCUAAUUAAUUAGAGACUUUAUUAUAGGGUAAUCUUACCGAAAGGGCAAGAAGGGCGGCGGUAGAUGGGUAUAACCCGGUCCUCUUGGGAAGUGAGCUUUACUAAGACACUAUACCCACUCGGGAGGUUUAUGCUCUGCUACUGAUACGAAAACCUUAACGGGUUACCACUUACUAGGGAUCUUUGUAAAGGCCUCAUAGCGUCCCUAUGCAGUCACACCUCAGUAGUGUGAUAUAUCAGCUAUGCUCACGGUCAAGAGCGGCUUGGACCCUCACAUGAUUAAUAAACUUAAAGAUGGACUUAAAUCGUUAUUCUGAUUAUUUCUUCUGCCUUGCUGAGUACCAAGUACUCACCCUUGCUUACUGCUGCUCAGAAGAGAAAGGUGUGUGAAGUUUUCUAAAGAUGAUGCUGAGUUCUAGGCAUACAUAGCCCCAAGUCGAUUGCCUGUGAAGUUUGGAGCCUCCAUUUCCAGAAUUAAGUUGUAUAUCUCUGAUAGACUCGUAAGUUAUUAUUUAUAUUUCUUUACGUGAUAUUAUUGCUGCUAUUCAUUAAUGAUGUCACUAUAUGUAUGAAACUAGCUUCUGACAUACAUAUAGGUAGCAUUUAGUUUUGUUUUAAAACCGGAUGUGACAGAGCCACAUGCACCACCAGACGCUGUGCAUAGUGUGGUGAAGUUUGAUAUAUCCCUGCAAUCUGCAUUUUAAUUUGAGAGUUUCACGCGUAGGUGUAGCAAAUUUGUGCCAUCGUUCACUAAAAAAAAAAAAGGAUAUUUCAUUAACCUGUCCCAACAGGACAUCACAAAAUCGAUUGCCUACUAACGUUUGCCAGAAGAAAGUACAAGCUGCAUAUGUGGCGACAAAAUACUGUUUUGAGCCACCAAUUCUUCAUGGAUGUCUAUAAGGUUAAUUGACCAUUGCUUCCAACAAAGUCAUGUAUCUUGUCUGUGUGUAUCAUGUCGUCAUGUCUACUGGUAGGGAUGAACUGAAAAUUCUGUUCUUGGCCUUCAAAGCCUACAUAAUCAACAAAUGGAGAGGCAUUGAGGAGCUAAUGGUACAGUAUGGGAGCACACAGAAUGUUUUGAUUGAUUUGCUCACUUCUUUCUCCCAGUUGCUGCACAAUGUAAUGGAGAGAAGCAAUAGCAUCUGCACGAUAAGUGCGCAGAUGAUUCCGAACCAAAGUCCCUACAUUUUCAGAUCCGUAAUUCAAAAGGUUUCUUCAACUCGUUUCAGUAAUAAAAAACUUAUGUUAAGGGUUUGGGUAGUAGAUUACCUUUCCACCUAAAUGAUAAAUGAAGGCGAAACAGAAGGCAGCUGGAAUCCCGAUGAGGUAGUACGCACCAAGAUUAACACAAGCACCAAUCUUUUGCCACCCGCAGCCCCUAACAACACCUAGGAACAUAUUAUGUAGGUGAUAAUGUUCCAAAAGCAACGCAUACAGCUCGUACUGUAUUUGCCGAACCAUCUACAUUUACCUGAAAGGACACACUGCAGGUCAUCGAACACGAAUGCCACAGCAAGAACUGGCAUCAUUCUGGCGAUGUAUGCCACCACUUGCUCCUCAUUGCUGUACGCAUAACCCCAUAAAUUGCGCGCUAGCACCAUAGCAAGUCCAAUGAAUACGCCCACAAACAGAGCCACAACCAUGACCACACGGGUAGCCAGCCGGGCAUCUUGUGGUCGUCCAGCACCGAGCUCAUUUGAAACACGGGUGCUAGCAUGGGAUAAUUCCGAAAUUUAUCAAUAUGGUAUGGUGAAAUUUACGAGCUUGAUUCAUCGAAUCUUACCUUAUGGCAGCACUAAGCCCAAACGGGAUCAUGAAUGCUAAAGACCCUAAGUUUAAACUGCAACAAACCGGAGAUUUACAUUCAGAGAGGGCAGAAAGAAUUUGGGGUACGCCAUGGAAACUUAACUCACCAAAUGGACAGUACUGAUGUUUCGAGCUUAGGAUUUGGGAGAAGUCCAGAAAGAAGAACCAGGAGCUCAAAAGACCACCACUCCAAGCUGUGAGCACGUGGGAUCGAGUUCAAUUCCAGAUGGUGCAUGACAAAUUACAUCUGCAAUUCAUUAGAAUGAUUCAGAUUCAAACUUACCAAACCAUCAGUGCAGAAGGAACACCAAGCUUCAAGAAGUUGGGGAUACCGCGAAACGCCUCCUUUGCGAACCCUCUCCAGGUAUUCUUACAAGCAGGUGAGAGCCUCACAUAGAUCGCCAGGAUGGAGACGUUGGUCAGGUAGGAGAUGGCAUUGGCCAAGGCAGCACCCUUGUAGCCCAGGCCAAUCUUGUACACUAGCAGCCAGCACACCAGCAGAUGGUUCAGUGCCGUGACGCCAGAGCUCACCAUCACCGGGAGCACUAUGUUCUGUGUCUGGAGGAACCGGACAUGGCACUGCAGCGGCCCAUACGCGAACAGAGCCGGAAUCAUCCACCGGAUGUAGCUCCCUGCCCCGGAUGCAAUCUCUGGGUCCUGACCAAAGAGUAGAAGGAUCUGGCCGGUGUACGACCAGAUUACCGCGACGACAACACUCACCAGAGUGAGCACAAGGAUGGCUCUCUGCUUGUAGAUGCCAAGAAGAGAGUAUUGCUUUGCUCCGAAUGCUUGCCCACACAGUGUGUCCAAGCUGCUAGCCAUGCCAGCCUGAAAUAGAAAAAAAAAUCAGUUUGCUAUCAUGUCAGGAGGUAAAGUAUGCAAAAGAAACUGUGUUGGUGUGAUAUACCAAGAAGCUGAACCCAGUAACGCUUGCGAAGGAGGUGGCGAUGGAGGCACUGGAAAGGGCAAGCUCUCCGAGGUGACCGACGAACAUGACAGAGAUCAUGGAGACGAGGUUCUGCAGGAGCCAUGCCGCGAUCAGAGGCCCAGCAAGGUACAGCUGCUUUCUCAGCUCAGUCAGUACCGCGCCUCCGGUCUUCUCAACACCGUUGCCAAGAAGGGGCUCAUCCAUGCUUGGCAUCAUAUACACGAAACUUUUUACCCUGAGUCUGGAAAUGGUAGAUGGAACAAUAAUGUUUCAGUCAAUCUGAUCAACCUUAUAAAAACCCUGAGGAAAUCAGAAGGAACCAAAGGCAGUUUCUUGGCAGCCAAGUUUGACAGUUGCAAACAAGCAGAACAGAACAAAUGCUUGAUCUCAUCUGUCAGACUGAUUGGGACAGCAAAGAUUAAUGUUGCCUCUAAAGAAUACAUGGUUAGCUUGGCACAUGUCCAAACCUCAUAUACGUUUUUGUUAUAUCUUUCCAAGUUUGACCCGUAAUGUUCUAUGACCCGCUUCGUAUGCAAUACAGAAAGGGCAUCCCCAGGAGCCUGCGCCAUUAUCUUUGUUUUCUUCGAAUCCAGGACCUCUUCUACAGAUACAGAGGAACUCCUAAUAUGAUAGAACUGAAGGACUGGAUCACAUUCCACAAAACAUGGAACAUUAUGUCAAUCCAUUUUGGUAAUCUUAAAAAGGCAGCGGUUAAACAUCAUGGCAUAGAAUUUGGUCAAGUUUAAUAUGCACAAACUAAACAGAACAGAAAAAAUUCUCAGUCAGCAAAGGCUGAAAACUGUUAUGAAAACAUGAGGAUUGAAAUUAAGGGAUGCUAAUAUCAGUCCAGGUCUGCAAACUGAUUACUCAAGUCAAGUAUGCCGAGGAAAUUCAUAGGAGGUAAAAAGGAGGUAGCUUGGUAGGCAAGUGUAUCAUAUCUAGCCAAUCUAACCAAUCCAUGCUUGAUUAGGACAAAAACACAACAAUGUCACUUUCGCUACUACUAGUCUAAGGUUGGAAAGGCACAAGUGCAUGCUCACGUAAACACUAGUGUAGACAUUCAGUAACAUAUAUAUGAUCCAAAAUAACAAGAUGAGCUGCAGUUAGACUUCCUCUUGUUUACUAGUGGCUGUUACAGAGGCUUUAGUCCCUGAGUCACUGCACACCACGACGUCCAAAUCUGACGCCACUAGAAGGUAUCUCUUUUCUGGAAAGGUGCUUUGACCGUUUGAGCACUCUCAGACAGCAUGCCAACCAAAAAGACACCCCUAAGAUCAAGUGCCAUUAACAAAUUGACCAAGCAAAUAUAUUUUUAGGAAACAAAAUCAAGGACAACACGCUCGUAUACACGUGCAUUCAUUCUCUACAAUUGCACAUAUGGGCACCAAAUCUGAUCCUUUGCAAAUUUUGUAUUUUUUAAUCUUCUUAAUUAAGUUGAGUUUGGCGAUAAAAUAUUGUGUAUGGAAAGAUUAAUGGAUACAUCGUCAUGUCCAUUCCAUCUCUAGUAAAAUUUAUAUAAUGUUUGCAAAAUUUCUGGUGUAUAUACUGAAAAUGGAAACUACAACGUUAUGGCAUCUUCACUUAUACUUCACCUAUGAGGAUGUCUCAAUAGUAUAAGUUUCAUUUUCACUAGUUCUAAAAAGUUUGCCAAAAAGUUAUACAUUUAACUAGAGAUGCAGAUGGACAUGAUAUAUCUCUCCAUAAUAUUUCAUUGCCAAACCCAACUUAAUUAAAAAUGGUAUAUUUUAAAUGAUAUAUGUUUACUCGAUCAAGAGUCAAGUCAGCAUCUAUUCAAAAAGUUUCAAAGGACAAUCCUAAUCAAAAGUUUUGUGUUAUUGUUUCUGAGAGUGGCACAUCAUAUAGAGUACUUUAAGUAGAUGAAUGAAACAGCUCCCUCCAACGUAUAGUGUCUUUUAUUUUUCAUGGUCUAACCAUGGCAUUUAAUGCAAGAUGCAUGCGAUUUGAGGAUUAUGAAAUUAAUUAGGUGUUUCUCUUCAAUAUGUAUGAACAGAUUUCUAGUCUUGCAAACAAUGUACACCUAUUUUCAUCUAGAUGAAACACCUCCUGUCUCCCAACAUUUUGUGCAAGCUAAGUCUUGGAAACACUGUAAGUGUACGCUAACUUUUUGGAACUCACUGCACAAACUAAGCAAUCAUCAGUAAAACAAUACUCCAACAAAUAUAACUUAGGUUAAAAUAAAUAACUUAAAUUCAUAUUCUUUUAGCGAUAUGAUAGCUAGGAAUGAGAGAUAUUGGGAAAGAGGCUUCCAGGUUUGCGUUCGCUUACGGUGAGCUUUGCCCUCUAGUAUUGGGCUAUGCCAGGACACCUCUUGGUUUGAAGACCACGAGCUCGAAGAGACGGCCCAUGAUGGCGUGAUUGUGGCGGGUGAAACAACCUGAAUUUUCAUUUCUGAGAAUUGAAGCCUACGCAUCUCCGUGAUAGUCUCAAGUAUCACGUGCGAAUACCUGUCUUAGAUAGUAUAAAUCUAUACCAGCACAGAAUAUAAAGUAGCAAUAGAGUAAUAAAAAUAUAAAUAUCGAGUACAUCAUUUCGGCACAUGCCGGUAUAAGUCCAUCAGGACUGAAUCAUGAAAGGUAAAACAUGUACGCAGCGGAAACAUGAGCUAUGGCGAACCCCAUCUCUAGAGGCGACUUGAGCGAGGGACCAUCCAUAGUCUUCCCAUUCGUCGUUGUCGAAGUCGUAAUCGGGCUCCGACCCUGAAAAGCCACUAUCUACCCGAGAAGUGGGUAGGCCACGUUAACUCCCAAUAGCAGCAAGCCAAGGAAACAGGGAAAUAUUACUAUAUGCAUGGAUAAACCUAUACAUGGCUGUAGAGGUUUAUGCAGCAGCAGCAAUCAAGGUUGCAUCAAAGCAAUACCAUCUCCGAGGUCAACACCUCACAACAAGGAAGUCAUCACAAAUCACCUAAUCCUUUACCCAAGAAUCCAACACCCAAACACUCUAGGCGAUGUGAGAGCUCCCUCCCCUCACAUCUCAGCAGCAAAUGCCGGCUGUCAUUGUCAAGAUCAGCGGAUCAGGACUUAGACUAGUAAAUUUCUUUUAUGCGCGUGAGUCUCAGAUGGUUUCACAGGAGACACGGAUUAGACUGGUUCGGGCAAAGGAAGCCCUACGUCCAGUAUCGAGGAUGUUCGUGUUGCCCGCGCGGGGAUUCUGUAGUAGGGGGUUACAGACGGGCGAGAGAGGGACUGGUCCCAGGUCUCUUUUAUUUUUGUGUUCUUGGGAGAAGUGUUGAUCUCUUGGUCUGCUGAUCCCCUUUCCCCCGGCUCUAGGUUCCCCCUUUUAUAUCGCAAGGGGCCGGCCGGAGUUACAAUUGGGGCCAGAUAAAAGGCAAAGAGUGAGAUGGUAAAAAAGGUCUGGCGGGAAGGAGGGCAGAGGUCCCUGGCGCCCGACGUCCUGCCGACCCUGAACGCGUGCCGUCGUGCAUGCCGGAAGGGGUGGCCGCCGGAUGCCAAGUGUUGCAGCUCUUCGCAGGUAGCUACUUCGAUGUUCGUAGGUAUCAGGAUAGAUCAUGAUGAGGGGGUUUCGUCGUUAUCCCGCCGUCCGUUAGGGAGGACGGUGGAUGCCGCUGCUCCGGCGAUGGCUUGUAGAGGGUGGGAGCUCCGUGCCUGUGCUGUCGUUUGCGCGGGACCCGAGGGCGCGCGGGACCCGAGGGCGGGGCCGCUCCCUCCCUCUCUCUAGUCGCCGCAGGUCAUGAGUACCUUGCGACGAAUAGGAGCUGGCCGCCAGUACUGUAGCUCGUACAGGACGGUCGUGCGCGGGUACUUGCGCCGGGUUGCGUGAGGGGCGCGGUCUCCCUACGCUCUGCUAUCUCUGCGGCGCAUUUAUGGUGAGGCCGACGGGGGGCCCCACAGGAUUUGUCUUGUCUAUGCGGAACGUAUCCGAGGGGGAUUCUGACCCGUGGGCCUCAGCGUGCCCGACUCCUUUGCUCGGGGUCGGGCGAGGCGGAACUUUCGUGGUACAGGGUCGGGCGCUCCCGACCCUGGGGGCGCGGUCGGGCGAGGCGGAGAUCUUGCGAAGGGAGGUCGGGCGCUCCCGAUCCUGACGCUGGGGUCGGGCGAGGCGGAGACUCGAUCACGCUUCGGUGGGCCUGGGCCUUCAUGUUUGUUUCUUUAAGCUGCGUGUUAGAGGGUCGUUAAUAUUUCCCCCCAACAGUAACCCCCGAGCCUGUGGUGGAGCAGGAGUGCUCCUCCGGAGGCUCCUUUCGCUGUUUGCCGUCGGUUCCUGUAUCAUGGCGUGCCUGUUUCAUUCUUCGCCAUGCUCGAGAGAACCUGUCAGUUUGUGACCACACGUGUGGUAGUUUUUGCGAGGCUAGCCCCCGAGCUCCUGCUCGUUGCAGGAAACCGAUCGGUAGGCCAGGUCGAAUUUUUGAUCGUUGCCCCUCAAGCGUCCGUUCGCUAGGACGAAGGGGUUGAGCCGGGCCACGUUAUCCGCGUAGGACGAACCGUGGUGCUCAUUUGAGCUGCAAACGGGUAAGUUCGAGUGGAGUCCCGGUCCCUGUUCGGGGGGGUCCGGCUCGGGCCAAGCUGGUGGCGUACUCCAAUUUCCCGUCGGUCAGUUCAUAUAGUUCUCGGAUCCGUUCGACCGGAUCUGAGGGCUCGUUGCCUUUCCCCGUGGAAAAACCAUGAACUUUAUACUGAGCGGGACUCGAACGUGAGGUUGGGGCGCCCUUGGCGUUUGCUCGCUUGGGUGUUGGCCGCUAGCGGGCCCGUCCCUUCUCACCCCUUGCUCGGGGAUGUCCUGGGGCAACUGUCGAACCCGUGUUGGGCCAGCUUUCGAACCCCUGGACCGUAUUGGGCCGUAGGGGCGUUUUCAGCCCCGUAUCCCUUUCUUACCUCCCUGUGGGCGUUGGGCCGGAGCGGAGCGGUUGAUGUGCCAGGGCCGAUCGUAGGGAGCGUCGUGGGCGCGAAGCCCGGGGAGUCGAGUUAUGGAGGCGCCGUCCCGCGGAUCGAGGAAGAUAGGAUGUUUUUUCGUGGCCGAUCGUGCGCGCGAUUUUCGAAAGGAAACGGGCGUGGCAGGGGCGUACCUGGCGCCGCAUUUAUGGCGGCCGGGGCGUCGGUUUGGCUUCCCCGGUACUCUUCCUAUAAAAGCAGGAACACGCCGCGCCGGUUCCUCUCCUUUCGCGCUCAAGCCUUCUUGCCUUCCUAGCUCACCUGCGCUUCGCUUUGUUCGCCUUGUUCCCGUUGCCACUCGCCGCGCGUUUCGUCUUCGCCUUCGUUGGUCUCCUUCCUUCUUCGGUGAUGGCUUCCUGGGGAGUCUCCCACUUCACCGCCAGUCGCGCCGAAGGCCUGGUGCGAAAGGGGCUCCUCUGCGAGAGGACGGCGGCGGAUGAGUGGAGGCUGCCGGGGUCGGAGCAGGUUCCGUCGCCGCCCGCCGGCUACGUCGUCUCCUUCGCCCACUUCCACGAGCGGGGAUUCGCCUCCCCUCCAAGCCGUUUCUUCCGCGGGCUCCUCCACUACUACGGGCUCGAGCUCCAGCAUCUCAACCCCAAUUGGAUUCAGCAUAUUGUGGCGUUCGUCGCGUUGUGUGAGGGAUUCCUGGGGAUCGAGCCCCACUUCGAGCUGUGGAAGUACUUCUUCACGGUGAGCCUCUACCAGAAGACGGGGAAGGCCGGAAGCCAGCAGCGGUCGCCUCCGGUGCCGAUUGGGUGCGCCGGCAUCCACCUCCAUCAUACUCGCUCCAAGGAGUAUAUGACGGUGAAGACCUCGGUGUCCCACAAGGGGUGGCACAAUCAGUGGUUCUACGUGAAGAACUACCCGAUCUCCCCCCUGCCGGCAUUCACCUGUCGCACCAUCGACGCGGCGCCCGAUGUGUGGGCGUACGGGCCGGUGGAGAAGGAGAAGAGGAAGAUCUCCGACCUGCUGCAGGCCAUCGGGCAGCUGAAGCGGGAGGGGCUCACCGGCGCCGGGGUCAUCGGUGCAUACCACGCCCGGCGGGUGGCGCCGCUGAUGCUCCGGGUCCGGCCCCUUGGCGUCAUGACCCCCGACAUGCCGCCCGAGGGCACUGUCAUGGCGACAGGUGCGCUCGCCGCCUCCGAGAUCCAGCAACGGCUCCGGGAGGCGCUGGAGGACAAGGACGUCAACUACCCGAUCCCCGGGCAUCCACCUAUGCGCCCGGAGCAGGGCUUCGUGGACCUGGUAAGGCGUUUGGGCCACCACUCCUCCUUCCUGCCGUCGCAUCGUCUUGUCAUUCUGACGUGGGUCCUCCUUUUGCCUCGCAGGGCAUGCUGACCCGGGUUGCAGACUCCCUCCCGCCGGUGCCGGAGGAUGCCGCGCGGAGGGCUCGCAAUCGCCUCCAGGCCGAGAAGGACAAACGUCGUAAGGACAAGGAGACGGAGAAGCGGCGGAAGAAGGCCGCCAAGGAGCUCCAGCGGCGGCGGAGAGGGGUGGUCGGGUCCGACGACGACGACGACGACGAGGAAGAAGAAGAAGAAGAAGAAGAUGAGGAGGAGGAGGAAAUGGAAUUGUUUGCCCCCCGUUCGGGGGCUUUAGUGAUUCGUGACGCACCCCCGCAGACGGCGGCAGGGGGUGCGGCGGCGGGAGCGCCCGUGCGGGAUCCGGCUCCCCCCGGUCCGGGGGCCGUGCCUCAGGGGUCAGCGCAGCGCGCGCUCCAGGAGCCUGCGCGGAUCGCUCCCCAGGGGGCGACACAGGGCGUCCCCCAGGGGUCGGCACAGGACCUCCCCCAGGGAGGGACGCGGGGUGCCCCUUCGGGGUCGUCCCAGGGCACCCCCCAGGAGCAGGCGCGGGGUGUUCCCCCGGCGCCGGCGAGGGAUGUCGCCCCGGCGUCGAGCCGGAGCGCCCCUCGGGGGCCUUCAGAGUCCGCCCCUGCCGCAGUCUCGGGUCCGGCGCGGGGCGCCCCCCAGGAGUCCGCUCGGGGGGCUCCUCGGGGAUCUGUGGGGGCUGCCCCCGCCGUCGUGCCUGCUGGCGGAGGGCAACGAGGUGGGGACAAGCGGCCACUGCCGGAUGCCCCGGGGUCGGCGUCCGGCUCGGAGUCGAAGCGCGCGCGCCGCCCCUGUGCUUCGAGAGCGUAAGUUGACUCUCCCCACAUGUCAUCCUUUCUUUCUCCUUUCGUACGUUCCUGUUUGACGCCUAACCGUCGACGUUGCAGCACUUCUCCCCGCGGCGUCACCCUGCGGCUGGCGCCCAAGAAGAUGCUGCGGACGUCGUCCUCCUCCGGGGGGCGGGCCGCCACCCCGCCAGCGGCGACUGGCGGGGUUCCUGUCGUGGCCGCAGGUCCCUCGGCGGAGGUGGCCGCUGAGGAGCCGGUCGUCGGGACGGCGGCGGGGUCAGCCGCAGGAGGGGGAGCGGACCCCACUUCGCCUGCGGCCCCACCGGUCGUCCUUCCGGCUCGGGUCGCGAUUCCCCCGGGCCCGCAAGCCGGGGAGGUGAUCGACCUCGACGCCGACGAGGCGGAGGAGGCGGAGACGGCGGUGGGCAGGGCGGAUGCCCCCGCUGCCGUGGCGGGGUCGGAGGCAAAGGGGGCGCUGGCUCCCGAGGGUGCGGCGGCGGUGAAGGCACCGGUGUCGGAGGCUGAGGUCUCCGUUCCGGUUGCUCCCACGGGGGUGCUUCCGGCGGCCGAGACGGAGGUGCCCACAGAGGUGCCGUCGGCGGCCGUGGUGGCGAUGGGUGUGCAGGCGCCGGAGUCGUCGGCGGAUCCGGGGGUUUCUGGCGUCAUAAUGUCAUCAUCGACGACGACGUCAGAGUCGGGCCUUGCUCCGCCCUCGGCUUCCUCCGUCCCCGGGGCGUGGAGAGGGCACAUCCUCCGCUGGACGUCCCGCGACGAUCCGCCGCGGCGCCUCUACGCACUGGACGAUGCCGCCGAGUGGCAUAAGUGGCAGGUGGUGCAUGGCGGCGUCGCCCAGGCUCAGGCGGCGCUGACCUCGGCGUUGGGAGCUUUGGCCAACACCGUGGUCCCUGGCAACCAGGUAUGUUUGUUUCUGCCGCUCGGUGAUGAGCUCCUUUAUUUUUACUUUUUUGUCUUACCGUCAUGCUGCUUUGCAGGCUCUUCAGGAGGCCAGCCUGGAGAAAUCCGACUUCCUCCGGCGGCAGCGGAACCUCUGGGAGCACUACAACACCGAGAGGGAGCGCUCCAGGAAUCUGGCCCAGCAGCUCGGUGCCGCCCAGGGGGCCGUUCGCGACCUGGAGGGUCGUGAGCAGGUGGCGCUGGAGGGGGCACGGCGUGCCGAGGCCAAGCUCCAGGCCGUCGCGGAGAAGGCCCGUCUGGACCUUGAGGAGUUCCAGGCUGCCAUGGACAAGGCGCGCCGCGAUGCCGAGGGGCUAAGGGCCGCGGCUAAUGAGCGAGCCCGCCGAGACGCCGAAGAACUGGCGCGGCUGAGGGGGGACAAUGGAGCCCUUCGCGCGUAACGCGAGCAAUUCCGUUUGCAGGUGCACGGGCUCCAGAACGCCUUGUCCCUCAGUGUCGACCGAGAACGCGAGCUGAAGGCCCUGGCCGACGGUGAGGCUCUUUCUGCUUCUGUAUCUCCGUGUCGUUGGUGUUUCGUUUCAUCUGACUUGGUGGGACUUCUUGAUCGGCUCCUGCAGAGGACCUUGCCAGGUUGCGGGUUUUGCUCGACGAGGAGCGCGGCGAGCAUGGCGCCUUGCGGGAUGCGGUCCGCGUCGUCUGCGAGGACUUCGGCGUUGCUCCGGAAGAGGGGUCGAGCUCGCUGUCGGCCCGUGUUCUUGAAGUGCGCCGUCGCCGUCGUGAGAUUGCCUUGGACGCGCUUCACCUUGGUGUGCGGCGCGCCUUCGGGGUCUUCGGCUCUCACUAUGCCGACAUUAACUUUGUCGGGAUGAGUGAGGGGUACUGCGCUGGCUACACCGACGCCGAGCUGGACGAGAUCGACUCCGCGGUGACUGCGCCGGCGGAGGCCCUCGCGAAGCUUCUGGAGGAUGAAGCCGUCCCUCCUACCGACCCUGAAGCCGCUCCUGCCGGCCCCGAGGCCCCUGCCGCUGCCGACCUUGAAGCCGCUCCUGCCGGCCCCGAUGCUCCUGUCGCCGCCGACCCUGAAGCCGCCGCCGUCGCCGACCCUGAGGCCGUCGCUCCUGUUGACCCUCCUGUCAAUUAGCUGUACCGGGCUUGUGCCCAAAAAACGUUUGUAUUUAAGUCAGUUGUCUUGAACUUGUUUGCGCUGGCCAUACGGGCCUGUUCUUAUGACUUUUUAUUUUGUGCUAAGGAAACCGCUUCCCUUUGUUAUUCCUUUGGUUUUUGAAAGCGUUCGGAUGCAUUGUCGGGCGUGUCAGUAAGUUUUUGAUGAGCGAAGGUACCGUAGCCGCUGGGGCGUAGGCUUUUUCGCAGUCCGAUCGCAACUUGGCUGAGUACCGUUCACGCAUCCUUAUCUUUUUGCGUCCAAAGGUUUUCGAAAGGGAGUGUCCGGUUCUUUGAAAGAAGAAAAAACGUUUUCUUUUUAGCGGUGCCCAGCGGCUGGGGUUGGGACCCCUGAUAGCCCCCGAGGGGUGUGCGAUCCUGGGGCCAGGCCAGGGUCGGAUACCCCUGAGCUUAAAAGAAAAGGCCUUCUUGUUUCGUGAAGAUCAAAACUGGUAGCCCCCGAGGGGUAUGCGACCUUGGAGCGAGGCCAGGGUCGGAUACCCCUGAGCUUAAACGAAAAGACCUGGGCCCAGGUGGCUCAGGGUUUCUUUUUAGCAGAAGAACAAAACUGGUAGCCCCCGAGGGGUAUGCGACCUGGGAGCGAGGCCAGGGUCGGAUACCCCUGAGCUUAAAACGAAAACGGGGGCAAGGCUAUAUAUAACUUAUAAACGAGAGCUAUGGGUAGAAGCGCCUUAGCUGUUCUAUGUUCCAAGCGUUGCUGAAGAUUUGCCCGUCGGGAGUUGCCAGCUUGUAGGUGCCUGGCCGUAGCACCUGUGCGACGAUGAACGGGCCUUCCCAUGGGGGAGUCAACUUGUGCCGACCCCUGUUGUCUUGGACGAGGCGGAGCACUAGAUCUCCAACGUUGAAGGCGCGACCUUGUAUCUUGCGGCUGUGGUAACGCCGUAGGGCCUGCUGGUACUUAGCCGAGUGUAGGAGGGCUACAUCUCGCGCUUCGUCGAGUUGGUCUUGCGCGUCCUCGAGCGACGCCUGGUUCCCCUGUUCGUCGUAUGCUUUGACCCUUGGUGACCCAUACUCCAAGUCGGUGGGCAGGAUGGCCUCGGACCCGUAAACCAUGAAGAACGGGGUGAAUCCUGUCGCCCGGCUGGGGGUCGUCCUCAGGCUCCAGAGGACUGCUGGGAGUUCCGCAACCCAUCGUCCGCCGAACUUUUUAAGGCGGUCGAAGAUCCGUGGCUUGAGACCCUGGAGUAUCAUGCCGUUGGCUCGUUCGACUUGCCCGUUCGUGCGGGGGUGCGCAACUGCCGCCCAAUCCACUCGAAUGUGGUGGUCAUCGCAGAACUGGAGGAAUCUCUUUCCGGUGAACUGCGUACCGUUGUCGGUUAUGAUGGAGUUCGGGAUCCCGAAGCGGUGGAUGAUGUCGGUGAAGAAUUGUACCGCUUGCUCGGACUUGAUUUGCGCCACAGGCCUUGCUUCAAUCCAUUUGGAAAACUUGUCGACGGCGACGAGUAGGUGGGUGAAGCCCCCGGGCGCCCUUUUGAAGGGUCCGACGAGAUCCAGCCCCCAGACCGCGAACGGCCACGUGAUGGGGAUGGUUUGCAACGCCUGUGCGGGCAAAUGGGUUUGGCGGGCAAAGAAUUGGCAUCCUUCGCAAGUGCGGACUACCUGGGUAGCAUCCGCGACCGCGGUUGGCCAGUAGAAACCUUGUCAGAAGGCAUUGCCCACAAGCGUCCUUGGCGCAGCGUGAUGACCGCAAGCCCCGGCGUGGAUGUCCUGGAUCAGCGCCUUUCCCUGCUCGAUCGGGAUGCAGCGCUGGAGGAUCCCCGUGUGGCUUCGCUUGUAAAGCUCUUGGUCGAUGAUGGUGAAGGAUUUCGCACGGCGCGUGAUCCUGCGGGCUUCGGUCUUGUCGGUUGGGAGUGUGUCGUGGAUAAGGUAGUCGAGGUACGGGGUUCUCCAAUCGGUCGUGGGGUCAGCCCUCGCCGCGGGGCCCGCCUCGAUUUCCAUAACCGCGGGGUCGGAGGGCUUGGCUUUCGCGGCCGGGUCGGGUGGGGCAGCGUUGUUUCCCUCGGGAUUGGUGUUCGGGUCCAGGAUAGGUGGCGUAUUGCCGACCUCUCCUGGCUCGGAUCCCGACCCCAAGGCUGGGCAUGUCUCACCGACCCCUGCUGGCUCCGGGUAACGGAUCGAAGGCUUCAGCUGGUCGCUAACGAAGACGCCGUCGGGGACGGGCAUCCGGCCGGACGCCGCCUUUGCGAGCUCGUCGGCGGCUUCGUUGAAGCGCCUUGCGACGUGGUUGAGCUCCAACCCGUCGAACUUGUCCUCGAGCUUACGUACCUCGUUGCAGUAGGCGGCCAUUUUUGGGUCAUGGCAGCUCCAUUCUUUCAUGACUUGUUCGACGACCAACUGGGAAUCGCCUCGGACGUCUAGUCGACGGAUGCCCAGCUCGAUGGCGAUGCGAAGCCCGUUGAGAAGGGCUUCAUACUCAGCGACAUUGUUGGAUGGAGGAAAAUGGAGGCGAAUCAUGUACCUUAUGCAUACGCCCAGCGGAGAGACGAAAACGAGGCCUGCUCCGGCGCGGGCCCUCAUCAACGACCCGUCGAAGUACAGCAUCCAAUAUUCCUGCUCCUCUGUCGCCGGCGGUGUUUGUAUCUCUGUCCACUCGGCCACGAAAUCGGCAAGUACCUGGGACUUAAUGGCGGUGCGGGGGACGUAGGUGAUACCUUGAUCCAUAAGCUCAACCGCCCAUUUCGCGAUCCUCCCUGUUGCAUUUGGGUUCCGGAUUACUUCACCAAGCGGGAAUGAAGAGACGACCGUUAUCGGGUGGGAGGUGAAGUAGUGACGCAGCUUCCUCUUCGCGAUGAGGACGGCGUAGACGAGCUUCUGGAUCUGCGGGUAUCGUGACUUGGAUUCGGACAACACUUCGCUGAUGAAGUACACCGGGCGUUGCACUUUAAGAGCAUGCCCCUCCUCCUACCGCUCCACCACUAAGGCCGCGCUGACCACCUGGGUGGUCGCCGCGACGUAGAGUAGAAGGAUCUCACCGUCGGCCGGCGGAACCAGGAUUGGGGCCUUCGUCAGGAGGUCCUUGAGCCGGUCAAGCGCCUCCUGCGCCUCGCUGGUCCACUCGAAGCGGUCGGAUUUCUUCAGGAGCCGAUAGAGGGGGAGUCCUCGCUCGCCGAGGCGCGAGAUGAAGCGGCUUAGGGACGCUAAGCAUCCCAUGACGCGCUGCACUCCCUUCAUGUUCCGGAUCGGCCCCAUGCCGUUGAUGGCCGCUAUCUUCUCUGGGUUCGCCUCGAUGCCGCGCACGGAGACGAUGAAGCCUAGCAGCAUGCCCCUUGGGACACCGAACACGCAUUUCUCUGGGUUAAGCUUGAUACGCUUAUCCCUUAGCCUUUCGAAGGCUAGCUCCAGGUCGGGGAUGAGCUGAUCGCUCUUCCUGGAUUUGACAACGAUGUCGUCGACGUAGGCCUCAACGGUCCGCCCGAUGAGGUCUCCGAAGCACUUAAGCAUACAUCGCUGGAAGGUAGCCCCCGCGUUUUUGAGGCCGAAUGGCAUCUUAACAUAGCAGUAGGGGCCAAAGGGGGUGAUGAAGGAGGUAGCGAGCUGGUCGUCCUCUUUCAUCGCGAUCUGGUGGUAGCCGGAGUACGCGUCGAGGAAGCUGAGUGUUUCGCACCCGACUGUCGAGUCGACUAUUUGAUCUAUACGCGGCAAAGGGAACGGAUCCUUUGGACACACUUUGUUGAGACCGGUAUAAUCGAUACACAUUCUCCAUUUCCCAUUCUUUUUCGGCACAAGAACAGGAUUGGCCAACCACUCGGGAUGGUGUACUUCCUUGAUGAAGCCGGCCGCCAGGAGCUUUUCGAGCUCUUCACCAAUGGCCCUGCGCCUUUCUUUGUCGAAACGGUGCAAGCCUUGCUUCACCGGUUUAGAGCCGGCCCUAAUGUUCAGGGAAUGCUCGGCGACUUCUCUCGGGAUGCCUGGCAUGUCCGAGGGCUUCCACGCAAAGACGUCGCUGUUUGCGCGGAGGAAGCCGACGAGCGCGCUUUCCUAUUUGGGGGAUAGGGCUGCGCUGAUCCGCACCACCCCUCCACUGGAACAACCGGGAUUGAGAGGGACUUCUUUGAUACCUUCGGUGGGCUCGAAGGAGGUUCCUGACUGCUUGGCGUCGGGCCGGUCUUCAACUGUUUCCUAGAGCUGGGCCACCAUGUCGCCCGAGACGGUGAUAGCCGCGGCGUAUUCGCAGCACUCGACGUCGCACUUGUAUGCCUUCUGGAAGGUCGUGCCGACAGUGAUGACUCCGUUGGGUCCUGGCAGCUUGAGCUUGAGGUAGGUGUAGUUGGGGAUUGCCAUGAACUUCGCGUAGCAUGGGCGGCCCAAGAUGGCGUGGUAGGUUCCGCGAAAGCCCACCACCUCGAAGGUGAGGACCUCCUUCCUGUAGUUGGAAGGGGUCCCAAACGUGACGGGCAGGUCGAUCUGCCCGAGGGGCGUUGCCUGCUUCCCUGGCACGACGCCAUGGAAGGGAGCCUUGCUAGGACGGAGACGGGAGCGGUCGAUCCCCAUGGCGUCGAGGGUCUCAGCGUAGAGGAGGUUGAGGCCGCUGCCCCCAUCCAUGAGUACCUUGGUGAGACGCGUCGUGCCGAUGAUGGGGUCGACGACGAGAGGAUAGCGCCCUGGGUGCCGGACGCGUCCAGGGUGGUCGGACCUGUCGAAGGUGAUGGCCGGCGCGGACCAAUCGAGGAAAGCCGGGGUUGCAGGCUCGGCGGCGUAAACCUCCCGACGCUCUAGCUUGUGCUGGCGCUUGGUGUCGUACGCUGCGGGGCCUCCGAAGAUCAUGAAGCAGCCGUCCACUUUAGGAAAGCCGUCUUUCUUCUCCUCGUCGCCCUUCCUUUCCUCAUCGGGCUUCCGUUUCCGAUCACCCUUCACCGGAUUGCCCACGAAGAACCUCUUCAUGAGGUUGCAAUCUUUGUAGGCGUGUUUUACGGGGAACUCAUGGUUCGGGCAUGGUCCCUCGAGCAGCUUGUCGAAGAAGCCAGGUGCGCCUUCGGGGGGCGGCUGCCCUCGCUUGCGUUCGACUGCGGCCACGAGGGGGGCCUCGCGCCGCUGCUUGCCCUUCUUCUUCUGCCGCUGGCGGUUGGAGGUGCCUUCGUCGGCGUCCUCCUCCCGCUUCGCCUUGCCUUUGGAACGAUCAAAGAUCGCUCCGACAGCCUCUUCGCCAGAGGCAUAGCUAGUGGCGAUGUUGAGGAGCUCCUCCCUGGUCCGCGGGCCCCGGCGCCCUAGCUCGUGGACGAGGGGUCAGCAAGAGGUCCCUGCUAGGAAGGCUCCUAUGACGUCAGCGUCGGCGAUGUUGGAGAGCUCAGUGCGCUUUCUGGAGAAGCGCCGGAUGUAAUCCCGGAGGGACUCGUCCGUCCCCUGGCGGCAGCUCCGGAGAUCCCAGGAGUUGCCAGGGCGUGUGUACGUCCCUUGGAAGUUUCCUACGAAAACCUCCUUCAAGUCGUUCCAGUUGCGAACACGCCCUGAAGGGAUAUGUUCUAGCCAGGCUCUCGUGGAGUCUGCCAGAAACAAGGGUAGGUUGCGGAUGAUGAACAAGUCAUCGUCCGCCCCGCCGGCUUGACAUGCAAGCCGGUAAUCGCUGAGCCAUACCCCAGGGUUGGUCUCCCCCGAGUAUUUGGCCACACUCGUAGGUUGCCGGAAGCGCGGCGGGAAGGGCGCAUUCAGGACGCGCGCAGAGAAGGCCCGAGGUCCGGCUGCUCCGGGACUCAGACUGCGGUCUUCCCCGCUGUCGUAGCGCCCGCCACGGUGGACGUGGUAGCCACGGUCCGCCCCGUCCGCCCUGUCCGCGCGGGAACGUCUCCGCGCGUUCAGUGUGUCGCGGGCGUCGCGAAUGGGACCGACGCGCUGGUGGAUGGAUCGGGCCUCACCUACCGCGAGUGGCGGUGCUCGCUGGGCGGUCGCGGCCGGAUUCGCUUCCGGAAGGGGUUGAUGGACAGAUUCCCCCCGCCGUUCCGGGGGGGCGCCCUGCGUCGCCCUACUAGCGUUCUGGCCGCGUCGUCGAGACGCCGAGCUUUCUGCCUGCUGGACGGCGGCGCACUCGAGUAGGUUACGCAUCUCUUGGCGCGCCCGUCGCUCCUCAGGCGUUGCCGGCUCGGGGAGCUGUCGGAGUAGCACCGCCGCGGCGGCGACGUUCUGGCUGGCGCGGGCAAAGAGCGGUGGACGUUCUCCAUCCGCACAGAUGCGUUCCUGGACGUCGCGCGCUCGUUGUCGUGCUCCCCCCUCGUGGCGGGGGUGCUCUACUUCUUGGCGAGCGCCCAUGUGCGCUUCCGGUUGCAGAGAGCCCUCUGGUGCCCUGGGUAGGGCCCCAGUCAUAGCUGCGGCGCGCGAGGGGGGAGCCCAAUGCCUCCCCUCGGCACCAUUGCCAUUGGACCCCUCGGAGUGCGCGUCAGCCAUGAAGCACUCGCGCGAGGGGCGUGGAUCCUCGUUACUGGAGCCAGUGUCGGAGACCGUCCUUGCCAUGCCCGCGAGCUCGUUGCUCGCGGGUGACGUGGCGAAGGACCGCGCUAGGAGGCGGCCGUGAGCAUCCGUGGCGUUGCGUAGCCCGAAGAGCCAUCCUUCUGGUGAGGCCCUUCCGGCCGGCGUCCGGCCGCUCGUUGUCAUCCUGGCGGUGGUGCCGAGGGCAGCAGGACGAGCGGGCAGGAUGUGGACAGGGAUCAGCUCGAUCCCAUUUCCGGUGGCCAGAAAGUCCAGGCUCCCGAAGCGGAUCAGGGAGCCCGGAGCGAAGCUGCCAUCGCGAUUAGCCAUCUGAGACUUGGAGAUGUACGCGCAAAGGUCCCCUACCUGGCGCGCCAACUGUCGUUGUCAAGAUCAGCGGAUCAGGACUUCGACUAGUAAAUUUCUUUUAUGCGCGUGAGUCUCAGAUGGUUGCACGGGAGACACGGAUUAGACUGGUUCGGGCAAAGGAAGCCCUACGUCCAGUAUCGAGGAUGUUCGUGUUGCCCGCGCGGGGAUUCUGUAGUAGGGGGUUACAGACGGGCGAGAGAGGGACUGGUCCCAGGUCUCUUUUAUUUUUGUGUUCUUGGGAGAAGUGUUGAUCUCUUGGUCUGCCGAUCCCCUUUCCCCCGGCUCUAGGUUCCCCCUUUUAUAUCGCAAGGGGCCGGCCGGAGUUACAAUUGGGGCCAGAUAAAAGGCAAAGAGUGAGAUGGUAAAAAAGGUCUGGCGGGAAGGAGGGCAGAGGUCCCUGGCGCCCGACGUCCUGCCGACCCUGAACGCGUGCCGUCGUGCAUGCCGGAAGGGGUGGCCGCCGGAUGCCAAGUGUUGCAGCUCUUCGCAGUUAGCUACUUCGAUGUUCGUAGGUAUCAGGAUAGAUCAUGAUGAGGGGGUUUCGUCGUUAUCCCGCCGUCCGUUAGGGAGGACGGUGGAUGCCGCUGCUCCGGCGAUGGCUUGUAGAGGGUGGGAGCUCCGUGCCUGUGCUGUCGUUUGCGCGGGACCCGAGGGCGCGCGGGACCCGAGGGUGGGGCCGCUCCCUCCCUCUCUCUAGUCGCCGCAGGUCAUGAGUACCUUGCGAUGAAUAGGAGCUGGCCGCCAGUACUGUAGCUCGUACAGGACGGUCGUGCGCGGGUACUUGCGCCGGGUUGCGUGAGGGGCGCGGUCGCCCUGCGCUCUGCUAUCUCUGCGGCGCAUUUAUGGUGAGGCCGACGGGGGGCCCCACAGGAUUUGUCUUGUCUAUGCGGAACGUAUCCGAGGGGGAUUCUGACCCGUGGGCCUCAGCGUGCCCGACUCCUUUGCUCGGGGUCGGGCGAGGCGGAACUUUCGUGGUACAGGGUCGGGCGCUCCCGACCCUAGGGGCGCGGUCGGGCGAGGCGGAGAUCUUGCGGAGGGAGGUUGGGCGCUCCCGAUCCUGACGCUGGGGUCGGGCGAGGCGGAGACUCGAUCACGCUUCGGUGGGCCUGGGCCUUCAUGUUUGUUUCUUUAAGCUGCGUGUUAGAGGGUCGUUAAUAUUUGCCCCCAACACCGGCCUAUCUCAAAAAGGGGGACAUAGAAGAAUAGUAUAAGCCUAGUCAGAAAUAGCGGUAGUUAACAGCAUUGUCCAUAACCAGUGGACACGGACUAUAGCUCUGUAGAGGUUGUACAUCUGUACCCGCACGAAUGGAGCCUGAACGGGGAUCAGCCGUCCAAACCCCACCUAAUGGCCCGAACCCUAGUAGGUGGUUAGCACUUUCCUAUUUUCUCGAGUCUGGAACCGUCCUCAACUGCAGGGCAUGCCGUCACCAGUUGAAGACCUCAAAGCUGUGAAACCUACCCACGCUGGGGUGCAGUCUAGUCGGAGUAGGUCAAUGCCUCGAAUUCCUUACACUGAUCCUCCAAUCCGUCUACAGGCUGAGCACUGUCCACCACUAGUUUCAGACCAAACGUCGCCUAUAACAAGGCAAACGGUAUGUACGUAAAUAGAUAUUAUGACUGGUGGUAAACUGACUCGGUCCUUUGGGGCUGAGAGCGAGCACUCAACUCCACAAAGUAUGUGCCGAAACACCUACAACGUACAAGUACGCCACCUGCUCCUCAACAUCAAACAAGGUACCUGGCACAGGCAUAGGGGGUGGAGAGUCUAGAAUGCUCUCCCCUAGCAAGGCACUCCUUAGUACCAACCGCGGUUCGCUCCCGCCAAAACACGCCAAGGGAUCACAUUUACCCAAAACACAUGGGGGAGUGUACAAGGAAUCACAUCCCCAAAUCAAUGGCAUAUGCCCAUCUAUAACUCAAAAGCAUGUAUUUGGAUAUGUGUAAGGUAGACUAGUAAGGGGUCUCUAGCUAGCCCACAGGUAGGUACACAAGGAAAAUAGGAUAAAAAUUAUCAAGGCAUGACUAGAAACAUAGGCUAUGCAGUCAAUCAUCAUCGAAGCAUCAUAAAUAAAGCGCUAGCAACUAAGCAUGCAUAGGACCUUUAUGAUUAGGAGUGACAUGACACCUUAUUCAUUGUCGUCGAAGUCCUCGGUGGUGAAGUCGAGGUUGAAGGGUCUUCUUAGUCGUCGCAGCUCGGAACUUCAAAUAGGUUUACAACAUACACGAGAUGCGACGUGAAAAUAAACAACGAGCAUUACAUCUAAAGCAAAAACACCAAUAACUCCAAUAAAUAACGAGCAUUACAUCUAAAACUAAAAGACCAAUAACUUUAUUUAGAAGAGCCAAAUAACAUCAAGCUACAAACAACACCGGUUCAUUUAUAGAAAAUUAAUGAAGCAUAUUUCAUAAUUUUUGAGCUAAUAUGAAUUAGUUAUGACAUAACAAGGAAAUAAAGCAGAUUAAUUUAUUUUAAUAAUUUAGAAAACUAUUGGGACGUGUUAGCCUUCAGGUUAGUCACGUGGCAGCCUCUAGUGGCACCAUGUGUUGAGGUGAUGUCAGUAUGACCUAUCAAAGGUUGGUCAAAGAAGUGGGUCCCACUGGCUAGAGGUGGGCCCACAAGCUGACGUGGCAUGUUGUCUCAUGCCACGUAGGGCACCCUUGGGUUAGCCGGGAUCCGAUGUGGUCAGCUGAAUCACUCGUGGCUUAGCACGGUGUGGCAUGCGGCUUGUGAGGCUUUGCAGGCCUGUGCGCUAGGUAUUCGAGGAAAAGCCCACAAGGCGGCAACGGUGCGAACAUGCGUGUGUAGCAGCGGCAGCACAACGACGAUGGUGGCGUGACAGCGUGAUGAUGCGGCAGUGGCUAAAGGCUAACCUUUCGACCUUGCGAGGGUUGCAGGGUGCGGCGCUGGGUCUUUUAUAGCCCGAAGGCUAGGGUUCGAUGGCGAGCUCCAGGGCGCGGACAGCCAGUGAUCUUCGGCGGGCGUGCCUGGGACACGCGGCUGGCAUCCACGCAGCCGUGUGGUGGCGUGGGGAGCUCGCGGCCUGGCGAGGGAGUAGGUAGGAGCGGGUGUCGACAUCCCGUUGCUGAACGGGGCGUCCUCGCCGAUCUGUUUUGCGUCACAGCAUCAUGGAAAAAGGAACGGGGAGCGAGAGAGCGGCGCGGCGCAGAGGAGCGGCGGCGUCCGCGUGAAGAAGACGCGAGGAGGAGCUGGCGUGUCCGUGCUGGCCAGCGGAGCAGGCCAAACUGGGUCGCAGCAGGCUGUUCGGGUUGAGUUUGUUUGGGCCGGUUGUGCUGGGCUUGCAAGUGGCUAGCAGGCCGAGCUGCUGGGCCAAGUAGAAAAGAAAGAAAGAGAAAGAUGUCAGCAGAUCGGGCCGAGCUGGUUAGGUUGUGACCAGCUUGCGUGCAAAGUUAGAGUUAGUCACAUUAGAUUUUUUUUAUGCUAUUGGCGUGUUAGCUUUAGUUUGUAUUUUGGAUUAAAUCCGAAAAUACAAACUCACCUUUGAGAUCCAAAUUAAACUAAUAAAAUCCAAAUCACUUGUGCAAGUAUGUUUUAAAUUUAAAUGCACAAAUUUAGUUACUAACUUUUAAAUUUAGAGUUAAGAAAGAGGGUUGACCUUAUGUUUGACAAUGAGUUUAAAUGAUCCACACAUUCAAAUAAAAAGUUUUAAAUUUUUUCAAAAACCAGCACAGUUAAAAUCACUCAAUUUUGAGGGAUUUGGAGUGUGGCAUGAGAUCAUGUGUAAGACUAUUUCACCUUCAUCUAUUAUUAAGCUUAUAUUUCACAGAACACACAUAAGAUCUGUGUCAUUGCAAUAUUGAGGAAAUUAAUUUGGGGCCUUGCUAACAAUAUCAGUAACAAGUAACAACCAAACUUAAUAUACAGAUAGCUAACUACACCAAACAACUGAAGUUACAAGUUUACAAUUUGUCAAGACAAACGAGAACCGGCCAGCGCAAGUUGCUCAUCCCUAGCAAAGGCAUGCUACAAAAGGGAAAGAUCUCCUUAGAUAUUGCCACAACUUGUCCAAGAACACCGAACAGGUCUACAUUACACCGAAUUGAAUUAAACAUGCCGCAGAUUUUUGCGUUUUCUUGUCCUUUUGCGGAUAUUGUGUGAAAGAUCAUAUUUUCUAAAAGAGAAAAAAUAUCAGAAAGAUGACAUGCGUGGCCAAACCUGGGCCUUCUGAGUUCCGAAUCAUAAAUUUUUUCAAAAGCAAACUUGGGCUACUUCAGUGCCCUUGCUUGCGGUUGCGGGCCGCAGCGGGCAUCUUGGGCCUUGGUAGUCACCUCCUUCCCCCUCCCGGCUUCUCGACUCCGCCCGUGCACGGGGGUGCUCACUCAAAGGCCGCCGCCGCAAGCCAGACGCUCCGCCUCCGCUCCGGUCGCUGGGAUAGGGGAUCCUCGUCUCCUCUUCUCCACGCUCUGCGCGCCCCGGCAGCCUCGCAUCUCCUCCACGCGACCCUCACCUUCAUCCUCCCGCAAGCUCCGGCCUCCUCGUCUGCGCGCCUCAGCCAUCCGCUGGUGAGUCCCUAUACUCCAUCAGCCGAUCACUGCUCCCAUGAUCUCAGUCGUUAAUGUUUGGAAUAAGCGAGUUUGAUACACUUGAGUGAGUCGGCAUGGUUGAAUUAGUGAGGUUAUUAUGGAUCGGAGCUGGGUAUGCCUUUCGGUUCUGCUGUUUUUAGUUGAAGAAAUUUCAGUGUUCAGGCAGGGAAUACUGAAGAUGGAAUCAAUAUUGAACAGUAGCUGCUAGGUCCAAUCGUAACUUCUAGCAGAAGAAACUGGAGUAUGUGACAUUGAACAGUAUAAACCGUUGACGUCUGUGGAGCUUCUGAAUUAGUUCCAGGAUGGUUCAGUUCAAUAUGCCUAUUGAACCCACUCACUUGGGUGGUAUGUAAAAUUUCACAUCUACCGCAGUAUUUUGGGGUUGCGGAUUUGAUUGCUGCCUCACAUUUAAGUCAACUGCUGUUGAUAAGGCUCAAUGGCUUGAUGUUUCAUCUUUGUUGUUAACCAAUGUGUCAAAUUGUUCUAGAAGGCUUACUGAAUUGAUCCAUUUGAUAUUUAUAGCUCUUAAAUCAAGCAGCAUCUGCCAACAGACAGCUUAAGGGUGUGUUUGGUUGAGAUGUAGGUUUUGGAAAAGUAGCUAUGAGCUGUGGGGUAUGGAAAAGCUGUUUGGUGGAACAGUUGUGGCUUUUGGAAUAAGUAGCGAGCGGACCCCCAUGUCAUUUAUAGUCCACCCCACUCAACCCUCUCCCUCUCACUGACGAGUGGAUCCCGCUCGUCAGCCCCUUCUUCUUCCUCCGCUGCUCCUCCCCUUCCCCUGCUUCUCCCCCUCCUCCAUCUCCCCUGCUCCCCUGCUCCUUCCCUUCCUCCUCCUCCUCCUCCUCCUCCUCCUCCUACUACUACUACUACUACUACUACCUGCGCUCGCCGCCGCUAGCCCGGAGAGAAGGAGGGGCGCUGCCGCCGCUGGUCGGUAGAGGACGAGAAGAGGCUGCAAAUCGGUGGGAGCUCCUAGCACUGGCAAUGGAGGUGCGUCCGAACAGGCGAGGAGGGGCCGCCGGAGGGGCGGCCGGCCAGGUGGGGAGGGGCCACCGGAGUCGCAGGGAGGGGUGGCCGGCCAAGCGGGGAGGGGCUGCCGGGGAGCUGCGGGGACGGAGAAAGGUCGCCGCUGGAGGGGAGCUCCUGGCGCCGGCAAUGGAGCCAUGGAGGUGCAGCCGGCUAGGCGGGGUGGGGCUGCCGGAGCCGCGAGGGGGGGCGGCCGGCCAGCGGGAGGGCCCGCCGGGGAGCCACGGGGACGGGCUGCCAGGGAGCUGCCGGGGACCCUAGCACCGUCGUCGCUCUUCCAUCGCUUGGGGGUGGGAGGGUGUCGCGGCUUGGAGAGAAGGGAAAAAAGAAGCGAACCGGUACAACAUAAUCAGUGGCAGGUGGGUAAAUUUCGCGAACUCACCAAUCCACAGCCGGCCACAGCACCUUGUUCGCUGCUGUGAAAAUUGAACUACACCAAAGCUGCUUUCUUGAAAGCACUUGGGAGGAAACUGGUCCCUUUGGUUGGCUUUUAGCUUUUUUUAGAAGCCAAAGCACCUAGAAAGCCAAACCAAAGGGACCCUAAGACCUCUUCAAUUUGCUAUGUUUGUGCAACAGUGAAAACUCAUAACUGUUGAAUUCUCUGAAGGCAUGACACUGAUCCACUAGUCCAUCCUUAUUCUGGAAGGAGAACCGUACAGGAAUGUAUUAUGACUGGCUUCCAACUCCUUUUUUCUGAAACAAAGAACAGGAGGGGCGCACCCCUACUUAUUAUAUUACAUUAAAAAAGCAGGAAAAAAGUACAAAUCCAAAAAUAAGAGGAAACACAAAAAGGAAUAGAAAAGCUACUGAAAGGAAUCUAGCCAAGCACUAAUUAGGGGAAACUAGCUUUGCUUCGCACGAUGCAGUCAUCCAGCUCAUUUAGGCAUUGCUUCCUUUGCCAUAGCUUCUUUUAGCAGAAUUAUUUUCCACUUUGAACGGAUGUGCACUAGCUAUGUAGAUUGUGAAUUCUAUUAUUCCACAUUAAUUUGGAAUUGAGUGUGAUGACAACUACCAAUCAGUGUCAUGACAACUACCAAUCAUUGCUUCUUGACUUAGGGCCUGUUUGGCAAUAAGGUGUUAAAGUUUAACACCCGUCACAUCGGAUGUUUGGAUGCUAAUUAGGAGUAUUAAAUAUAUGCUAAUUACAAAACUAAUUGCACAGAUGGAGUGUAAUUCGCGAGACGAAUCUAUUAAGCCUAAUUAGUCCAUGAUUUGACAAUGUGGUGCUACAGUAACCAUUUGCUAAUGAUGGAUUAAUUAGGCUUAAUAGAUUCGUCUCGCGAAUUAGCACAGGGUUCUGCAAUUAGUUUUAUAAUUAGCUUAUAUUUAGUUCUCCUAAUUAGCAUCCGAACAUCCGACGUGACACUGUUAAAAUUUAACACCUCAUAUCCAAACACCCCCGCACUUGUCACCUCUUCCCACUUUGGCCCUUCUCUUGACAUGUAGUGUCAUUCUGUCCAGCAUACCUCCUAGAUGAUUGAUCUUUUACAUUACUACCAUUACCCCAUUCUGUCUUAUCUUAGGCAAUGUGACUUAGGCAACAAAAUCUGCUUUGGUUCUCUUAAAUUUAUGAUGCUAGGUCCUUUUUUCUGGGUGCAGGAGCUCUGCAGGAAAAGAAGUGUGUAGUUACCAUGGUUCACUUCAAGAAUAGGUACAUGGUGAUGGAGGUCUUUAUAGAUGCAGGUAGGGGAGAACAAGACCCUGUCAUCCUCACCCAGUUUAAUAUAACCAAAGUUAUAAGAGACAGCAUUCAACUGAACUUUGGGGAGUGUGGCUUAGCUGCAUCUCUUGGAUCAUUACAAGGUACUACUAGUGAUUACUACUGAACGUUUUUUAAUUUUAUAGCAGUUUUAGCUGUAUUGAGUUUAGUACUAGCUUCUUAAUAUUAUGAGCUCUGCUAAUUUUCAGUGAAGUAUGUUAAUCCUGUAACGAAGCUUUGCAUUAUCCGUGUGUCACGUGAUGACCACCAGAAAGUUUGGGCUGCAAUUACAAUGGUGAGGUGCAUUGGGAAGAUACCUGUAUCAUUCAACCUGCUCGACAUGAGUGGUGAGUGACUUACUCUGUGGAUGGUCUGACACUUGAUUUUAGUGCAGCCUGAACCUUUCAAUAAUUGAUAGUAGUAAUGGAUUUUAGUAGUUCAUUUCGGUAGUUGAUUUUCUUUUCUUGCUACCAUAGUAAUUGGUAGAUAGUAUUGUCAUUUAGAUAGGCUGUGAUAUGCCCAUCUUCCAUCACUGUCAACCUGUGUUGCCGUUUCAUUGGUGUAUUUUAGCUCUAGUAUUUCAGUGCAACAUUCCUGCAAUAUAUUCAUUUCGUUUAUAAUGAAGGUACAUGGAAUCUAUAGAAUUGACGAAUUCAUUCUGUUGUUCACAUACACCUAUUUCAUAGGCCUAGUUGAAACUGAAUUUCCUCAUCCAGAACCCGGAAUAUAGUUAUGUCAGUUCUUCUCCUGCUUUAAGUAUUUCUACAUGUCAAUUUGAAUGGUCAGCCCACAGACUUUUGCGUUAUUGUAGUACUAAUUUGUAUUCCUUAAGAAAAGGAUUGCUAUUUUCUAUGGCCGAACUGCCACAGUUAAGCUCAUUAACUAUCAUCGCAUUCACUUUUUCUAGGAAGUAUCAGGGCUUGCAAGAAAGCUGCACUUGAGUGUGACGAAGCGAAAUUUGAACAAUACAAGGUGGUUGCCGGUGACUGUAUCACAUCCAGAAAUCAUCCAGUCCGACAGAGCUGCCUUGAGAAAAUUAGAGGACUAGAGAGCUACUAUGUUUGUCCCUAGAUGAGAUUAAAAGAAUGAAAAUGGCAAAAUCGGGUCCCGGUGUUUAGCAUUGAAGGCAUAACUUAUGGUCUGAACAGAAGGAACUUUUUUUUUUAAGACGUGCAUAGCCUGUUUUUCAUUUUGAAGAGAAGUUUCAACAUGUACAAUCAUGAUACACGAUCACGUCAAAAACGGAAAAACUCGUUCAGGGAUGUAAACCACAAACAGAAAAAGAAACACCACCACCUAAGUUAUUCUAAGGCGCAUCAAUGAGCAGAGUCCUUGAAAGCCUGCGUGACCCUAAGUCCUCGCUUCCUCCAGAAUCACCGGUGCUAGGGCCACUGGCUGCAGCGCCGUUCGUUCAUGCACCCGUCUGUUCCACUCCUUCGAAAGCGACCAAGCGACCAGCCGAACCAGUGAAUCGAAGCCUUUCCAUUGAGUUUUAUAAACCUUCUUGCUUGCUUGGGUCUACCAUUCGGCUAAAGGAGCCUUGACCUGUGGCAUGAGUCACUGCAGACCAAAGAAUCUGAGGACACUAAACCAUGUCUCACGGCUGUGUACACAGCCCGUAAGCAGGUGGUCCAUUGUUUCGACCUCUUGGGUGCACAACGCACAUUCAUCUCUGUCACGCAAACCGUGACGGCGUAGUCGGUUAGAAGUCCAACAACGACCAUAAAGCACAAGCCAACCAAAGAAACGAUAUUUUCCUGGCGCCUGCACUUUCCAUAACUGGUGAGCUCCCAUCAGCGGGGACUGACCCAGAAAGAGAGCACGAUAAGCCGAAGCAGAAGAGAAAAGACUUGACGACAAACACUUCCAAAUGAACUUGUUCGGGACUUGACUAAGGUUUUGAUUCCUUAGCAGGUCCCAAAUUCGUAGGUACUGGACAAUGACCUGAACCGUUCUAGCACGGCAAACAUCACGGACCUAGCGUCGACCUUGAAAAGCAUCCCUGACGGUACGGAUGUUUCUUACUCUUGUUGGGACCGCCAUCCAUAGAUGUGGGGCCAACAUUUUGAUGAAGCAACCAUUGAUCCAUCUAUCCAUCCAGAAUAGGGUGGUAGCACCAUCACCCACUUGGACCAUCACCGAGGCCUCAAAGAACACCUUGGCUGUCGUUUUCUCCUUAAAGGUAAAGCUCGACCAAGUCUUAUCACCAUCCAUACGUGACAACCACAACCAGCGCAUCCAAAGGGCCAAUCCCAUGAGCUGCAGAUUGGGAAUCCCUAGGCCCCCAAGUCCUUUGGGCAGCAAACAUUGAUCUGAAGCGUCUUCACAUAAGUAGAGACUAAAUGUGAUAUAAAUAUCAAUCCCAGGAGGCUGAUAACACAAUUAUUCAACAGAUGGUUCAAGAACAUACAACUCCCGAGGGAGCAGGCGAGAAAGGUACGCCAAAAAGAGGUAAAGCACAAACAAACUGUAGGCACUAGUUAUGGUAAACCAGAACCAUAGGCAGCACCCAGCACUACAUGCCAGCGGAAGCAUUUUGCAAAGGCCCAACGCCACAAGCAACGUUGGGUGCGGAAGCAACCACCUACUCGAUGUCCUCGGCAACGAAGUCUGGGUCUUCCUCUGAAGCAACAAAAUAAGGGUGAGUACAAAAGUACUCAACAAGUCCAACCACGCCCACGGAUGGGGAUACAACAAGAAUAUGCACAAGUCAUAACAAGGAAUAGGCCAAGGUUCAUUUGCAAUAAAGCUAGAUUUUUAACACAUGCAAGGGUUCAUUUUCAAAAGGAUUUUCACAAAGCAUUUAUUUGGUAACCGAAUAAUUGAGUGGGGUUGAUCCUACACAAAGGAUCCAAGUUUUAAUGCUACCGGACUCCCCGUCCGCGGUAACUCAUGACGCAAUUGUUGGACACUUCCAAAAUCCACACAUGCCAUGAAAAUCAUUCAUCUCCCAAAAGCUAGUUAUGUGCCCAAACUGUAACUCAUCCAAUAUCGUGGACACGUCUGUUCGAAUAGGUUUUAACUCUGCAGAGGUGUACACUUUACCCACAAGUAGGGUACCGCAGCACGAUCACCGUAGUAUCAGUGCGGAUCCUAUCAAAGCCAUUACCCACCUUAGCUAAGACCUAAUAAAUCAUCAUGGAAGCAACCAUGGGGCUAAGGAACCUAUCAACGAGGUCGUAACUGGGACCUAAGCCUACACGUGCUUACUCCUUCUCCAUGAUCUCCCAUUGCUCACCCAGCACACCGAUGAUUAUUAGACUUGCUAGUGGGUUUUAUGCUAAGCCUUUGCCUCAUACAAAGGUCGAGUGGUUGCACGAUAAAUUGGGUUAGGCAAGAUGACACAUCAACUCGGUCCUUAACCAAGAUAAAAUGGAUAUCACCCAACCUGCUCAACCACUAAGGUACGAGCCCAACUUGGCAUUUCACAUAAGAAACACCCAUCCGUCUCAUCUAAGCAUUUUCUUCCUUUUACUUCCCGAAACCCAUUUAUCUCUUUAAAACACUCACACCUUUAUUCUUUGAUAAAUCACAUUGUAGUCAUAAUUGAAUUGUAAUAAAAUGAGUAACGAGGUCCUAAGCAUUCUAGCAGUAGUUAUCAUCCAAACAGAGCAUAUCAUAUUUAGAGAUAAUUCUAGGAUAUCAAGGAAUAAUCAUAACAAUCAAGGAGUGGCUAUCCAACUGGGUUUCAGCAAUAAAACAAUAUGCAACUUAUAAAACGGCCAAUAUGUUGUGUUUGAAAUAUUAGGAUAAAUAUGCAUCAAAGGGUGAGAUUGGACUUGCCAUCCUCAAAGCCUUCCGGGAGUUCCUGCUCGCGGUACGGGUCCUCGGACUCUGGCUCGCGGUACUGGCCUUCAAGCUCCUCUUCGGGCUCCUCCUCCUCGGUCACUCCGCGAUCUACGACACACACGAGCGUGCACACAAUAAAUAAACAAAAAUAAAUUUCUACCUGUUGAGCUCGGAGAGAGAGUGAACCGAAAAUAGAGGAAGGAAGAGUGUUUUCAUAGAAUUUGGUAGAUGACUCGACGGGAAUAUAUUUAAGAAUGACGUGGUCGAAUUUGGGGUUCAUAGGAGGAAAUUUGGUGCAUAAAAUGUCGGCGAGAAGGUGCUUAAGGGCUGGUUUUAAAGGGUCCCCAGAGACCUNNNNNNNNNNNNNNNNNNNNNNNNNNNNNNNNNNNNNNNNNNNNNNNNNNNNNNNNNNNNNNNNNNNNNNNNNNNNNNNNNNNNNNNNNNNNNNNNNNNNNNNNNNNNNNNNNNNNNNNNNNNNNNNNNNNNNNNNNNNNNNNNNNNNNNNNNNNNNNNNNNNNNNNNNNNNNNNNNNNNNNNNNNNNNNNNNNNNNNNNNNNNNNNNNNNNNNNNNNNNNNNNNNNNNNNNNNNNNNNNNNNNNNNNNNNNNNNNNNNNNNNNNNNNNNNNNNNNNNNNNNNNNNNNNNNNNNNNNNNNNNNNNNNNNNNNNNNNNNNNNNNNNNNNNNNNNNNNNNNNNNNNNNNNNNNNNNNNNNNNNNNNNNNNNNNNNNNNNNNNNNNNNNNNNNNNNNNNNNNNNNNNNNNNNNNNNNNNNNNNNNNNNNNNNNNNNNNNNNNNNNNNNNNNNNNNNNNNNNNNNNNNNNNNNNNNNNNNNNNNNNNNNNNNNNNNNNNNNNNNNNNNNNNNNNNNNNNNNNNNNNNNNNNNNNNNNNNNNNNNNNNNNNNNNNNNCCGGGGCGAGGCAAGGCGUGCGGGCGCAUGGCACGGCAUGGGCACAUUGGCGUGCGUGCGGGGGGAGGGGGUAGGGGGCAGGCGAGUGGUGGGCACGGGGUCGGGGGCGUGGUGCACUGCAUCUCGCGUGUGCGCAGUUGGGCAGGGCUGGCCGGGCGUGGGGAGGGUUGGACGCAGGGCUGGGGGCGCUGGAGGGAGAAGAAGGGAGGGAAAAGGAAGGGGAGAAAGAAAGAAGGAAGAAAGGAGGGAGAAAAAAAGAAAAGGGAAAAAGGAAAAUAGGGUAAAAAGAAAAAGAGAUGGAAUAAAUGGAAAAUGUAGAAUUGAAUGGUGUGAAGAGUUAAAAAGAGAGAGAAGGCAGGGAUUGCAGAAGCGGUCACGGGCUUGAGCAUGGUGAUCUUUCGACCGGCACGCAGUGUGGCUUGCAGAGAGGAAAAAGAAAAAGAAUAGACAGCAGUCGGCUUCGGUGCCGGGACGACGAAAUUGCCGGAAAGACGAAAUUUUGGGAGCUCAAGCGGUGAAAAGAUUUUUGAAAAAGAUUUUUAGUGAGUGAUUUAAUUUGGUGAAUUUUUGGGAUGUUACAUGAUCCAAGUGACCGCGCACUUGCCACCCGAGGCUACCUCAAUCCCACACUAGAGAAAACCUCCAAUGAGAGUGUCAAUAGCCUUGAUGGCCCAGGGUGUGAUCUCAAUUGCCAUAGAGAUGUAGACGGGGAUGGCACUAAGCGUCAUUUUGGCGAUGAUUAAGCGACCACUUCUAUUAAGCAUCCUAUCCUUCUAGGCUGGUAGGCGCUUCGCGACCUUAUCCACCAGUGGCUGCAUGGCCGCCUUCGGUAGAUGAUGGAUGGAGAAGGGUACCCCCAGGUAACUACAGGGGAAAUCCGCGACCUGACACCUCGGUAUGUCAGUGAUGAGGUGAACCUACUCCUCCGAACAAUGGAUUGGGAAUGCUUGACUCUUGGAGUAGUUGCCACCAACCCUGAGGCCUUAUGAAAUAAGGAUAGGAUCUCUCUAAUGAGAACGAGAUCCUAAGCGAUCGGAGAGAUGAAAAUGACCACAUUGUCAUCAUAAAGAAGCUCGCUGCUUGAUAGCUGCCGGACGCAGUGGUUGGAGUAGCUCCCUACCUUCCGCUUACUUGAGCAUGGCAUUAAAACACUCCAUGACGAGCACGAAUAGCAUAGGCGAGAGGGGAUCUUCCUACCUAAGCCCGCGACCAUGGCAGAUGCUUCUUCCAGGCAUCCCAUUAAGCAGAAUCUUGGUGCUUGCCGUGGAUAGCAACAUUGAGAUCUAGUUAGUCCAAGUCCUCAGGCAGCCAACUGCAGAGAGCAGCUCAAGAAGGAAGACCUAGUCGACCGAGUCAAAUGCCUAAGCGAGAUCAAUCUUGAACAUGACUCUCGGGAUCUUCGUCGACGCUAGCGCCUUCGCAGUCCACAAGACAUACCUGAAGUUGUCUCGUAUUUGGCAACCCUUAAUGAAAGCACUCUGAUUAUAUGAAAUAUGCUCAUGCAAAUGGGGUGCGAAGUGGUUAGCCAGUGCCUUAGAGAAGAUCUUCCCAAAGCUAUGGAUGAAACUGAUCGGUCUGUGAUCUCCAAGGCUUUUAGUAUCUUCCUUCUUGGGCAACAAAGUCAGCAAAGCAUUGUUCAAGCGAUGAAAACUUCUGCAGUCCAUCGAAGAUAGGGCAUUGAAAGCUCUAACAACAUCCCCUUUAAUAAUCGACCAAGUCGACAUAUAGAAUCGACCAAUGAAGCCAUCAUGACCUGGGACCAUGUCGAGAGGCAGUUCCUUAACUACCUCCCACACGUCGGCUUUAAUGAAGGGGCACCCCAACAAGGAGAGAUCCAAAGAUGGUAGUCCCCAAGCUUUGAAGUUGAUGGUGCAACCUCUAUUGUGGUUGGUCCUGAGGAUCACAUUGUCGUAGUUAAAUGCUGCCACUAUCUUGUCAUCCUUGGCUACGAUCAUCACCCCAUCAACCUCCAAAGAUGGGAUGAAGUUUUUCCUCCACCGCUGGUUUGCGUGCAGGUGAAAGAAAUUCACGUUUGCAUCCCCUUCAUGUAGCCACCGCAUACGCGCUGCCUUGCUAUGGUACGCUCAAGCAAGGUCAGGCCUAGGAAUCUAAUCUCUAGAAAGCGGCAAAGCGCUUGCUCCACCGCUAAAAGUGACCAGUGGUCCUGCGCCGACUCGAGGUGGAAAAUAACCUCCUUAGCGACCUGAAUCUAAGUUCAGAUGCUACCGACCGCCUUAGCACUCCAUCGCUUCAAACCCUUAUCUGUCUCACGAAGUAGGAAGUCGAUGGUGUGCAGUGGGUCAUCGAUCGGGCACGGACCAUUCCACGCAUCUUGAACUCCCUCUAGAUAACCAUCAAACUAGGGCCAUACAGCCUGGAACCUAAAAUGACGCUUAGGAUGGAACCCGUUAUCGAACUGAAGGAGCAACGGUGCAUGAUCAAAGCACCUGUGAUGACCGGCCCCAAAUCUCCCAGGUUGAUCUUUAUCCUAGCCCCUGAUCAUCUGUCUAGUUUGCCGCGCCUGAAAGUUCAACCCUCCGCCCGGUCCCGACCCCUGAGACCCGACCCCUCCCCGCUUCGCUCCGAUCCCGACCCCGCCAAACCCAGCUCACCGUCGGAUCCUUCUAAGUCUUUCCCAACCGUCCGUUCUAUCUGACCAGUGGACCCGCGAGAUCUUUUUCCCCAGAUCUUCCGCGGCAGGCGCACUCGAGUUGCAUGCUCGCUUCAGAGUCUUCCCGCCGCAUGGCUCAUCUUCUCCGACGCCCGCCGCUCAGCCUCAUCUCUAACCCGUGACCGAAUGGAUUCUCGCGCCCCCUUCCCCAAUGGCAGCGGAAGCCCCUCUGCAACCUUUCUGCAGCACCUCGCCUCCCGCGCCCAUCAUCACACCGCCAGAUCCCGGCUUCAGAGCCCGAUGUCGCCCGUCUUUUCCGUCACUUUGAGCACAGUAGCGCCGCCUGGUCUCCGCUACACGACGAUUCCUCCAUCGCCAACCCCGACCACGGCAGUGACAGCUCCUUUUCCCCGCCCUGUCAGAAGCCGCCCGACAAUCUGUUGCUCCGCGCUCGCCCGCGCGCCCGCAGCUGCAUGUCUUUUCACCUGUGCGCCCUCGAUUCUAGCGCCGUUAACCCGGUCGCGUCCAUCAAAUCUUCCGCACGGUGACGCCCGCCUCCGCCAAAUCUCAACCACCGGCAUACCCGCUCCUGCGCCGCCUUGACGCCAGAACCCAAUGACCGCUGGCGUCAUCUCCGAAGUCCUGCACCACCGCCCCCGUCGCUCAAUCGCCGCCCAGGCAGAGCACUCCAUUGCUUCUUCCCCGGCCUUCGCGCCGCUCCCCUUCUCGCUCCUACGCCGCUUCCCUUCCCCGUCCCAGCCGCUAUAAAAGGGAAUGCGCAAGCCCGCCGGAGUUCCCUCCGCCAUUGUUGCCUCCCGCCACCUCUCUUGCUCCCUGCUCAAGCUCCUAGCACCACACCCUAGAGUUCUUGAGGAACUCUCCUCUCAGCUCCCCUCCAUUUUCCCCAAGCCACCCAGCCGCUUGCUCCUCCGUGCUGCGUAAAAGCUCACUUGUGAUCCACAAGAAGCACCGCCGCCGCUGGAGCACUGCCGGUCUUAGCCGUUGUUCAAAGCCUUAGUCCCUCCGCCCAAGUCUGCUUCUUCCCGACCCCAAGCUUUCCUUGUAGGAAGAAGGUAAGCUGCUGACCCCAGUCCGCUUCGCCCGACCCCUCUUAUCCGCCCGACCCCGGUUCCGUCUUGCCCGACCCUAUCUGUUCCGCUGACCCUUAUCCGCCUCGCCCGAGGGCUCGGCUGUGAUCUUUUUUUUCAACCCGAGGGUGUAUGUGUAAAACUUAGGAACCCUUCAGCGCUUGCGUCUGAGGAUCCCUAGUAUACCACAUCCUCUAGUUCAAAGAUCAGAUCACAAGUUCCUUUCCAACCCUCACCUCUUGAUCUCCACUAGCUCCUUUGAACCUCCCCACCCUCCUGCUCUUUGUCGCGAGUUUCUGGGCUCAGGCGAGCAAGUGUUGCUGUUGAAAUAACCGUCUAUGCUAACUCUUGCAUUGCAUUCGUGUAGAGCUGUGCCUCGCCGACGGCUUCUACGAGCUACACCCGGCGCCAGAAGAUGACGCUGUAGCUGAACUCCUGCUCCCAGAAGCCGAAGCCGCCCCCGAAGUCGAGCAGUUCUCUUCCUCUUUGCUCGAAGGCAAGCCCCGGUUACAUGAAAACCCUGUGUCGUUUUCCAAACUUGCGCAUGCCUUCCUUAAAACAUGCUUGUGCAUUUACGUAUAGGAGUUGUUUGGAACCAUAGAUGCAUGACUUAGCUCCCCAUAUUUUGAACACUAGCUAUUGGACCGAGUAGCUGCUUUGCUAACUAGGAGACGGUAAAAGUCGAGUGAUUCCCUGUCACUUGCGAGUUGUAGGAGUUGGAUGUCUACCCUUCUGUUACAACUAUAAGGACGAUGGACGGGGCAGGGUUUUGGGUAACUCUUUGGUGGUUGGAUGAUCGCCCCGUCUGUUUAUGAAAACUUGCUAAGGCCCGACAGUGGUGGUGUUCGUGAUCAAGUGUUUGAAAGUACUAGCCUCAUACUUAGUAUGGGAUGAGGAAGCCUAGUACCGGAUUGAACCUAGACGUGAGCGGUCGCCCCAUUGUUCUUGGAACGGAGUUUCCCCUGCUGGAUGUCGCACGUGGUGGCAUGCGUGGUCACAGAACGGCAGAGGCCGGGUCUGUGGAACCUUGCACCAAAGGAAAUGGGCCCGACACGGGUUAGGGGAUUGAUGGGGAAGGCCGACACAGGAAGCGACCUCUAGGUGCGCGGAUGUCGUGAGGCUAGGUUCACCAUGCAUGGUUAAAGAACUCGAAUCGAUUCGUCUGCCUCUCACAGUUUGAGAUUGCUUGAUCGCUAUGUCACCCUGAGUAAAUGAGGAACCUGAUGAUGACAUGGAUUUGUUGAUAUACAUACCUUGUUUGGCUCUAUGAUUGCUUAGAAUAGUUUGCAAAACCUAGACUGGUUAAAGAACUUAUAAUCGGAGCUAAAACUUGAAAAUAAGGUUUACUUAGUGCUUUUGGCAAACAAACCUCUCAGCCAAAAAGCCCUGCAUGUCUACAAUGGUGGAGUAGUUUUACUCCUGUUGGUUAAGUCUUGUUGAGCUUAGUAGCUCAGCCUUGUUGUGGCUCCUGUUUUUCAGGUGAAGUUGCUGCCCCCGACCCUUCUCCUGCGGGCACUUGGCUGCCCCAAGUCCCUCCGGGUCGGACGGUCGAGUGGGAUCCCUCCUCGGACGGCGAGGAGAGGGAUCAGUGAUGUCCCGGCUGGCCUCACCAGGACGUCUGACCUCGACGAUGCUUCCGCUAGUGUUUUACCUUCUGUUGUUUUCCGAAAUCCUGUAAAACUCUGAUGUUCAUUUCGCAACUAAAUCCAGUGGUUAAUUUGUUAACUCGGAGGACUUGUUGUGCUCUCUGGAACCGCUCACCUUCGUGUGAGUCUGCUAAAAUGGUCCUGUUCAAGUGGUUAAAUCGGAGGAAAAUCCGACGGCACUUCGUGUUUACUCGGCUUAGGCAUGAGCGUCGCAUAUCAGGCGGCUAAAUCAUGUUUAACCAAGUAGAUCCGAAGUGGAUCCGCCACAGCUGGUAUCAGAGCGGUUUUAGCAGUACAGAGAACACAACAAGCCCUAAACACUUCUUUAAAAAGAUAAAAGUUGCAAGAAACUUUUUUGAAAAAUCUCGUACGAUCGUUAAGGAUGACUUUAGUGCGAGAGGCCCUAGGGGAUUUUGGGGUUGUUUUAGGUGACUAAUAUUUUACUUGGUUAUCUUGCUAACCCUUCCAGCACUUCGCCACGUCUAUCAUACGUGUGCCGAGUUCCGCAUCACGAGCAUGCGAAGGUUGAUAGGGAGUUCUAUUCAAAGGACCCUAUCAUCGUGGUUGUUCUCGCCCACGUCUAUCACACGUGCGCAGGUUCCGUAUGUAAUCCAUACGAAGGUUGGUACGGUUCGAUUCCAACGAACCUAUCAGCACGGUUGAUUCGCCACAUCUAUCAUACGUGUGCUGAUUCCGCAUCGCGAGUAUGCGAAGGGUUGUAUGGUUCCAUUCAAAGGGAACCUAUUUCCACGGUUGAGUGCUGUCCAUACAGCCUUAAACGCAUGGGUGCCGUUCCUAUAGUGAGCGGUAAUGUUUGGGAACGCUUUCGUGAGUGCUGGCACGAAAGAUUCGUGUGUUGGUGUUUUCUGCAGGUACGCUAACCGCGUUCGUUUAGAAGAUGUUGUUUGAAUCGACUAGCUAUUAUAGGGAGAGACGUACUUGUUGCCUUGUCACCGGCACUGAUCGCGUAAGACCCAGGUUUGGGCAGUUGUUUUGGUUAAGAGUAAGGUAGGCCGUGCAUGCGUCAUAACCAGAAAGCUGUAAGGUUUCCUUCUCAAAAGCAACCUUGUUUGGAAGAGUUCUUUUCGGUUCUAAGGAUUUCUAGUUUCUUCCAGUUGCUCUCGGUUACAGCCGAAUGCUUCUCUAUCCGACCCCUGACCCUUGGAGUCUAUCUCAUGUGGUUUUGGUUUCUUGGUUCCAGAUGGCCGUCCCCGGGCAUGUGUUAUUUGGAGCGGAUGGUACUUUCCAGUCGACAUGUCUGCAUUUCGAGGGUUUUCCCGCAAUUUUGUGGGACACGUUGAAAUGGUUUGGGUACCAGUCCCCACCAUUAUACGCCGGACGACUGUAUCUGGAGCAGGGUAUCCAGACGUGCCAUGUACAGGCGGUGGUACCUCCUCCCCCUGUGCGGCCCGACUGGCCCUCCUUUGGCAUAUCAGCCUACGGCCUUGCUCCGGAGGACACUUGGGAGUCUGCUGCUCUCCAGCUGCUCACCCAGUUUUGCCAGCUGCAUCCCCUAGAGAUCACGCUAGACCCUAUCGGCCUGUUCCCCGCCAGGAACCGGCUGGACCCGGCGUGGCUCGACCGCGUUGGGAAUAUUGAGGUGCUAGCCACCACGUACGCCAUGGUCACCAUCUCCACCAAUGUCAGGUGCAUGGCAGCCCUUUAUCGGAUGAUCGAGCUUCAAGGGAGAGCUAUGACCCUCUUCGCCCGGACCGCAGCGGAUGCUCACGGGUACCUCCAGUUAGCUAGGAGAGAUAUGGUAGGCCAAACCUACCAGCUUAUCCAACGGGGUAUCCAGAUCCACGACAUGCAAGACCGGAUCUCCGAGCUCGAGGGAGAAGUCGCCGACCUAGUGGACGGCAUGAUCGAGCUGUCGGAGGAGAAGAUGGAGAUAGAGAUGGAGCUGGCAGUUGCCAAUGCUCACUUAGAGGAGCAUCAAGCUGAGCUCGACGAUAUGCAUACCCUCAACAUGCAGCUCGAAGCUCAAGAGGACCCCGAGGAGGACGAAGGAGCGUCCAGCAUGGACAUCGAGGAAGAUGACGCCCCUUCUCCUACUCAUAGUGUCCAUUUGUAGAUUAAGAGUUCUCAGGGAAUCAUUCUUUUGUUGUACUCGUCGGCAGCCUAAAUUUUGGAAAGAUUGUAAUAGGUUAGCCUUGAGUCGAGUACUCCCUGUGUUGGAACACCGCUGUAUAUAAAGUCAAUUCUGGUGCCUGGUCUUUAACCCUUGCAAGUGUUGGAAUACUAGGCUAAGUGAGUUACGCCGUGACCACACGUUGUUUUCUGGGAGUCUGUUCAGUUGGCCGACCCCUUUUUAAUGUGGAUCGUUGCCGACCCUUUUUCUCAGGAGGAUCGCCUAGCCCGACCCCUUGGCUUAAGUUGGAUCAUAGGAGUCUGGGUAGGGUAUGAUUCGCCUGAAGUUGAGUACAAGGCUCAGAAAAACGCUAACAAACAUGAGUAUGGGAAAAGUGUAUCUCCUCUAUGAGGACGUGUGUGGCAUUAAUCGGCAAGAGUUGCAUUGGAGGAUUUAACUUAUACGUUCCAUUUGUUGGAGUACUUCUAAGAUUAUGAAUUUAAUGGAACGCUAACUCUUGCAGAUGGCGCAUCGCACCAGGUCUGGUUCUGUGCCCGGCAGUAGCGAGCAGCGACAGGAUCUUGCCCCACCCCCACCCUCAUCUCCACUAGAGGCAAUCCUGGCAACUCAAACUGAGCUGCUAAGGCAUCUUGUACAAGGGCAACAGCAGCAGCCCCAUGGUGGAAGGGCUCAGCAGCAGCCGCAUGUGGCUCGCUAUGAGGACUUUUUGGGGACACAGCCCCCUUUGUUUCAGAAGACCCAAGAACCGCUUGACGCCGACGUCUGGGUUCGUACAAUCAAAUCCAAGUUCGAGCUUCUCACCGCCCCAUGCCCCAAUCAUAGCAAGGCUCGAUUCGCAGCUCAACAGUUGCGUGGCUCCGCACGGCUUUGGUGGGAACACUACCAUGCCAUGCUGCCGGCUUGCCAUGUGGUCAGCUGGAAUGAGUUCAAGACGGCGUUCAAAGCGCAUCACAUUUCGGAAGGUCUCUUAGAGCGCAAGCUCAACGAGUUCCUGGCCCUUACCCAGGGAACCCGAGAUGUGCUGCACUACGCUCAAGCCUUCAACGACCUGUGCCGUUAUGCCGGCUACCAUGCGGACACGGAUGAAAAGAAGCGGGACCGAUUUCGCCGAGAGCUGAGCUUGGAGCUCAGGGAAAGGUUGAACCCCAUCAAGGUAGACACCUACAAUGAGUUGGUCAAUCUGGCCAUCUCUCAAGAGGAUUGCAUGCAAGCUCUUAAGGCCGACCAGAAGAGGAAAGCCUUCGUGGCAUUUCCGAGCCAGCCGACCCGAAGGUUCAGGAUGGUUCCUCCACAAGCCCCCAGCCGACCCCAUCAGUCAGGAAGGUGGAUUGCCCGACCCCCACCAGCAGCAGUGCCCCGUUUCCCCGGCUUCCAACCAUAGGUGCCCCGGCUGACCCCACCAGCACCACCCUGCCCUGCAGCUAGUAGCCGCUAUUUUACCUGUGGCAAUGAAGGGCAUUUUGCCAAGGACUGCCCCAGGAACAAGAAUCAACAGCAAGGCCAAAACCCCAUGGCAAAUAGAGGAAGAAGGCCCAAGGUGCAAGUCCGACAAGGCCGACUCAACUACACCAGCUUGACCGAGCUCCCCGAAGGUGCGCCAGUAAUGACGGGUACUUUCCUUGUUUUAAAUCAAGCUGUUGUUGUGUUGUUUGAUUCGGGAGCCUCUCAUAGCUUCAUCGGGAGUAAGGCUAGAGAAAGAUGUGAGCUGGAUGUUGGUCACACUAAGGAAUCUUAUGUGAUCGCCACUCCUGGAGGGAAGAUAGCAUCAGAUCAGAUCGUUACUCUUGUACCUCUCCAGCUAGGCCCGACCCUCUUCAAGGAAAACCUUAUCAUCCUUGACCUAGAAGGCAUAGAUGUCAUCCUUGGGAUGGAUUGGAUGGCCCGACAUCAUGUGGUUUUAGAUACAGCAGCCCGAUCUCUCUACAUCAGCUCACCCUUCCAUGGCAGUUCUAUCCUAUCCUUGACACAUCCUAAGUCUGCACUUCCUUGUGCAUACCCUCUGCCGGGAGCCCGUCUAGAAAGCCUCCCUGUUAUCUGUGAGUACCCUGACAUGUUUCCGGAGGACUUGCCUGGUAUGCCGCCUGAUAGAGAGGUGGAGUUUUCCAUAGAGUUGGUCCCUGGCACCGCACCGAUAUCUAAGAGACCCUAUCGGAUGCCACCUGCUGAGUUGGCCGAGUUGAAGACCCAGUUGCAUGAUCUGUUGGAAAAAGGCUUCAUCCGACCCAGCACAUCAUCUUGGGGUUGCCCUGCCCUGUUUGUGAAGAAGAAGGAUGGCAGUCUACGCAUGUGUGUGGACUACCGACCCCUUAAUGCUGUGACCAUCAAGAAUAAGUACCCACUGCCACGCAUUGAUGUCUUGUUUGAUCAGUUAGUCGGAGCAAAAGUGUUCUCCAAGAUCGAUCUUCGUUCUGGUUAUCACCAAAUCAAGAUCCGACCCUGCGACAUACCCAAGACAGCCUUGUCCACGAGAUAUGGACUAUACGAGUACCUGGUCAUGUCCUUUGGACUCACCAAUGCACCCGCCUAUUUCAUGUACCUCAUGAACUCGGUGUUCAUGCCCGAGCUGGACAAGUUUGUGGUGGUGUUCAUUGAUGAUAUCCUAGUGUACUCAAAGAGCGAAGAAGAACAUGCCGAUCAUCUUCAUGUAGUUCUCCAACUGUUGAGAGAUCACCAACUCUAUGCCAAGUUCUCCAAGUGUGAGUUUUGGUUAGGUAGUCUCAAGUUUUUGGGACACACUAUCUCCAAGGAUGGUAUAGCCGUCGACCCCAGUAAGGUACAGGAAGUUAUGGAAUGGAAGCCUCCUGCCUCAGUGCACCAGAUCAGAAGUUUCCUUGGACUGGCAGGCUACUAUCGGCGCUUCAUACCGGAUUUCUCUAAGAUAGCUAAGCCCAUGACAGAGUUGUUGAAGAAGGAGGCCAAAUUCGUGUGGAACGACAAGUGUAAAGAAGCCUUCAAUGACCACAGCCCUAGUUUUGGCUCAGCCCGACCCUUCUAGGCCGUUUGAUGUGUACUGUGACGCCUCUGGCACUGGACUUGGGUGUGUUCUUAUGCAAGACAACCGAGUCAUUGCCUAUGCCUCACGAGCAUUACGACCUCAUGAGCUGAGCUACCCAACCCAUGACCUUGAGCUAGCAGCAGUGAUACAUGCCUUAAAGAUAUGGAGACACUAUCUGAUGGGCACCCAUUGCAACAUAUAUACCGACCACAAGAGCCUCAAGUACAUCUUUACUCAAGCCGACCUCAAUAUGCGCCAGAGAAGAUGGUUGGAGUUGAUAAAAGACUAUUGUUGGGGGGAAAUAUUAACAAUCCCCUAAGACACCACUUAAGGAAGCGGACACAGAGGCCCAGGCCCACCUAGACGUGAUAAAAGCUCCGCCUCGCCUGACCAAGACGCCAGGAUCGGGAACGUCCGACCCCCCUCCGCAAAGUUUCCGCCUCGCCCGACUGCGACCCCGGGGUCGGGGGCGCCCGACCCCCCGUCACGAAGUUCCGCCUCGUCCGACCCCAAGCGAAGGGGUCGGGCGCGCUGGGGCCCCCGGGGCAGGUAUCCCCCUCGGAUACGGUCCAGAUGGGCGAGACAGACAAAAUCCUAUGGGUCCCCCCGUCGGCCUCGCCAUAAAUGCGCCGCAGGCCUGGCAGAGGGAAGGACGACCGCGCUCCUCAUGCAACCCGACACAAGUUACCGUGCACGACCGCUCUGUGCAGGCUACAGUGCCGGCGGCCGACUCCCGUUCGCCGCAGGGUACUCAUGGCCUGCGCCGGUCGAAGCAAAGGAGCGACCGGCCUGUCCUCCGGCCCCACGCACCCUCGGGUUCCGCGCGCCCAGCAACGCGGAUGUGACGCUCUCUCUCUCUCUCUCAGGAGCCAUCGCCUGUGCAACAGCAUCCACCGUCCUCCCUAACGGACGCUGGGGUAAUGACAGAACGCCCUCAUCAUAACCUGAUGCCUACGAGUAUCGAACGAGCUAUCUGUAGGGAGCAACAACACUUGGCGUACGGUGGCCUCCCCCUCCGGCAUGCGCGCCGGCGUUCAACCAGGGCCGGCAGAGGCAUCGGUCGCCUAGGAUCUUGCCCCUCCCACCUGCCAUACUUUUUUACCAUUCUACGCUUUUACUCUUUACAGUCCUCUUUACCCAAUCCCAACUGUAACUCCGGCCACCCCCCUUGCGAUAUAAAAGGCGGAACCCAGGGCCGGAGAGGGGAUCGGCUUCUUCUCCCACAAGCCACAGCACACAACAACUCUCCCGGAGAGCACAAGCACAAAGGAGACUUGGGACCAGUCCCUCUCUCGUCGAUCUGUUACCCCCUACUACAGAACCCCGCGUGGGCAAUACUAGCAUCCUCGAUACUGGACGUAGGGCUUCCCUUGCCCGAACCAGUCUAAACCAGUGACUCCCACGCAACCACCUGAGGCUUACGCGCAUAAAAGAAAUUUACUAGUCUAAGUCUUGAUCUGUCAAUCUUGACAACGACAGUUGGCGCGCCAGGUAGGGGACCUUUGCGCGUACAUCUCCAGCCCCAGAUGGCCAAUUACGAUAGCAGCUUCGCUCCGGGCUCCCUGAUCCGUUUCGGGAGCCUGGACUUCCUCGCCACCGGGGAAGGGAUCGAGCUGAUCCCUGUCCUCGUCUUGCCCGCUCGUCCUGCUGCCCUCGGCCCCGCUGCCAGGACAACGGCGAGCGGCCAGUCGCAUACCGGAAGGACCUAAACAGGGGGACAGCCCUUCGGGCUACGCAACGCCACAGGGGCUUACGGACGCCUCCUAGCGCGGUCCUUGACCACGUCGCCCGCGAGCAACGAGCUCGUAGGCGCGGCGAGGACAAUCUCUGACGCUGGCUCUAGCAGCGGGAGUCCCCACCCCUCGCGUGAGUGCCUUGUGGUCGACGCGCACUCCGAGGGGUCCAACGGCGAUGGAGCCAAGGGGAGACAACGGGUUCCCCCCUCGCGCGCCGCGGCCACAACUGGAGCCUUACCAAGGGCCCCGGAGGGCUCACGACAACAAGAAGCGCGCGUGGGCGCCCGCCAAGAAGUAGAGCACCCCCACCACGAGGGGGGAGCGCGACAACGGGCGCGCGAUGUCCAGGAACGCAUCUGCGCGGACGGAGAGCGUCCGCCGCUCUUUGCCUGCGCUAGCCAAAACGUCGCAGCCGCGGCGGUGUUGCUCUGACAGCUCCCCGAACCGGCGACGCCUGAAGAGCGACGGGCACGCCAAGAGAUGCGCAACCUGCUCGAGUGCGCCGCCGUCCAGUAGGUGGAAAGUUCGUCGUCCCGACGACGCGGGCAGAACACCAGCCGGGCAACGCAUGACGCGCCCCCUGAACGGCGGGGGGAAUCUAUCCAUCAACCCCCUCCGGGGGCGAAUCAGGCCGCGUCCGCCCGACGGACCCCGCCACCCGCGGAAGGCGAGGCUCGAUCUGUCCACCAGUGCGUCGGUCUUGUCCGCGACGCCCGCGACACCCUGAACGCGCGGAGACGCUCCCGCGCGGGCAGGGAAGAUGGGGCAGAUCGAGGCUACCACGUCCACCGUGGCGGGCGCUACGACAGCGGGGAAGACCGUAGCCCGAGCCCGGAAACGGCUAGGCCACGGGCCUUCUCCGCGCGCAUCCUAAAUGCGCCUUUUUCGCCGCGCUUCAGGCAACCCACGAGUGUAGCCAAAUACUCAGGGGAGACAAAUCCUGGAGUAUGGCUCAGCGAUUACCGGCUUGCAUGUCAAGCCGGCGGAGCGGAUGAUGACCUGUUUAUCAUCCGCAACCUACCCCUUUUUCUGGCAGACUCCACGCGAGCUUGGCUAGAACAUAUCCCUUCGGGACGCGUUCGCAACUGGAAUGACCUAAAAGAAGUUUUCAUAGGAAACUUCCAAGGGACGUACACGCGCCCCGGCAACUCCUGGGAUCUCCGAAGCUGUCGUCAGGGGGCGGAGGAGUCCCUCCGGGAUUACAUCCGGCGCUUCUCCAGAAAGCGCACCGAGCUCUCCAACGUCGUGGACGCCGACGUCAUAGGAGCCUUCCUAGCAGGGACCUCUUGCCGGCCCCUCGUCCACGAGCUGGGGCGCCGAGGCCCGCGAACCACGGAAGAGCUCCUCAAUAUCGCCACUAGCUACGCCUCUGGCGAAGAGGCUGUCGGAGCGAUCUUCGAUCGUUCCAAAGGCAAGGCGAAACGAGAAGAGGAUGCCGACGAGGGCACUUCCAACCGCCAGCAGAAGUAGAAGGGCAAGCAGCGGCACGAGGCCCCCCUCGUGGCUGCGGUCGAGCGCAAGCGGGGGCAGCCGCCCCCCGAAGGCGCCCCCGGCUUUUUCGACAAAUUGCUCGAGGGACUGUGCCCGAACCACGAGUUCCCCGUCAAGCACGCCUACAAAGACUGUAACCUCAUGAAGAGGUACUUCGUGGGCAACCCGGUGAAAGGCGACCGGAAGCGGAAGCCCGAUGAGGAAAAGAAGGGCGACGAAGAGAAGGAAGACGGCUUCCCUAAAGUCGACGGCUGCUUCAUGAUCUUCGGUGGCUCCGCAGCGUACGACGCCAAGCGCCAGCAAAAGCUGGAGCGCCGGGAGGUCUACUCGGCCGAGCCUGCGAUGCCGGCCUUCCUCGACUGGUCCGAGUCGGCCAUCACCUUCGAUAGGUCCGACCACCCUGGACGCGUUCGACAUCCGGGGCGUUACCCCCUCGUCGUCGACCCCAUCGUCGGCACGACGCGCCUCACCAAGGUACUCAUGGAUGGGGGCAGCGGCCUCAACCUCCUCUACGCCGAGACUCUCGACACUAUGGGGAUCGAUCGCUCCCGCCUCCGUCCCAGCAAGGCACCCUUCCAUGGCGUCGUCCCAGGGAAGCAGGCGAUGCCUCUCGGGCAGAUCGACCUGCCCGUUACGUUUGGGACCCCUUCCAACUAUAGGAAGGAGGUCCUCACCUUUGAGGUGUUGGGGUUUCGCGGAACCUACCACGCCAUCUUAGGACGACCGUGCUACGCGAAGUUCAUGGCAAUCCCGAACUACACCUACCUCAAGCUCAAGCUGCCAGGGCCCAACGGGGUCAUCACCGUCGGCACGACCUUCCAGAAGGCAUAUGAGUGCGACGUGGCGUGUUGCGGGUACGCAGCGGCCAUCACUGUCACGAGCGGCAUGGCGGUCCAGCUUGUUGUGGUGAUCGAAGAUCAGCCCGACGCCAAGCAGUCGAGCACCUCCUUUGAGCCCACCAAAGGUAUCAAGGAAGUCCCCCUCGAUCCCGGCUGUUCCAAUGGUGGGGUUGUGCGGAUCAGCGCGGCCCUAUCCCCCAAAUAGGAAAGCGCGCUCGUCGACUUCCUCCGCGCGAAUAGCGACGUCUUCACGUGGAAGCCCUCGGACAUGCCAGGCAUCCCGAGAGAACUCGCCGAGCAUUCCUUGAACAUCAGGGCCGGCUCCAAACCAGUGAAGCAAGGCUUGCGCCGUUUCGACGAAGAAAGGCGCAGGGCCAUUGGUGAAGAGCUCCAGAAGCUCCUGGCGACCGGGUUCAUCAAGGAAGUGCGCCACCCCGAGUGGCUGGCCAAUCCUAUCCUUGUACCAAAAAAGAACGGGAAAUGGAGGAUGUGUGUCGAUUAUACCGGUCUCAACAAAGCGUGUCCAAAGGAUCCGUUUCCUUUGCCACGCAUAGAUCAAAUAGUCGACUCAAUCGCCGGGUGCGAGACCCUCAGCUUCCUCGACGCAUAUUCCGGCUACCAGCAGAUCGCGAUGAAGGAGGCCGACCAGCUCGCUACCUCCUUCAUCACCCCCUUUGGUCCCUACUGCUACAUUAAGAUGUCGUUCGGCCUCAAAAACGCGGGGGCUACCUUCCAGCGAUGCAUGCUGAAGUGCUUCGGAGAUCUCAUCGGGCGGACCGUUGAGGCCUACGUCGACAACAUCGUGGUUAAAUCCAGGAAGGGCGACCAGCUCAUUCCCGACCUGGAGCUAGCCUUCGAAAGGCUGAGGGAUAAGCGAAUUAAGCUCAAUCCCGAGAAAUGUGUGUUCGAUGUCCCAAGGGGCAUGCUGUUAGGCUUCGUCAUCUCUGUGCGCGGCAUCGAGGCAAACCCGGAGAAGAUAGCGGCCAUCAGCGAUAUAGGGCCAAUCCGGAACAUAAAGGGAGUGCAGCGCGUCAUGGGAUGCUUAGCAUCCCUAAGCCGCUUCAUCUCGCGCCUCGGCGAGCGAGGUCUUCCUCUCAAUUGGCUCCUGAAGAAAUCUGACCGCUUCGAAUGGACCAGCGAGGCCCAGGAGGCGCUUGACCGACUCAAGGACCUCCUAACGAAGGCCCCAAUUCUAGUCCCGCCCACCGACGGCGAGUCCCUCCUGCUCUACGUCGCGGCGACCACCCAGGUGGUUAGCGCGGCCCUGGUAGUGGAGCGGGAGGAGGAGGGGCACGCUCUUAAGGUACAAUGCCCGGUGUACUUCAUCAGCGAAGUCUUGUCCGAGUCCAAGACACGAUAUCCACAGAUCCAGAAGCUCGUCUACGCCGUCCUUAUCACGAAGAGGAAGCUGCGUCACUACUUCACCUCCUACCCGGUAACGGUCGUUUCAUCAUUCCCGCUUGGUGAAGUAAUCUAGAACCCAAAUGCUACAGGAAGGAUCGCGAAGUGGGCGCUUGAGCUUAUGGACCAGGGUAUCACCUACGUCCCCCGCACCGCCAUCAAGUCCCAGGUACUUGCCGACUUCGUGGCGAAGUGGACGGAGGUACAAGCACUGUCGGUGCCAGAAGAGCAGGAGUACUGGACGAUGUACUUCGACGGGUCACUGAUGAGGGCCCGCGCCGGAGCAGGCCUCGUCUUCGUCUCUCCGUUGGACGUGCGCAUCAGGUACAUGAUCCGCCUCCAUUUCCCUGCAUCCAAUAAUGUCGCUGAGUAUGAAGCCCUACUCAACGGGCUCCGCAUCGCCAUCGAGCUGGGUAUCCGUCGGCUAGACGUCCGGGGCGAUUCCCAGUUGGUCGUCGAGCAAGUCAUGAAGGAGUGGAGCUGCCACGACCCCAAAAUGGCAGCCUACUGCAACGAGCUCCGUAAGCUCGAGGGCAAGUUCGACGGGUUGGAGCUCAACCACGUCGCAAGGCGCUACAACGAAGCCGCUGACGAGCUGGCGAAGGCGGCGUCCGGUCGGACGCCCGUCCCCGACGGCGUUUUCGUUAGCGACCAGUUGAAGCCUUCAAUCCGUUACCUUCGCUCAUCAAAACUUACUGACGCACCCGGCAACGCAUCCUAAGCUUUCGAGCCCAAAGGAAUAACAGAGGGAAUCGGGUUCUUUCAUGCAACGGAAAGUCAUAAGAACAGGCCUGUAUGGCCGAUGCAAAAUGAGUUCAAAGACUAACAUAAUUACAAACUUUUUGGGGCGCGAGCCCGGUACAGCUUACUUGCAGAGGGGUCCCGGAGGGGCGGCUUCAUCCUCCAGGAGCUUCGCGAGGGCCUCCGCCGGUGCAGUCACCGAGGCAUCGAUCUCGUCCAGCUCAGCUUCGGUGUAGCCCGCGCAGUACCCUUCACUCAUCCCGGCAAAGUUGAUGCCGGAAUAGUGAGAGCCGAAGACCCCGAAGGCUCGCCGCACGCCAAGGUGAAGCGCGUCCACGGCGAUCUCGCGACGGUGACGGCGCACCUCGAGGACACGAGCCGACAAAGAGCUCGACCCCUCCUCCGGAGCUACGCCAAAGUCGUCGCAGACGACACGAACCGCAUCUCGCAGGGCACCGUGCUCGCCGCGCUCCUCGUCGAGCAGACCCCGCAACUUGGCGUUUUCACCUGCAGAAACCAUCCAGAAAAUCCCACCGAGUCAAAGAAUAGAACACAAACGACACAAGAACGCAGGAACGGAAAAAACCUCACUGUCGGCCUGGGCCUUCAACUCACGCUCCCGGUCGGCGCUGCGGGACACGGCGGACUGAAGCCCCUGCACUUGCAAGCGGAGUUGAUCGUUCUCCGUGCGGAGGGCUCCACGCUCCCCCCUCAGCUGCGCGAGCUCCUCGGCGUCACGGCGGGCCCUCUCAGCAGUAGCUUUAAGCCCCUCGGCAUCGCGGCGGGCCCUUUCCGCGACGGCCUGGAACUCCUCGAGGUCGAGGCGGGCCUUCUCGGUGAUGGCUUGGAGCCUGGCCUCCGCACGCCGCGCCUCCUCCGACGUCGCCCGUUCACGCCCCUGCAGGUCGCGGAUGACCCCCUUGGCGGCGCCAAGUUGCAGGGACAGGUCCCUGGUGCGCUCCCUCUCGGUGUUGAAGCGCUCCCAGAGACCCUGCUGUCGCCGGAGGAAAUCGGAUUUCCCCCGACUGCCCUCUUGGAGAACCUGCAAAGCAACACGUCGUUAAGGAAAAAGGCAGAAAGGAGGUACUCAUCACCAAAUAGUAGAAGCAACAUACCUGGCUGCCAGGGAGGACGGUGUUGCCUAGAACUCCCAGCGCCGAAGUCAAAGCCGCCUGGACCUGGGCGACGCCGCCCUGCACCGCCUGCCACCUGUGCCACUCGGUGGCGGCGUCCAGCGCGAAGAGAUGCCUCGGCGGGUCAUCGCGGGAUGACCAGCGGAGGACGGACCCUCUCCACGCCCUCGGGACGGAGGAAGCCGAGGCCGAGGCAGGAGCCGACCCUGACGCUGCCGCCGCGGUCGGCACCAUGGCACUAGAGGCCGCCGGGUCCACCGGCGGCCCCGGCACCUGCACGCUCGUCGCCACCGAGGCCGUAAGCGGUAUCGCGGUGGGCACCUCCGCCUCAGCCGCCGGAGGCACUCCCACGGGGAUGACCGGGGCGGAGGUCCCUGCCUCCGUCACUACUGCCUCCGCCACCGCACCCCCGGGAGCAGGCGCUCCCUCCGCCUCGGAUCCCGCCACGACUGCAGGGGCAUCCAGCCUACCUCCCGUCACCGCCGCCUCCUCUGCCUCGUUGGCGUCGAGGUCGAUCACCUCACAGGCCUGAGAGCCCGAGGGGAUCGCACCCGGAGCUGAAGGGGCGACCGGAGGAACCGAAGGCGGAGUAGAGUCCGCUCCUCCUCCCGCCGCUGACGCCGCCGUCGCUUCGCCAGCCGCCGCCGCAGGGGCCACCUCCGCGGGGGGAUCCGCGGCCGCACCAGGAACCCCGCCGCUUGCCGCGGGCGGAGUCACAGCCCGCCCCCCGGAGAAGGCCGACAACCGCAGCGCCUUCUUGGGCGCCAGCUGCAGGGUGAGGCCACAGGGAGAAGUGCUACACAUCGACGGCCAGGCGUCAGCAGAAACGAACGAAAAAAGAAGAGAAGAAUGACACACAGGGAAAGCCAACUUACGCCCUCAAAGCGCAAGGGCGGCGCGCGCGCUUCGGCUCGGAGCCGGACGCCGACCCCGGAGCAUCCGGAAACGGCCGCUUGUCGCUGCCUCGCUGCUCUCCGGCAGCGGGCACAGCAGUGGAGGCGGGCUCCACGGACCCCCGAGGAGCGCCCCGAGCAGACUCCUGGGGAGCGCCCCGCGCCGGGCCCAAAGCUGCGGCGGGGGCAGGCUCAGAAGCCCCCCGAGGGGCGCUCCGUGUUGACACCAGGGGGGCAUCCCUUGCCGACCCCGGGGGAGCGUCCCGCGCCCGCUCCUGGGGGACGCCCUGAGCCGACCCCGGGGGAGCGUCCCACGCCCGUUCCUGGGGGACGCCCUGCGCCGACCCCUGGGAGGCGUCCCGCACCUGCUCCCGGGGGACGCCUUGCGCCGACCCCUGGGGGGCGGUCCGCGCCAGCUCCUGGGGCGCGCGCUGUGCUGGCCCCUGAGGCAAAGCCCCAGGGCCUGGAGGAGCAGAAGCCCGGGUGGAUGCCUCCCCCGCUUCACCUCCCGCGGCCGUCUGCGGGGGCGCCUCACGAAUCACCAAGGCCCCUGAACGGGGGGCAACCAGCUCCUCCUCCCCCUCUUCAUCAUCUUCUUCAUCUUCAUCAUCCUCGCCAUCGUCGUCGUCGUCGUCUGACACGACCGACCCCCUCCGCCACCGCUGGAACUCCUUGGCGGACUUCUUCUGCCUCCUCGCUGUCUCCUUGUCCUUGCGGCGCUUCUGCGCCUCGGCCUGGAGACGAUUGCGAGCCCUCCGGUCGGCAUCUUCCGGCACCGGCGGAAGGGAGUCCGCGACCCGGGUCAGUGAGCCCUGCAAACACAAAACAGCUCCGCGUCAGAACAACAAAUAGCAGGACACAAAGAAAGGAAGACGACGUCCAAGCUCCUUACCAGGUCUAUGAAGCCCGGCUCCGGGCGCAUCGGCGGGUGCCCUGGAAUCGGGUACUCGACGUCCCUGUCCUCCAGCGCCUCCCGAAGCCGUUGCCGGAUCUCGGAGGCGGCAAGCGCGCCCGUCGCCAAGGUGGUUCCCUCGGUCGGCGCGUCAGGGGUCAUGGCGCCAAGCGGCCGGAGCCGGAGCAUCAGCGGCGCCACCCGCCGAGCGUGGUACGCCCCGAUGACCCCGGCGCCGGUGAGCCCAUUCCUCUUCAGCUGCUCGAUGGCCUGCAGCAGGUCGGAGAACCGCUUCUUCUCCUUCUCCACCGGCCCGUAUGCCCAUACCUCUAGCGCCGCGUCGAUGGUGCGGCCGGUGAAAGCCGACAGGGGGGAGUCCGGGUAGCUCCUCACGUAGAACCACUGGUUGUGCCACCCCUUGUGGGAUGCCGAGGUCUUCACCGUCAUAUACUCCUUGGAGCGAGUAUGAUGGAGAUGGAUCCCAGCGCACCCGAUCGGCACCGGAGGCGACCGCUGCUGGCUCCCGGCCUUCCCCGACUUCUGGUACAGGCUCACCGUGAAAAAGUAUUUCCACAGCGCGAAGUGGGGCUCGAUGCCCAAGAAUCCCUCGCACAGCGCGACGAACGCCGCGAUGUGCUAGAUCCCGUUGGGGUUGAGGUGCUAGAGCUCGAGCCCGUAGUGGUGGAGGAGCCCGCUGAAGAAGCGGCUCGGGGGAGAAGCGAAUCCCCGCUCAUGGAAAUGAGCGAAGGAGACGACGUAGCUGGGGGGAGGCGACGGAACUUGCUCCGUCCCCUGCAGCUCCCACUCGCCCGCCACCGUCCUCUCGCAGAGGAGACCCUUUCGCACUAGGCCCUCGGCGCGAGAGGAGGUGAAAUGAGAAACUCCCCAGGAACCCAUCGCCGGAGGAGGGAGGAGAUCGACGGAGACGGGAAGAAGAGCGCGCGGCUGGGAGCGGAGGAAACAAGGCAAGCGCGGAUGAACUAAGCGUGAGGCUGGAAGGCAAGAAGGCUCGAAUGCGAAAGGAAAGUGGAACCGGCGUGACGAACUCUUGCUUUUAUAAGAAAAGUACCGGGGAAGCCAAAUCGAUGCCCCGGCCGCCAUAAAUGCAGCGCCAGGUACGCCCCCGCCACGCCCGUUUCCUUUUCGAAAACCGCGCGCAUGAUCGGCCGCGAAAACAUCCUAUCCUCCUCGAUUCGCGGGACAGCGCUUCCAUAACUCCACUUCCCGGGUAGCGCGCCCACGACGCCCCCCACGUUCGGCCCAGGUGCAACAACCGCUCCGCUCCGGCCCAAGGCCCACAGGGAGGUAAGAAAGGGAUACGGGGCUGAAAACGCCCCUACGGCCCAUUACGGUCCAGAGGUUCAAAAGCUAGCCCAACACGGGUUCGACAGCUGCCUCAGGACAUCCCCCGAGCAAGGGGUGAGAAGGGACGGGUCCGCUAGUGGCCAAUACCCAGGCGAGCGAAAGCCAGGGGCGUCCCCACCUCACGUUCGAGUCCCGACCGGUAUAAAAUUCAUGGUUUUUCCACGGGGAAAGGCAACGCGCCCCCAGAUCCGGUGGAACGGAUCCGGGAACUAUAUGAACUGGCCGGCGGGAAAUUGGAGUACGCCACCAGCUUGGCCCGAGCCGGACCCCCCCCCCCCGAACGGGGACCGGGACUCCACUCGAACCUACCCGUUUGCAGCUCAAACGAGCACCACGGUUCGUCCAACGCGGAUAACAUGGCCCGGCUCAACCCCUCCGUCCUAGCGAACGGACGCUUGAGGGGCAACGAUCAAAAAGUCGACCUAGCCUCCCGAUCGGUUUCCUGCAAUGAACAGGAGCUCGGGGGCCAGUUUCGCAAACAACUACCACACGUGUGGUCACAAAUUGCAGGUUCCCCCAGCCAGGCUGAGAUAAAACAAGCGCGCCAUAACACAGAGCCCGCGGUGAAACAGCGAAAGAAGCCUCCGGAGGAGCACUUCUGCUCCACCACAGGCUCGGGGGAUACUGUUGGGGGGAAAUAUUAACAAUCCCCUAAGACACCACUUAAGGAAGCGGACACAGAGGCCCAGGCCCACCUAGACGUGAUAAAAGCUCCGCCUCGCCCGACCAAGACGCCAGGAUCGGGAACGUCCGACCCCCCUCCGCAAAGUUUCCGCCUCGCCCGACUGCGACCCCGGGGUCGGGGGCGCCCGAUCCCCCGUCACGAAGUUCCGCCUCGUCCGACCCCAAGCGAAGGGUUCGGGCGCGCUGGGGCCCCCGGGGCAGGUAUCCCCCUCGGAUACGGUCUAGAUGGGCGAGACAGACAAAAUCCUUUGGGUCCCCCCAUCGGCCUCGCCAUAAAUGCGCUACAGGCCUGGCAGAGGAAAGGACGACCGCGCUCCUCACGCAACCCGACACAAGUACCCGUGCACGACCGCUCUGUGCAAGCUACAGUGCCGGCGGCCGACUCCCGUUCGCCGCAGGGUACUCAUGGCCUGCGCCGGCCGAAGCAAAGGAGCGACCGGCCUGUCCUCGGGCCCCACACACCCUCGGGUUCCGCGCGCCCAGCAGCGCGGAUGUGACGCUCUCUCUCUCUCUCUCUCAGGAGCCAUCGCCUGUGCAACAGCAUCCACUGUCCUCCCUAACGGACGCUGGGGUAACGACAGAACGCCCUCAUCAUAACCUGACACCUACGAGUAUCGAAGGAGCUAUCUGUAGGGAGCAACAACACUUGGCGUACGGCGGCCUCCCCCUCCGGCAUGUGCGCCGACGUUCAACCAGGGCCGGCAGAGGCAUCGGACGCCUAGGAUCUUGCCCCUCCCACCUGCCGUACUUUUUUACCAUUCUACGCUUUUACUCUUUACAGUCCUCUUUAGCCGAUCCCAACUGUAACUCCAGCCACCCCCCUUGCGAUAUAAAAGGCGGAACCCAGGGCCGGAGAGGGGAUCGGCUUCUUCUCCCACAAGCCACAGCACACCACAACUCUCCCGGAGAGCACAAGCACAAAGGAGACUUGGGACCAGUCCCUCUCUCGUCGAUCUGUAACCCCCUACUACAGAACCCCGCGUGGGCAAUACUAGCAUCCUCGAUACUGGACGUAGGGCUUCCCUUGCCCGAACCAGUCUAAACCAGUGACUCCCACGCAACCACCUGAGGCUUACGCGCAUAAAAGAAAUUUACUAGUCUAAGUAUUGAUCCGUCAAUCUUGACAACGACAACUAUGACUUGGAAGUUCACUAUCAUCCCGGCAAAGCCAAUGUGGUGGCCGAUGCUCUUAGUCGUAAGCACCAUUGCAACUGCUUGUUGGUAAUAGCUUUUACCGAGACUCUGUGUCAUGAGAUGGGAAAACUCAGUUUGGAGAUUAUUUCUCAUGGAACCCUCGGCCACAUCACCCUUAACUCAGUUCUGGAAGACCAAAUCCGGUCAGCACAAGUAAAGGAUGAAGAAAUAAAGUGGAUCAUUAGGAAGAUCUCAGUAAAGGAUGAAGGAUAUAAGCAAUUCCGGCAAGACGAAACUGGAGGUGUAUAUUAUGGAAACCGACUGGUUGUACCAGCCGACCCCGACAUUAAGAAGCGGAUCUUAGAUGAAGCUCAUCUCUCCAAGUUCUCAAUCCAUCCUGGCAGCAAUAAGAUGUACCAUGAUCUCCGUCAAACCUUUUGGUGGAGUGGCAUGAAGCCGGAAAUAACCCGGUGUGUUUCAGAAUGUGACACCUGUCAACGUGUCAAAGCCAGCCAUCUAAAGGUAGCAGGUACCCUGCAGCCACUACCUAUUCCCUCUUAGAAAUGGGAAGACAUCAGCAUGGACUUCAUAGUUGGACUGCCCCUUACAUCACAGAGAUAUGAUUCCAUCUGGGUUAUAGUGGACCGCCUGACCAAGACCGCUCACUUCCUUCCUGUCCGCACCACCCACACAGUCAAGCAGUAUAUAGAGUUGUACCUCGACCGCAUAGUUUCCCUACACGGUGUACCCAAGACCAUCGUCUCUGAUCGAGGAGUUCAGUUUGUGGCACGCUUUUAGGAACAGCUACAAGCAUCCAUGGGCACCAAGCUCAUCCGUAGCUCAACAUAUCAUCCUCAAACCGAUGGCCAAACCGAGAGAGUCAAUCAGAUCCUCGAAGACAUGUUGAGAGCUUGUGUCAUCCACUAUGACAAGAAUUGGGAUAAGUGCCUGCCCUUGGCAGAGUUCUCCUACAACAACAGCUACCAGGCCAGUUUGAAGAUGGCACCGUUCGAAGCCCUGUAUGGCCGGAGAUGUCGGACACCCUUGGACUGGUCCCAAGCAGGAGAAAGACAGGUCUAUGGCCCUGACUUAGUGGUAGAAGCCGAAGAGCAAGUAAGGGUAAUUCAAGCCAAUCUCAAGGCUGCCCAAUCUCGACAAAAGAGUUAUUCCGACCGGCGGAGAAGACCCCUGCAGUUCGACCUUGGUGAUCAUGUGUAUCUUCGAGUCUCCCCGACCAAAGGAGUACAACGGUUUGGAGUAAAAGGCAAGUUGGCUCCCCGUUACAUUGGCCCUUAUGAGAUUGUGGAGAUCUGUGGACCCGUUGCUUACAGGAUCCAACUCCCAGAACAGCUAUCGGCCAUACACGAUGUUUUCCAUGUGUCUCAACUGAAGAAAUGUGUCCAAGUUCCAACCGAGAUCUUAGAGCAAGAACAGCUUCAGAUAGAGCCCGACCUGACCUACGCCGAGUACCCAGACCGAGUUCUUGACCAGAAAGAAAGGCAUACCCGGCGUCAAAUGGUAAAAAUGUACAAGAUCCUCUGGAGAAACCACACCGAAGAUGAAGCAACAUGGGAAAUGGACGAGUAUCUGAACAAGCGCUUCCAAGGUUUUCUAUCUCGUCAAGGAGGUAAGAACAGCACACCCCCUUUUUGGUACCUGAAUCUCGGGGCCAGAUUCUUUUUAAGAGGGGUAGGCUGUGACGACCGGCCCCAAAUCUCCCAGGUUGAUCUUUAUCCUAGCCCCUGAUCAUCUGUCUAGUUUGCCACGCCUGAAAGUUCAACCCUCCGCCCGGUCCUGACCCCUGAGACCUGACCCCUCCCCGCUUCGCUCCGAUCCCGACCCCGCCAAACCCAGCUCACCAUCGGAUCCUUCUAAGUCUUUCCCAACCGUCCAUUCUAUCUGACCGGUGGACCCGCGAGAUCUUUUUCCCCAGAUCUUUUGCGGCAGGCGCACUCGAGUUGCAUGCUCGCUUCAGAGUCUCCCCGCCGCGUGGCUCAUCUUCUCCGACGCCCGCCGCUCAGCCUCGUCUCUGACCCGCGACCGAAUGGAUUCUCGCGCCCCCUUCCCCAAUGGCAGCGGAAGCCCCUCUGCAACCUUUCUGCAGCACCUCGCCUCCCGCGCCCAUCAUCACACCGCCAGAUCCCUGCCGCAGAGCCCGAUGUCGCCCGUCUUUUCCGUCACUUCGAGCACAGUAGCGCCGCCUAGUCUCCGCUACACGACGAUUCCUCCAUCGCCAACCCCGACAACGGCAUCGACAGCUCCUUUUCCCCGCCCUGUCAGAAGCCGCCCGACAAUCUGUUGCUCCGCGCUCGCCCGCGCGCCCGCAGCUGCAUGUCUUUUCACCUGUGCGCCCUCGAUUCUAGCGCCGUUAACCCGGUCGCAUCCAUCAAAUCUUCCGCAUGGCGACACCCGCCUCCGCCAAAUCUCAACCACCGGCAUACCCGCUCCUGCGCCGCCCUGACGCCAGAACCCAAUGACCGCUGGCGUCAUCUCCGAAGUCCUGCACCACCGCCCCCGCCGCUCAAUCGCCGCCCAGGAAGAGCACUCCAUUGCUUCUUCCCCAGCCUUCGCGCUGCUCCCCUUCUCGCUCCUACGCCGCUUCCCUUCCCCGUCCUAGCCGCUAUAAAAGGGAAUGCGCAAGCCCGCCGGAGUUCCCUCCGCCAUUGUUGCCUUCCGCCACCUCUCUUGCUCCCUGCUCAAGCUCCUAGCACCACACCCUAGAGUUCUUGAGGAACUCUCCUCUCAGCUCCGCUCCGUUUUCCCCAAGCCACCCAGCCGCUUGCUCCUCCGUGCUGCGUAAAAGCUCACUUGUGAUCCACAAGAAGCACCGCCGCCGCCGGAGCACUGCCGGUCUUAGCCGUUGUUUAAAGCCUUAGUCCCUCAGCCCAAGUCUGCUUCUUCCCGACCCCAAGCUUUCCUCGUAGGAAGAAGGUAAGCUGCCGACCCCAGUCCGCUUCGCCCGACCCCUCUUAUCCGCCCGACCCCGGUUCCGUCUCGCCCGACCCUAUCUGUUCCGCCGACUCUUAUCCGCCUCGCCCGAGGGCUCAGCUGUGAUCUUUUUCUUCAACCCGAGGGUGUAUGUGUAAAACUUAGGAACCCUUCAGCGCUUGCGUCUGAGGAUCCCUAGUAUACCACAUCCUCUAGUUCAAAGAUCAGAUCACAAGUUCCUUUCCAACCCCCACCUCUUGAUCUCCACCAGCUCCUUUGAACCUCCCCACCCUCCUGCUCUUUGUCGUGAGUUUCUGGGCUCAGGCGAGCAAGUGUUGCUGUUGAAAUAACCAUCUAUGCUAACUCUUGCAUUGCAUUCGUGUAAAGCUGCGUCUCGCCGAUGGCUUCUACGAGCUACACCCGGUGCCAGAAGAUGACGCUGUAGCUGAGCUCCUGCUCCCAGAAGCCGAAGCCGCCCCCGAAGUCGAGCAGUUCUCUUCCUCUUUGCUCGAAGGCAAGCCCUGGUUACAUGAAAACCCUGUGUCGUUUUCCAAACUUGCGCAUGCCUUCCUUAAAACAUGCUUGUGCAUUUACGUAUAGGAGUUGUUUGGAACCAUAGAUGCAUGACUUAGCUCCCCAUGUUUUGAACACUAGCUGUUGGACCGAGUAGCUGCUUUGCUAACUAGGAGACGGUAAAAGUCGAGUGAUUCCCUGUCACUCACGAGUUGUAGGAGUUGGAUGUCUACCCUUCUGUUACAACUAUAAGGACGAUGGAUGGGGCAGGGUUUUGGGCAACUCUUUGGUGGUUGGAUGAUCGCCCUGUCUGUUUAUGAAAACUUGCUAAGGCCCAACAGUGGUGGUGUUCGUGAUCAAGUGUUUGAAAGUACUAGCCUCAUACUUAGUAUGGGAUGAGGAAGCCUAGUACCGGAUUGAACCUAGACGUGAGCGGUCGCCCCAUUGUUCUUGGAACGGAGUUUCCCCUGCUGGAUGUCACACGUGGUGGCAUGCGUGGUCACAGAACGGCAGAGGCUGGGUCUGUGGAACCUUGCACCAAAGGAAAUAGGCCCGACACGGGUUAGGGGAUUGAUGGGGAAGGCCGACACAGGAAGCGACCUCCGGGUGCGCGGAUGUCGUGAGGCUAGGUUCACCAUGCAUGGUUAAAGAACUCGAAUCGAUUCGUCUGCCUCUCACAGUUUGAGAUUGCUUGAUCGCUAUGUCACCCUGAGUAAAUGAGGAAUCUGAUGAUGACAUGGAUUUGUUGAUAUACAUACCUUGUUUGGCUCUAUGAUUGCUUAGAAUAGUUUGCAAAACCUGGACUGGUUAAAGAACUUAGAAUCGGAGCUAAAACUUGAAAAUAAGGUUUACUUAGUGCUUUUGGCAAACAAACCUCUCAGCCAAAAAGCCCUGCAUGUCUAGAAUGGUGGAGUAGUUUUACUCCUGUCGGUUGAGUCUUGUUGAGCUUAGUAGCUCAGCCUUGUUGUGGCUCCUGUUUUUCAGGUGAAGUUGCUGCCCCGACCCUUCUCCUGCGGGCACUUGGCCGCCCCAGCUCCCUCCGGGUUGGACGGUCGAGUGGGAUCCCUCCUCGGACGGCGAGGAGAGGGAUCAGUGAUGUCCUGGCUGGCCUCACCAGGACGUCCGACCCCGACGAUUGCUUCCGCUAGUGUUUUACCUUCUGUUGUUUUCCGAAAUCCUGUAAAACUCUGAUGUUCAUUUCGCAACUAAAUCCAGUGGUUAAUUUGUUAACUCGGAGGACUUGUUGCACUCUCUGGAACCGCUCACCUUCGUGUGAGUCUGCUAAAAUGGUCCUGUUCAAGUGGUUAAAUCGGAGGAAAAUCCGACGGCACUUCGUGUUUACUCGGCUUAGGCAUGAGCGUCGCAUAUCAGGUGGCUAAAUCAUGUUUAACCAAGUAGAUCCGAAGUGGAUCCGCCACAGCACAGCAUUGCAAGCACCUGCAUGAAGCAGUGUGGGAAUAAUCCCUCUCAUUCAGUCGAGAUGAACAUCCUGUCUAUGCGUUCCAAGGUGGGAUGCAAUCGUUCAUUGCUCCAGGUGAAAAUUUGACCAUGAAGGUGAAGCUCCACGAGCUCGAGAUUGUUAAGUAAUCUUCAAAAGCGGCCCAUCAUCCUUUUAGAAAGGCGACCAUUAUUCUUAUCAGCGGCCUGAUAGAUGAGGUUAAAAUCUCCACAAAGAGCCCAGGGUCCAUCCAUAGAUGCGCGGGCAGAUCUGAGCUCUUGCAGGAAAGCGACCUUCUGUUCGUCCUCUUGCUGACCAUAGACCGUGGUGAGCCACCAAUAUUGAGUAGGAGAACUAAGCAUAGUGACCUUCACCGAAAUUGAGUGAGAGACAAAAAUCGGGGAGGAUACCAACCAGACAUUUGUAUUCCAAGCGACUAGGAUCCCACCAUGUGUAUGAACUGCAGGCAAAGCAAAGUAGUCAAAAUCCAACCCUAACAUAUCCAAAAUUAGAUCCCUAGUUACAACAUCUAGCUUAGUCUCCUGUAAACAAAGCAAUGAAACAUUCUCCGACCUAGCGAGUUCCCGAACUGCAGUGCGUCUCGCACAACGGUUUAGUCCUCAUACAUUCCACACAGCUAGGUUUUAAUUCAUUAGUACACAAUUACAAAUGACCCAACAACCUUACAACCUAACAAGGGUUGGCUCAGACUAGAUGCGCCCCAUCGACCAGGUGGUCCUCCGAGAGCAGCUCGUUGGAGGCUGCCAUAAACUCCUCGUCCUUCAGAAUGCAACUUUGCAUCGUGGAGUCGAACCUACCACCGAACAACUUCUGGAUGUUCAAGCAGUGGUCAUCCGAGAGGUCCACCGCAAACAACCGGAUGUACUCCUGGAACACUGCCAUGUCGGUGGCCUCAUCUCGCUUGACCAGACCAAGGCAACGCAUGACGAUGUUUUGGGCCGUAGUAGCUGGGUUGGGACCGCGUCCCUUAGAGAGCGUUGUGAUCCGCCCACUACAUCGUAGACAGGACAUCUUGACAGCCGUGGCCUUGGCACACCAUCCCUAGGGCUUCACAAGAAGCACCAGCUGUUGUGCCUCCUUUUGCAAGGAGGAAUAGAACGCCGCCGCCCGAGCCCAGACUACCAGGCAAGGAUCACCUCGUGGUAGUGACGUUAGCCAAGUCCACUACCAAAGGGGGGGGAGAUUGUUGGAGGUAUGCUCUAGAGGCAAUCAUAGAGAUGAUGAUAUCUGAUUGUAUCCAUAAUUUGUAUAUUGUGUUCAUUGAAUAUCCAUUAAAGGCUACUUGAAUUGAUCUGCAAUUAUGUGAAUUAUAUGUGGAACUCUUUACUUGUAUGGUUAUUCUAAAAGUUGUCCCUAGUCGGAGUUCAUGUGUGGACACACAUGAAUAUUAUACUAGUACAUGUAUUAGUUGAUGACUAUGUUUCACAAGUUAUGGACAUGGAGAUGUCAAACUAAUAAUGUAGGCAUAUGUAGAGACAUGUGCUAGGACUGACCCAAUGCGAGAAGUAGUUCUCUCUUUACACAACAUGUACGCUUUGUCCUUAGACCUGAGAUUGUCGCAUGUACUCAAGAUGUGGAUCGACUUACUUAGGGGCUAUCAAACUGUUGGCGCUAGAAAUCAAUCAACCGAAUCCUAGCGUCCGACACACGACCCGGGAGAAUCUGCUUAGCUCCUGUUCGGGUGAAUGCCCUGGUGCGGUUCGCGCGGCGUGCCAGCCAAUCUGACCUGUUGAUUGGCAAGGAAGAAUACGUGUUAGGUUCAGAAACCACGAUCGGCUAAGUUUCCGAUCUCGAGAGAGCUUAUCAGCGAAUCGGCCGAUUUGCUAUAAUAAAGAAAUCGGCUAUGAGGUAGCCGAUCACUGUAGCCUUGUAGAUAGGAAAUUACUAGUGUAAUCGAUACAAAACUAUGAUAACAACACUAGGAAUAGAUCUAAUCGGCAAUAGAUGAAUUUAACAACAGAAAGUAAUGAAGCCGAAACUACCGAUUCCUAGCUGGAUAACUGGUGAUAAAACUAGAAAAACAGGCAAAACCCUAUGAUUCUAGUAAAUAUCGAUAACUGGUGAAUAAAUCUAAACGAAACAACAGCGAUACGCCUGAAGUUAAAGCUUAGAUAUUACUCGAUAAGCGGAACUUACAGAAUCGGCUGGAGAUCAAACUGAUGCAGCCCUGCCAAUCCGCACGAACUCGUGAAAAAGAGAAAGGUGUUGGCGAAGUCGCCUGCUUGAAAGUAAGUACGAGAAAAAGUAGUAUGUUGUAUUGAUUGGUUCAUGAUUACAGAUUUACAAAGGUAGCUAUUUAUAGCCCCGUACAGAUAACUUCUUAACCGACUAGAAUUCUAUCCCUAAUUCAAACAAAAAACGAAUAUCUACAAGCACGAUUCGUGCUAGGUUGGUUACUCCACGCUUCGUGGGCUGAUUUCCACCUCAUCCUUCUAUCCCCUUCCAAGCCCAUACAGGCCCAUUUAACCCAUCCUCCUAAUCGGCCGAUUCCUCAUCGGCAAAAGGCUACCGAUUGGGACUCUGGUAUAUUCGACCCGAAGCGAGACAGAAGUCACCGGCCGAUCUCACACUGUAGCACCAUUUGGCCGAUUCCCAACUGUGCUUCUCCGAUUCCCUCUCUUCUUGGCGCCGAUUCUACUAGUGAUGAAAUCUGGCGUCAACACAUGCCCCCCAGUUUCGGAGUAAAACAUAGUCUUUUACUUCGAAAUUCUUUAUAACCUCCCCUCCGAAACGGCCGCAGUGAAAAUAUCCUUCCGUUUCGCUGUCUUCCAGCUGAUCAUUGCAAUUUUUCGAAACGGGCGCCCACGACAGCCACUACUCCCGAAAAACUCGAAACGCCGGCGCGGUGAAAAUUCCAUUUUUACCCCCCUUCAGGCAUCCUUUAAAUAGCGCUUCACCCCGCACUUCAUCUUCAAGCUCACGUCUCUUUUCCCAACGCGCGCGCCUUCUUCUUCCUUCAGUAUCUUUCCCUUACCGCCGAAGCUUCCCAGCUCCACCUCCUGUUACUUUUCCUCUUCUUCUCCAAUGGCGGCUCCUUCCGGCAACUCUCCCGCGCGCGAUGUCCCAGAAGUAGCGCCUCCGGCAGUGGUGGCAACAGCCGUUGCUCCAUCCACAGAAGAAGGAGCUUCAUCGGAGAUCCCAAUGGCGAUCCCCAUCGCGGCCCCAUCGUCUGCAUCUGCGCCGGCGAUCACGCCGAUCACUCAGAACUUCAUCCCAGAGGUAAAUACCGAAUUCUUCUUUUAUCGGCAAAUAUAUUUACCUUAGAUCUGUUUCUUACUUUUCUACGCUCCCCUUUUCCCUUUUUAGGCAGUUAGGCAUCGAAUUACCAUUCACCUUACGGGAAAUCCCGGCCUUGUUUGUCUUGGACCCAUGGGAAACCCAGAUCCAAUAGAUCUUAUAAAUUUGGAAACCCACAGGAUACCCUUCAAACUGUCUGAUAUGGACUUAGAUCAAUGGCUGGGUACUUUUAGGUCCUGGCCGAAUGAAACCCCAGGUUGGAGGGAGUGGUACCAACGGGUAGCCGCAUCAAAGAGCGUCUCAUGGGAAGAGCUUAAAAUCGGCCAGUGCAUCAACCUAUCCUUAUCCCAAAUGGAGAAAAAUGAACCGUUAGUAAUGGCGGCUUCUUAUUUUUGGUCUGAUGCACUUAAUGCCUUCUUAUUUGGGCACGGUCCUAUGACCCCAACACUGGCCGAUGUGGUCCUGUUGACCGGCCUUGACAUAUCUUCCCCGGACACACCCUACCACCUUCUAGCCGCAAUGUCACAUCGGCUGGACACAAGAGGAAUCGGCGGGUGGAAGGGAUUUAUCAGAAGUAAUAAGAGGACCGGGACUGUUGAGAACAGAGAGCACACAGCCUUCUUGAUGAUGUGGUUAGAAAAACAUUUCUUUUGCGGAAGAGCCGCCGGCCCAUCAACCAAUACCCAGGCUUUAGCUGAAGCGCUGUCCAGAAGAAACCUUGUCCCUCUUUGGAAACAUCUGUUAGGGGCCGCAUACCAUAUGCUCCAUCAAAUCGGCAUCAGACUAUCCAAGGGAGAGCCGAUCGGCAAUCCAGGCGGACCCUGGUGGUUCAUCAACUUGUGGCUGAACCUUUAUAUGAGCAGGAUCACUCAGCAGCAGGUGGAUCGCAUGAUGUUCCCCAACAUUGAAUCGGCAGAAAACCCUACCAAACGUCGCCGAUGCAUGUCCUUUGGUGAAGCGGCAUCAGCUUUCCCAGGUUGCAUGUAUUCUGCUACAAAGGUAGCCGAGUAUUUUCGAUACUUCUAUAACGGCUUUAGUGAAGAUGCAACCAUUUGGUUUCCUUAUCAGUGGGACGACCCGGUAUUUGAACUCCCAACUUGCUUUGACUCGGCUACCGGCCGAUUUGAUGAAGAGCUCUAUGAUGAGUUAAUCAAGCCAGGACUCCUGCCAGCCAACUUCUUCUCGGGGAAGGAUGCCCCUACGUAUGAAUUCUACAACCCUUCCGUUGCAGCACGUCAGUUCGGCGUGGGUCAGCUGCCGAUUCAAGUGUAUUUUGCUGGCCGAAUCAAGUUUAGAGAUGAACUCACAUCUGGUCUGGAUUACAGUCGGCUACGAGACCGAAUUCUGGACUUCAGUACCAUUGACCUGAACGACUGGCUAGUAGCUCCUUUUGCUGUCCAGCCGUUCAAACUCUGGUGGGCCGAUUGGAAGCAAUUUCUUUUCUGCAACUCGGCAUCGGCAUACUGCAACCUUCUGGACCCAGCCAACAUCGACCCGAACGCCAAGGUACUUUUCUUAGCCGAUUUUUAUUCCUCUUAACAUGACUGAACACUAAUGAUUUUGCUAUUUCUUCAGGCCGAGAAUCGGACUCCUCCAACACACAGCCGCAGCGGACGGCUAAUAGAGAAUCACCCAUACACCACUUAUCCUCUUAUCGGCUAUGACGCUCCGUCUGUAGACGUGAUUGCUGGCCGAUCGAAACAAGUCCAGAAGAGGACCACCAAGAAAACCAGUCGCCGAGUCCGAGCUCAUAUAGAAUCGGCGAAUCCUCCUGUGCUCGUAUCGACAGAGACUCCGGCCGCACCACCUUCUCAGGUCAUCCAAGACGUUGAUACCCAAGCCGUCACGCAAGCCGGGGCAGCCGCCGCGUCAUUGUUAUUGGAGGCCGUUCAGGUAAACCUAAGUUUUAUUGCUUCCGAUUGUUGCACUGUUAUUAACCCUUCUUGUCUUUAGACUGCACAGAGCACUCCUAUGGAAAUACAACAAUCGGCAGCAACCCAUCCGGCCAUCGGCGCAUCCCCGCUUCCAUCCAUUGAGGUAUAGUACUUAUUUUACCGAUUUCCCUUGGUAUUUGCAUAAUGUACUUAUUCAAUCCUCUGACACAGAUCGUCGGCACACCAAGCGCUCCUCAACCACCGGUCUUUUCUCAGGGAGCUGGUCCAAGCACCGCGCCGAUCGUUGUGGAAUCUUCUUCAUCUGAUGAACCCAUGGCGCAGGCUCCUGAGCAAGGCGUGACGGCUUCCCAAAUGCAGCAUGAAGAAAUUCGCUUCAAAGCGGUAAGUUUUGUUUCGGCUUUUAUUCAGCCGAUUUGCUUUUACUCCCAGCCGAUUUAUUCUUCCUCUUUAUUACCUCCAGGAACAGGACACCCCCGACAACAGCCUCUUUUCUUUUGCGGUCGCCCUUUCCGACAAUGAAGAAGUUGCUUCUCGCCAAGUUGCCUUGAGCUCCGUUCCUGAUGACGUCCGAGCCAAACUUGCUAGUAUCCGAUCCCUCCUUCAAGGGGACAUCGGCCGACUAGUAGAAGACGCUUCACCGAUUCGGCAGCUCUUCAGUGACAUCAGCGGACGAGUACCAGAAGAAGCGGAGGAAGCCCUGGCGCCGGCGGCCUUCAUCGAGUCUAUGAGGAUCCCGGUCUUCAGAGCCCUUCGUCACAUGACCGAUCACGCCAAGCUGGCCAAGACUCGUGAAGAAGAGGACGCGUUCAAGCAUCAAGCUCAAGAGGCACAUCGGCGCAUCCAUUUUCUGGAAGAUUCCCGCCCGGCGAUCAUCGGUGAGAUAGACCGCCUCAAGCGUCGGAGGGCGGAGCUCGCCAAGGAGACGGAGCAAGUAACCAAGGCAAUCAAUGCCGAAGAGAAAAAGCUUCAAGAGCUACCUUCUGUCAUUGCCGAUUUGACACGGGAGAGGCAGCGCUUUGCCCACGAGGCCCUAAAACUCCACCGCAAUGCAUCAGAAGUCCCUGGAUCGGCGGAUGAAGACCAACGGGUUCUUGACUCUGCCGAUCAGAUCCGGCGCCGGGCAAUCACGGCUAUCGAUACCCUUCUGGGUAACCUGUAAAACACUGACUGUUUUGUAUGAAUAUUUACUAUCUACUUUGACCGUCCUUCGCGACGCCCUUUCUAUUUAUUACCUCUCUUAUUUCCGAUGGGACGUAGCCUUACCAAAUUUCCACGCAUCUUUUCCCUAUAAAUACCGGCCUCGGCACUUCCUCCCGAUAGUACCAGUUUGGCUUUCGGUUUUACUCCCUCAUUCCUCUCAUCGGUGCGACUUUCUGUCAUGGCUUCGUCGGCUUCUUCUUCUUCUGUUAACCAGGUGAAAUCUUGACCUCAACUUCCCUUUCUUUUUUAGAUCCUAGGAUGAGAAUGCCCCUUCUUAUUCCUUCUUUGUUUCAGCCUCAACGUCUUAGCCCUGAGCUCGUGCGCGCCAUUGAGCUCAUUCACUCCGAGGACCCAUUAAUGUCGGAGGACAAGGAGCUGAUCAUGGCUCAUUGAGAGGAACUUCGAGACCACGUUACUGCGGAGGCUCGCGUGGUCUUGGAUUUCUUAGAGAAUGAUAGGAACCGACGAUCUCCGACCGUCAGGAGCCAUCGUUGUGACGAACUUCAAGAUGACGUCGCCACGGCGGCCCGUACAAUCUUGGACUUUAUGGAGAGCAACGGUAGCCGGCGACCUCCCACUGACAGGAGUCAUCCUCUUCCUUCGCGAAUCGCCCUCAAAGACGCGGCAGCAGGAACCUCGCGUCCGCCCAUGGAUCGGAGUCAUCCUCUCCCUCGUCAAGUUGAAGCGGAGGCCUCAAUGAAGGAAGUAGAAGAAGAAUACCUCCGCGUCAUGAAUGAGUUAGAACGGAAUGGGAGGGAGCGCAAGAAGAAGAAUAAUUAGUUAUUUGUAUUUUUUGUUCUAAGGGCGACUAAUGUUUUGUCGGCCAUGUAACCCAUCGCCCGUACCGAAUGAAUGCAAUCGGCCGAUUUGGACGACUAUGUGUUUGAACCGAUUUGUAUCGGCUAUGUGUGGUCGUGUCACGGUUAAUUCCUUACGCUCCGACCCAUAUACUGGGGUAGUAUCUUUUUAAGUACCUUCCGUUCAAAGCUCUAGUAAAUUCUUCUCCUUCUAUUGUUUCCAAAAUGUAAGCAUUCCCUGGAGCGCAUCUGCCAAUUUUAUAUGGCCCUUCCCAUGUAGGGGACCAUUUUCCGAAUUUAGGAUCUUUCGACCCAAUCGGCAAUACUAACUUCCAUACCAAGUCCCCAGGGGAGAAUUGUUUGACUUUGACCUUCUUAUCGUACUACCUGGCUACCUUCUUUUUGUUUUCUUCAAUGCUUAUCAGAGCCCUCAAUCGUUGGCCAGCCAAAUCGUCAAGUUCCCUUUUCAUAAGUGAUGAGUAGUCAUCGGCCGUUAGCUGAUCCUGGAGCGAGAUACGCCUCGAUCCCGCCCUUGAUUCCCAUGGCAGUACUGCAUCGUGACCGUACACCAACUGGUGGGGAGAUAACUUGGUAGCCCCAUGACAGGCCAUCCUGUACGCCCAUAAGGCCUCAGUCAAACAUAGAUGCCACUUCUUUGGCUGUUCCUCGAUUUUUCUUUUGAUCAAUUUGAUUAUCCCUUUGUUGGAAGAUUCUGCCUGACCAUUGGCUUGGGCAUAAUACGGAGAAGAAUUUAACAAUUUGAUUCCCAUAUCGGUCGUAAAUUCCUCAAAUUCCCCCGAUGUGAACAUUGUUCCUUGAUCGGUUGUUAUAGUCUGAGGGAUACCGAAUCGGUAGACGAUGUGAUCCCUUACGAAGUCGGCCAUGAUAGCCGAUGUCACGGCUCUCAACGGGAUUGCCUCUACCCAUUUGGUAAAGUAAUCAAUAGCCACCAGAAUAAAUUUGUGCCCUUUGCUUGAUGGUGGGUAAAUUUGGCCGAUAAGGUCUAUUCCCCAUCCCCUGAACGGCCAUGGCUUAAUGAUGGGAUUCAUGGCCGAUGCGGGUGCACGCUGGACAUUUCCAAACUUUUGACAAUCUUGACAACCCUUAUAAUAUUUGAAACAGUCUUCGAGGAUCGUUGGCCAGUAGUACCCAUUAUUCCUGAUCAUCCAUUUCAUCUUAUGUGCCGAUUAGUGUGCUCCACAUACUCCCUCAUGGAUUUCUCCCAUUAGAGUCUUGGCCUCCUUUGUCCCAAGGCAUUUGAGAAGAACUCCGUCGAUUGUUCGGUAGAACAGGUCAUCUUCGAGCAGUACGUAUUUGGUGGCAUGAAAACGUACUCGUCGCUCCACCUUUUUAGACGGAUCUUUCAGGUAGUCGGCAAUUUCUUUACGCCAGUCAUCGGCCGUGAGUUCUAGAGCCAUAGCGCCUAGAAUUGGCCGAUACCCAGAUGCGUGCUGGGCGAGUUUGUUGGCAUCUUCGUUGCGGUCCCUUGGGAUGUCCUCGAUUACCGCCGAUUUGAAUUCUUUUAAGAGCUGUAAGCAAUCUUCGUAAUAAAUCCUUAAUACGUCAUCUUUACAUUCGGAUCUUCCGGUCAGCUGAUCCACAAUAAGCAUGGAGUCUCUGAAGACUUCAAUAGAAUCGGCCUUGACUUCCCUUAGUAGUUGUAGGCCCUUCAAUACAGCUCGGUACUCCGCUUGAUUGUUAGUAGCGGCGGUUUCUAUCGGCAGAGAAAAGUCAUAGCUUGCCCCCCGAGGCGAUAUGAGAACGAUGCCGAUUCCUGAUCCGACCCCACAUGAUGACCCAUCGAAAUAUAAUGUCCAAGGUGCCGUCUCUACGAGGGCAAUCUCCGGUCCGCAGUGCUGGGCGACGAAAUCGGCCAUGACUUGACCCUUGACAGCUUUUGCCGAUUCAUACCGUAGGUCAAACUCUGAUAAAGCUAAGAUCCAUUUGCCAAUUCGACCUUUCAAGAUUGGCAGUGAUAGCAUGUAUUUCACUACGUCGUCUUUGCAUACGACCACACAUUCUGCCGACAGUAGAUAGUGCCUUAGUUUGGUGCACGAGAAGUAAAGACAUAAGCACAAACGCUCCACCGGAGGAUAUCUUGUUUCGGCAUCCAGAAGUCGUCUACUGACAUAAUAAAUUACCCGCUCCUUGCCUUCGAACUCUUGGACUAGAGCCGACCCAAUAGCUUUUUCAUCGGCUGAUAAGUAUAGUUUAAACGGCUUACCAGUUUGAGGGGGAACUAAUACUGGAGGCGAGACCAAGUAUUGCUUGAUAUCUUCCAAUGCUUUGCGCUGCUUCUCGCCCCAUAUAAAUUCCUGAUCCGGCUUUAGCUUCAGCAGUGGUGUGAAUGCCUGAAUCCGCCCAGAUAGAUUGGAUAUGAAUCUUCUGAUGAAAUUCACCUUGCCGAUUAAAGACUGCAGUUCGGUUUUGUUCUGUGGGGCCACGACUUUGUUGAUGGCCGCUAUGGUUUUCCGAUUGAUCUCUAUUCCUCGCUUGUGCACCAUGAAUCCUAAGAACUGUCCGGCGGAUACGCCGAAAGCACAUUUAUUGGGGUUCAUCUUAAGCCCGUGCUUCUUGGUGCACUCUAGCACUUUUCGCAGGUCGGCCAGAUGCUCUUCAUGCCCUUUGGACUUGACUACGACGUCAUCAAUGUAGAUUUCCACCAGAAUGCCAAUGAGUUUGUGAAAUAUGUAAUUCAUGGCUCUCUGAUAUGUAGCGCCAGCGUUCUUCAAGCCAAACGUCAUCACCACCCACUCGAACAAGCCAAGGUGACCUGGACAUCUGAAGGCCGUUUUGGGGAUGUCCUCUUCGACCAUAAGUAUUUGAUUGUACCCAGCGUUUCCGUCCAUGAAACUAAUAAUCUUGUGCCCCGCGGCAGCGUCGAUCAGCACAUCGGCCGUCGGCAUGGGGUAACCGUCCAUCGGUGUGGCCUGAUUAAGAUUCCUGAAAUCAACGCAAACGCGUAGCUUUCCAUUCUUCUUGUAUACUGGUACGAUGUUGGAGAUCCACUCGGCAUAACGACAUUGCCGAAUAAAUUUCACUUCGAUUAGCCGAGUUAUUUCAGCUUUUAUGUGGUAGAAUCUUGGGAUUGCAGCGCCGUGCGGGCUGUUGGUACGGCCGAUACCCUGGUUUUAUGGGUAGCCGAUGUUCAACAAUAGAUCGGUCUAAACCGGGCAUCUCAUGAUACUCCCAAGCAAAACAAUCCUUAAAUUCCUUUAACAAAUUUGUCAAUUUACACUUGUAUUCUGGGUCUAAAUUUGCACUAAUAUAAGUCGGCCUUGGUUUGGUACCAUCGCCUAAGUCUAUCAUCUCUAAUGAAUCGGCCGACGUGAAUCCGUGCCCUAGCUUCCCGUCUUCUCGGGCGAACUGAUCCAUCUACUCUGAAUCUUCGGAGCCGACUGCUCGAAUCGGCUGUAGGCCAAAAUCGGUGACCUUUAGGAAAUCGGUCUUCCAAACUCUGCCGGAUAUGCACCUGACGGUUUCGUAGCUCCACUGUUGCGUGUCGGCUGCCGCGAUGCUGUACGCGGAAUCAGCUUUGACCACCUUGAUGUUAUCGCCGACCCAUUGUAUGAGGCACUGAUGCAUUGUUGACGGGAUGCAGCAGUUUGCGUGUAUCCAAUCUCGGCCGAGUAGCAUGUUGUAGGACCCCUUGCCAUUAAUAAAGAAGGUGGUAGGAAGGGUCUUACUGCCGAUGGUGAGGUCGACGCAGAGAGCGCCGCGAGCGUUUGACACGUUGCCCUCGAAGUCCUUGAGCAUCAUGUCUGUCUUGGUCAAGUCGUCGUCGCUUUUCCCAAGCUUCCGGAGUACGGAGUACGGCAUGAUGUUGACUGCAGCUCCUCCGUCUACCAUUAGUCUAGUGAGGGGGCGGCCGUCAACAUGCCCUUUGAGGAACAGUGCCUUCAUGUGUUGUCAUUCGUCAUCUUCGGGCUUCUCGAACGUGGCCAUCAUUGGCUCCAAAGCCAACUGUGCUGUCUGUUCUUCUAUUGCCGAUACAUCCUGUUGAUCGGCGGGAGUCAUGAAUUCCAUCGGCAAUAUGAAAACCAUGCCGAUCUCGGCUGCCGAUUCGUCACCCGCCGAUUCGUCGUCCCCUUUAUCGUUUCUUUUGGGGCGCCACACCCGAGGCCUUCCUUCCUUCUUGUCCGUCAUGCUUUCUUCUUCUUGCUGUUCCCAUUGGCGGAGCCGUUGGAUUCUUCGUUUUUAAGACUUGGUCAAUCCAUCGGGACACCACCUGGGGUUUAUUGGUCUGCCCCCUGACUUGGCGCGCUCCCACUCCGGUUCGCGUCCUAACAGGUUUUCGUCUGUCACCCGAGCAUCGGCCAUCUCUUCGAGCCGGCUGUGAACGUUGGAUUUGUUUUCUGACCGGUCAUGCCGAUCAGUCCUGCCCCCCUGCCUGUUAUGACAUCUAUCUUCCGACCGAUCAUAUCGGUCACUUCUGCCCCCCAGCCGAUCACGCACGGGAGGGCGCUGGUCAACUUGGUUGCGCCAAUUCCUGCUGAUCGGUUCUGGCCUUCCGUCUCUGGAGCGAGACCUGUUGAACGGCCGAUUGCCACGAUAUGGACCGUUGCAUUCUGGGCAAGUAUCGGCCGAUGGUAGCCUAAGGUUGUUUUCCCAACAGUGAAUGAAGAACGGGCAUCUCCAGUGCUCUUCGUGCCGUCGCAUUGCCUCUUCCCGGGACCUUGAGCGUUCAUGCUGACGUUGGUAUUUCUGGAGCAGGAACUGGGAAGUAAUGCGUGGCUCUUCUGACUCGCCAUCGUCGUCCUCCAUCCGCCGCUUCCCCUUGACAUCUUCAGGCGUAGCUUGAUUUCUGGGAUUGACGGCGCCACUCUUUUUGGCCGAUUCGGACGUCAGCACUUUUGUUUGGAGCGAAUUCUUUCCCGUGUCAACCAUGUUGGUGGGGAAGGGGUGCUGGUCGAUCUUCAUCGGUUUGGCCGAUUUUGUCGGCACUUCAAAUUUAAGUCUGCCCUGCUCAAUGGCCGACUGUAUCUGCUGCCUGAAGAUUUUGCACUCAUUAGUAUCAUGGGAUGUGGCGUUGUGCCACUUGCAGUACUUCAUCUUUUUUAGCUGUUCGGCAGAAGGUAUGGUAUGGUAUGGCGAGAGUUUAAUCUGUCCUUCUUGGAGGAGAAGGUCGAAGAUUUUAUCGGCCUUAGUCGUGUCAAAGCCGAACACCUCCGGCUCCUUUUUGCCGAAUGGAAAUGAUAUCGGCUUCUUCCCCUUGAUCCAUUCUGCAAGUCCGACUUCAACAUCUUCCUCAUCCUCUAACUCUUCCAGGAACGCCACCUUCUUCUGGAAAUUCCUCUGUGGAUCGAAGGAACGUACCUCCUGUCCAGACAAUCGGUGGACAAUCUGGCUCAAACUCUCGAACUCCUGUGAGGCGUAUCUUUCUUUGAUGUGGGGCAGAAGGCCUUGAAAAGCUAUAUCGGCCAACUGCGCGUCGUUUAAAGCUAGGGAGUAGCACUUGUUUCUGAUUUCCCGAAACCUCUGUAUAUACGAGGAUAUCGGCUCAUCACUUCUUUGCCUGAGGCUGGUUAAAUCGGACAGCUUCAUCUCAUGCACCCCGGCGUAGAAGUACUUGUGGAACUGUCUUUCUAAAUUGGCCCAUGUGAUAAUUGAGUUUGGCGGCAAUGUUGUGAACCACUGAAAGGCCAAACCAGACAGAGAUGAAGAGAACAACCGUACCCGUAGAGCAUCCUGCGUAGCUGCCUCCCCGCAUUGGAUGAUGAAUCUGUUCACGUGUUCCACAGUCGAAGUGUCAUCCAUCCCCGAAAACUUAGUGAAGUCAGGCACUUUAUACCGAUGGGGAAACAGCAAUAGGUCAUAUGUAGAUGGGUAUGGUGUUCUGUAGGUGUAAGUCUGUACCUUCGGCUUUAAGCCGAAUUGUUCUUGCAUCACCUCCGCAAUACGUGCCGACCAGUCUGGCUGUUGCUGGUGAACUGUUGGCUGAGGUAUUGGCACGUGCUGGUAAACCGGAGGCGGAAUGAACGGAGGCUGAUUGAAAGCGGGUGGUAUCUGGGUGAAAGCCGGCUGUGUAGUAAAGGUCGGCUAUCUGAAUGAACCACUCGUUUCAUCAUACAGCAUGAGCUCUGCUGUCUUGUUGACCUCCGGAGCGACAGGCUGGUAUGGCGGUACGGUCGGCCGAGUGGCCGCUUGGAAAGGUGCCUGGAAUGGAGGGUUUCCCUGACUGGCCGAUUGAUUCUGACCGGCCGUGGCUGAAGGUGCCCCCCAGGGUGAUGGACUAACUGGAGGGAACGGUGCAGAAGACAGUUGAAUGGAGUUAUACCCCAUAGGAGCUGAUGAUAAGGAAGCACGUGAACCCCCGACAGAAAAUUGGAUCGGCUGCGAAGCCGAAUUUGAAUAAUUCUGGUUUGGUGGAAUCGGCUGAAAAUAUGCCGGUCCCCUGUACCCUUGAGGUAGCCCCCCGGCGAAGGAGUUGACAACAGCAUUGUGCACCAUAUUUGAAAGUACCGGGGACUGAUCGAUGAAGGCGUGAUAAAUAGACUGUUGAAUCAUAUCGGACAUUUUGUCCGAAUCCUCAGAAAUCGUGAUAUGGCGGGGAGGAGGGAAUGGAGUCUUCUUGAUAGUCUCCCCGCUUCUGGAGCGACUGAAAGACUUUAGGCAAGCUUUCCGGAACUGUUCCGUAUACUUGUCCAGUUCUUCCUUCUGGUCGUCCUUCAGAUCUGCUUCCGUCACCUCGAUGACGUUAUCUUCGGAGACUUCGGCAGCUUUCGACAUGAUGGCGGUUGUAUUGGUCCCACCGGGCGUGCCAAAAGUGUGUUGGCGCUAGAAAUCAGUCAACCGAAUCCCAGCGUCCGACACACGACCCGGGAGAAUCUGCUUAGCUCCUGUUCGGGUGAAUGCCCUGGUGCGGUUCGCGCGGCGUGCCAGCCAAUCUGACCUGUUGAUUGGCAAGGAAGAAUACGUGUCAGGUUCAGAAAUCACGAUCGGCUAAGUUUCCGAUCUCGAGAGAGCUUAUCAGCGAAUCGGCCGAUUUGCUAUAAUAAAUAAAUCGGCUAUGAGGUAGCCGAUCACUGUAGCCUUGUAGAUAGGAAAUUACUAGUGUAAUCGAUACAAAACUAUGAUAACAACACUAGGAAUAGAUCUAAUCGGCAAUAGAUGAAUUUAACAACAGAAAGUAAUGAAGCUGAAACUACCGAUUCCUAGCUGGAUAACUGGUGAUAAAACUAGAAAAACAGGCAAAACCCUAUGAUUCUAGUAAAUAUCGAUAACUGGUGAAUAAAUCUAAACGAAACAACAGCGAUACGCCCGAAGUUAAAGCUUAGAUAUUACUCGAUAAGCGGAACUUACAGAAUCGGCUGGAGAUCAAACUGAUGCAGCCCUGCCAAUCCGCACGAACUCGUGAAAAAGAGAAAGGUGUUGGCGAAGUCGCCUGCUUGAAAGUAAGUACGAGAAAAAGUAGUAUGUUGUAUUGAUUGGUUCAUGAUUACAGAUUUACAAAGGUAGCUAUUUAUAGCCCCGUACAGAUAACUUCUUAACCGACUAGAAUUCUAUCCCUAAUUCAAACAGAAAACGAAUAUCUACAAGCAUGAUUCGUGCUAGGUUGGUUACUCCACGCUUCGUGGGCUGAUUUCCACCUCAUCCUUCUAUCCCCUUCCAAGCCCAUUGUUGACGCCGGAUUUUGUCAUCAGUUGAAUCGGCGCCAAGGAGGAAAGAAGUCGAAGAAAUACGGAUGGGAAUCGGUCAAAAGGUGCUAUAGUGCGGAAUCGGUCAGUAGCUCUUACUUCGCUUCAGGGUGAAUGCGCCGGAUUCCCAAUCGGCAAUCCUUUGCCGAUAAGAAAUCGGCCGAUCAGGAAGGUGGACUAAGGUGGGCCUGUAUGGGCUUGGAAAGAUGAAGGGAUAAGGUGGAGUUCAGCCCGCGAAGCGUGGGGUAGUUAGUUUAGCACGGAUUGUGCUUGUAGAUACUUGUUUUCUGUUUGAAUUAGAGAUAGAGUUCUAGUCGGUUAAGGAGAUUAUUUGUACGGGGUUAUAAAUAGCUACCUUUGUAAAUCUGUAAACACAACAAUCAAUCAAUACAACAAGUUACUUUCUUCUUCGUACUUACUUUCGAGCAGGCGACUUCGCCAUCACUUUUUCUUCUCACGAGUUCGUACGGGUUGGCAGGGCUGCAUCAUCUUGAUCUCCGGUCGAUUCUGUAAGUUCCGUUUAUCGAGUAAUAUCUAAGCUUUAACUUCUGGCGCAUCGCUGUUGUUUCGUUUAGAUUUAUUCAUCAGUUAUCGAUAUCAACUAGAUUCAUAGGUUUUUACCUGUUUUCCUAGUUUUUAUCACUAGUUAUCCCGCUAGGAAUCGGUAGUAUCGGCUUUCGUUACCUCCUGUUGUUAGAUCCAUUCAUUGCCGAUUAGAUCUUUUCCUAGUGCUGUUAUCAUAAGCUUUGUGCCGAUUACUUUAGUAUUUUUCUGUCUACAAGGCUACGGGGAUCGUGCUGUUUACUAGCCGAUUUCAUUAUCACAGUAAAUCGGCCGAUUCGCCGAUAAACUCUCUCGAUCGGAAACUUAGCCGAUCGCAGUUUCUGAGCCUGACACGUGUUCUUCCUUGCCAAUCAACAGGUCAGAUUGGCUGGCACGCCGCGCGAACCGCACCAGGGCAUUCACCCGAACAGGAGUUAAGCAGAUUCUCCCGGGUCGUGUGUCGGUCGCUGGGACUCGGUUGACCGAUUUCUAGCGCCAACACACUUUUGGCACACCCGGUGGGACCAAUACAACCGCUGUCAUGUCGAAAGCUGCUGACGUCUCUGAAGAUAACAUCAUCGAAGUGACAGAGGCAGAUCUAAAGAACGACCAAAAAGAAGAUCUGAAUCAGUAUUUGGAGCAAGUCCGUAAAACUUGCUUGAAAUCCUUCAGUCGUUCCAGGAGCGGGGAAACUGUUAAAAAGUCUCCUUUCCCUACUCCUCGCCUGAUCACAAUUUCAGAGGAUUCGGAUAAAAUGUCCGAUAUGAUUCAACAAUCUCUUCAUCACGCCUUCAUCAACCAAUCCCCGGUACUUUCAAACAUGGUGCACAAUGCUGUUGUCAACUCUUUCGCCGGAGGUAUACCACAAGGGUACAGGGGACCUACGUAUUUUCAGCCGAUUCCUCCAAAUCAGGCUUAUCAGGCUUCACAGCCGAUCCAACCCUCUGUCGGAGGACCUGGCGCUUCUACGUCAUCAACUCCUUUGGGAUACGGCUCCAUCCAGCCGUCCUCUGCACCACUCCCUCCAGUCAUCCCUUUACCCUGGGGGGCACCCAUACACACGACCGGUUUAAAUCAAUCGGUCAGCCAAGGAAAUCCUCCGUUCCAGACACCCUCCCAAACGGCCACUCGGCCGAUCUUACCACCAUACCAGCCUAUCGCUCCAGAGGUCAACAAGACGUCAGAGCUCAUGCUAUAUGAUGAAACAAGUGGUACCUACAAGCAGCCGUCCUUUACUGCACCACCGGCUUAUACUCAGAUACCACCUUUUCAUCAAUCUCCUUUUAUUCAACCUCCGAUUUAUCAGCAUGUGCCGAUCCCGCCGCCAACUAUUCCCCAGCAACAACCAGAUUGGUCGGCGCAAAUCGCGGAGGUAAUGCAAGAACAAUUCGGCCUGAAGCCGAAGGUGCAAACGUAUACCUACAGAACACCAUACCCAUCUACGUAUGACUUGUUGCCGUUUCCCCAUCGGUACAAAGUUCCUGAUUUUACCAAAUUUUCGGGGAUGGAUGAUACUUCUACCGUAGAACAUGUGAAUAGAUUCAUCAUACAAUGCGGGGAGGCAGCUACGCAAGAUGCCCUGCGGGUACGGUUGUUCUCGUCAUCCUUGUCUGGAUCGGCCUUCCAAUGGUUCACCACUUUGCCACCAAACUCAAUUAUCACAUGGGCCGAUCUAGAAAGGCAGUUCCACAAGUACUUCUAUGCUGGGGUUCACGAAAUGAAGCUGUCUGAUUUGACUAGCCUCCGGCAAAGAAGUGAUGAGCCGAUACCCUCGUACAUACAGAGGUUUCAGGAAAUCAGAAACAAAUGCUACUCCCUGGCUUUAACCGAUGCACAAUUGGCCGAUAUAGCUUUCCAAGGCCUGCUGCCACACAUUAAAGAAAAAUAUGCUUCACAAGAGUUCGAGAGCCUGAGCCAGAUUGUCCACCGAUUGUCCGGACAAGAGGUGCGUCCAUUCGAUCCAAGAAGGAAUUUUCAGAAGAAAGUGGCAUUCCUGGAAGAAUUAGAAGAUGAGGAAGAUGCCGAAAUCGGGCUUGCAGAGUGGAUUAAGGGAAAGAAGCUGAUAUCGUGCCCGUUCGGCAAGAAGGAGCCGGAAGCAUUUGGUUUCGAUACAACUAAAGCUGACAAAAUCUUCGAUCUUCUACUCCAGGAAGGGCAGAUUAAACUCUCGCCUUACCACACAAUACCCUCUGCCGAACAAUUGAAGAAGAUGAAGUAUUGCAAGUGGCACAAUGCCACAUCACAUGAUACCAACGAGUGCAAAAUCUUCAGACAACAAAUACAGUCGGCCAUUGAGCAGGGCAGACUCAAAUUUGAAGUGCCGGCAAAACCGGCCAAACCAAUGAAAAUCGACCAGCACCCUUUUCCUACCAACAUGGCUGACACAGGAAAGAAUUCUCUCCAAACAAAAGUGCUGACGUCCGAGUCGGCCAAAAAGAGUGGCGCUGUCGAUCCCAGAAAUCAAAUCACGUCUGAAGACGUCAAGGGAAAGCGACGAAUGGAGGACGAUGAUGGUGAGUCAGAAGGGCCACGCAUUACUUCCCAGUUCCUGCUCCAAAAGUACCAGUGCCAACAUGAGCAUUCAAGGUCCCGAGAAGAAGCGAUGCGUCGGCACGAGGAGCACUGGAGAUGUCCAUUCUUCGUACAUUGUUGGGAAAAUAACCUCAGGCUACCAUCGGCAGAUACUUGCCUGGAAUGCAACGGCCCUACCUAGGCAAUCGGCCGUUCGCCAGGUCUCGCUCCAGAGAUAGAAGGCCAGAACCGAUCAGCAGGAAUUGGCGCAACCCAGAUGAGCAGCGCCCUCCCAUGCGUGAUCGGCUGGGGGGCAGAAGUGACCAACAUGAUCGGUCAAAAGGAAGAAGCCAUAAUAGGCAGGGGGGCAGGGCCGAUCGUCAUGAUCAAUCAAGUAGCAAAGCCAGCGUUCACAGCCGGCUCGAAGACAUGGCCGACGCUCGGGUAACGGAUGAGAACCCAUUAGGACGAGAGCCAGAAUGGGAACGCGCCAGGAAAGAAGGGAGGCCAAUAAACCCCAGAUGGUGCCCCGAUGGUUUAACCAAAUCGCAAAAACGGAGAAUCCAACGCCUCCGCCAAUGGGAACAGCAAGAAGAAGAGAGCGCGAUGGACAAGAAGGAAGGGAAGCCUCGGGUGUGGCGCCCCAAAAGGAACGACAAGGGCAACGAUGAAUCGGCGGGUGAUGAAUCGGCAGCCGAAAUCGGUAUGGUUUUCAUAUUGCCGAUGGAGUUCAUGACCCCUGCCGAUCAACAGAACGUGUCGGCAAUAGAGGAACAAACAGCACGGUUGGCUUUAGAACCAAUGAUGGCCACGUUCGAAAAGCCCGAAGAUGACGAACGACAACAUAUGAAGGCGUUGUUCCUUAAAGGGCAUGUUGACGGUCGCCCCCUCACCAGAUUGAUGGUCGACGGGGGAGCUGCCGUCAACAUCAUGCCGUAUACCGUACUCCGAAAGCUGGGAAAGAGCGACGACGACCUAACCAGGACGGACAUGAUGCUCAAGGACUUCGAAGGCAAGGUGUCAAACGCUCGCGGUGCCCUCUGCGUCGACCUCACCAUCGGCAGUAAGACCCUUCCUACCACAUUUUUCGUCAUUAAUGGCAAAGGGUCCUAUAAUAUGCUUCUUGGCCGAGACUGGAUACACGCAAACUGCUGCAUCCCGUCAACUAUGCAUCAAUGCCUUGUACAAUGGGUCGAUGAUAACAUCGAGGUGGUCAAAGCCGACUCCGCGUACAGCAUCGCAGCAGCCGACGCACAACAAUGGAGCUGCGAAACCGUCAGGUGCAUAUCAGGUAGGGUGUGGGAAACUGAUUUCCUGAAAGUCACCGAUUUUGGCCUACAGCCGAUCCGAGCAGUCGGCUCCGAAGAAGCGCAAUAGAUGGAUCAGUUCGCCCGAGAAGACGGAAAGCUGGGACACGGAUUCACGUCGGCCGAUUCAUUGGAGAUGGUAGAUUUAGGUGACGGGACCAAACCAAGGCCGACUUUUAUUAGUGCAAAUUUAGAUCCAGAGUAUAAAUGUAAGUUGACAAAUUUAUUAAGAGAAUUCAAGGAUUGUUUUGCUUGGGAGUAUCACGAGAUGCCCGGAUUAGAUCGGUCUAUUGUUGAACAUCGGCUACCCAUAAAGCCAGGGUAUCGGCCGUACGAACAACCCGCACGGCGAUGCAAUCCUAAAAUUUUACCAGACAUAAAAGCCGAAAUAACUCGGCUAAUUGAAGCAAAAUUUAUUCGGCAAUGUCGCUAUGCCGAGUGGAUUUCUAAUAUCGUACCAGUGUACAAGAAAAACGGGAAGCUACGCGUUUGCGUCGAUUUCAGGAAUCUUAAUCAGGCCACACCAAUGGAUGGCUACCCCAUGCCUACGGCCGAUGUAUUAAUCGACGCUGCCGCGGGACACAAAAUUAUCAGCUUCAUGGAUGGAAAUGCCGGAUACAAUCAAAUACUUAUGGCCGAAGAGGACAUACCCAAAACGGCUUUCAGAUGUCCAGGCCACCUUGGUCUAUUCGAGUGGGUGGUGAUGACUUUCGGCUUGAAGAAUGCUGGUGCCACAUAUCAGAGAGCCAUGAACUACAUUUUUCACAAACUCAUUGGCCUCCUGGUGGAGAUCUACAUCGAUGACGUUGUGGUCAAGUCCAAAAGCCACGAGGAACACCUAGCCGAUUUGCGAAAGGUGCUAGAGUGUACCAAAAAGCAUGGUCUUAAGAUGAAUCCCAACAAAUGCGCUUUCGGCGUCUCCGCCGGACAGUUCUUAGGAUUCAUGGUGCACGAACGAGGUAUAGAAGUCAAUCAGAAGACCAUAGCGGCCAUCAACAAAGUCAUCGCUCCACAGAACAAAACUGAGCUACAGUCUCUAAUCGGCAAGGUAAACUUCAUCAGAAGGUUUAUAUCUAAUCUAUCUGGACGGAUUCAGGCGUUCACACCACUCCUAAAGUUGAAGCCAGACCAGGAAUUUAUAUGGGGAGAAGAACAGCGUAAGGCAUUAGAAGACAUCAAGCGAUACUUGGUCUCACCCCCAGUCCUGGUUCCCCCUCAAACGGGUAAGCCGUUUAAACUAUAUUUAUCAGCCGAUGAAAAAGCUAUUGGGUCGGCUCUAGUCCAAGAGUUUGAAGGCAAAGAACGGGUAAUUUAUUACGUUAGUAGAAGACUCCUGGAUGCCGAAACAAGAUAUCCUCCAGUGGAGCGUUUGUGUUUGUGUCUUUACUUCUCGUGCACCAAACUCAGGCACUAUCUACUGUCGGCAGAAUGUAUAGUCGUAUGCAAAGAUGAUGUAGUAAAAUACAUGCUGUCACUGCCGAUAUUGAAAGGACGAAUCGGUAAGUGGAUCUUAGCUUUAUCAGAAUUUGACCUACGGUACGAAUCGGCAAAAGCCGUCAAGGGUCAAGUCAUGGCCGAUUUUGUCGCCCAGCACUGUGGGCCGGAAAUCGCUAUCGUGGAGCUAGCGCCUUGGCAAUUAUUUUUUGACGGGUCAUCAUGCGGGGUCGGAUCAGGAAUCGGCAUCGUUCUCAUAUCGCCUCGGGGGGCAAGAUAUGAUUUUUCUCUGCCGAUAGAGACCGCCGCCACAAACAAUCAAGCAGAGUACAGAGCUGUAUUAAAAGGCUUACGAUUAUUGAGAGAAGUCAAAGCCGAUUCUGUUGAGGUCUUCGGAGAUUCGAUGUUAAUCGUGGAUCAACUAACCGGAAGGGCCGAAUGCAAAGAUGACAUAUUACGGAUUCAUCACGAAGAUUGCUUACAACUUUUGAAAGAAUUCAAAUCGGCAACAAUCGAGCACGUCCCAAGAGACCGCAACGAGGAAGCAAACAAACUCGCUCAACACGCAUCUGGGUAUCGGCCGAUUCCAGGCGUCAUGGCCUUAGAACUUGCAGCCGACGACUGGCGUAAGGAAAUUGCCGAUUACCUGAAGGAUCCGUCCAAAAAGGUGGAGCGGCGAGUGCGCUUUCAUGCCACCAAGUACGUAUUGCUCGAAAAUGAUCUGUUCUACCGAACGAUCGACGGUGUUCUUCUUAAAUGCCUUGGGACGGAAGAAGCUAAGACUCUAAUGGGAGAAAUCCAUGAAGGGGUAUGCGGAGCUCACCAAUCAGCGCAUAAGAUGAAGUGGAUGAUCAGAAACAACGGGUACUAUUGGCCUACGAUCCUCGAAGACUGUUUCAAAUAUUAUAAGGGUUGUCAGGAGUGUCAAAAGUUCGGAAAUAUCCAACGUGCACCCGCGUCGGCCAUGAACCCCAUCAUCAAACCAUGGCCAUUCAGAGGGUGGGGAAUAGACCUUAUCGGCCAAAUUUAUCCACCAUCGAGCAAGGGGCACAAGUUCAUCCUGGUUGCUACCGAUUACUUCACCAAGUGGGUGGAGGCAGUCCCAUUAAGAACUGUGACUUCGGCUAUCAUGGCCGAUUUCGUAAGGGAUCACAUCGUCUACCGAUUCGGUAUCCCUCAAACUAUAACAACCGAUCAAGGAACAAUGUUCACAUCGGGAGAAUUUGAGGAAUUUACAACCGAUAUGGGCAUCAAAUUGCUAAAUUCUUCUCCGUACUACGCUCAAGCCAAUGGUCAAGCAGAAUCUUCCAACAAAGGAAUAAUCAAGUUGAUCAAAAGGAAGAUUGAAGAGUACCCGAAGAAGUGGCACCUAUGUUUGACCGAAGCCCUGUGGGCAUACAGAAUGGCCUGUCAUGGGGCCACCAAGUUAUCUCCCUAUCAGUUGGUAUACGGUCACGAUGCAGUACUUCCAUGGGAGUCGAGGGCAGGAUCAAGGCGCAUUUUACUUCAGGACCAAUUGUCAGCCAAUGACUACUCAGCUCUGAUGAAGGAAGAACUCGAUGAUGUGGCCGGUCAGCGACUAAGGGCUCUGAUAAGUAUCGAAGAAAAUAAGAAGAGAGUGGCCAGGUGGUACGAUAAAAAGGUCAAAGUCAAGCUGUUCUCCCCCGGAGACUUGGUAUGGAAGUUGGUACUACCGAUCGGGUCGAAAGAUCCUAAAUUCGGCAAAUGGUCUCCUACCUGGGAAGGGCCGUAUAAAAUCGGCAGAUGCGCUCCAGGGAAUGCCUAUAUCUUAGAAACAAUAGAAGGAGAAGAAUUCACUAGAGCUCUGAAUGGGAGGUACUUAAAAAGAUAUUACCCAAGUAUAUGGGUCGGUGCCUAAGGAAUCAUACAUGACCGAUACGAUUCGGUCUUGAGAUACACAUAAAGUCGACCGGAACAGCCGAUUAGAUUCAUUCGGUACGGGCGACAGGUCACAUGGCCGACAAAAUACAGCAACUAAUUAUUCUUUUUCUUACGCUCCCUCUCAGCCCGACCUAACUCUAUCAUGAGUCGGAUGUAUUCUUCUUCUAUGGCCUUCAUUGAAAUCUCCGCUUCGACUUGACGGGGGAAAUCUACGGGAGGGCGCGAAGUCCCCGCUCCCGCGUCUUCAAGAACGAUUUGCCGAGGGAGUGGAUGACUCUUGUCGAUGGGAGAUCGCCGGCUGCCGUUCCUCUCCACGAAGUUCAGGAUCGUUCGGGCCUCCGUGGCGAUGUCGUCUUCAAGAUCGCCACAACGACCGCCCCUGACAGGUGGAGAUUGAUGGUUACUUUCACUCACCACGGAAUCCAAGACUACGCGAGCCUCCGUGGUAAUGUGGUCCUGGAGCUCCUCUCGGUGAGCCAUGAUCAGCAUCUUGUCCUCCGACGUUAAUGGAUCUUCGGAAUGAAUGCACUCAAUGGCGCGCACAAGCUCGGGGCUAAGACGUUGAUGCUGAAACAAAGAAGGAAUAAGGGGGGAUACUCUUUUCCUUAGGGGCUUAAAAAAGAAAGGAAGGUGGAGGUCAAAGACUUCACCUGGUUAACAGAGGAAGAAGAAGACGACGAGGCCAUGGCAAAGAAGUUGCGCCGGUGAGAAGGGGCAGAAAAGUUAAACCGAGAGCCAAGAUUGGUGCUACCAGGAGUAAGCGCCGAGGUUGGUAUUUAUAAAAGUAUGCGUCGAAAUCUGGUAAAGCUACGUCCCAUCGGUAAUAAGAAGGCAAUAAAUAGAAAGGGCGUCGCGAGGGGCGGUCAAAGAAGAUAAUAAAUGAUUCGUACAAAACGGUCAGUAUUUUUACAGAUUACCCAGAAGGGUAUCGAUAGUCGUGAUGGCCCGACGCCGGAUCUGAUCGGCAGAGUCAAGAACCCGUUGGUCUUCGUCCGCCGAUCCGGGAACCUCCGAUGCGCUGCGAUGGAGUCUCAGUGCCUCGUGAGCAAAGCGUUGCCUCUCCUGUGUCAAAUCGGCAAUAACAGAAGGAAGCUCUUGGAGUUUGUUCUCUUCGGCACUGAUUGCCUUGGUCACUUGCUCCAUUUCCUUGGCGAGCUCCGCCCUCCGACGCUUGAGACGGUCUAUCUCACCUAUGAUCGCCGGGCGGGAGUCUUCUAGAACAUGAAUACGCCGAUUCGCCUCUUGAGCCUGACGUUUGAAAGCGUCUUCCUCUUCGCGAACCUUGGUCAGCUUGGCGCGAUCGGCCAUGUGACGAAGGGCUCUGAAGACCGGGAUCCUCAUAGACUCGAUGAAGGCUGCCGGCGCCAGGGCCUCCUCCGCCUCUUCUGGUACUCGUCCGCUGACGUCAUUGAAGAGCUGCCGAAUCGGUGAAGCGUCUUCUACUAAUCGGCCGAUGUCCCCUUGAAGGAGGGAUCGGAUGCUGGAAAGUUUCGCUCGGACGUCAUCAGGAACGGAACUCAAGGCAACUUGGCGAGAAGCAACUUCUUCGUCGUCAGAGAGGGCGACCGCAAAAGAAAAGAGGCUGUUGUCGGGGGUAUCCUGUUCCUGAAGAUAAUAAAGAAAAGAAAUAAACCACCUGCAAGAAAGAGUAAAUCGGCUAAGAUAGAAGCCGAAACAGAAAAUUACCAUUUUGAAGCGAAUCUCCUCAUGUUGCACUUGAGAAGCCGCCAUGCCUUGCUCGGGGGCCUGCGCCAUGGGUUCAUCAGAUGAAGAGGACUCCACGGUAAUCGGCGCAGUGUUUGGACCAACCUCCUGACAAGAAAUCGGCGAUCGAGGAGCGAUUGAUGUGCCGAUGGCCUGUGUCAGAAGUUUGAAUAAAUACGUUACGAGAAUGCCCAAAGGAAAUCGGUACGAGAGGUUCUAUACCUUAACGGAAGGAAAUGGGGGCGCGUCAAUAGCUGGAGGGGCUGCUGCCGAUUGUGGUACUUCUGUAGGGAUGCUCUGUGCAGUUUAAGGUUAAAGAAAAGUUAAUAUCAAAUACUAAUCGGAGGCAGCUCAACUCAGUGUUACCUGUAUGGCCUCCAACAACAACGAUGCGGCGGCCGCCCCAGCUUGCGUCAUGGUUUGAGCAUCGGCACUUUGAAUAACCUGAGAAGGUGGUACGGCCGAAGUUUCUGCCGAUACGUGCACAGGAGGAUCCGCCGAUUCCGUACGAGCCCGGACUCGGCGACUGGUCUUCUUAGUGGUCCUUUUAUGAAUUUGUUUCAAUCGGCCAGUGAUCACGUCAACAGACGGGGCGUCAUAGCCGAUAAGGGGAUAAGUAGUGUAUGGAUAACUCUCUAUUAGUCGUCCGCUGCGGCUGUGUGUUGGAGGGGUCCGAUUCUCGGCCUAGAAUAAUAAAAUCAUUAGUACUCGAUCAUGUUAAGAGGAAUAAAAGGGAAUAAAAAUCGGCUAUGUGAAGUACCUCGGCGUUUGGAUCAAUGUUGGCCGGGUCCAGAAGAUUGCAGUAUGCCGAUGCUGAGUUGCAGAAGAGGAAUUGCUUCCAAUCGGCCCACCAAAGUUUGAACGGCUGGACGGCAAAUGGAGCUACUAGCCAGUCGUUCAAGUUAAUUGUACUGGAAUCUGGAAUUCGGUCUCGCAACCGACCGUAAUCUAGGCCAGUUGUGAGCGCAUCCCUAAACUUGAUUUUGCCAGCAAAGUACACCUGAAUCGGCAACUGACCCAUGCCGAAUUGUCGUGCUGCAGCAGAAGGGUUGUAGAAUUCGUAUGUAGGGGCAUCCUUCCCUGAGAAGAAGUUGGCCGGUAGGAGCCCUGGCUUGAUCAACCCUUCAUAGAGAUCUUCAUCAAACCGGCCAGAAGUUGAAUCAAAACAGGAGGGGAGCUCGAAAAUUGGAAUGUCCCGCUGGUAAGGAAACCAGAUAGUUGCGUCCUCAUUAAAUCCAUUAUAAAAGCACCAAAAGUACUCGGCUACCUUUGUAGCGGAAUACGCACAACCUGGGAAAGCUGAUGCCGCUUCACCAUAAGACAUGCAUCGGCGACGCUCGGUAGGGUCUUCCGCCGAUUCAAUAUUGGGAAACGUCAUGUGGUCCACUGGCUGCCGGGUGAUCCUGUUCAUAUAAAGGUUCAACCAUAGAUUGAUGAACCACCAAGGUCCGCCUGGGUUGCCGAUUGGUUCUCCCUUGGAAAGUCUUGUGCCGAUUUGAUGGAGCAUGUGGUACACAGCACCCAGAAGAUGUUUCCCGAGAGGAAUGUGGCUUCCUUUGGAUAGUGCCUCGGCUAAAGAUUGGGUGUUGGUUGUUGGGCCGGCGGCUCUUCCACAGAAAAGGUGUUUUUCUAGCCACAUCAUCAGGAAAGCGGUGUGCUCCCUGUUAUCAACAGUACCGGUCUUCUUGUUAUUACUAAUAAAGCCCUUCCAGCCGCCGAUUCCUCUUGUGUCCAGCCGAUGCGACGGUACGGUCAGAAGUUGGAAAGGCGUGUUAGGGGAAGAUAUGUCCAGGCCGGUCAAGAGGACCACAUCGGCCAAAGUAGGGGUCAUAGGACCGUGUCCAAAUAAGAAUGCAUUAAGUGCGUCAGACCAAAAAUAGGAAGCCGCCAUCACUAGCGGUUCGUUUCUCUCCAUUUGCGACAGGGAAAGGUUGAUACAUUGGACGAUUUUGAGCUCAUCCCACGAGACGCUCCUUGACGCGGCUACCCGUUGGUACAAUUCCCUCCAACCUGGGGUUUCAUUCGACCAAGAUCUAAAAGUGCUGGCCCAUUGAUCUAAGUUCAUAUCAGAUCGUUUGAAAGGUAUCCGGUCAGUUUCCAGGUUUAUGAAGUCUGCUGGGUCCAGGUCUCCCAUAGGACCAAGGCAAACAAGGCCAGGACUACCCGUGAGAUGAAUAGUAAUUCUAUGUCUAACUGCCUAAAAAAAAACGGGCAUAAGAAUAUAAAGAGUAGAUCUAAGACAAAUAUGUUACUGAUAGAGGAAAGAUUCGGUAUUUACCUCCGGUAUAAAAUUCUGAGUAAUCGGUGUGGUCGCCGAUGCAGAUGCGGAUGUUGGGGUCGCAAUGGGGAUCGCCGUUGGGAUCUUUGAUGAAGCUCCUUCAUCUGUGGAUGGAGUGACGGUUGUCGCCACUGUUACCGGAGGUGCGUCCUCUGGGGUAUCGCGUGCAGGAGAGCUGCUGGAAGGAGUCGCCAUUGAAGGGAAGGGGAAAAAAGUGACCGGAGCUGGAACUGGAAGGCUUCGAUGGCAAGAUUGAAGAAGGAAGGAGGUGCGCGUGUUGGGAAAGGAGACGUGAGCUUGAAGAUGAGCUGCGGUGAAAUGUUAUUUAUAGGAUGCCUGAAGAAAGGGUAAAAAUGGAAUUUUCACCGCGCCGGCGCGUCGGGUUUUUCGGGGUAGUGGCUGUCGUGGGCGCCCGUUUCAAAAAUUGCAAUGAUCAGCCGGGAGACCGCGCAACGGAAGGAUAUUUUCAUUGCGGCCGUUUCGGAGGGGAAGUUAUAAAGAAUUUCGAAGUAAAAGACUAUGUUUUACUCCGAAACUGGGGGGCAUGUGUUGACGCCGGAUUUUGUCAUCAGUUGAAUCGGCGCCAAGGAGGAAAGAAGUCGAAGAAAUACGGAUGGGAAUCGGUCAAAAGGUGCUAUAGUGCGGAAUCGGUCAGUAGCUCUUACUUCGCUUCAGGGUGAAUGCGCCGGAUUCCCAAUCGGCAAUCCUUUGCCGAUAAGAAAUCGGCCGAUCAGGAAGGUGGACUAAGGUGGGCCUGUAUGGGCUUGGAAAGAUGAAGGGAUAAGGUGGAGUUCAGCCCGCGAAGCGUGGGGUAGUUAGUUUAGCACGGAUUGUGCUUGUAGAUACUUGUUUUCUGUUUGAAUUAGAGAUAGAGUUCUAGUCGGUUAAGGAGAUUAUUUGUACGGGGUUAUAAAUAGCUACCUUUGUAAAUCUGUAAACACAACAAUCAAUCAAUACAACAAGUUACUUUCUUCUUCGUACUUACUUUCGAGCAGGCGACUUCGCCAUCACUUUUUCUUCUCACGAGUUCGUACGGGUUGGCAGGGCUGCAUCAUCUUGAUCUCCGGUCGAUUCUGUAAGUUCCGUUUAUCGAGUAAUAUCUAAGCUUUAACUUCUGGCGCAUCGCUGUUGUUUCGUUUAGAUUUAUUCAUCAGUUAUCGAUAUCAACUAGAUUCAUAGGUUUUUACCUGUUUUCCUAGUUUUUAUCACUAGUUAUCCCGCUAGGAAUCGGUAGUAUCGGCUUUCGUUACCUCCUGUUGUUAGAUCCAUUCAUUGCCGAUUAGAUCUUUUCCUAGUGCUGUUAUCAUAAGCUUUGUGCCGAUUACUUUAGUAUUUUUCUGUCUACAAGGCUACGGGGAUCGUGCUGUUUACUAGCCGAUUUCAUUAUCACAGUAAAUCGGCCGAUUCGCCGAUAAACUCUCUCGAUCGGAAACUUAGCCGAUCGCAGUUUCUGAGCCUGACACGUGUUCUUCCUUGCCAAUCAACAGGUCAGAUUGGCUGGCACGCCGCGCGAACCGCACCAGGGCAUUCACCCGAACAGGAGUUAAGCAGAUUCUCCCGGGUCGUGUGUCGGUCGCUGGGACUCGGUUGACCGAUUUCUAGCGCCAACACCCAUACAGGCCCAUUUAACCCAUCCUCCUAAUCGGCCGAUUCCUCAUCGGCAAAAGGCUACCGAUUGGGACUCUGGUAUAUUCGACCCGAAGCAAGACAGAAGUCACCGGCCGAUCUCACACUGUAGCACCAUUUGGCCGAUUCCCAACUGUGCUUGUCCGAUUCCCUCUCUUCUUGGCGCCGAUUCUACUAGUGACGAAAUAUGGCGUCAACACAAACGCUACACCGUAACAGGGUAGUUAAAAAGGUAGCUUUCGGGUUUGUCAGGAAGCAUGCUGUGAGGCAUGGUCAAUCAAGAUGGGAUUUGCCCCUCUCUGAUUGAGAGUGAUAUCUCUGGGCCCCUUGAGUGAUCGGACCUGAAAAUGCAUGGCCAUGCUACGUACGGUUAAGAGUUAACCUACAAAGGGAUUCCGAAUCACAGGAUCAAGAAAGAGCGGUCGGUUUGAAUCUAGACCAAAUAUCGUGAGGCAAAGGGAAUAGCAUGUACGUGAUGUUGUGACGGUUCGUCUGAUAUGAUAUUCGUGUGCGUAUAGGAGUUGGCACGUCUUGCUAGAGGUCACUACCGACUAUUGGGCCGAGUAGGAGUACUCGGGCCAUGUCUAUACGUAUCCGAACCCAUAGGGUCACACACCUAAGGGGCUGGAAGCCUAAUUCAGAUGUGAUCCGAGUUGGAUCAGGUUUAGAAGUACUAAUGGGCCUCGGACUCUGAGGCCCGUCAGGAACCUCUAUAAAUAGAGGGGUGGGGUGCCCUAGGGUUUCAUCCUUUUGGCCGAAACACAUCUGCCGCGCCUCCCACGCCCUCGCCCUGUUGCAACUCGUGGACCUAGUAGUUCGACUUGCGACGCUUCCUCCCUGCACGUGUGGAUACCUUGGAGGUGUUGCACCUGCAGCACUUGGACGAGCCGCCGAUGAGCCGCGGCACUAGGACGAUCUUGCUGCACGUGGACGAGCUGCUGAGGAGCUGCUCGACGUCGACGUGAUUGACUACGUGUUCGACUACGCUGAUCGACUUCGCUGCCCCGACGCGAUUCUACAUCUUCCGCACCAGUGCGUCAAGUGGUAAUCCCGUGAUCCAUAUACGGCAGUUUUCCUAGUUUACGUGGUAGAAAAAUUUUGUUUUGCGCUAGCGUAGCCUACCUCGUAUCCCAACAGAGAUGACCGUGGGAGAGCCUCGACCGAAAGAGGAGGGUCGGAGAGCACACGACUGAGGGAGCUGCGCGGAAACGGCUGCCGACCCCGUCUCAGCCCUGCCCUCCAACGCGCCCUCCGGCGUGAUGACCUCCGGGAAGCAGACGGCCUCGAGUACAGGCCCAGCAAGUGAUGCCGCAAGUGACCUCCUCUCUGGCCGCCCUGCUGAUCCCAUUGACGGCGGCGAGAGUGCAGCAGCAGUGGAAGACUAGCCCUAGUGGAAUAACCCCAGCCACGCGACGUCCGCCGUCCGGUGCUAGUGGGCGCCCCUGCGAGCUAGGACGGUCCUAGCGACGCAAGGGUGGCAAGGCGGCCUCCUCGCGCAUCGGGUCCAAGAGACACUUAUCUCUUCUCCCUCCUCCUCCUCACCCUUUCUUCCAAGCGGGGGGGGGGGGAGGGGCGGGCCGCCAGCGUUGUGGCUCUUUUUUUAUCUUUUUGAAACUUUUUAGUCCCGGUUGGUGUUAUCAACCGGGACUAAAGGGGGUCUCUAAUCCUGGUUGAAUGACUCGGGACUAAAGACCCCCCUUUCGUCUCGAAAAUUUUAUCCCGGAUGGUUUUUUGGUAGAUUUGAGCCCUACCAAACGGGACUAAUGCUCAGUUUUCUACAAGUGAGCGGAGGCAAGGCUGGUCAUCAUGCCAAUCUACUGGGAUAGGACCAACUAUGACCUUCUCCAAGGGCAGCAAGUCCGGCCCGGGUGGAGGCUCCCCACCAUGUCGAGGAACUCUGUGACACUCGCCUUCGACUCCGUCUCAGGAGCCAAGGCGAUGAGAUUGCAUGACGAUCCCAAGAUCUCUUAAGCCGGUACCCCGACAAUGCGCACCGUCAGGCGGUAGUCCAUCGAGGCCAGACUCGCCCAGCUCUCGCGCCACCAGCACCGAAAUGUCAGUCGUACAGCACUCUCCGGCACCAGUGCAUGGAGAACUCGCCUAUGUAUCACCAAUAUGGCGAUAUGAUACGGCGAUGAGAUACAUCGAUACGCGAUUUUGGAAAACAACACAGUGGUAAUAUAGAGAGAGUAUCGGAGUAUCGAAGUAUCGGAUACCGGUACGACAGGGUCAGUGAAGUAUCGGUGAUUCGAACCUGCAACAUGGCGUCAUAGUCCCGGAAGAUGACGAGAAAGUCCUCUGGGUAGUGAGGGUGAACCAUGAAGGUGCAGACACUGGCAGCGUCGGCGAAGACGACUGGGGCGGCGGUGUCGGGAACCGCGACCCCUGUCCUCCAGCGGCGACCCCCGCCCUUUGCCUCUGGGGAGCCGGACGACCCACAGCCCGGCGAGGAGCGCCUGAUGACCAGCUGCAGUAGCCCACAUGGGCCGCAGUAGCCUGCAUGGGCUGCGGCAGCCCACAAUCGUCAGCCCGAUGCCCAACCUGAUGGCACCUGAAGCACCUGGCGGCACUGGGGCAGCGGGCGGGUGUCAAUGUUGUUGCUAUACAUGUUCUGCUGUGUCGCUACCUCCUAAUCUUGUCUCUGAGUCUGUUUUGUGCAAAAGCUGAUGCAACGGAACCAUUGAACCAAAAGUUUUUCUGUAUAUCUCUUUCUCAACCAUUUCAAUUGUGAUUACGAUUCAUGUUCGGUUUGUACCAUUCCCAUUUCUUUUACUAUAGUUUAGACACUAGGACACUAUCUGAUAGAUAUUCUUUUCUUCCGAGGCAACUACAAACUUUUGAAUUUUAUUAUUUACAAUUACUAGUUAUUAACAUCUGAAAAAUAUAAUUGCAUGCACUAUAUUAACGGUUCUAGUACUUGAAUGCAUAUGAGUGAUUCAAGUUACUUUUCAUGUGUAACAGGGGUAAAACAAUUAAAGGUUUCAGUUGCAUAUUUUAUUCAGCUCAGGAUAUCGUGUUCCGACUGAUGAAACUUGCCAGGCACGAAUUUACAAUUCCCACAGCUUUAGCAUGUUUCAUCAGUGUUGUCGUAAGAGAAACUUCACAUUAGUUUCCCUAGUGUUAUCAGCAAGUUCUGUGUCAAGCAAAGAUGAGUUUCAUUGAUACCUCCCGUAUCAUAGUAAGAAUUGUGAUCAAAUUUCAGUUUUAUUAAUCUUUGACAAUUAGUGAUCAAAUUUCAUGAUUUCAAAAAAGCUUCAAGCUAAAUCUCAACGGAUGAGGUUGGCAGCUAUGAGGCAGGGGCAACCCAUUCGCGAAUCCUGACUUAGGAACCAGAUUGGGAAGACAGUUCUCUUGACCAGAUUUCGGCACAGUGAAGUUUCAAGCAGGCUUCGUUUGGUAGCUGUGGGGCACCCGCCACGUGUGAAACAAACCAGGUGAGGAUUGGGUGGAACCCCUCCUCCCACCGAAUCCCUCCCAGACUGGAGGUUUAGCCUGUUGCUUAAUUUGUAUCACUAGUCCGGUUUUUAAAAAAUAUUGUAAACUAGGAUUUAUGUUUAUACCUUGUUAACCCGUUGUCUUUUAAAGGCAUACCAUCCCCACACACAAUCGAAAAUCAUUUGUACAUUCAUUAACGUGUCCAUCAUCUUAGUCACCAAAUUCUUUGACACGACCAUCAAUUUUUGUAAUAAUAAUCAAAGUAUCAACAGAAUACCUUUUUUAAAGGCUUGUGCAUGAUCAAAUGCAGCCUGACCAAUACUACUGUCCAUAAAAAAUAUCACCAAGUCUGGUUACACAGGAAGAACAUAAGAUUUGUGGUGAAAUUUCGCUAGGUUUCUUCAGGAUAUUGCUGAAAGUCGGAACUUCAAUUAUUUGUGAAUUUCAAGUGCACAUGCUGAUGUCAUCAGAAAAUGCGAUGCCAUCCAAGUGAGAAAAGGUUGUUCAAAUCUGAAUUGGUGCCCCCAAAAGGCCACUGGCCGGAACAACAAAUCAUCGAGUGGUUCAUUUCCAAGAACAAAAACUGCAAAAAAAAUCUGCAUUUUGACAGAAUGCCAAAUACGUAUAUAUGUAAGAUCAAUUUAUAAAUUUGUUAUGGAUGUAUAUCAGUUUAAAGUCGUCCAAAGGAGGCAUAUAUGUAACAUUUAUCAAAGAUAUUGGUUUUACAUAAGGUAACUACUUCAUAAGAUAAAUCUGUUUGGUAGUUUACAACACAGGUUAUGUUUUUUCCAAGAUGCUCCUCCGCGUCACAGUCAGCAGAAAUAAGGCCAACUUCUUCGUCUACAAGCCCAACGGAGUGCCAUCGCUACGGCCGAUCCAGAUCCUUGGCCCCUGCCAGGCUCAUCGCUGCACUGUUGCCCUCCUUGGCAACCGUGACAUCACCCCUCUUCCCUCACACUUAGGGAUGGCAAUGGGGAAUUCCCCGUAGGCGAAUGUCCCCCAUCCCCGUCCCUGUGGAGAGAAAACCUCCCCAUCCCCGUCCCCACCAAUUCUCCUAGGGGCAUUUUCUUACCAUCCUCAUCCCCAAGAUCCUUGUCCCCGCGAACUAUUAAAUGCAAAAUGCUGUUGGAGUAGACUAUAGAUAAUAAAGGUGCAAACAUAAGCAAAUGGUGCCACGAAGUAAGAACAGUCAAAUAUUCCUCGCAAUGUCGAUUGCCAAGAAACGCCGACAAUUAAUUAUCGUGUAGAAUCCAAAGAAAAUACAAUGAGCAAAAGGAACCAAAGAAGAGAUUAAAGAGGCCACCGAAUGGAACAAAUAAUUAACUGAAUCUCUUUCUUAACAUUUUGACCACGUCUACUUUACAUCCAAUCACUCCCUCCUUGCCCGCUAGCCCCUGGCCCUGCCUCCUCUCUCGGUCCCUCCAGGACUUGGCGUUGACGAAGCGCAGGUGCAUGCGCGCAGCAGCAACGGCCAGCAGGACUGCGGACUGCAGGGGCCUGUGGCCCGCAGGCUGGGGGUGGCCGGUGACAGCUAGCAAGGAGAAGGGCAGGUGAGAGACCGAGCCGCUGAUGGGUGAGGGGCCAGAUGGGGUCAGCACUCAGCAGCGGCCAUCGCCCAUCGGCAGCUAGUGGCGGGAUGCGCCGCUAUGUGCAGGAUGGGGCGGCAGCGGUUAGGGAUGUUUGAUACACCAUUCUAAACUUUAGGACAUGUUACAUCGGAUGUUUGGAUACUAAUUAGGAGUAUUACAUAUAGUUUAAUUAUAAAACUAAUUGCACAGAUGGAGUCUAAUUUGCGAGACGAAUCUAUUAAGCCUAAUUAAUUCAUGAUUUGAUAAUAUGGUGCUAUAGUAAUCAUUUACUAAUGAUGGAUUAAUUAGGCUUAAUAGAUUCGUCUCACGAAUUAGUAUAGGGGUUCUGCAGUUAGUUUUAUAAUUAGCUCAUGUUUAAUCCUCCUAAUUAGCAUCCGAACAUCCGAUGUGAUCCUCCUAAAAUUUAGUACCUCGUAUCCAAACACCCCCUUAGCUAGGAGAGGGGUGGGUCACGAGUGAGCGAGAGAGUUAGGGUUUGGAAGUUUACCAGAAGCUUAUAUACCCAUGGUAGCGGGCCUCGGUGUGGUGGGCUGCUAGGCCAAAACAUGGCAGGUGUGCUGGAGUUACUUUGCACUGACACGUUGGCCAUUUGCUCGAUGCAGGAGCGAAAGCAGAAACGACAUGGCAUAUUUAAUAUGGGAUACCCUCACAAGCUGAUUAAUAGAAUCAAUGAGGAGUAUGAUGCCUUUUAUCCACAAAUGCAACUAUCAGGUGGUGCUGAAGAGCAACAGGAUACCGGAGACACUAUAGAUUUGGAUUAGUGUUCUAUUAAAAAGGAUGUUUUAUGAUGUGCUAUGUUUUUUGUGGUGAAGUCUUAUACCAAAUGGCAUAGGUCUACGUCUAGCUUGUUGAAAAUAUGUAUCAAUAGUCGUGGCUAGUUUUGGAUUAGUGUUCUAUUAAAAAGGGAUGUUUAAUGACGUGUUAUGUUUUUUUUGAAAUAUUAUACCAAAUGGCAUAGGUCUGCGUCUAGCUUGUUGAAGUUCUGUAUCAAUAGUUAUGGCUAGUUUCGUAUUAAGAAAUGUCAGUUUCAUGCCAUGAUAUAUAUUAUCUUUUAUAUGUAAGACUGCAAUGGUAUUGGUUAGAUUUGCCUCUGGCAUGAUGGUUCUAUUUCUCUUUACUAUGAUACUCUUCUUGUGUUCAGAAGGGGAUGUGUAAAAAUGGUUUUGUGUACCCAAAGUAUAUUUGAGCUUUGUGCAUGACUUUGUGCAAGACCUAGACCACUUGAUUGCCUAGGCAAUUGAUCUACUUGACUGAACUAUUCAUAUUGCAUUCCUGAAGAUAGUACUAUCGUGUCGAUACAUCUAUUUGCCGUAUGAUGAUUCAUACUAUAUGAGAAAAUAUUAUAAAAUAAUCAUCACUAUGAUAUUUAUUUUGCAUGAUUAUAGUCCAAUAGUCCUUAAUCAAUCUUGUUAUGGCUUAAUAUUCUUUAAAAUACAUUAAUAUCACUUAAUACAUACUCCCUCCGUCCCGCAAAGAGUGUCCAUUUAGAAAAUUUCAGACACACGUAGUGAGAAACGUCUAUGUUGCCUUUAAUAACUAAUACUAAUUAUGAUUGAAAAUCGUGCAAUCUGCUUAGUUUUCUGGAUCCUAAAUAAAUGCACCUGUAUUGGAACCAGAGAAAUAACAUCAAUUGAUCAUUUGAUUGGCUCUACGCGCUUUCUCCAUAUGCUCUUUUUAUAGUGUGAGUGUUGCUUUAAUUAGAUGAAGUUUAUUAGGAGGUAAAAUGAUACUUUUGUGGGAUAAAUUUUAGAGUUUAAAUGGGUACUCUUUGCAGGAGGGAGUACUAAUUGUAAAUAAGAUAUAAUGAUGCUUGAACAACACCUCUGUACCACUAUAUAGCUAUCUUUCUACUACUUUCGCCAUCACCAAUACAGCAUGAGCUGUACUGCUUUAGGCUUGAAGCGUCAUAGAUGGAGAGGCAGAAUAUCAUCUAUAGCAGUGGAAGGCACUAGGAAAUAUCUAGCUGCGAUAUCUCUUCAGUUAACAGCCAUAGCAUUCUUCUUGGGUAGCAGUCGAAGGUACUGUGGUAGCCUGUGCGAUCAUUGAUUCUUGGAACAUGGGUCUUCAUCGACAGCGAUUUGAGUGCAGCCUGUAGAUAAUUGACAUACUCUCCACAAUGGCUUCUACUAUUUUGUGAUGUGUUAAUUUCUUGUAAUAGUAACAAGAAGUUGGGAUGCUGCUGCCUUAACUGGAUACCACCCGGCGAUAAAACAGGGUUAGGAUUAUCUUGUUUUUUUUGUCUAGUAACUGAUUACCGAUUUUUUAGUCAUGAAACAACGUGUAGAUAUAGGCAUUCAUACACAUUCAAGCGUAUCCAAACAUAUAAUUUCCUCUAGGUGACUAGAAAGUUAAUUUAAGGUUGUUGAUCGAAGGCACCUAUAGUCGUCUCACUAUCUACAGUCGCCUCACUAUCUACAGUCGCACCCUGCUGUAAGAAUAAUCCGCUGAAUCAGAGAUUCAAACCCAAGAAGGCAAUUUUAGCACAAGAAACCAAACAAACUUAGGACUAGACAACUCACCUUCCAUCCAACCCUUUUUGUCCCCGUCGACUUUGGACCUGGGACUAAAGGGCUUUUAGUCUCGGAUCAAAAAUGAACCACGAUGGGGGAGUUUUAGUCCCAGUUGUUAAGCCCCCCUUUAGUCCCAGUUGUAACAGCUAGUAGGACUAGGGGAUGUUUUGUCUCGGUUGGAAACACCAACCGGGACAAAAUGCCCCUUCCCACGUGCUCCCUUCCCCCUCUCUCGACCAUAUCUCCUCCUCCUCUCCCUUUCUCCCUUAUCCUCUCCCGGCCCGCCCCCUCCCUUCCCUCCCGCCGCCGCCACCCCCUCUGCUGCCCCUCCCCUUCCCCCUCUACUCGCCCCACACUAGCAGUGAGGAGCAGCAGUGGAGCGAGGUGUAGGGUAGUGGCGCACGGGGGAGUGGCGAGGUGCAGGCGGGGACGCAGCGGCGCGCGGGGCACAGUUAUGCUUGCCCCCUCCCUCUCCCUCUCCCCCUCUCCAUUCCUUUCCCUCUCCCUCUUCGGCGGAGGAUGUAGAGGGCCGCGCGACUCAGUGGCGAUGGCAGCAGGGUAAGCCGCAGGCGGGCACGAGCGGGCGGCGCGCGGCCGGUGUGGGUGCGGGCGGCGGGUGGCCGGGCAGGCGGACGAGCGGCGGCCGGACGGUGCGGGUGGUUUUUUUUGAAACUUUUAAGUCCCGGUUGGUGUUACCAACCGGGACUAAAUGGGACCUUUAGUUCCGGGUGAAUGACCUGAGACUAAAAGAUCCCCUUUUGUCUCAAAUAGUUAGUUCCCGUUGGAUUUUCAUGAUAUAUGAUCCUUACCGACCGGGACUGAAGGUCCGUUUUCCAUUAGUGGUAGCUCCCUUUGCAAGUAAUUUUUCUUGUUGAAGAACCUUCGAGCCACCAUGAGGAUGUACAAUCCUAUCAUAAAUGGUUCGUCAGAUAUAAAAUUAACAAUUAUUUUGGUAUCCAUUAAUAUGUUGACGAGAAAACAAACAUCAUUCUGGAACUUUUUUUGGGGAUUUCAAAUUUUACAGUUGAAACAUAGUUGACAUAUAUAGAAUUAUCAGACAGUAGGCAGCAGCCAGAUUUAAUGCAAUAGAAAUUCACACACAUGUCCCACUGUAACCUACCAAAACACUGACUAGUUUAUCACACAAUGCUUGUACAGCUCCCCUGUAGCACGUAUAUAGCUGAUACCCUAACCAUCUUACUACUCCUAUAUGCCCUUUUUCUCGCCACCACCAAUACCAACACACUAUGGAGGAGGAACAAGAGUGAGCUGUACUGCGGUAGACAUGUAGUUGUGAAAAAGUUUGAAAAUGAUUUUUUUCUCUAUGGGAAUGGAAGGCAAUAGGAAACACCUUGUUGGAAACAUAAUAUCACUGUCGGGUUUUGUACCACCAGCACACGCUACUUCUUGGGUUGCAGUUAGUGUGGUACAUAUGGCCAUCAAAGAAUAAUAUGCAUACGCAAACGCUAUGGCUGGCUGGACGAGCAACCCCACUUUCUUGUGGCCGCUGCGAUCAUUCCGUCUUGCAAUCCGGGGCAUCACCCACCACCACGUGCUGGAACAGUAAAACUGGUCAAAACAUGGUCCAGCUCGGACAUGUGAGCAGAUGUCUGAGAAUGUACAGCAAACUAGACGACACAUAUAGAAGUAGACCAAACAAAUGCCAAUGAAAUGUUUCAUUGGAUACCACAAUUUGCCACUAUCCAGUCUUGUGAGUGACAAUUUAAGGAAUGUUGGUUUGCUCACACAGUUUGGCGAGAAGGAAAAUUUCUUAGCCACACAGCUAAAAUGUAUUCUUAUGCAGAACGCCAGAAUGUAUAUAUAGUCCAAUUUGGGCAGAACGGCUAUAUAGGUUGGGCAUGCUGCACUUACAUGGCAACCCUUGUCUUCUGCGAGUCCAACAACGUAACUCUGUUGCGUCCUCCUGUUUUUCAGUGCCUUCUUGAGAUCGUGAUGUAGAAGGUCACGGGCACAGUCUUGGUGCUCACAGUGAAGGGUUGCCAUUUCUGACAACGUUGCUGCAAACCAUUCUCUACGUCAGCGUAACCAUUUUCGUGAUCAGGAGAUCCUUAUCCAUAGCACCAUUGAUAUCGACCAUGACCCUUUUGUCACCGGACCACCUAUUAUUAGGCUGCUCCUUCAAGUAGCACAUCAUGGCUCGUGCGCGCAUCCGGUCAUCAAUCAAUAAAGACAUGGACAAAACUACACCCUCAACAGGGCAUCACCUUGACGUUAAUAAAGCUAGGUAACCUAUCGGAACCGAGAUGAACACUUGUAAGUUUGUACACAAAUUAUAUACAUCUUUGACUUGUGCUAUCUGUUAGAACUUAGAAAACUCAACCAAAGGGAAAAGCAUACUCUUAUUUUGUCUUAAAGAAGUUGGUACCAAGAUUUGAACCAGGGACGGCAACAGAAUUUUCAUUGGCCCCCAGAAUUUAGCGCCAUAAACAUUACGACGCGAGAAAUUGUGUAGUCUGUUAGAACUUAGAAAAUAUGUUACUUGGACAACCCAGUCUGAAUUGAAUUUGUAUCUUUCUGACUUAGUUCAGUCUGUUCAAAGUUAAUUGGAGCGCCCAUUCGGAAUUUGCAUGAGAAUGAAGUCAUGACUCAGGAAACUGCAUAUGCUGACGAUUUUCAUAUCUCUGUUCCAUGGUCGGCCGGCCGGUUUGUGACCGUCUCAGCGUCACGGAACAGUAAAUAAGCGGAGCUCCUUUUGUUUCGAUAACAACAAUAUCAUUUCCCACCACAAAAACUUGUGUCUUCUCAAAAAAAAAAAAACACAAACUCAUGGUGCGCCUCUUGUGACCACAAGGGGGAAAUGGUCUCUGCUUGCUGUUUCCCAUGUUAAGAGAAAGGAGCUUUGAUCUUUACCUUCUUCUAAGUUCAUGUGUUAUGAUGAUUGUUAAUGAAAUUGCAUUGACAACGUACAUGAAAUUGCAUUGACAACGUACGUCUUUUAAGUGUAGUAUGUUAGUAUGUUAUGGACGACCAUUGUCACGGCUGCCACAAGACAUGUUUGCCAACUUCGACGCCACAGUCAAUAAGACUCUACUGCAUACCAGUAAUAUUGGAGAAACAGCUAGUUCCGUUACAGGGAAGCACAACAUGCACUCUGUUCUAGAAGCACUUGUAAGACAAUCUGGAUAGCUCCCCAUCCCCGCACCUAUCCGCAAUUUCUGCUCUGCAGGGUCUUACCACUGUUGUCUUCUUCACUCCGCAAUGCUCAUAGAAGCUGCUUGCCGAGAGUUGCGUGAUGUUGGAGAACCACAUCACUUGUCACUUGCAGAAAACCACAAGCUGGUGGAAUUCACCAGGAUUGUCUACCGGAGUUUUUUGUAAUACAAAAUAUGGAGGUUCCCGGUACCUAACAUGCCUAAAACAAGAUGAAAGCCCAAAUGCCAAGUGGCAGGGCGUGUGACAAACUACAUAAAGAGGCAGACAGUAGGGGAGUCGUGAGCAACAAAAUAUUGUACAAUGCAUGUUUUAGGCUUCAGAUCAAAGAUCGCCAUACAAGCGGCCCAGCCCUAGCACGGUUUUGCACAGCACUGCAUGAUAGCCUAAUCGUGCCAUGCCGUGCCAAUAUGUAGGGGUGGAAAGUGGUACACGAAUAUACGAAUUAUCCAAAUUCAUAUCCGAUAAAAUAUGCUACAAGGAUAUUUGUAAGCAAAUUCGUUUCUAGUGUGGUACCUUAAACAGAUAAAUCCGAAUCCGAUUUUUCAUUAUCUGAAUUUGUAUCUGUAUUCGAAAUAAACGUGUAUUAUCUGCAUUCAUAUAACAUUAGCACCACUCUAAACUAUAGAAUAAAUAUAUUAUUUUAAUUUAUUUCGGAACUUAUAUAUUCGUUGUGUAAAUUAAUUUAAAUAAUAUACGUUGUUAUUGUAAAAAAAUUUUAUGCUUUAUUUAUAUAUUUAUAAUAAUAAAUGAUUAUUUAUUUAUUAUAAUAUUUUCUAAAAAAUUUCGACGAACAAUAUUGGACUAUGUGUGGUAUAUUUUACACAUACAUGUAAUUGCAUGUCUAACGGUGACUUUAUUAGUCCAAAAUCAUCUACAAAACGAAUGUACACUUACUAAUUGCUAUCACCCAAAUUAAACGGAUAUCCAAAUACAAAUCCGAAUUCGACUUGCAAUCAACUCGCAAUCAACGACAUCCGAAUUUGCAUUCGAGGGAAAAUAUGGUAAAAGGUGAUAUCCAAUCUGAUUCCGUGCGAAUCCGAUACGAUUCCAUGCUUACCAACACGUUGUGCCGAGGUAGCAGCUCAAGCAUGGCAUUAAGGGGUUUUUGCCGUGCCAGCACCGCACGAUGGCAUGGAAGACCCAACGUGCCAGUGCCGUGCCUGGCACUACAUGCCAGUCACACCUAAUUCUGCUAAGCAUGCGAGCAAUAGUUCAUAUAUUCCAUCAUAAAUUGUAAUGUUCAUCAUUAAUUUCAACAACUCAAUUUUUAUGUGAACGGACAUCUAGCCUAGUGGUUAGAGCACCUAAGUAUAGUAUUAAGGAGGCCUAACUUCGACUCCCCGUGGGAACAAAUUAAACAAACAUCAGUAGAGAACUCCUCUUCCAUCCACCCCUUUUGUCCCAGUUAAUAUUUGACCCGUGACAAAACUAGCUUUAGUCCCGGAUCAAAAAUGUGCCUCCAAAGGCCACCGCGAUGGGAGAGAUUUAGUCCCAGUUGUAAAUACCAACCGGGACUAAAGCCCCCCUUUAGUCCCAGUUGUAACGGCUCCAAAAUAUCCCAUCGAUGCUACCCCUUUUGUCCUGGUUGGGAAUUCCAACCGAGAAUAAAUCUUUUUUCCCGAUUGGAAUUCCCAACCGGGAAAAAAGGUGCUCGUCCUACUAGUGUCCUUUCCCUUCCACGCCACGAGUAGUUAGUAAAAGAUAGGAGUAGGUUAGCUGCACAAAAGAAUUCAUGAUCAGAUCAUCUAGACAAGUAAGGAAGGAGAAGCCACCAGGAGAGCACAAUGUUCACUACUCAGGAGAAGCCACUAGGAGAGCACAAGGCUCACUACACAAAAAUAAUGCACUAACAGAUCAAGCACAUGUACACAUCAAGGUGCAGCUUAUAUCACCUAGGUGAGAACUUGUGAUGAUAGGUAUGGGUCGCAGGACCAUGGGAGAGACACUUUGGUCACAAACUUAGAAGAAACAUAGGAGCCAGUUGCUCUAGUAUCAAACAAAAUUAAAGUUUUAGUGCCACAAACUACAAACUCACCGAUCACCAUGUUAGGGGCAUAUCGAGCUUCUUCCUCGGUAUGGUGGUUGAGUCUUCCGCGGCCAGCAGGCUGCCGACUGGCAGUCUGAGGAGGUCUCCCUCCUGGGGCUGGUGUCUUUGAGGGCGUUUGGUUGGUCUUCUUGUCGGGGCAAUCGUAGGACUUGUGGCUGGGCUUGCCACAGUUGAAGUAGGUGAUCAUGGCUGCUCUAGUGUUCACCCUCGGUGUGAGCUGUUGCAGGCGGUCGUAGCCUCCUCCUGUCUACUGGAAGCUGGGGUUCCUUCCUCCUAAGAAUUGGCUGAUGCCUCCACCGAAGCUGCGGCCAAAUUGGAUGGGUCUUAGAUGGAAGUUUUCCCUCAGCAGGUUGCUCUUCCCACUCCUUAGCCUUUGGGAUGACUGGCCACGAGAGUCGUGAUCUGCUCUCCUUUUUCUAGUCCUCAUGCGAUCUUCGUGUCCCAUUCUUUCAGUCUCCAGAGCGAUGGCUUUGUUCACCAGGUGGCGAAGCGACUUGAAGUCACUCCCCAUCAGGAUCUAGCGAAGGUCGUAGUGGAGGCCUCGAAGAAACCAGAACUGUUUCUUCUCGUCGGUGUUGGUGUCAUCUGGAGCGUAUCUCAUCAUCUUGGUGAAGUGGCGUUCGUACUCCUUCACCCUCAUGGUGCCUUGAGUCAUAGUACGGAACUCUUGGGCCUUCUGGACCAUCAGCUGCUUGGGGAUGUGCUGCUCACAGAAUGCCGUGCAGAACUCUAGUUAUGUGUUGUGCGCUGGAUCUAGGUGGCUAUCCAAGAAGCUGUCCCACCAAGCCUUGGCUGGUCCCUUGAGCUGGUGGAUGGCGAUCACGACGCCCUCCUCAUCGGUGUAGUUGGUGAGAUCGAGCUUGGUCUCAAUCACCCUCAGCCAGUCGUCAGCUUCGAUCAGAUCCUCCGAGUAGCUGAAGGUAGGGGCCUUCAGUCAGAUGAACCUCUCAAUCUUCCUUGGGAGGUCUUCCUCAUGCGGUCCUUGGAGGUUCCCACCAUUGUUCCGGUGCUCGAUGGCCUCAGCUAUCCUCUAUAGGAGCUGGGUUUGAGUCGCCAUCACCUCAUCUAGGUUGGGUGGUGGCGGCGGUGGCUGCUCCUAUCAAUGCAAGACCCUGUUGGGUGGGCUCAGGCUCAGCUUCCUCCUCUUCUUCUUCGCCUUCGGUGUCCUAGCCAAUUGGUGGCUGCGGGGCUGCUUUAGCGGCAUAGCCUCGGCUCUUCCACGGACUGGUGCGUGGGCAUGGGCGCGUCCGCGUCCAUGUCCAUGGACAGCGGCACAUCCACAGCCACGUGCCGGUGGAACUUCUUCCUCUUGGGUGGCUUCCUCAUGGGUGACUUCCUCAAAGCAUGCCAUUAGGCAUCUAGACCUUCUUGUCGACAUGUCACUAGUUCGACGGUUAUGGGGUUAGAUAGGGAUUGGUAAUCGUCACUCAAAAUCUAUCAAGAAAAUAAUACUAUAUAUAUAUAAUCCAACACUCAAUGGGAAAAAGUAAUAAAACUAGAUAACUCCAAGAAAAUCCAUAUCACACAAUCAGCAUUACAUGAUAGACACUUGCUACCCCGAGGCUGACUCCUAAGCCUUCGAGGUCUCACAGACACCAUCAAUCUAAGUACAUCGUGAAGAUUUCAAAAGGGGUAGUGCCUACUCAUGGUGAUUCAUGGUACUCAUGACUCAACAUGUGAUGGAACAUGCUCUCAACUAACAUGGACUAACUCCUAAAAACUACUAUAUUACAACUCUACUUUUAUUCUUGCUCGGUGGCAUUGCUCAAGCACACUCCUCAGUGCGAGCCUUCUUGUAAGAGAUAAGGCAGCAGUCCUCAGGGGUGUGCUCGGGGGUGAACAUCUUCUCAACCAUUGCCUGUGCAGCAUUCACCUCCUCGGUCUCCAUGGGGCUAGGCAUGUCCUCAGCCGGACACAAGUGGAGCUUAAGAGUGGUUGGGUACACGGUGAAGUCCUCCUUGCGUUCGGCACACUGAGACUCGAGUGGAAGCUCGCUUCUUGCCUCCAGGAGCUCGUCCACUCAAAUCGAAUCCGCAUCCUUCCAAGUCUUAAGUAGCAUCUUCGCCACGUUGUGCUUCUGGUUGGUUUCCAACUCCUUUAUCUUUAUUGCACGCAACCAAGCAAGUGUCCACGAACGGUCAAGAGGUCGUUCUUUCCCUCCAUCUGCUGCUUCAGUCGGUCCAGACUCACGUGAAGCUUCCUCUUAUCCUCCAUGGUGUGAAUUAGUACCUCGUUGAUGUCUGCUUGUUCCUUCUCCACACAGAUCAGGGUAGCAGUGGAAGUGUUGAGAGAACUCUCAAGUUGUUGGAGUUGGCAACAGAGAGUGUAGGUCUCUCUCUCGAGAGCCUGGCACUAAGGGUAGUACUUACAGGCCCUCGUGGUGGCCUGGUCGAAGAUGCGGUGGAAGUCCAGUGCCUCAGACUCGAGUUGGAGGACGUGGUUGUCGAGGUCGACCAGGUAAGACCCAAUGGUAGACAACGCCUCGUCCUCCUCUCAAAGUGGCGCAAUCCGCACCUCCUCCUUCAGGUCCUCAAGGUUAGGUGUGCCCCAGUACCAUUGGGGAAGAAUUCGGAAGCUUAUGAACUCAAACUAACCCUGGUACCGAACCAACACCUUUGCCAGUAGUAUUCAGCUUGCGAAGUCGAGUCCAGUCCUCACAGAUAAUCCCAUCCCAUGUGACACCUCUCCGGCAAAGUCGGGUCAGGACGGGUGCGCGGUCACCACAACCGUACCGUGCACGUAAGGGCGACUGCAGGGUACACCAAAACAGCACGGUAGUGGACGUGGGUUGACGAAAUCCCAAGCUUCAUUAGGCUUUCUACAUCCACCUCAGGAUCUCCCCAUAGUGCUCCAGCAACACUUCGAUUCCGUCUGCCAUUGCUUCCUAUGUCAUGAAAGAAAAAGUUGAGUCAAUGUAGGUAAGUAAGCAGUUUUCAAAUGAGGAAGAGUUUUUAUAAUAUAGUUCAAGGAGUAUAUAUAACAAAGGAGCAUAAGGAAAUACUUAUUGCUAAUGACCGUGUCUAGGGUCACGUGUUAUGGUCAAGAAUGGCUCUGAUAUCAACUGAAAUGAACCAGAUAAAUAUCACAUCCAUACCACGAUAAUAGUACAAUUUUAUUGAUUACAUCCCAGAAUAUGAGAGAGUAUGAUCUGAUACAUGCCCCUUGGGCUAAACGACAUGAAUAAAACCAAUGCAGCGGUAGCUAGCUUCUGGAAGCAUCUCUAUCUUCGCAAUCAUCUCCACAAACAUUCUUGAGUGUAGCACUACAACCCUCACUUGUACCAACUAUCAUUGUUGUUGUUGAAAUCGGACUUGUAACCUCCAAACUCACGAGCUAUUCCCAAGGAUUAGGACAGGUUCACAUCACCAUUCAUAUGCAAGCUUUAAGUGACCUAGUGCUAGUGGUAAAAAAUGUAGACAAGGAAUAGACUCGGAUUUCCUAUGCAACAACAAGCAUAAAGAUAAACUCCAUAACCAUCAUCUCAAUCUCUCAGCACAUCGGCUACACCUGCCUUAACAGGGUCCCGAUCACCAAGAUCCUAUCUCCAUACUAGAGUCGAGGCGAAGACUCCAUCUCUUCACCUCUCAACAACUGCAGCUGGAUCCAAAAGGGAAAGGGAGCAACUUCCCCACUUCUCAACUGCAGUUGUGGCUCACAACACACAAGUAGCUAUAAGGGGAGGUAGAGAUUUCCCAAAAAUAAUGAAGAGACGUCAUGACACAGUGUUGUCCAUGACCGAGGACACGACUAUACAUAUAGUUUGAACUCUGUAGAGUGUGUACACCUGGACCCAUCUCGGAGUGAGCCCAAAUGGUCUGUUGACCGAGAGAACGUCACCCUACCGAGUGAAGAACCUGGGAGUUACGAUACCAUCGUACAUCCGGGCUCAGAUGCGAUUCCUUGCAGAAGACCACAUCGGAACUGUAAAGCACUCCCACCUGGGCCAAUCGGGGGCAAAAGCAAAUCAAUGGGCAAAAGGUCAGCACCACUCCCUCUACACUAAUACUCUAUCCUACGGCAGGUAUGGUACUACACUUGCUAGUCUCAACCCGGGCCUAGACCCAUAAUUCACCGAGUGACAUGCAUGUUUAACAUAUUCCCGUGAAGCAUGGAGACCCACUCAAUUUCAGACUAGGGUCAGCUCCUAACUCCCAAAAGCGUAUCCACAAUAUGGUCCGCAAUGGCACCCAUAACAGCGAGUCAAUCUUCCCUUUGAGUAGUUGAUAAUGCUCCACAUGCAACACUCCUUGAGUAUUUCUAGAUGGUUGAAGUGGGACCAGGCGCCCAGAUGAUGCCCAUGGAUCAUUGUCUGCAACCUUCUUGAAUAACUUGAAAGCUUGAGUUAGGGUGACAUUAAUAAUCAUUGAUGAUAGUCCUUGAUGCAGGUGUCAUCCCUUGGUAGAACUUCUGGACUAGAUCCUCCCUUGAAAAUUUAUGAUGUGGAACUGCACGGACGUAGUCAUUGAAGCAUUGAUAGGCUUCAGCAAUAGUUUUAGAAGUAUACUAAGCAAAAGUAGCUAUCCUGCUCCUCAAAUUCUGAGUGUUGGCUGGCGAAUAAUAUUUUGUUAUAAAAGUCUUCAUCAACUCAUCCCAAUUCUAAAUUGUUGUUGUAGGUAGAUCAUAAAACCAUUGAAAUGCUCUUCCAAGAAGAGAGCAGGGAAACAGCCUUGCUCUUAGAUGAUUCAUGUUAACUCCAUCCAAGUCGAAGGUGUUGCAUAGCUGCGUAAAUGCUUGUAGAUAAAGAUUAGUGUCCUCCUUGCUAGUGAAAGGUGAACUCUGCACCAUCCUCAGUGUUGAAGUUUGGAUCGUGAAUGGUUGUCCAAUGCCACCCAACACAUGGAUAGGUAAAUCAGUGAUGUUUGGGAUGCACAGCUCCCCGAUAGUACGCUCUGGCUUAGGUUGAUCUCCCAUUGCAGGUGCUUUUGUUACAAUUAGCGCAACUGGCGUCCCUCCUGGACAUGCUGGUGGUGUCGACUUUGGAGUAGAUGAUGAUGUUCUCGACACUUUCAAUUCUUCCAUGACGGCUGAAGCUUCAAUCUCCAGCUUCCUUGCAUUUUCUAAUCGUAUCCUUUGCCUGUAAAGUUUUUCUGGAUCAUCCAUUGAUGAUUACACAUACCGGGUACCCUCAUGGAGAUCCCAACCGACCACUAAUGGGCCGGCUUGACUUGAUGAAGAAGGAAGAAGAUAGAGUCCGGCUAGGGCUCCCCAUGUGUUGUAAUCCGACUAGAUCUCAUCUAUAGUAACCAAUUAGGGAUCCUGCCAUGUAACCCUACCCCUCGGAGUAUAUAAGGGGAUGUAGGGGUACCCCUAGGAGGGGAACCGAUCUAAUACCAUAACACAACAACCAACACCCGAGCGCAGGGUGCAAUACAAUCAUCAAAACAGGAUAUAGGGUAUUACGCUAUACUAGCGGCCCGAACCUAUAUAAAUCUCUGUGUCUUGUGCCUUAUGUUACCAUCAUGUUCAUGGUCUUACGAUCCUCGUUGCCUACAAAUCAACCAUCUGGUAACCUGGGCUACUGAAUCCCACAUCCACAAAAAUUUUCGAUUUCUUGAAGAGGUAGCCAUCCAUCUCCUGUUAGUGUUAGAGAAAGCAAAACACAUAUAUACAAGAGCUAGAUUGAACUUUUGAUUGAGAUCAAACAAAAACAAAAAGAUUGAAAUCAAUGGAAAACAUCCAUUUUACUCCUUUAACCAAUUUACUUUGUUCGCUUAACCCUCUAAGCAUAAUUUAGGCUCACUUUACUCCCCUGAAGUAUUUCAUUUGGUCCAAUAUACUCCCUAAUUAGAUUUUUCUUUUUUAUUUCUUCUUGUACAAGUUGAGUUUUAAUUUCAGAAUUUGUCACUUGACUUAUAACUUGAUACUCUACGUUAGAAAAAUACUUUAGAGAUUUUUCAUGAUUAUUUUUCAUACAGUUUUGUAUAUCUAAGAUCAAUUCCAUAUUAAAUAUUCUUAACCUAUGAAAAUAAUCAUGAAAAAUUCUUAGUAUAACUUUUUUACAUAAGGCGUCAUGUUUUGUAUUUGCUCAUAAAAUUUGAACUCAAAAUUCAAUUCAUACAUGGAGGAAAAAAAAGAAAAAUCUAAUUAGGGGUAGAUUGGAUCAAAUCAAAUAGUUUUGGGGGAGUAAAGUGAGCCUAAAUUUUGUUCGGGGCGUUAAGCGGACAAAGUGAAUAUGUGGGGUGAGUAAAAUGGACUUUUUCAAAAAGAAAAGACUGAAAAAUUAUGAACAAAAAGUCAUAAUUACAGAUGCGUAGUUAAACUAAGAACUUGACUAUUAGUUCCCCAGCAACGGUGCCAGAAAACCUUGUUGAUGAUUGUUAGCACGCCAAGUUGUGAACCGUAAGCGCACGGAUCAGUUGUGGCUCUUACCUUGGAGUACUCCCCUAAGGUUUAUUAAUCCGUGGAACUUAUAGCACAAGAUCUAUUUUAACUAGCAUUGUUAGUAUGGACUAGGUGUUGAUGAGAGAUUCAGAUCUAAUCUACUAAACAUGUAUAGAAAGAUAAUAGAUAGAGUAGAGGUAACUAAUCUAGAACAACCUAGAUUAUGCAUAUGUUAUAAUUCUGAGCAUAGAUAGCAAAGCAGCACAGAUAUGAUCUUAGUAAAAAGCAUCUUUAUAUCUACACCUUUGAUCCGGCUACCAAAACCACUUUACACAAGGAAGAUCCCAUCAUGAUCCCCUCUAUCAGCAUAGGUAGACUAAGGGCACGAUCUAAAGAACAUGUUAUACUCAUUGGUAGAUCAGGUAUGCAAAUCUGAUCACCACGACUAUAAGAACACCCUAGGCAAUCUAUAAUCGAUUCAUAGAUUGAAAAGCAAGCAAACUUGAAAGGGCAUAAAACAAUAGAAGGAGAUACUUAGAUCGCUAAGAACAUGAACACAUCUAUACUUAACCAUAAAUGAUUGUACAUCACAAGAUCACCACCGAGGUCCUACCUUGAUCUUGAUGACUCCUAGCUCCAAAACUCUAGCGUGAUCUUGCUCGCAGGUGAUCACACCGGCAGAGGUUCAACUAUGCUAACCCCCAACAAUUGCAUGGCCCUCAGCUCUCCAAAGUGGUGUCCAUCAAGUUCCUUCUACUUUUCUACUUCUUCACGUCGAGUACGUCGUCUCCAAUUAUUCUCCUCGGUAGCUUUUGGGGGUAUUUAUACUUCAGGGAGGCCGUGGCAAAAAUUGAAAGGCGACGGGGUGAAGGGAACCCUAGUCCGAUCGACCUUCGGCCUAGGCCUUCCUUUUGCCCUCUCACGCUCAGCUUCAUCCCCAAGUCUUCCUGAAUGCUCUAGAGUCUUCUGUUCACACACAUGUGGGCCUAGCAUGUUGGUUGCUUCAAGAUGAGAUAGAUCUUCAUUGACUUUCCAAAUCUUGAUUUGAUCCUCUUUUAUUCCUCUUUGAUCCCAAGCUGGUCCUUGUCAUAUCUUCAUAAACUUAGCCCCUAAGUAACUUUGGAGGAUUACUUGCCAAAGAUGGGCACCAGGGGGCGUUAGAGGGCACCAGGCCAAUCGGCCUGGGCUCCUCCAGGCCAAUCGGCCUACCCCCUUCCUGGGCCCUUUGACCUUCAUUUUCGUCUGGUUCAAUGCUCGGUCAGUGCUUUAUCCAAAAAUAUGCUUUUAAGCCCAAUUUCCUUCAAACCUUCAAAAUACAUUGCAGAUGUGAAAAUGACUAGUUUAUUAGGUGUGAUCAAUAGUUUAGGUAUUAAAUUCAUAUCAUUAUUGAAGAUAAACAGGGUAAAAAGUAUGUCAAUAAUGAGCGUCAACAUCCACCAUGCACUUACUUCAAAUCAACUGCUUAUUCGUUAUGGAUAGGCAUGUCUGUGCUAUGGAUUUGAUGAUGGGAUUCCUUUAACACUCUAGCAUGAGUUUUGGGUGUGUGUGAUCCCUUGAUGUGUUAUGGCGGGAGCGAACCGCGGUCGAUACUAUGGAAGUUCCUAGCUUGGGGAGGGGUUUUGGUCUCACCCCGUUACAUCGUAGAUGUGGUGGGCACAUUUUUUGAGACUUCAUCUUGAGGAUUUUGGUGGCACACAUGUGAUGGGUGACCUGUAAUGGAUAUGCAGUCAUGCUUCGGCGCAAACUUGGAGUUUGAGUGCUCGCUCUCGAACCCUAAGGACUGAGUCGGAUUAACCAUGCUCCAUUGGACUAUUUACAUACAUACUAUUCUCCCAAAAUGGGCAUGGGUUCAGUACGAGACUAGUGUGUGGAUCCUACUACUCCACCUGUAGGAGGACAGGUAGAUCGGAAUACAGAGUUUGAGGUGGUGACCUACUCCUGACAUACAGACCCAUGACUAGCCCAUGGGUGGUCAACACAGCUUCAUGGUCUACAGCUAGUGAGGGCGUGCCGUGCACUUGAAGACGUUCCCAGACUCGAGAGACUCGAGAAAGCAGGAGAGUAUUAGCCACACAAUGGGGCUCCAUGUGUAGGUGGCAUCCAUGUUGGCCGUGCACCAAACAGAUGUACAACCUGCGGAGUUAUAAACUAUAGAUAUAACCAUGUCCACGGUACUAUACAGUCCUCUUAUCUUCUACUUUGACUAGACUCCACGCCUUCAUGGCCACUGGAUACAUGUCAGUCCCUUUAAGCCAGUAAGCGGCCCUAUCUGAUUACAUGAUCUCUACUCAAAGCUUGGUUUCAGUGGUCAAUUUUCAGGAUGCGUGAAUUUGGCAUAGUAGUCAACGAGGGUGAAUUAGUAAAUGCUAGGACCAUUCUACACUUUAUACUCUGCAAGUUAAUUUACAGACAAUCAUACUGACUCAAACUUGAUGCAAAAGAGCAUCCCCCAAACAGAAAAUUGUGUCACUUAAAAUUAAAGGCAACCUCUUGUAAUACUCUUUGAACAAAAGUGCAAAACACUUGUAACAUUCUAGGUUUCACAUUACAUACAAAUACAAUGACAAAAACCUUCACAAGUUAAUGUUGGAGACAUCCCCUUCCAUAUGCACCCCAUUCCAGAACACAAGGAUAUUCAUCAACGUCCUGCUAUGUUUACUUUUCAUUCAUAUGACUUAGGGUCUGUUUGGAACUGCUCUACUCCAAAAAAAAAUAGCUCCACUUCACGAACUUCACAUUCUUUUAGCUUCACUCCACCAAUUCCAGGAAAAUAGGGAGUUAUGUACCUGUUUGGCUACCGGAUGCAAAUACAGCUUCAAGAAUUGUAGGAACUAGUGGCAAUAGUCACCCUUACCCUUGGGUGCUUCUUUUCUAGUGAGCUACAAUCUCUGUUAUUAAACUAAGCAUCACUAUGUACGGUCCACAUGAACACUCUGAUGAUCUAUCAAUAUCUAGAUCAACAAAAGAAAGAAGAGCACAUGCUUUCUAAUAUCACCGAUCAAAAAACCAUCGCUCGAUCGAGCGCCGUAUCCUCAUGAGCUCUCGAUGCCGGUGGACAGCCGGAGUAGGUCAUAGUUGAUGAGGGAGCAGGAGCAGCGUGGUGGAGAGGUUGAAGUCGAUGAGCAUGAUGUGGCUCGAGUCUUGGAUGAGGACGUUCUCCGAUUUGAGGUCGCGGUACAUGACGCUGAGGUCGUGGAGGUGCUCGAGGACGAGCACCAGCUCUGCAGCGUAGAACCGGAUGACGGACUCUGGGAACAUCGUGUCGACGAGCCACUGGCAACCGAGCGACUUGAGGUCUCCGCUGAGGCAGCGGUCAAUAGCAAAGCCAACGAUAGCAACGGUGGCCAUGAUGCCGCAGAGGGAGGGGAGCAGCGGGUGCCGGAGCACGAGCAACAUGUCGCGCUCGAACCAGAUCCUCCGCUGCCCAUCGCCACCGCACGUGCCUCCUAGCCUGCGCCAAGCUGGUUCCACCAGUGGCCACCAAUGCGAUGCGGCCGUCGAACACUAGCAAGAACGGAUGUGUUAGGAGGAAGGGUAGGGGAGGGGGCGGAACAGUAGCGGUCUUUUUUUCCCGAAGAGGUAUGUGUAACCAAUGGUAUUUGUGGGUAAUUUCCACCCAACUCCAAGAGAAGGUAUGAAACCUAUUUUCGGAGCACCCUUUGAGGUGCUCCAAAAAACCUUAGAUUUGCCCUCUAGAUCCACCUUUUUUCUGGAUUUGAGAUUGUUGGAGCUGGAGGUGUUUGGCAAGAUGGUUUGGGAGCGGAGCUGGAACAACUGGAGCGGAGCAGUCCCAAACAUGCCCUAAUAGUUGGAUAACAACACAGGUUUCAAACAAUAGGUUUCAAAUUUGCAACUCUACAUAGUAUGACACUGUGAAGUUAUGUUUUCAAACAAAUCUACUUUUAUAUUCCCAAAUUUAUGGUACAUAUAUACAUUUUUUUAUGAUACUUGUCAAAACUUUGAACUUUUGAGUUGGAACUUUUCUGAAAACAUGAUGAAUUUGAAGGGAUAUCACCUAAUACCGCAGAGGUUCUAGCUUACUCUAGUUGGCUUAGUGAUCAGCUAAUGAUAAUCUCAUAAAAAAUAGUCAAAACAUAUUAGACAUAGAAACCAAUAUAAUCAACGCUCAUCGAUCCGACGAGGAAUGAAUAUGUUCAUGCACAGGCAACUAGGUAGGUGACCAACCUGUCGACUGGAAUUGGUGGCUCACACCAUUAAGUGGCAUCAACUAAUAAUAGCUAAAAUGAUUGAUAGGAUAGUCAUUUAAAUAUUUCCAUUGUUGUCAGUGACGGUUCCUUGCUUCCUGUCACGAUUACUAGCGCAGCUCACUUUCUGGGUUCCUUGUCUCUAAAUAAUGUUCUAGUUUCCCCUAAACUUAUUAAGAAUCUUAUUUUUGUUCACCAGUUUAUAUCUGACAACAAUUGUUCUAUUGAAUUUGAUCCCGUUGGCUGCUCUGUGAAGGAUCUAGCGUCUCGGAGGCUGAUCGUCAGGUGCAAUAGCUCCGAGCCACUCUACCCGUGCGGUUUCCUGCUGCCCACGCUCUCGCUGCCAUCUCCACCCCAUCUAUGUGCCAUCACUGUCUCGGGCAUCCCGACAAUGAAGUUCUAUCCAAAGUCGCUUCGGUCAUUCCUUUUUGUAAUAAGGACAUUCGCACCGUUUGUCAUGCGUGUCAAUUAGGGCGGCACACCUCCCUUUUUAGUCAUCUAGUUCUAGAGCGUCUAAUAAUUUCGAUCUCAUUCACUGUGAUUUAUGGACAUCUCCUAUUCCCAGUGUGUCUGGAUUUAAAUAUUAUUUGCUUAUUCUUGAUGACUGUUCUCAUUAUCUGUGGAUGUUUCCACUUCGACUUAAAUCUGACACUUUUGUGACUCUGACUAACUUCUUCUCAUUUGUGCGUACUCAGUUUGGCGCCAUUGUGAAGGCCAUCCAGUGUGACAACGGCUGCGAGUUUGAUAACUCUAGCUCACGCACCUUCUUCCUCACACAGGGGUUCAUCUUCGCAUGUCCUGCCCCUAUACAUCGCCCCAGAACGGUCGGGCCGAGCGCAUGAUUUGGAGCAUCAAUAACACGGUUCGCUCCCUUCUUUUUCAGGCUAGUAUGCUGCCCUCCUAUUGGGUUGAGUCUCUGCACACUGCCACACAUUUACUCAACAUUCUACCCACCAAAACUCUUAGUUCCUCCACACCGCACAUGGGUCUGUUUGGCAUUGCCCCGUCUUAUGAUCAUCUUCGAGUUUUCGGCUGCACUUGCUACCCGACUCUCUCUGCCACUACGCCUCCCAAACUCGCCCCUCGUUCCAUCCUAUGUGUUUUCCUCCCAAACUCGCCCCUCGUUCCACCCUAUGUGUUUUUCUCAGCUAUUUUGCUCAUCACAAGGGGUACCGCUGCCUUGAUCUCUCAUCCAACUGGGUUAUCAUCUCCCGCCAUGUCAUGUUUGACGAGGCUAACUUUCCCUUUUCUCAGCAGCAAUCCCCCCCAGCUAAUGAGGACUUUGAUUUUUUGUUGGAGCCUUCUGAUGAGGUGCCACCCCCUAUUGGUUCGGCACCAUCUCUGUUGCCUGCAAGAAUCUUACCUGGCGCACCUUCGGCUCCUGGCGGCUUGGCCGCACCCGCACAGCCACGUGCGGUUGUGCCCUCUGACGUCUUCACACUGCCUGGUGCAGAACCUGGCACCCCGGAGCCCCUCCUGGCGUCCCUAGCACACCCGGCGCCCCAUGUGUCCCUGGCGCACUUCCUGGCACCUCCACCGCACUGCCACCUGCGGCUCCCGGCGCCCACGGCGUCCCUGCCGCCUCCCCCGCACUGCCACCUGCGGCUCCCGGUGCCCUUGGUGACCCUGUGGCUUCUUUUGCGACCUCUCCUAUGGUUUCUCCGUCAUGACAGUCUGCUAAAGUCGCACCCUCACCGGCUCCUGCCGCAGUUCCUGCUGCCGGCGCCACCCCUGUCUUGCCAGGCAGCUGCCUCGGUGCAGGGCCACCCCUCCUGGUGUACUCUAAGCGUCCUCGACAGCCUCCCCAACCUCCUGCUCCGUCGGCUCUUCCUCGCGGUGCGGUUCCCGUGCGUCCCGUCGCCAACCAGCAUCCCAUGACGAUGCGCGGGAAGUUGGGUUUUCGUCUGCCAGCCCUGUUUCACUCCUACUCGCUGUCUCCCGUGCCUCAGAGUUACAGAGGUGCCCUCGCCGAUCCCAACUAGCACCAGGACAUGCAGGCGGAGUUCGACGUGCUAUUGGCUAAUCACACAUGGGAUCUCGUACCACGUCCUGCUCAGGCAAAUGUUGUCACUGGCAAGUGGGUUUUCAAGCACAAGUUUCAUGCAGACUGUUCUCUAGAGCGCUACAAAGUGCGGUGGGUGUUUCACGGGUUCACUCAGUGACCCGGGAUUGAUUUUUCGAAGACUUUCAGUCCUGUCAUCAAGCCAGACACCGUUCAUACAGUGUUGUCCCUAGCUCUUUCUCAUCAUUGGCCAAUCCAUAGUUGGAUGUGAAGAAUAUCUUUCUUCACGAGACGCUGUCCGAGAUAGUCUACUGCGCUCAACCUGCUAGUUUUGAGGAUUUCGUCUGUCCUAAUCGUGUUUUUCACUCCUCAUGCUUGGUACAGUCGCUUUGCUUCUCACCUGCUGCAGCUCGGCUUUGUGGAAGCCAAGACCGACACUUCCCUGUUUGUGUAUCACCGCGGUGACGACAUGGUCUAUCCUCUUCUUUAUGUGGAUGAUAUUGUCCUUAGGGCAUCUUCGACAGCUCUUCUUCAUCGCACUAUUGUUGCCUUGCAGCGGGAGUUUUCGAUGAAGGAUCUGGGUGAACUCCACCAUUUUCUGGGUAUGCAUGUCCAGCGGUCUGGUGAUGGUCUUCUUCUGUCUCUGCGCCAGUUUAUGUUGGAGAUACUGGAGCAUGCUGGUAUGACUGAUUGCAAGCCAUGUUCCACUCCGGUUGAUACAAAUCCGAAGCUAUCUGCUACUGAAUGUGCCCCGCUCAUCAACGGGACUAAUUUUUAGAGCCUCGCCUGUGCUCUAUAGUAUCUCACCUUCACUCGCCCAGACAUCACUUAUGCGGUUCAGCAGGUUUGUCUACCUAUGCAUGAUCCUCAUGAGCCCCACCUUGCUGCUUUGAAGCGCAUUCUACGGUAUAUUCGGGGCACUCUUCACUUGGGUUUGCAUCUACGGCCCUCAACUCAAUCGGAUUUGCUAGUUUACUCCGAUGCUAAUUGGGUUGGUUGCCUGGACACACGCAAACUUCUGGAUAUGCAGUGUUUUUGGGCGACAACUUGGUCUCCUGGUCCUCCAAGCGACAAACUGCAGUUUCUCGCUCGAGUGCCGAGGCUGAGUACCGGGCGGUCGCCAACGUCGUUGCCAAGGUCUCCUGGUUGCGCCAACUCCUAGUUGAGCUGCAUGUUCCUCUGCGCCGCGUCGCCCUGGUCUAUUGUGAUAACAUCAGCACAGUCUACAUGUCUUCGAACCUCGUUCAGCAUCAGCGCACCAAACAUGUUGAGAUUGAUCUACACUUUGUUCAUGAGCACGUUGCUACUGGUGAUGUCUGCGUUCUUCAUGUUCCAACGACCUCUCAGUACGCCAACAUCUUCACCAAAGGUCUGCCUUCUUCAGUAUUCACGGAGUUCGGGUCGAGUCUGCACAUUCGGCCCCCCGACGAUCAGACUGCGGGGGCGUGUUAGCGACAUGUAUAUGUAUUGUUUGUGCUGUGUGCAUGUACAUGGGCCUGGCUGUGCGCCAGGCCUAGGUGGGCCCCCUGCCGUGCCCUAGAUGAUUAGGUUAGGCGCCUAGGGCUGCCUAUAUAAUCUACUAUCCCAUGCAAUUUCUAUUGCUCUCGAUCUGUCUAAAGGGUUUAGGAUGAGGAGUAAGUGGUAUUAAUAUAAUCCUUGUUUGCUCUUGGGCUGCACCCUGUCGAUUUACGAUGUUUGACUAACUGAAGCAUAACCUAAAAAAAAGAAGAAGCACAACCCAAAAUGGGAGAGCGUUUUUUUUUCCCUGCUGAAGAACCCAAAUAAUAAGACAACUCUCUACAAGCCUAUUUCUUCUCCUCCCGGCCUGCUUUCACAAUCCCCGACGCUGCGCAGCCCAGCUCGGCCCGCCACUCGCUGCCGUCGCGCGUCGUCGCUGCGGGCCGGGGACGUCGUCAUGCAGUGCCAGCCUGCUAGCCCAGUAGGAAGCGAAUGCUGAGUGCAUUCCUUUCAGGAUAGGGCCAAUCGAAGACUAUUUCCAAUGAGCUCUGAGAUUUUUCAUUUUGUUUCACGAUAGGGCCAUGCAAGGAUUAGUCCAUAUGAUGGAGAUGAUAUUGUGCCAAAAAGAUUGAUAGGGAAGUAGAGCUUAACUAAAUCAAUCAAUUCACAGUUGUGUGUUUUGUGAUUAGAUUGAAUGACAUAUUCCCCAGCAGCAAAAUGCAUGAAACUGAACAAGCUAGAAUUUUAACUACAACAUUCGAGAGGGAACCAAAAUAAACCCAAUCAAAAGCUAGAAUUUUAUUACGGAAAUUUUUGUAUAUGACUUUAAUAUAUGGACUAGUAGGCCUGUUUCUAGAAUGUCGUUGUCCAUGCUCCUAUAUUAGCCGUUUUUCACUUGGCAUUACAUCUUGAUUCUGCCCCUGAGGCUGAUUGGCAUUCUGCAGGGCACAACGCGCGUAUAGGCAAAGAGCGCAGAGCCCACUGCAGUAGUGCGGCACCUAAAUCCGUAUUAGACAUUUAGACCCAAUGGCAAAAGCAUGCAUGUUCUUUAGACAAGGCUGGGGGACACGCAAUGCCAAAUCAACUUCUUUAGACAAGGAUCUGAGACGUGAGUAGAAAUUUGGUAACUUUAGCCAGCAGUUGACAGGUCAAGACCACAUGAAAAGAACAUAAAGCAAACUGCUUUGAUAGCUUUAGGCAAACACCUGCUUCCCAUUACUCGAUUCCUUGCCUGCUUGAUGAUACUACUACCUAUCUCUUUCCCGGUUUCCCCGCUCCAUUUCUGCAUAGAACUUGCUUUCGCGUACACCGCCUGCUCAUCGCCUCCAUUUGUGUCUUGCUUGACAGAUGGAGGAGUCUUCGAUCUGUCUUGCAAUAACACGGGACACUUCAAGUUCUGCGAUCAAAUUCUAGUCUCGUUCAAGUUUAGCGUCUCCCUUGGGUGAGCACAAUUUUACUAGUAUGAUGCCCUUUAAUGUUCUCCUCUGGCAAUCUUAGAAUCUUUACUGCGAUUGUGUGACAUCUCUGAAUUCAUGGUUUCCUCAUCCUGCGCGCAGCAACCUCGUACUUGAAGCACACAUCGGUCUGAGGUUCGUUGAGGUUGUGACGAUGGAGGCCGCCGUCAGUGCCGCGCGGUGGGUGCUGGGCAAGGCCCUGGCGCCCGUCACUGACGGCUUGCUGGAGGCGUGGGCGGCCAGCGCCGGGCUUGGCGACAACAUCGACGCCCUCAAGAUGGAGCUCCUCUUCGCGCAGGCCAUGCUGGACAAUGCCCGCGGCAGGGAGCUUCACAGCCCCGCGCUAGCGCAGAUGCUGCACAAGUUGCGGCAGCUGGCCCAUGAUGCCGAUGACGUGCUCGACGAGCUCGACUACUUCCGCAUCCAGGACGCGCUCGACGGCACCUACCACGCCGCUGACACGCCUGCAGACGGGUGCGCAAAGAGUCUUGCUCUCAACACUCUCUACACUGCCAGAGCUCUUGCCGGUAAACUCAAGCUCACCUCCGGCUCGAGAGAUGCUGCUAACCGUGGUGAUCCUGACGACCAAGAAGAUGAUGAUGCCAAAAGAGGACGCCUAUCUGGGGUUCCCUGCUCAUGUGGCGGCCGUGAGGUCACCUCUUGUCCACCAUCUCCCACCAACAAUGGUGACCAGAAGGCUAGUGGCAAAUGCUUGCCAAAGUUCGCCUACGGGGCUCGCAAUGCUGCAUGCGCUGUCGGUAAACACCUCCCAUGCUACUCCUCUCCAUGUGCCCAUGAUGAUGCUCACUCCGACGAGCCGGGAAAUGGAUGGAGAAGCAUAUUUUCUGCUUGUCCGUCCAGGCCACAAAAAAUAAAUGAUGCUGCGAAGUUGCCAAAACUGAAGUUUGAUAGGGUGGAAAUCUCUAUAAAGAUGAGGACUAUCAUAGAGCAGCUCAAGCCCAUAUGCGCGAAGGUCUCCACCAUUCUGAAUCUAGAGCCAUUAGGCUCCAGCUGCACCACUGCCAAAGACAUCGCUAUGAACAGACCCAUAACCAGUUCAGAAAUCAUAGAGCCUAAAUUGUAUGGGAGGGACAGCCAGAAAAAGAGAAUUGUGGAUGCCAUUGCCUAUGGUGAAUAUGCUGCCAACAAAUUUACUGUACUUCCAAUUGUUGGGCCGGGAGGUAUAGGGAAGACAACUUUCACACAGCAUGUGUAUCAAGAAGUGAACAACCAUUUCCAGGUCUCAGUUUGGACAUGUGUCUCUCUUAAUUUCAAUGCAAAUAAGUUGUUGCAAGAUAUUGCGAACAAGAUUCCAGAAGUUAAUGGUGAAAGCACAACUGCCAGCGUCGAAGAGCAAAUUGGGCAAAGAAUAAAAUCUAAGCGGUUCUUGCUUGUCUUGGAUGAUAUGUGGACAUAUCAUGAGGAUGAGUGGAAAAAACUGUUAGCUCCAUUUAGAAAAGGGGAGGAGAAAGGCAAUAUGGUUAUGGUCACAACUAGAAUCCCAGAGGUAGCAAAAAUGGUUAAGACAGUCGAUAGUUGGUUGGAACUGGAGCGUUUGGAAGCAGAAGAUUUCCUGCGUUUCUUUGAAGCAUGUGUUUUUGGUGAAGAACAGUCAUUUAAAGAUCAUGAUGCAUUGCUUGGCGUUGGAGAACAAAUACUGGACAAGUUGAAGGGUUUCCCGUUGGCAGCAAAAACUGUUGGGAGGUUAUUAAGAAACCGACUUAAUUUGGACCAUUGGAGAAGAGUACUGGAUAGUAAAGAAUGGGAACUUCAAACCAGUGAUAAUGACAUUAUGCCAGCACUAAAGCUGAGUUAUGACUAUCUCCCUUUCCACCUCCAGCAGUGUUUUUCUUAUUGUGGAUUGUUUCCCGAAGAUUAUGAAUUUGAUAGCAAAGAGUUAAUUCACUUGUGGAUAGGACUAGAUAUUCUGCACUCACUUGAGAAAAACAAAAAAGUUGGAGAAGUUGGAGAGAGCUACCUACAUGAAUUGGUUAGUUAUGGAUUUUUUAAGGAAAGCGAAACAGAAUAUGGCUCACCAUGUUAUGUUAUCCAUGAUCUACUACACGACUUAGCAGUGAAGGUUUCAUCAGAUGAAUGUCUUAGCAUAUAUAGUUCAAACAUGGGGUCCAUCCAAAUCCCCCCUUCCGUACGUCACAUAUCUAUUGUUAUUGAGGACACAAUUUUGGAGGAUAGAAUCCGUUUUGAAGAAUGUAAAACAGGCCUGAGUGCACUGGAUAAAAGAUUGAAUGCUGAGAACCUACAUACAUUGAUGUUAUUUGGAGAUUACCAUGGAAGCUUUGUCAAGGAAUUUCGUGAUUUGUUUAGGGAAGCAAGAGGCCUUCGUGUUGUAUGUUUGUCGGAAGCAAGCUAUGAUGUCGAUAAUUUGCUAUGCAACUUCUCUAAGCUUGUCCAUCUUCGCUAUAUACGGAUUGAGGAAAAUGUUUGUUUUGAAGUAAGACUACCUAGUAGUACUGCAAGAUUAUAUCACUUGAGGAUCCUUGAUGUACCAGGAUGCAAUAUUGACUCGAGAUUCCUGAGGGAGAUGAGAAACCUUACAAAAUUACAACACUUUCUUACUCUUGAUGAUAGCCUUCUCUCUGGAAUUUUUGAGGUAGGGAAACUAAAACUUCUACAGGAGUUAACAAGAUUUGAAGUCAAGGAAAAUUCUGGUUUCGAACUAAAGGAGUUAGGGCAACUGCAAGAGCUCCAUGGAUCACUUAGCAUUUAUAACCUUGAAAAGGUUCAAGCAAAGGAAGAAGCAGAGCAAGCAAAACUAAUACAAAAAUUCCAUUUAAAACAGUUGACAUUAAGUUGGGAUAGUGAGCGGUCUGAUGACAGUAAGAAUCCUAAGAGGGAAGAGCUUGUCCUUGAAAGUCUGAAACCACAUAGCAAUCUUAAGGAGCUAUGCAUUAGAGGACAUGGAGGAGCUAAAUGUCCUACAUGGCUAGGCACCAACCUUGAUGUUCAGAAUUUAGAAUCUCUCUGUCUUUAUGAUAUAGGUUGGAAAAACCUUCCACCUAUAGGAGGGUUGUGGAUGGUCAGUGGUGCUGAAAACUGCCACGGCCAAAGUUUCAAAUAUUUAAAGAGGCUAGAAUUAGUCAAGAUACCAACGCUGGAAAAAUGGGUUCGAAAUGACCCUUGUAAAGUCUUCUCUCACUUGGAAGAGCUGGUCAUAAGAGAUUGCUCUGUACUCAUGGAGUUGCCAUUUUCACGUUCUACUUGUGAACACCGAGAUAAAGAGGUGAACCUGAAUUGGUUUCCCAUGCUAAGGAAGCUUGAAAUUUUUGACUGCCCAAACUUAUUGUCCUUGCCUCCUUUACCUUGGACUCGUGCUCCAUGCUCCCUCAAAAUAGGAGGACUGGGUCUAUGGUUUGAGAGUCUAUUUUACACAAAAGAUGAAUCUGAAUGCAGCUUGGAAGUCGUUGGCUUGGAUCAGUUGGAUGGUGCAUGGCUGAAGGUGUUGGACUUUGACAACCUAACGGAACUAGAAUAUUUGGAGGCCGAGAGAUGCCCUCCUCUGCCUCCGGAUCACCUCCAAAUGCUUUCAUCCCUGGAGACCCUCGAGAUCAGGCAUCCGAAGAGUGGCCUUUGGCCAGUUGAAGGUGAAAGCCAUGCCGGACAUCAGUUUCCAGUGGAAAAUCUAGAGAUCACAUAUUGUGGUGCUAGUGGAAAGGAAUUUACACAGCUGCUCUCUCAUUUUCCAAAGCUUUCUAAUUUGGAUAUAAGCGGUUGCCGGAAGAUAACAAGGGCGGGUGUCAUGGGGAAGCAAGCAACGAUAAAAUCCGGGCCAUCGCCAUCAGCUUCAGCUAAAAUGGAGGGCGUGCAUAUUGGACGGAACCAGCUAAUACAUGCAAGAGGAGACAGGGAAAUAGCAGUGGAAACAGAGGAUGAAGAAGUACUGCUCUUGCCUCCCAACCUACAGAGCCUGCGAAUGGACGAGUGCCCAAAUCUGAUUCUCAUCAAUCUUCCCUCCGAUUUGCACUCCCUCCAAUCUUUGGAUAUUCAGGUGUGCCCCAAGUUCCUCUCCUCCUAUUCAUCGUCGUCCACUUCGUGUUUCCCCUUCCC